rnacentral:lncRNA from 1 species
AGUAGUUUGUUUGCAUUUAAUGUUAUAUGUGUUGUUUUAAUAUGUGUGUUGCAUCUUUGUUAAUUUUUUCCUUUUUCCCAAUUUGUUUGCAGUUGUUUGUUUUUCAAUUGGUCAUACAAUUUUUUUGCAAUAUGUCUAAAAGAUCUAUAAAUGCAUUAACAAACGAUGUUGUAAAGCAGAAACAAAACAAUGACAAUGAAUAUAAUCUCUUUGUCAAUUAUGGUCACCAACCAAAAAGAGUGUGUAGAGCCAGUUAUAUUCAAAAUUCUCUAAUCGUUGCAAUUUAUUAAUUUCAUCUACAGUCACUUUUAUUUUAAGAUAUUAAACUAUUAUUUCAAUCCUGCAAUCACUUUGUUUACAUAAUCAAUUAGUUGCAGAUCAAUAUAUUCAAUAUCUACCUAUACUCUGUCUCUAAUGCUUUUACACAAUUGAUUGGAAAUUUGACUUUCCUCUUCUACCAUUUUUUGCCUUUAUCAAACCUAAAUUCAAAAUCUAUUACCCUACAAUUUAAGCACUUUUACAAAGUUAUCAAUGCAUUUAUUCGUUAAACUUUAAACACUAUUCAAAGGUUAUCCAUGUACUCAUUACACUAGAUUCAACUUUGAUGAUUUUUCAAACAUAAUUAUCUAAAUAAUUUUUAAUCUUGCAGCAACGCACGAACAUUACUAUCUAGUAUUAUGUUAAUUAUCGGCCAAAUUUGAUUUGGCACAUAUUACUGAAUUUAACAUUUGAAUUUAGUUUUGAUUUGUUUGUAUAGAGUAGAAGUUGUCCGGUAGCACCCUCAGGGCACUUCCUCGCAUAGAGGAGGAGGUGGGAUAUUCAUUCUUAAUUUCACCUUUAUUUGUUAAAGCCCUCAACUAGGAUAUAUUGUUACCUUUUCUUCCGUUUGAAUGCAAACAAUUUCAACGCCGAAUAUGCUUGAGCAAUUUUGUCUUUUUAUUUUUUAUGGUUUUUUUGUUUGAUCUUUGAUGAUUUUUUUCUUUUAAUUUGAAAGAAAAUUUUAAUGUAGUAGCAUUAUCAAAUACUUGUUAGGUGACUAGUCUCUGUCUCUCCAAAUUUUUAAUUUUUGUCCUCAGCUGGUGUGUUUGUAACUUUAUGCACAUACUCAACAAGAACUGGUACAAUUUCAAUUUUUCUGUACUAAAUCUGAUCUAGUCUCAAAUGCAAGAGUAUUUCAGAUUCUCUUUCUGCUCUCUGUAAUCAAAUACUCUCGCUUCGAUUGCUUCAUUCUCUUCUCUAACAGAUAGAGGGAUGGAGUUGAUUGGGUUCUUUCAAGUUUUCAACAUCGUCGUCAUCGCCAUCGGGACUCUGUUGUACAUGUACUGCAGAUCAUUGACGUUUUCUUCCUCGACUUCUUCUUCUGGUGCUGCUGAUGCUGCUGUUGAUGAUAACGAUGAUGGUGUUGAUAAGCCCCCUCGUCGAGAAAAGUAUGAUGUGUUUAUUAGUUUCAGAGGUGAGGACACCCGCCUUACUUUUACCAGCCAUCUUCAUAAAGCUUUGGAAAGGAAGAAAAUCGAAACCUACAUAGACUACAGGCUGAAUAAAGGAGACGAAAUUGAACCCGCCCUACUAGAAGCAAUAGAGAAAUCAAGGCUUUCGGUGAUCAUUUUCUCCAAAAACUAUGCGUCUUCCACAUGGUGCUUGAAGGAACUUGUGCAUAUACUCAAAUGCAAGAAAAAAGACCAGAUGGUUGUACCCAUUUUUUACGACAUCAGUCCAUCAGAUGUGCGAAAACAAAAGGGGAGUUAUGCAGAUGCAUUUGCUCAACUUGAAAAUCGUGAGGACUCCAAGGAUAAGGUGAUCGGUUGGAAAGCUGCUUUGGCGGAAGCAACCGGUUUAUCUGGGUUUGAUUUUUCAAACAAAAAAGGGUAACGUACUUUGCAACUUGGUGUCAAUUUCUAUUUGUGACUAUUUCUUUUCAAUUUUUAUUUUUUUAUUUUUAUAGGAAUGGAUAUUGAUUAGAUAGACUUUAACUAGCAGGGUACCGCGCGAUGUUGUGGGUUACAACAAAAGUUGGAUAAAAUAUAAAAUCCACUAAUAUGGUAAAUAUUUUGAAAAUAUUGCUACAACCAUUUGUAUCCAACAAAGUGCUUAAAAGAUUCAAAUUUACGAACAAAGCAUAAUCUUCCAAACCAAUACAUAUCUCAAAUAUGGGAGUCUCAAAACCUUUUUCAUUUCUUUCCCUCCAAAGAAAGCUUUUGUUAGGACAGAACACAUUACUCGUGCUUAACACUCAAAACACCUAACAAAAACUCAUCUUUCUCCACCUGAAAAGGAGCUGAGAGACCUGGAAAGCUUCUGCCAAGCAGCUCAAGCAAACAACUAUUUUGAUAUCUAUCUGACCAAAGUGCAGUGACCAUGAAAAUAUUGCUUUCAGGGAAAUUAGGCAGAUUGUAACUUAUCCAUAGUCAAUGCAAAUAUAAUACUAUUUGAUAAAAUUCUGAUGUAACUUAUCCAUGGUCAAUACAAAUAUAAUGCUAUUUGAUAAAAUUCUAAACCAUGACCGAUUCAUCAAAUUAUCUUAUACACCAAGAAAAAUUUACACUUUGUUUCCCUCCAAUGCUUCAUUAUACUAGUACUAUAGACAUUGUGUAUACCCCAUACAAAAUCAUCUUUUUUUUUUGGGAAAUGAAUCGCCACAUCAUCAAGCAAACUGUUAUUCAAAUGAAAAAAAACAGUUUACCCUAUUUUUUUCCCCUCCAAUGCUUCAUUAUACUAAUCCUAUAGCCCUUGACACCUUAUACUAAUCCUAUAACAAACAGUGUCAGAAGUGUUUCGUUAAAACUCCCUUAUACUAAUCCUAUAGCCCUUGUGUAUACCUUACUGAAAACCAAUCAUCUUUGUUUUUUUUUUGAGAAAUGAAUCGCCACACCAUCAAUCAAACUGUUAUUCAAAUGAAAAAACUACCCAAUACUUAAUAGCAAAACCGUAAACCAUACCCAAUAAAAUCAUUAACUAAACCAACGCCAUAUUCAACAAUUCAUCAAAAACACCAUCAAAUUAAAUACCCUUAAACCACAAAAUUCAAAAGAACAGACUAUAUAAUUAGUGAGUGCAGACUUUCCGGGAGUCGGGACACCAAUUAAACCCAACAGACAACGCCUUUCGUCCUCCGCCUUAACCAUUUCCUCCUCAUCCCCUGAUUCCUCAUCAUCUGCAAGCUUCAAUGCCUCCUCUAGAAGCGCCUUAGUGAUAACCAAGUUAAUAGGUAUAAGUUCAAACUUGUAAUUCAUAUGACUUUUUUCGGUAAACAAACAAAUGGAUGUGCGAAUUAGCCCAGAUCUAGAACAAUUAAUAGCGAAAUGAACAGACCCAAAAGCUGAAUUGAGCUAAGAAUGCAUGAAACUUUGAGAUUGAGCAGGGUGGAGUGGUGGGUUUUACCUUGUUCGCAUACAGAAGGACUAAAUCUCCUUCCUUCAUGAACGAAUCUUGAUCUACAGUUGAAAAUUUCACUGCUUUCGCUGCUGCUACUGAAUCGGCUUAUAUUCAUGCUAAUUCCUCAUUCUUCUAAUCUCAAUCUUGGUUUUGAAAUUGGUUCCAUGGCACAUAAAAGGGAACAAAAAUAAGAGACAUUGAUGUCAAGAGAAAUUUUUAAUUAUGAAUUUUUUAAGUUAUUAACUUUUUAUCACAUAUAUUUCACAAUUUAUAUAAUAAAACGUGGUACCAUAUACCGGUUAUGCUGAAAAAUCUCGGAAGCGACACUGGAAGAAAGCAAUAUCAGAUGACCCACACGUCGGCAAAAUCGAUAACCAGCGGGGCCAAAGGGCAUAUUAGUAAUUUUACUGCGCAAAAUGAAAAAUAAAAAGAAAAUUAAACUGUGAAACAGAGGCAAAAACGUCAAUACACUGUGCGUGUACAUUGUUUUUAAAUUGGGUUUUAGUAAAAAUUAAUUUCUAUUUAUGACUAUCCGAUUUAAACAAUUCUUACUAUAUAUUGCUUGUCAUUCAUAUUCAUAUUUUCCAGGACGGAUGCUGAUUUCAUUGAAGAAGUUGUGAAAGAUAUUUCAACUAAAUUGAAACGUGAAACCGCCGCAUAUGAUUUAAAGGGCUUGGUUGGAAUGACAAGCCGCAUCGAGCAAGUUGAAUCAUUAUUAAGCAUUGAUGGUUCGGUAAAUGUUCUCACUGUAGGCAUUUGGGGUAUGGGAGGUAUUGGAAAGACCACCCUUGCCAAGGCUCUGUUCAAGGGACUCUCUUCUCACUUCGAAGCUUCUUGUUUUCUUUACAAUGUUAGGGAGAAAUCAGAGCAAAAAGAUGGAAUCGAUCAAUUGCAAAAGACACUUCUUAGAGAGAUCUUAAAGGAAGAAAAUCUCUCCGUAGAUUUGACUUUUGUUCGAGAAAGGCUCAGCCGUACAAAGGUUCUCAUUGUUUUUGAUGAUGUUACUGACCCAAGGCAAAUAAAAGAUGUAGCUGCGGAUAAUCUUCUGUACGGCAAUGGAAGUAGAAUCAUUGUAACAAGUAGAGAAAGGAGCGUACUCUUGAAAGCUGUUAGUGAUGAAAAAUAUAUAUAUGAGGUUGAGAAAUUAAAAACUGAUGACGCUCUUCGACUCUUUCAACUUCAUGCUUUCAAUGAUAACUCUCCUAGAGAAGAGUAUACAGACUUGUCAAAAAGGGUGGUAGAAUAUGCUGGAGGCAUUCCACUGGCUCUUGAAAUUUUGGGUUCCUUAUUCUUUCCAUGUAAGAGCAUAGACGAGUGCGAAGAUGUAUUGAGAAAACUGAAAAAUUAUCCCAAUGCAGAAAUUCAAUAUACGUUCAGAGUAAGCUAUAAUAGAUUAGAAAGAGAUCAGCAGGAGAUAUUUCUUGAUAUAGCAUGCUUUUAUAAAGGGUGUCAUAUUGAAUAUGUAAAAAAAAUGGCAAAUUUUGGCCAAAAGCAUGGUGAUUUUUGUGCGGCAGAUGGAAUUAGAGUUCUCUGUGAUAGGUCUCUCAUAUCGAUUGAUUCAGAACAAAAAACCAUAGAUAUGCAUGAUUUGGUACAAGAAACAGGUAGGGCAAUUGUUCUCGAACAAUGUAUUGAAGAGCCUGGAAGACGGAGUAGGUUGUUCAUUGCUGAGGAUGUCUAUCAUGUAUUGGAAAAAAACACGGUAAGAGCCACAAGUGCAUUCACUUUUCCUUUUAAACAAUAAAGAAAAGAAAGAGAUGAAUAAGACACCGUGUACUUCCUAUGAGAAGACAGCUAGAGAAAACUCAAUUACAAUAAAUAAGUCAUAUUCCUACAAAUGUAGUUUUGAUUAAAUUUUGUUGCAUGUUAAUGUGUUCACAUUUAUGCUUUGUUGUUUAUUAUCAGGGUACGGAAAAGGUUCAAGCCAUAUUCUUUAACGAGUCCAGCACUGGAAAGAAAAACUUGGAUCGUGCAGACUUCAAAAAAAUGUAUAAUCUGAGACUGCUCAAUGUUGAUAAUUCUAUGUGGCAAAAUGCUGACAGUUCUAGAGAGUACUGCAAAUUGAACCUGUCUCUCUCUCUUCCCAAUUCUCUUCGUUAUCUUUCCUGGAAGGGAUAUCCUUUGAAAUCUUUGUCCCCAAAAUUUUCUCCUGAAAAUCUUGUUGAGCUUCAUAUGCCGGGCAGCCAAGUCACACAACUUUGGAAUGAAGGCCAGGUAUAUGUGUUUAUUAUAGAUUUUGUGAAAGAUACUAGUAGUGUAGAACUUAUUUAGACUAAGUUGUUAAUUCUUACCGUUUCUCUUUAAUUUGUUACAGAAACUUAUGAACUUAAAAGUGAUCAAACUUCGUUAUUCCAAAUGUCUAACUGCACUUCCAAACCUCUUGGAGAGUCCAAAUAUUGAGCACAUAGAUCUUUGCGGAUGUGAAAGUUUGGUUGAAAUCCCUUCGUAUUUUAAAGAUCUUGACAAGCUUACUUAUCUUGAUCUUUCGUGGUGCAAGAGUCUCGAGUAUCUUCCAGACAUGCCAGGCAACAUUGAAUUCUUAAGUUUAAGCGGCAGUGGCAUAAAGGGACUUGAUCUCACUGGUUGCACUAGAUUUUACAAAUUCCCUGAAAUAUUGGAGCCAAUGGAACACCUGAAGUUUCUUCGUUUAGAAGGGACAGCAGUUGAAGAGCUUCCCCAGUCUGUUGGAAAUCUAGUUGGCCUUCAAACAUUAGAUCUUGGUCGGUGCGAGAAACUCAAAGUUGUCCCAAGUAGCAUCUACAACUUAAGAAAUCUUAAAACUCUCAGCUUUAAUGGCUGUUGGAAACUUCAAAAUUUUCCUCAACCGACUGGCUCAGUUGGUUUGCUUUCUCUUGAAGUACUAGACCUCGGUGAAAGCGGAAUUUUACAAAUCCCUGAGGAUCUCAUUUGCUUAACAUCAUUAUUGGGUAUUAAUCUGAAUGGAACCAAAAUUCGGAGCGUACCCUCAACCAUCAAACAAGCUUCUCAGCUGUCUUGCCUCUUCUUAAUCGAGUGCACGAGCCUUGAAUCUUUACCAGAGCUCCCAGUGCUAAGUCGUCUUCAAGCAGAUGGGUGCAAGUCACUGAUGACAGUGUCAAGUUCAAUGACUGCAAUUACGCAAUGUUGGAAUAGAUAUCAAUUGCUUGAAGAGCAACUUCUCUUUUAUAAUUGCGGAAGGUUGGGUAAUGAUGCUGAUGCAAGAAGCAGCAUAAUGGUUGAGGCACAGCUUAGAAUCAUGCGAGUGGCAACUGCGUCUUCAAAGUUAAAAGAAAAGGAAGAUUACGUAUGUCUCUCUCUCUCUCUCUUUCUCUCUCUCUCUCUCUCUCUCUCUCUGUGUUAAGUAACAUGAUGUCAAUUGAUGUUGCAGCAAAAGUUUUCUGAGCCCUUAGUUACAAUUGUAUGUCCGGGAUAUGAAAUUCCAAAUUGGUUCGUACAUCAAAAUAAGGGGGCUUCGAUAAAUGUCAAGCUUCCAGCAAACUGGUUUCGAAAAGGUUUCUUGGGAUUCGCUCUAUCUGUUGUGGCAUCCGGACACCAAGAUAAAUCGGGAAAAGUCGCAUCCGGACGUCAAGAUCAACCAGGUAUGCAGUUUGAGUGCAAGUACAAUUUCAAAACUGAAGAGGGUCAAAGUCAUGGAAUCGAUUGUCCUGUCUUUGUCCCGUGCAAGGGUGGAAAUGGUGAUGGUUGCAAUUUAGAUUCAAAGCACGUGUUCGUAUUGUAUAAAGACCUUGAAUAUGAAGAGGGAGUAAAAUGGUCAUCGGAUUUUUACUGCCGUUUCACUGAGGUCUCUGUUCACUUCGAAACGAAACCUUUCCAGUACAACUAUACGGUGGAAAAUUGUGGAAUAUGCCUGUUAUAUGCCGAAGAUGCUGAGAAAUUAAAAUUUGAUGUCAUUUCGCGACAAUAACAAGUUAAGUCUGCAGCAAGUGGGAGUGUUGAUCCUGAAGCCAGUGGAAACAACUAAUCUGAGGAAGCAAGUGGAAGAGAUGGCUCUUGAUGAAGAAAGUGGAAGGGAUGAAUCUGAGUAAGCAAGUGGAAGCGAUGAGUCAGAGGACGAAAGUGGAAGCUCUGAAGCAAUGGAAGCUGCUAGGGAGUUGCCCUCUUAAUCGUCUGAGUUCUUUGUAACCACUUUUUGUUCUGCAAUUUAUUUGUACUUUAUUUUGUUACAAGUUCUUUUUAACCACUUUCCGUUAUGUAAUUCAUUUGUCGUUUAUGUUAUAAAUAAUCUACGAUGGUUAUGAGGACAGUUCAUGUAUAAAUAUUGUACUCUAUGUACAUUUGAGUGUUAAGGAAAAUCACUUUUCUACAUGGUAUCAUCUUUUCUUGCCUAAGUUUCGAUCUUGGAAUCCCUAGUGCUUUCCCUCAUGGCUGCUUCAAUAGAAUUUUGCGGCUUAAUUUUCAUGUAUUGCAUAAUUGGGAAUAUAAUACAUACAAUCCUUGUUCUCCAAGAUAAACCAAAAAAGGACAUAAGAAAAAUCCUUCCUAAUAAAGGUCGUACCCAGUGCACAAGGCUCCCGCUUUACGCAGGGUCUGGGAGAGGUGAAUGUCGGCUAGCCUUACCCCCAUUUAUGGAGAGGCUGCUCCCAAGUCUCGAACCCGAGACCUACCGCUCAUGGGCGAAGGCACUUGCCAUCGCACCAAGUGCGACCUAAUAUUUACACAAUAUUUACAUUCCUAUUCUAAAACCAACUCACGCAACAGCUUCUUCCUCUUAUUCUCUUCCUCCUACUCCAAACAUUGCCACCCUUGUUUCUGUCAAACUAACAGAUACCAACUACCUUCUAUGGGAAGGUCACUUCAAACCUUUACUUCGUGUGACUUUUACGGAACCUGUUCUCUCUCAGAUUGAUGGUCUUGCCACAUCCCAAGCUAUUUGGGUAUGUCUGGAGCAAAACUUUUCUCCAAUGUUCUCCGGAUUCGUCUAUUCUUGUUGCUUAAUGGGAUGCCGAUCGGGCAAGGUGUCUCGACACUUGUCAAUCCACUAUUGGCUACUGUGUUUUCUUGGGUCCUAACCUCAUUUCCUGGAGUGCUAAGAAACAACGUACUAUCUCCCGCUCUAGUGCUGAGGCCGAAUAUCGUGCUCUUGCAUAUACUUCUUUCAUAUCGGUUUCAUUGGCUCAUUUCCAAACUUGUCUACUCACAGGCAUCAAGUUUGUCGGGGAAGUGUUAGGGAGUUACCCUCUUAAUCAUCUAUUGAAUGAGUUUUUUGAAACCAAUUUCCGUUAUGCAAUUUAUUUGUACUUUAUUUUGUUAUAAGUUCUUUGUAACCACUUUCCGUUGUGUAAUUCAUUUGUCAUUUAUGUUGCAAGUAGUCAAGGAUGGUUAUGACGACAAUUCAUGUAUAAAUAUUGUACUUGGGUACAUUCAAUUGUUAAGGAAAAUCACUUUUCCUACAGAAGCGAUAAGUCGUUUGAGGAAGCAAGCGGAAGCGACGAGUCAGAGCAAGCAAGUGGAAGUGAUGAGUCUGUUGCUGGUUCAGGCCUCUCCUUGUUUUUAACUUCAAUCUAAAAAAUAAUUAAAGAUAAAAAAUCGAGUUCACCCAGUAUUCAACCACAAUUCCACAAUACAAGGUACAAUAUAUGGUACAUAGUUGAAAUUGACAAUUGAACUUCUAUGUAAGUACUAGCAAUUGAGCCUGCACAAUGUCACAAGUUUUAAAACUCUUUUAAAUGUGUGAAAUAUAUUAAAAUUUGUCUACAUCUAUCUCAAAAUCUAUUUACAUCGUAAUGUUCAUAAGAAACAAAAUAUAGGUAUAGGAUAUACAAGAAUUCAUGUCAGCGCGCUGCGGUGGGUUUGAAAAUUUCUCAUGUAAUUAACAAAUACAAAUAAAAAGAGGCAAGCAAAAGAGUCCAUGAAUUUCCAUAUUGCGUACCAAGUUGGCAAGAGUGGAGGAAUAUCUUUCUUAAGUCCAUGAAUUUCCAUAUUACGUAUCAAGAAAGAGAUUCCUCCGCUCUCAAUGUACCAGCUCAAAAGAAAGAGAUUCCUUCACUCUCAAUAUGGUUUAUCGUCUGCAAAUGCAAUAAAAGAAUCAGAAACAUUGCGAAACUGCCAAUUGUUGCAUGGCCCAAAUAUUUAUUUGAGACAGAAGAUAAGGUAACAUGUAGUCCUGAGUUGACAAAUAUGUAAUUGGUAAGUCAAAGAAUUUUCUUAUUCGAAUAAUGAAACUAAUUUUACGUCAUUUUAAGUAUUAAGAGAUUGGGUGCCUACUAAUUUAACAUAAAACUCAAAUCCACAUUAGGCUUACUUUCUUAUUCGAACCGAAAAACACAAUGAAAGAAGAAGUAAUAAUAACAUCGGUUCUAGAUAUAUUCGUCAUGUAAGAGUUCAUUCAUGUUACGAGUUCACUCAUCAGAGUUCAUUCAUUAGCUAAAAAAUGAAAUUUCAGAUUGACCCGUUACACAGUAGUCAUCCUCAUCAACGUAGAUGUCAUUCCCAUUUCACUCACUUUCCUCUUCUUAGUAGAUCUCCCGAACAUUUUUGUACCUAUAGUUUAAGGAAAGAAUUCUAACCCGCACAGAAUCGGGUCCCAAACAUACCCUUAAUUAUUGUAUUAGUUUCUUUCAUUAAGAAAUACCAACUGAAGUGGAAUUAUUGGGUUCUGUUUUCACUAUUUUCUGAUUACACUUCUUAAUUCAUUUCCUAUUUUCUAGUCAGAUUCCUAAUCUAAAAUCCGACUUUUAUGAUUGAGAAGUGAAUCUGACCACAAUACCACUUUGUCAAAUGGCAUAUUCAACAUGCAGAUAUAAGUUCUAUUCAAGUUUAUAACAAAUUCAUAUGAACAUUUCCAAGUAAUUCAUACAUAAUUAACUUCAAAAUAAACAUUUUUUUUAGCAAAUUGGGCUAAAACACCUGCUCUACAAAAAAAUUCUUUAAAUACUGAUUUCAAGCAAUUCAGUAACUAAAUGCUUAACUUAGAAAAAUACUCAAAUUUCAGCAAUUAGAUUUCUAACAUAACUUAAACAUUACAAAUUUAACUAAUUACAUUCAUCCAGAAUAUAGAUUUUCACAUAAUUUCAAAAGGUUCUCUCUUAAUCACACAAUUUGAAGAAACAAAAAAACCAAAUACAUACACGAUCACAAAGCUUAAUAACAGAACAGAAAUUUUAGACAUGCCAUCAGCCCAACCAAUAGACCUUCCCAGAAUCUGAAAAGCGUUUCUAUAAAUCCUGAUCUCAAGGCAACCCAAAAGCUGAAUUCUUAGCUUAAAUAAAGAUGCAAAAUUUUACUUUUUGGAAAUGCCAUUACCUGAAAGCUUAAGCAAAACCCAUGAAUCCAACCGCGCAAAAAAAAUGCAAACUUUCUCAUUGGCAGAUCAUUCAUAACCCAAAAAUCAUAUCUUAAGCAAAACUCAUGAAUCCAACUUUAAAAGGCCCAAUUCUAAACCCACCAAGAGAAAUAAAAUAUCAAAAACAGUUCAUCGUCUCUCUUUGCAUUUUAAAUCAUAUGGUCUUGUGUUUACUCGAAUGAAAAAAAAAAAGUAAACACAGAACUUAUGAUAAAAAUUCAAAUAGGCUAGAAGCCAGCAAGCGAAUGAAUUUAUAAAUUAGAUAUACUGCCACAGAAAUAAUGACCUUGGUAUUUCACAAACUUUGCAUAAGCUGAUCCUGAAGGCACAAUUUGAAGCACCAGUCUUGAAAACUGCAAAUAACCAACAACUUGUUAGAGCGGUAAAAACUCUAUAUAUAAUGCCUGGUUUUGACACUGUAAAAAAUAAUAUAAAAACAGAGCGAUCAAUUUUCAUCAGUAAACAUACCCAUAACCGUAAUGUCAGCCCAAUACUUCUUCAGCAAAGCAUCAACAUUAGCUAUAGCCUGUAAAAAUAAAAUAAAAAUCAAACUUUUUACCUGGAUCAUCACACAAUGGCAACUACAAAAAAUACCCAGAUAAAAACUGAAUGAAAAAAAUUACCUGUCUCAUGCCCUCGGAGUGAUAGGGUUCCCAUCGGUGAUGAGCAACAGAAGCAUGAUAUACAACGACCCAACGCCGAAUUAUCAUCCAAUCAUAUUUUACACAGGUAAUAAAUAUUUUAUAUCUAUACAUAUAAAAAAAAUUCAACUGACAACAGCACCACAUCCAAUUUGAAUCUAUAAUGCUAUGAUAAAGAACGAAGUAAGAGUUAGUUACUAGAAACCCAGAUUCUAUUGGUGUCAUUACCCAAUCUUGUAUUCGAUCAUAUACCAAGAUAUUGAAGCUAACAUUUUUAAUCUAAAAGCCUAGAAAUCAUAAGAAAAACAAAUGUUGAACUCACAGUAAUCUCAGCCAGCAAUGACCUCUGUAUCCCCAAAAAAUUAUAAAUUAAUACAUAGUCCAUACUCCAUACUCCAUACUCCAUACUCCAUACACAAACCAAAAAAUAAAAAAAUAAAAUAAAAUAAAAUAAAAUCUUUUUCAAUCAUUUUCUCAUCAACCAAAUUGAGCACAAGAUUGGGAAAUGAUUAAUCACCUGUAUGGGGAACUUCAUGGCCAACAAAGCCUGACACGAUCUCCCAUAAUUUCCUCAUAAUUCAUUUUUCUCAUAAUUUAUUGGAAAAAUGCAGAAUUUGGAUGGUUGUGGUCCUUACAUACAUGUCGAGCCAAAAAUAAUCACAAGGCGACACGUGGAUUUUUGGACAAAAGAGGGCAAAAAUACUCUUAAAGUACAACGGGAUUCCUAUUCGCAAGUCAUUCUUCAACCAAAUAAAAAAUGCCCAAAAUAGAUAACAAAUUCAAAAUUAUUUCAUCCAUCCUCAUCCUAUAUUUUCUACAAGGUAAUCAUUCCAUAACUUACAAAAUAUUUCACAUAAAUCACAUAACCCCCAAAAUAUUUAUUCCUAAAAUGUGUUGAUUAACCAAUUAAUGGAUUAAUUGCCUAAUUAAUCCAUUAUAUCACACAUUAAACCAUAAGUUAUACCCUCUCCUAUAAAAACCCUAUUUUCUUCUCCAAAAGGCACUUCCAACGCUCUUGAAAAACUCUCUAAACAUUUUUCUCUCUAAAUUCUAACUUUGACAUCGGAGGUUCUUCGGCUAAACAUUUUUACGCUCUUGAAAAACUCUCUAAACAUUUUUCCCCCUUCCCUUUCUUCGACGACCGACACGUGCACAAUAGGGGCAAACGCAUAGAAUUCCAUCUUCUACCAAAUAUUCAGCUCGCGGAAAUAGAAAAGGUGAGAAAAAUGAAAAUAUUGAAUUCAACUCACACAAAACCAAAAAGGAAGACAGACAGAUUGCAGACCCUUUCCAUUUGGCAAGUAAUGCCAAUUAUACUAGAAGUAUGCCUAACUUACAAAAGCCUAAAAUCCUAGAAAAACAGGAGUAGAGGAAAUGGGCUCAAUACAAAAAUUUACCAAAUAAGAAUGAUGAAUCCGUUAAAGUAGGAAAGUUUAGGCAUUCACCAAUAUUCCCACUUGAACAACAUUGAAUUUAGCAUUCGUCUUCAGAUGUCAUCUAGAUCCAUUCGUGGAGAGUGAGUGAGGGCUUAAUAAUCAAAACCAUGUCUUUUACUGCUAAAUUAUACGUAAGAAUCGUUAGAAAAAAGGCAAAGUGAAAAAAAUAAAGGAAUUGAAGAACUUAACGUAGAAACUCUAAAACAAACCCAAGUAACCCACAUGCCAAUCCAACCAAAAUCAAAUCGAAUACCUUUCAAGCUUCAUAUUACAAAUUAUCAACAAACCAUCAAAAGGAAAACCAAUUCAACCCACAUUCCAAUUCAACCAAAAUUCAACAACUUUGCCCGAAAUUAGAUCAACAAAAAGAGAAAUAGGGGAAAACCCACAUGCAAUAGGAGAGAAAUAGAGAGAGAUUUUAACUAACUUACCACUGUGUUGGAACUUCGAAAACACGAACUCUAGCACCAGUUCCUCUUACGCUAUUGACAAUGAAGUUGUGGUUCAAAGAAUCACAAUCAAUCAAGCCUACUUGUAAAGAAAAACAAAAUUUAGAAGGCAUUUGUUUAAGUAAAGAUGCAAACCUUCCCCUUUUUGACAUGAAUAAUAAAAGAGUUUGCGACAAAACCCAUUCCGAAAACUAUAGCAGCAUGUUCCUUUCUGCUUUUCCCUUUUACUGACUUCCAUAAUUAUCCCCGUAUGCACCAAAGAAACAUAAAAUGACAACCAAUGUGAUAGGUUACAAUAUCUGAACUCACUAUUCUAUUGCAGGCAAGGCAAGAAUGUUUACCAGCUUGGCUUCCUGCACCUUGACAACACGCAGAGAAAUUAAAUAUUUCUGUUCGGGCAAGAAAUUUGGCUAGUGAGCGAUCCUGGCUCGAGCACACAGCUCCCCGAGGAGUUAGCACUUUGGUUGAUUGUCGGGCUCCUGCUUGUCACGAUGCUGCAAGAGAAGAACAAAGUUAGUUCUAAAAGGCGCCUUUGUGGGGCCUUAGGUGUAGGCCUUGAGGCUUGCAAUCAAAACCAACUAAGUGAUUAGGCAUGCCACUGCCAUCUCUAUAAGGCAGAUGUAGAACAAGUGUGUUUUAAGCCGAUUACUUGCGCCCCAAGUUAUUUCUGACUUCUUGUUUAUCAAAGGAUUGUUGUAGAUGAGUUAAAUCUACAUUAAGUUCUUUUCUAUGCCUUGAGAUCAAGGAUUUUUAGUUAUCUUGUAUGUUUAAGGGAUGAAGGUCCAGAUCUGAUCAAGUCAUCAGUUUAACUGAUUUCAAUUUUCUUAUGACGAUUAAAUCAUUAAGUGAACUAGAUCUGAGAACUAAUGGGGGUUUGAGUCAUCAAAAGACUGGAAACAACUUGAAUAUAAACUGGGGAAUGCAUUAUAACACCAGAUCUAUUAAUUGAAAGACAAAACAAAGAGGGUCGGGUAAGAUUUUACCUUGUCGGGCAAGGUUAAAUGUCUUGUGGUCUUUUUUCUUUGUAGUUUCAAAAGGAUUGAGUACUAUAAGGGAUGACUGGAAAAGAGUUUAUACAAGAAAGAUCGACACUACAACAUUUAGGAAAAGGUAGCAGAGCUUUUACAUAGACAAAAAAUGCCUUUCUAAGGAAAUAUAAGGCUAAAAGGGUGCAGAGUCUGGACAAAGCACAACUUUCUGGGUGUUUGCUUGGCUGAGAGACAAGUUGUAUGUUUGUUUGUUUGAUUGGUUGAGUGUCCUUUUCUUUUGGCCCUCUUCCUCCUUUUAUAGACGAAUUAACUUGAUUUAUGCUGUUUCUGUUCUUGCCCGAAAGUAAUUGGAGGGUAGGGAACCAUCAAUAUUUUACAUGCUAUGCCAUUCAUAAAGUGCUUUUGGGCUGAGAGUUGAUGGAUUUCCAUUGGUUGUCACUUCUUUUGUAAGCACCUAAUCUUUGCAUUUAAUGGGGAGCCAUCAUGUUGUCUCGAAGUGGAUACCUAGGCUUGGUGCUGGGCUUCGAGCAAAAACUCUUCUCAUUGAACUCUUUUGGGCUUUCUCUCAUUUAAGCCCAAAGUUAAAUAUUAACCCAAACAGUGCCCCAUUCAAUCGUUGUUAAGCCUGCAAACCGAGGCGUUAAUAAUGAUUGAAUAGCCGUCUUCCAUUAACCCCUGCCGCGCAAAUGAAGAGGGUUUUAUAGCGAAGAAACUAGUGAUGGUUCAUGCAGCUUUAAGUACUUUUGCUAUAAAACCGCGACUCCAUUGGCCAAACAAAUUGGUCGGGCUUCGGGAUGAAGGUGUAAAAGAUUUGAAGGGGUUGCGACAGCAAAUGGAAGUUGGAUACGCUGAAACAUUUUCAGUCAAUAAUCACAAUGUUUAAGAAGAGUCGGACAAAAAUGUAGGCCCCCCAUUCUAGGAUAACUGCCUGAGUUAGGGAUGUAAAGCCUUCAAGUUAAAUCUGAUGUAACUUUCAACAUUUGCUGAAAUGAACAAGAUUUCUUUAAACUAUUUUGUUCUUGCAUUUUCUCUGAGAUCCAUAGGCAAAAACUGACUUUAGACCCCAUGCGACGCUUACACUUCUUCUUCAAUGUAGCAGUCCCUCACAUCCCACAGGGUUGGGUGAUAUUUUUUCAAGAAUUUGACAUUGAUUGGAUGCUUCUGUAAGCCUCCCUCCAAAUCUGCUAAGUAAUAUCCACCCUUACCCAAUACUUGGUUAAUAAUGAAAGGACCUUCCCAAGUCGGGCUCCAUUUUCCAAAGCCUCUGAUCUGAGCUUCCAAAGGAAGAAUUGCCUUCCAUACUAACUCUCAUUCUUUGAAGUUCUUCAACUUAACCUUUUUGUUGUAGGCCCAGGCAACAACUUUCUUGCCUUCUUGAAUUUUAUUUAGAGCUCUUCACUGUGUAGCCCGAAUUGAUUUUGAAUUUUGAUCGAAUUUACAUUAAUUUCCAUGGGAAUCACAACAUCUUGCCCGAAAGUCAGAGCAUAAGGAGUAGUUCCAGUUGUUGCCCUUUUGGAAGUUUUAUACGCCCAUAACUUUUCUCCCAACUUCUCAUACCAUUUCUCUGGAUUCCUGACUACCAUUCUUUUAAUAAUGCCUACCAAGAUCUUAUUGCUGGCUUCAGCUUGACCGUUCGAUUGGGGGUAGUAAGGACUAGACUGGAUCAUCUUUAUCUUGAACUUUCUGGAAAAUUCUUCUACUUCUUUCGAAAUAAAAGAUGACCCGCAUUCUGUGACAAUUGUCUCGGGCACCCCAAAUAUAUGUAAGAUCUUGGUUUCGAUGAAUUUCUUGACCGUAGUUGAAAUGUUAGUUUUUACUGCUAAAGCUUUUGCCCAUUUAGUGAAGUAAUCUGUUGCUACGAUUAUGAACGUGUGCCCUUUGCUAUAAGCUGGGUGAAUCUGCCCAAUGAAGUCCAUUGCCCAUCCUCUAAAAGGUCAAGGCUUAGCCACGAGGUUUAAGGGUACUGAGGGCACAUGUUGGAGUGGUCCAUGUCUCUGGCAUUCUUCACACAUUCGGGCAUAAGCUUUGCAAUCUUUCUCCAUCUCGGGCCAGAAAUAACUGUAUCUCUUAAGUAGCCAUCUCAUCUUUGUUCCUGCCUGAUGUGCUCCACAGAUCCCCUUAUGCACUUCGACCAUUACCCUCAUUUAUUCUUCUUAGCCUAAGCAUUUUAACAUUAGUCCAUCUGAAGUCUUCCUUAGUAGAUUUUCUUCCCACAAAACGUACUUAGUUGCUUGCUCUCUAUUCUUUUUACUUGUGGGGAAGGAUGGGUCAUUUAAAUAUCGAAGAACAUGUGUCUUCCAAUCUUCAAUCUCCAAUUCUUCAAUCAUUACAUCUAGGCUGAAUCCCCUUUCCAAGAUGGAAGGGAGAUUUCUUCUUUGGACCUAUAUGUCCCCUUCAAACUUUCUCUCUUGGAUCUGUACUCUAGAGGCCAAUUAUGCCAUCUCGUUGGCAAUCGCAUUUGCUUCUCUAAGGAUGUAGUUGGCUGAUAUUUUAGUGCCCCAAUAGCUUAACAAUUGGGUGGCCACUAAGUAAUAAUCAGCUAUAGUGAUGUGUCUGCAUUUGUACUCUUCAUUCAACUGAUUGAUCACCAACUCUGAGUCACCGAAUACUUCAACUUCAGUUGCCCCCAAUUCUAUCAAGAUCUUUAGGCCAAUUAUCAAGGCCUUAUAUUCUACCCAAUUGUUAGUAGUUUCUUGAUAAUCCAGGAGGAAAAAAUAACAAUGGUGAGUACCUUUAGGAUCGAUAAUAGGGAUCCCAGCUCCAGCAACAUUUUGGGUACAAGAUCCAUCAAAAUACAGGUUUCAUGGAGUAACUCAUAGGCUGGAUAUCCUUUUUACCUCCUGCUGGAUCCACUAUUUCUUGCCCGAGAUGGCUUUGCUUGGUGGGAUCCAGAGGUUAGCCACCUCUAGAGUUUCAGGGAUGUUAAUUAUUUCUUUUUGGGACUCUUGGUGCUCGGCCAAAAAGUCUGCAAUUGCCUGCCCCUUGACUGCCUUUUAAGGUACAUACUGAAAACUAAAUUUAGACAGUGCCAGAAUCCACUUUCCAAUUUUUCCUGUCAACAUUGGUUUUGACAGCAUAUAUUUGAUCACGUCGGUCUUGGCAAUGAUGUGGAUGUGGCAAGGCAACAUGUAAUGCCUUAACUUGCAAACACUAAAGUAUAAAGUCAAGCAUAAUUUUUCCACUCGAGUAUAUCUUGUUUCUACCUCAGUAAGGAUCCUAUUGAGGUAAUAUAGGGAUUGUUCCUUUCCACAUUCGUUGUUUUGGGCUAGCAAGCUUCCAAUUGACCUCUUCGAGGCAGAAAUAUAAAGUUUUAACGGCUUUCCCCUCUGAGGUGGCAUGAGCACUGGUGGAAAGGCUAAGUAAGCCUUUAUGCUAUCGAAAGCUUCUUGGUGUGGUAGGCCCCAUUCAAACUCUUCUUUAUCCUUUAGCCUUAGUAGAGGAGUUAGUGGCUGAAUUUGCCAGCUAAAUUGGCAAUGAAUCUCCUCAAGAAGUUAAUUUUUCCUAGUAGCUUUUGUAGUUGCACUUUAUUGGUGGGGGCGAUGUCUCUAUGAUUUCCCAAACUUUGUUCUUGUCAGCAUCCACUCCUCUUUGAUGCACGAGGAAUCCCAAAAAGUUGCUCGAUCUUACUCCAAAAACACAUUUCUUUGGGUUCAUUUUUAGCUUAUGGAUCGUCAUUCUUGUCAAGGCUUGUUUGAGAUCCAUCAAAUGCUGCUAUUCAAUUUUGGAUUUUACCACGAUGUCAUCAAUAUACACUUCCAUACUAUGCCAGAUUAAGUCAUGAAAAAUGGCAUUCAUCGCUCUUUGAUAAGUUGCACCGGCAUUUUUGAGCCCGAAUGACAUUACUAAAUACUCAUAUGCUCCUAUAUGGCCUGGGCACCUAAAAGUUGUUUUAUGUAUAUCUUUUUUAGCCAUUUUUAUCUGAUUAUAUCCAGCAUUCCCAUACAUAAAAGAUAUAACUUUGUGCUUGGACACUGCAUCUAUGGAUAGGUUAGCCAUAGGCAUGGGGUAUUCGUCUUUAGGCGUAGCUCCAUUAAUGUUUCUAUAGUCAACACAACAUCUAACUGCUUUAGUUAAUGCUUUCAAAACAGGUACAAUGUUGGCCAACCACUCAACGUAUUUGGCAGGCCUAAUAAAUACGGCAUUCACCAGCCUUUUGAUCUUUUCCUUGACAUUCUCUUCAAUUUCUUUGGACAUUCUUCGUGGUGCUUGUUUGACAGGUUUAAACCCCUUCUUAAUAGGCAUUUUAUGUUUUACCAAGGUUGGAUCUAAACCUGGCAUCUUGAUGUAAUGCUAAGCGAAACAAUCUUUGAAUUCAUGUAGAAGGUCGACAAUCCUUGCCCAAUCUUCGGUUUCCAACAAACCACUAAUAUGUAUUGGUCUUGGAUCCUCCUUAGUUCCUAAAUCAAUGGUCUCCAAGGGGUUUUGUACUUCUGGGGCUGGUUUGUCUCGUUCUGCACACAAAAACUCAACUAGUUCUGGAUUCUUGGGCAAAUCUUCUGGUCCAUCUAAGUCAUAUAUACACUCAGCUAUUUGGAUGGUCGUUUCUAACUCUUCCCAAAAAGACCUUACUUCUCUGUUCUGGCUACUUGAAGCCCGCUCCUCUGUUUUUCUUCUAAGGCUAAGUUAUCCUUUUCUUGUCUUUUCUCUCUCCCAUACACCAACAGUCUUUUUAUUAAGGACCUGACUGCAACCACUUGGUCUUUCCUAUUCUGUUCUGACAUCAAUGGUGUUGGGGGUUAGGGAUGAUAUUGGGCCGAUCUCAUUCUUCCCUUGUAAGGGGUAACCCUUAUUCUAGAAGCUUUUGGGCCAUCACCUUAGUUGGGAGGCCGUUCUUAUCAGCUUCUGAACACUGAAGAAUCCCAAUACUGGGAUCGUAGAAGUUGGCUUCUGCGAUGUUGGCUAUAGGUAAGAAUGGUCGUGAUUCGGCCUCCACUAUUUCUGAAAACCCAGGUCCCGUUUCCCUUUCUUCAUGGUAGACAACCACUUGUUGAUGCAAAGUAGAUGGCACAAAGAGACUAUGGUGAAUCCAAUAUCUGCCCAGUAAAGCUUCAUAAGUAGAAGUACUGUUUACAACAAAAAAGGCCAGCAUGAUUUGUUUUGAACCCAAAUCGACCUCUAAUGGUAAUAUCCCAUGAGUUCGGGUGAUAGCUCAUGUGAAACUAGAAACUGUAAGAUCCGUAGGAAUAAGAUUUUUCUCGCCUUUGCACAUUUUCUUCAUCUGCUUGUAAGGUAACACAUUAACUGCGGUCCUUCCAUCGAUCAAGACCCUCUUGAAAGGUACCCCUUCCAGGUAAGCAGUUACGUAUAUGGGUUUGAGAUGGUUGGCUAGGGUCAAACUCGAGCGAACAAAAACCAUUUUGUUCGAAUAUAUUUUCUCAGGCUUCCUUCCUGAUUGCUCAGGCGUGCUUGUUUGGUUGGACUCUCAUUGUCCAGUUUUUUCAACAUUAACAUGCGUCAUCAUUGGUUCUGCUGCCAAGUAAUCACCUUCCAUUGUGGGUAGUUGAUCAUGCUCGGCGCGAAACAUAGCUGAUAAAACAUAUGCCAUGUUUACGUGGAAGUUGCUGGGUCCAGGUAAAUCUUUCCCUUGCCCUAAUGUUGUUCAUAAACUCCUCCAACCAAGUCUGUGCUUCGGCAAUUGUUCUGGAACUUCGCAGAUAUUAUCCAUUAACAAUGGUGCGGGCAACCGUCUCUCGGGUGAAAUAGUUCCAAAGGAGAUCGGUUUUGGGCUCCAUUUUGGGGUAGGCAUCAUCAUCAUAUCCUCUUGAGCUCUUCAUUCUUGCUGUUUGCCUUCCUCUUCAUUCUUGUUGUUUGCCUUCUUCACCUCAUUCUUACUCCUCCAAUGAAGCUGAUGUCUUCUUUCAUAAGGAACGUUUUUGAGUUUUACAUUCUUUGAGGUUUCCAAAGUAGUGGGAAGUUUCAAUGAGUUUAUGUGGGCUUUAUGCUGCCUUUGGACCCUCUUGAUCAUGGAGGCUCCCAUCUCUUUAACAGGUCUCCCGUCAUUUCUGAUUAUGUACCAUUUUCACCCAAGUCAGGCAAGAUUUUUCUUUGUGAUCGGGUUCGUGGUCCUUCCUUUUGUUCUUACAUCUCAAUCGGCAUAAACGGGUUGGGAUGGCCUCGCAUCCACCCAUCUUGGUAUCUUGGCCUCCUUAUCCUCUACUUCCUCAGAAGCUUCAUAGUUCCUGAACACUUCUGACAAGUUUUUAGGCUGAGAGUCUUUUCCCAACCUCUGGAAGACAUUCCUAGAGGUUUCCUUCUCAGCUGCCCACAUGAUUUUCAUGUGGUUUUCAUGUUCUUCCUCUUUUCUCCUUUUAAUCAAUUCAUAAUCAAUGACAACUCCAAUUGUUGGUACUUUUAGUUCGCAUUCACCUUGACUCCUGUUGUAUAUCACUACUCCUUUGAUUAUGACAACCUUAGGUUUUUUGGGCAGCUUGAUAGCUCAUUUAGUUGGUCUAUCAACUGGUCUUCUUUCCGCCUUGACCUUCCACGUGGCCUUUCCUUUUCCUUUCUCUGCCCAUGUUAGGUUGAUCAUGCUUAUUGGGGCUUCUAGAAAAUGAUCAGCACCAGUCAUUGUAUCAGUUUGUGGUUAUCCCAAUAUCUAUUUUAUUUCUAGCUCGCAUCUCCCUUUGCUAUCUAAUGAAAAUAACAAGGGAUUAGGCAACUCUGGUCCCCUGACUUUCUUCAACACUGGCUGAUCUACUUCAAAUCUUUCCUUGUUCUUUUCUUUAUUCCUUUUUUCCUUAAGUAAAGGAAAUAGAGGAAUAACUGACUCUUCCAUAGGGCUGGUUUCUUUCUUCGCCUCUUUAACAUAAUCAUUCUCUGGAGUAUGGUACUUUAAAUCCAGCCUUCUUUGCCGAUGUUCUGUUAAGGAACAAAGUCUACUUCCUUCCUCUCUUGUUUGUAGAUAGUUUCUCUUCACGCUCCUUACCACAGCCAUCAAAGAAGUCUGCAAAUUUUCAUUUGUUACCUUUUCUCCUGAUCUCGCAGAAGGGGUCGGGCUUUCCGUCAAGGCAUAUCCUUGCAAGUCUUCGGGGAGAUUUGCAAUGCUAGAUCUUGGUGUGUACCAGGGUGGUUUUUGAUUUGAUUCCCACCUGAGGGUUUGCUCCUUCCUUUAUCUUCUUGGCAUACAAGAUUUGUAGUCCCAUUGGGCGUGCCAAAACUAUGUUCGGGCAAGAAAUCUGGCUGGUGGGCGAUCCUAGCUCGAGCACACAACUCCUUGAGGAGUUGGCACUUUGGUUAAUUGUCGAGCUCUUGCUUGUCGCGAUGCUACAAAAGGAGAACAAAGUUAGUUCUAAAAAUGCCUUUGUGAGGCCUUAGGUGUAAGCCUUGAGGCUCGCAAUCAAAACCAACUAAGUGCUUAGGCGUGCCACUGCCAUCUCUAUAUGGCAGAUGUAGAAUAAGUGUGUUUUAAGACAAUUACUUGCGCUCCAAGUUAUGUCUGACUUUUUGUUUAUAUGGGUUUAGUCUACAUUAAGUUCUUUUCUAUGCCUUGAGAUCAAUGACUUUUAGUUAUCUUGUAUGUUUAAAGGAUGAAGGUCCAGAUCUGAUCAAGUCAUCAGUUUAACUUAUUUCAAUCUUCUUAUGACGAUAAAACCAUUAAGUGAACCAGAUCUGAGAACUAAUAGGGGUUUGAGUCAUCAAAAGACUGGAAACAACUUGAAUAUAAACUGGGGAAUGCAUUAUAACACCAGAUCUAUUAAUUGAAAGACAAAACAAAAAGGGUCGGGCAAGAUUUUACCUUGUCGGGUAAGGUUAAACAUCCUGCGGUCUAUUCUCUUUGCAGUUACAAAAGGAUUGAGAACUAAAAUGGAUGACUGGAAAAGAGUUUAUACAAGAGAGAUCGAUACUACAACAUUUAGGAAAAGGUAGCAGAGCUUUUACAUAGACAAAAAAUGCCUUUUUAAGGAAAUCUAAGGCUAAAAGGGUGCAGAGUCUGGACAAAACACGACUUUCUGGGUGUUUUCUUAGCUGAGAGACAAGUUGUAUGUUUUUUUGUUUGAUUGGUUGAGUGUCCUUGUCUCUGGGCCAUUUUCCUCCUUUUAUAGACGAAUUAACUUGAUUUGUAUUGUUUCUGUUCGUGCUCGAAAUCAAUUGGAGGGUAGGUAACCAUCAAUAUUUUACAUGCUAUGACAUUCAUAAAGUGCUUUUGGGCCGAUAGUUGGUGGAUUUCCAUCGGUUGUCACUUCCUUUGUAAGCAUGUAAUCUUUGCAUUUAAUGGGGAGCCAUCAUGUUGCCUCGAAGUGGACACCUAGGCUUGGUGCUGGGCUGUAGGUAGAAAUUCUUCUCAUUGAACUCUUUUGGGCUUUCUCUCCUCUAAGCCAAAGUUAAAUAUUUACCCAAACAAUUUCCCUCGCGCUGAUCUCUGGAAUAUGCACGUCAUGUUGGCUUACAUAAGCUGAGGUUUUCUAAGAAACAAACUCUUCUAGUCUAUGACCAUUGUAAGUUUGUAAGAACAUCCCCAAUGAGGGUUUUAUCCUCAUUAAGGCUACCACAUUUGUAGCUUUAACGAAAAAUUUCAUCCCCAAUGGGCUGGAAAAUAGGGCUACAUCCACCACAUGGGCUAGCUAUAAAGGGCAAUAUUGUAACUACACCAUCUAGAGAUAUUACUUAGUGGUUAAGAAAUCUGUUAGUUUGUUGUAUUUGUUUUCCUUAGUAGUUACAAGAUACUUGUAUAUAAAUACUAAAAGUGUAAUAUUAUUCCCUUAUGAAAUGAAAUCAUAUUUUAUCAAAUAUGGUAUCACCGGCCUUUUGUUCUCACGACUUCUCUCUCUUCGAUCCAAACCUUCUCGCUUAUUUUUACGAUCUUCUUCUCUGAUUUCUUGAUCGAUUCUUCGAUCGUGUUUGAGUUCUUCGAUCUUCAGUCAUCAAUCUCUGGCAAUGGCAACCUUUGCAUCUCCUUCGUCUAAAUUGGCUUCUUUAGUUCAUCCUCUUCCAACUGCACCUCCAAAUCCUAAUUCUUUGAUCUUUGCCUCAAUCACGAUCCAAAACAUUGGAUCCAUGGUGCCAAUCAAGCUCACCACCACUAAUUACUUAACCUAGAGUGCUCUCUUUGCUCCAGUUUUUCAUCACUACAAUCUUACCAGUCUUAUUAAUGGAUCUAUGGUGGCACCGCCUCAGUUUCUUCUUGAUUCUUUGAAAAAUCGCAUCCUCAAUCCUGCCUAUGUCUCUUGGUAUGAGAACGAUCAAAAUAUUCUCAUCUAGAUCAACUCCACACUUUCUAAAUCCCUAAUUCCUUAUACAGUUGAUGUGAAUUCGACUCGUGAACUUUGGGCGAAAUUGGAAUCAAGACUUAGCACGGCUUCUCAAUCUCACAUCCAUAAGCUUUGAUCUCACAUUUGUAAUGUUACCAAAGGUGAUUCCACUGCUGCUUAAUAUCUUCAACAAAUUGAGUCAAUUGUUGAUGCCUUUAAUAGUGCUGGUUCUCCGGUUGAAGAUUCAAAUUUGAUCUUUGUCACUCUUCAUGGUUUUCCCCUGAAUAUGAUUCAUUCGUUGAUGCUAUACAAUUUCAACUCAGAUCUACAACAAUUGAUGAACUAUAUGGUCUGCUUCUUGGGAAAGAGAUCCAGUUGGCUAAUCAUAAGAAAAGCACAUCUGAAUCAUCAUUUUUUCAGGCUUUCAAUAUUAUGAUGGUAUUCUUCCAUUUCUUGCACCAAACCCUAACCCUCAAGCGUUUGUUGCUUAGGCUCCUUCUACCUUCAACAAUCAAGGUCGUGGAAAGGAUCACACUUACAAUCGCGGCAAUUUCACUCGUGGAAAUUACAAAUCCUAUAAUAAUCAGAGAUCAAACAAUUACAAUCGACAGAACAACAAUAAUCAGCAUUAUAAUCGUGGAGGUCGAAAUAAUUUUUCUUCAUCUAACAAGAAAACUUCUUGCCAUAUAUGUCAUCAGUUUGAUCAUGAGGCUUGUGACUGCCCUCAUUGCAUGAAUCAGGCCUAUGGUGGAAAACCCUCUAAUUCAGCAAUGGUUUCUAGCACCUUAUCUUCAAAUCCUACUUGGAUUGUGGACUUCGGAGCCACCUCACACAUGACCAACUCUUAUGCAACUCUGCAAAAUCCUAAAGCUUACACUAGUCCUGAACAAAUGUACAUUGGUGAUGGCAAAGGUUUGCCCAUCACUCACUUUGGCUCUAUGGUUUUGAAUGCUUAUACUAAUGCUUUUAAACUAAAUAAAGUCCUAUAUGUGCCUGAUUUGAAACAUAAUAUUCUCUCUGUAAAUCAAUUUCUGAUUGAUAAUCGAUAUUAUCUGCAUCUUUAUCCUUCUCACUUCACUGUGAAUGACCUUUCUUCGGGGAGAAUGGGUUUUAAAAGACCUGUCCAGCAUAGUUUCUAUCCAUUCCUUUUCUCCUCUUUUACAAAUGAUCAUCAUAAAACACUCAUUGCAUCUGUGAAAGCUUCAAGAGAUGUCUGGCACCAACGAUUGGGUCACCCUUUUGUCAAGAUUAUCAAUAAGCUUGCCUCUCAAUCUUGUAUUUCAGUUUUAUCUUAUACAAAUUAGUCCUUUUGUUUAGAUUGUGCAUUAGGAAAAUGUUCUAGGCUUCCUUUUGUCUCUGCAAAUUGUACAACUAGUAAGCCUUUAGAACUUAUUCACACAGACGUUUGGGGACCAUCACUUAUAGCUUUUUCUUAAGGUUUUAAGUACUAUGUCAUUUUUGUGGAUGACUAUACCCGAUAUUGCUAGUUCUAUCCUUUGAAAUGCAAGUCUGAUGUACUGUCCACUUUUAUGCAAUAUAAGUAUGUGGUUGAAAACUCUCUAUGCACAAAGAUUGUUGCUUUAAGGUUUGAUUCUGGUGGAGAGUACUUGAGUACUCCUUUCUCAACUUUCUUGGCUACACAUGGUAUUCAACAUCAACUUACUUGCCCCCCCACCCCUGAAUAAAAUGGGUGUGCAGAAUGUAAACAUCGCCAUUUAGUUGAAACUACUCACAUUCUUUUGGCAGCUUCUAAAGUACCUCAUAUCUACUGGGUUGAGGCAUUUCACACAACAAUCUAUCUUAUUAACAGAUUGCCCACUGCAUCAAGAUCAUCUCCUUGGGAAGCUCUGUAUCAUUGAGCACCAAACUACAAUUUUUUGAAAGUUUAUAGAUGUGUCAGUUUCCCAUGGUUAAAGCCUUAUACUUCCUCAAAGUUGGAUCCUAAAAGUAAGGCCUAUGUAUUCCUAGGCUACCGUUUGAAUCAUAAGGGCUACAAGUGCCUUGAUCCUACAAUCAACAUAAUGUAUAUCUCCAAGCACGUUCUAUUCAAUGAAUCAAGCUUCCCAUUUCACCAUAUAUCAACCUCCUCACCUACCUUUCCAAAUUUAAAGUUCAGGAUAAACCAUUCUAUCCAUUUUUACCUUUACAUUUACUCAUUUUCUUGCACCUGUUCAUACCACUUUAACCUCAUCUCAUCUGUCCUCUUCCCUUUAACCUACCAUUUCACCUGUCAAUUCCACCAAUACAACCUCAAGCUUUUCAGUGGCAGUCUCACAACCCAUCACCACCAACCCCAUCCAACCCAUCAACACUCAUUCAAUGCAAACAAGGUCCAAAGUCUGGCAUUUUCAAGCCUAAAGCCCUCACUGUCACUAAACACCCCCUACCCUUUCAUCUCUCAGUGGAUUAUAUACCUACAACUUACCUUCAAGCUUCAAAGUUUUCUCAUUGGUGCCAAGCAAUGCAAGAAGAAGUCAAUGCCCUUAUCAACACUGGCACAUGAUCACUUGUCCCUAAGUCUUCAUCAUAGAAUAUUGUAAGAUGCAAGUGGGUUUUCGAAUCAAGAGAAAGCCCGAUGGAACUAUAGACAUGUACAAAGCCCAGCUAGUUGCAAAGGGAUUCAAUCAACAUGAAGAUCUAGACUACACUAAAACCUUUAGUCCGUAGUCAAACCAAUUACUAUUAAGCUUCUACUCACUCUUGCAGCUUAAUAUCAUUGGUUUUUAAACCAACUCGAUGUCAGUAAUGCCUUUUUACAUGGUACACUUACUGAAUCAGUUUUCAUGCAACAACCUUUUAGUUAUGAAGAUUUAACUAAGCCAUCUCAUGUCUGUCACUUGCAUAAACCCUUGUGCGGUUUAAAACAAGCUUCAAAAGCUUGGUAUGAGAAGCUUUAUGGUGCUUUUCACUCUCUUGGCUUUGUAGGCUCUAACAAUGACCAUUCUCUAUUUAUCAGAAAGGUUCCAUAUGUGGUUUUCAUCCUAGUUUAUGUUGAUGACAUUUUGGUCACAUGUCCUAAUUCUGCAACUUGUCAAAAAGUGAUUCAGCAACUUAGCUCCAUGUUUCCAAUCAAAGAUCUUAGACCUCUGCAUUAUUUUCUUGGACUUGAAGUUAAAAGAUCAUCAUUAGGCAUAUUCAUAUCUCAGACCAAAUAUAUCUUGGACCUGUUAUCCAAAGCCAACCUGACUGGGGCCAAACCUUGUAGUACACCACUCAGUACCUCUAAACUUGAUCAUGAAUCUCCAUUACUUGAAAAUAUUUCUGAGUAUCGUUCAUUAUUUGGUGCUCUUCAAUAUCCUACAUGGACAAGACCAGAUCUCAAUUUUUCAGUCAACCUUGUAUGCCAAUUCAUGCACAACCAGAAUUUCACAUUUCCAUGCAGUUAAGUGAAUCCUAAGGUACCUUAAGGGUUCUAUUGAUCUUGGUUUAUGGUUCUCCUCCAAGUGUUCCACCACUGCCACCAUCACAACUUUCUCAGAUGCUGAUUGGGCCAGCUGUGCUCUAGAUAGAAGAUCAACUGGAGGUUAUUGUGUUUUUCUGGGAAAUUCAUUGAUUUGUUGGAGUGCUAAGAAGCAACCAACUGUAGCACGAUAUUCCACAAAGGCAGAGAACAUAUCUCUUGCCAACAUUACGUUUGAGAUUACCUAGAUAUGCAAAGUGUUGGUUGAUAUUGGCCAUUGCUUGCCUAGUUCUCCUCAACUAUGGUGUGACAACAUUUCUGCCAUAUCCCUUGCCAAGAACCCUAUUUUCCAUGCUUGGACAAAGCAUGUGGAAAUAGACUAUCAUUACAUUCAGGAAAAAGUCUUGGCAAAACAGAUUUAUGUGCAUUUUAUUUGUACUCAAGAUCAGGGGGCUGACAUUUGUACCAAGUCUCUUUCCAAGUCAAGAUUCAUGUUCCUCCGUGACAAACUUCAACUUUGAGUCCCUCAGUUUCGUUUGAAGGGGGGUAUAAAGGGUAAUAUUGUAACUACACCAUUAGAGAUAUUACUUAAUAGUUAAGAAAUCUGUUAGUUUGUUGUAUUUGUUUUCCUUAGUAGUUACAAGAUACUUGUAUAUAAAUACUAAAAGUGUAACAUUAUUCCCUUAUGAAAUGAAAUCAUAUUUUAUCAAAUACUAGCACUUCAAUUCUUGAGUAGCAAAAAGUUAGGCUACAUCUAGCCCCAUAUAGAGCCAAAAAACUUGUCAAAACAAAGUGACUACUGAAUCACAAAUGCGCGUAUUCAUAGAAUUUAUUACAAAUCACUAUCAGCUCAUGAACCAAUUUCUUGAGGUAGUACAUCACCAAGGGGGACUGAAUCAUCAUCAUCAAGUACUUUAUUUAAAAUACGGGUCAGUUUUCUCAAAUUUUCUGAAGAAUACUAAAGCUUUUCAAUUUUGGUUGCGAUUCCUUAAUAGAAUACUGAUUCUUAAUCACAUUUAUGAUAAAAAACAAUGGAGUGCCUUCUAGCAGUUUUACGCACCUUGAGAGAAUGGCUUGGCUUCCCAGUGAGUGCCAUAAAAAAGGUGGUCUUUCCACAGCCCGAAGGGCGAAGGAAUAAGUUCAUCCUGCAAUGAUAAGAACCCAGAUUUGUUUGGUUUUUUUUUUUUUUUUUUUUUUACCAGAAAUUACAGGAAAACUAAAAAAAAAUUGGAAACAAAUUUAUGUCAAAGAUUAGGGAAUCUGCAAAUUGCUACCAGUCCAUGAUUUUGUGGAAGAAAGCCUUGACUUGGCUCAGAAAAUAGACCCACCAGGUAUUACAUAUGGAGGAAGGAGGAGGAGGAGAGAAGCCUUUGAUACGGUUGCGGCAGAGAAGAGGGGCGACGUUGGAAGAGGGGAAAUUGGUGGAGUAGGUGGAAUUGAAGAGGCGGUCGAGGAGGGGUUUGGAAGAUGAGGUGAGUGUUGUGCUAGGAUAGCACCAAACCCGUUGGAACCAACUCAAGUUAACCCACAAGAAAUUUAUCAAAUGAAAAUGCAAGAACAAAAUAUUAAAGACACCAAGAUUUUAACGAGGUUCCUCAACAGUCAGUGUAACUGGAGUACGUCCUCGGAGCAGUAGGAGCUCACCCAAAAAACCACUAUCAACCAAAUGGGAGUUUACAAAGUGUUGGCAAUCUCACAACCCAUAAGCCCAAUACACCCAAUAGCUCUCACACACCAAAGAAACAAAUAGAGAAAGAAAUAUAAUGAAUAAUUUCUUCUCUACACAUAUAGCUCAAAGCUAUUACAACAACAACUACUUUGGUGGAUGAUUACUAACCAAAAUGAAGCAUCAACUUCUUCUUUCUUUUGGGCUCUCUACAACUCUCCUUGCUCUCUCAAAGAUGGACUACUAAAAACUGAAAAAUGGUGCACCCUUCCUCUUCUUUUCUUCUCCGAAACCAAACAUAUUAUGGCUUUGAAAAAGCCAUAAAACAAGCCACAUUUCAAUCCAUAAAACAAGGAAACAUUAGACAAGUUCCAUGUUUUCCUCCCCAAAAAAAGGAAGGAUGUUGUCCACCUUCUUUUUUUUUCUUUUGAAUUGUAUUGUUGUCCACUUGGCCACUUGGCCAAUUAUUCAACAGUGAGGAAUGAGAGGUGCGGCAAGGAAGAUAGAGAAUUUUUCUCCAUGCAUUUUCUCUAUGCGUCUUCUCUCUAAUGGAUCUUCUCAGAUGCCUUGUCGUUUAUUGGUUGAUUGGAAAAAUUGUUGUAUUAUUCUCUCUUCCAUGCAUAUUCUGUUUUCUCACAUUUGUUGCAAAAGAAAUCAGGUGGUGGUAUGUUUGGCAAACUAUGGUGUUGAUCAUAUUGGGGUUCAAUGGUGAGAUUCUUGUCCAUUGUGUCGAGUUAUGGGUUUUGCUAUAAUCUUAUAGGAAUUCCAAAUUUUCGUUUCUCUUAGGAGUUGUCUUAAUUGUUUUUUGAUUCUAAUAGUUUUUUACUUCUUGUUAGGAUAUCGUUUCAUGUCCCCUCUAGCUUAUUGUAUAUUUAUUUUUUUCUUUAAUAUAUUCACAAUAAUUCUACGAUAGCAAUAUUGGAGUGGAAGUGAUAUUGUUCUUUUAAUAAAAAGAAAUAGGAGUGAUAAGUAUGAUAGGUUUCUGGUAGAAGUUGAAUGGCUUCAAUCUAAUUAUGCUUGUAAAAUUUUUGGUGAAAAUUAUGUUUGUAAUUUGCAUAUUGAAGAGCUAAUUAAUUUGCAGAGGAAAAUUUUCCCCAUGGAAAACCAGAUACAAAAUUUUGAAAUUUUUGUGGGAGAAAGAAAUGAAGGAGAAGUAAAGGGCCAUCGUUUGAUGUUCCAUGGCUAUCGAAGAGCAUGGACAACAACAACAACAACAAAUACUUAUCUCAUUAAGUGACUUCGGUUGUAUGAAUCUUAAAACGUCACUACGCUCGAUUUUGCGUCAAAUUUUCCGUUAGCUCCAACUUCUCCAUGUCUUUUCUUAAAGUCAAUAUUCCAAGUCUUCAUAGGUCUUUCCCUACUCAUUUUGCCCUAUGAUAAAAGAAAAUAAAUCAAGGUGUAUGGAGGAAGAAAUUAGAGAAAAUUAAAGACAAAUAUGAAUUAUGUUUUCUUUUCGUUGACGUAAAAAAAAUAAGAGUAAAUUACAUUUUCUCCCUUGGAUUUGAGUACAAUUGCAACCUCAUACAAUAUCUUUAAAAUAUUUCAAUUUUAUACACAAACUUUUAUUUUGUUGUAAUUUCAUACAUCAUUUAGUUAAAUCGUUAAUUUGACUGUUUUGUGAUGACGUAACAAAUAUAUGACCCACAUAUUUGAUGAAGUGCCAUAAAAAAAUUUGAUUAUCAAAAAUCAAUUUAAAAAAAAUAGCCCACACGCCAAUCUUCCCCCACACCACUACCCCAUUACUCCCUACUACCAACUUAGCCCACACGUCACAUGCUGAUUACAACCCACUCGUGCCUCUUCCCGUCCCCAUGUCCCUCCAUCAUAUUAAAGGACUAUAUUUGCUUGCAGGUGACUCUGCCACCAUAUCCAUCCUCGAUUUCGCAGCCCGAUUCAGUAAAAUGUACGCGGUAUCCCAUUUGUUACUAUUUUGUAAAAGGUACACCGUAUCCCAUUUGUAACUAUCUUUCUUACCACUGUUUAUCUCACAAUCGUCUUUCAUAUAUCUACUCCGUCAGUCGGUGUGUGGAGCCGCCUUUCAUAUAUCUACUCCGUCAGUCGGUAUGUGGAGCGAUCUUCUUUUGCAGAGGCUGUGAGUGAUCCUAAUUGGCGCCGUGUCAUGGACGAGGAACUUGGUGCUUUACAUGCCAACCGUACUUGGACCUUGACAACAAGCCCCCCCCCCCCCCCCCCGGGGGCGGCCGCGGCAGGGGCAAAGUUCAUAUUGCUUGUAAGUGGGUGUACAAAGGUUAAGCGUAGUUUUGAUGGUUCCAUUGAACGCUACAAAGUCCGUUUGGUUGCUAAGGGUUUUAUGCAGGCUGAAGGUAUUGGUUACCAUGAUACUUUUUCUCCCAUUGCUAAAAUGAUCACUGUGUGUUGUCUCCUCACCCUUGCCGUUAGUCAUCGUUGGUCCCUUCAUCAGCUAGAUGUUAAUAAUGCUUUCUUGCAUGGUGAUUUAAAUGAGGAAAUUUAUAUGUCCGUUCCCCUUGGUCUUCGGCGUCAAGGGAAGAACCUUGUAUGUUGCCUCCACAAAUCCCUUUAUGGUCUCAAUCAGGCAUCUCGCUAGUGGUUUGCCUAUCUCUUCAAUAAGAUUAAGUCCCACCAUGACUCUCAUUCCUUGUAUUUACUUAAUAAAGGCCCUUAAUUGAUUGCAUGCAAUUAAGACUCCAAUAUGUUUAUUUCCUUAAGGCAUAAUUCAACUAUUCUCUCAUCAUUUCUCGGCAUAAUUCAUUGUCAUUCACAAAAUGGUUUUACAUGAGGAUGUUAACAUUGUAAAAAUAUAUUUGAUUAUUUUUAAUUGAAUUGAAAAGGAUACAAAAGGCCUUUUAUAUAGACUCAUUCUCUUGGAAGAGAAUUAACCUAGCCUACAAUUUAGCUAUACAAAAAAGGAAGAUUUUGUACAAAUCAAUUACAGACUUUGUUUCCUAUUCUAAGCUAAGAUAUCAGGGAUCUUGAUAUCAUUGACUUCUCAACACUCCCCCUCAAGUUGGAGAGUGAACGUCGAGAACUCCCAACUUGCGUAUGAUGGAUAAGAAAGCCUCAUUUCCUAAUGCCUUUGUGAAAACAUCUGCAAGCUGGUUUGAAGAGGGAAUGUAUCUUGUGACAACCGAACCAUCUUGUAUCUUGUCUCGAAUAAAAUGACAAUCAAUCUCUAUAUGUUUAGUUCGUUCAUGAAAAACUGAAUUAGCAGCUAUAUGGAGCGCCGCUUUGUUGUCACAAUGUAGCAAGGCCGGUUUUGGGUGAAGCAAACCUAGAUCCUUCAGAAGAUAUCGAAGCCAUGACAGUUCACAACAAGUUCCAGUCAUGGCUCUAUAUUCGGCCUCUGCUGAUGAUAAAGAAACGGUCUUUUGUCUCUUUGACCUCCAAGAGAUCAACGAAGAACCCAAAAAGACGCAAUAACCUGUAGUUGACCUUCGUGUCGUAGGACAUCCUGCCCAGCUGAAUCACAAUAUGCACUUAAGUUUAAGUUGUUUUGAGAAGAGAAAAACAAACCCUGUCCAGGCGUACUCUUCAAGUAUUUCAGGAUUCGGAGAGCUGCUUCCAUGUGCGGUUGUCGUGGUUCAUGCAUGAAUCGGCUCAACACAUGCACGGGAUAAGUGAUGUCUGGCCUUGUAAUAGUUAAAUAGAUCAAUCGACCAACCAACCUUCUAUACUUUGCCGGAUCUUUAAGCAACUCACCAGUGUUAGAAAGUUUAACAUUCUGCUCCAUAGGAAACUCCACUGGGCGAGCUCCCAAAAUACCACUAUCUUUCAAAAUUUCUAAAGCGUAUUUUCGCUGAGAAAUAAAGAUCCCUUUCUUUGACUGAGAAACCUCUAUUCCCAGAAAGUACUUCAAGUUACCAAGGUCCUUGAUUUUGAAGUGACCAUGAAGAAAUCUUUUAAGAGCAUUAAUUCCUUCAUGAUCAUUGCCAGUGAUCAAAAUAUCGUCAACAUAGAUCAGGAGGGCUAUAAAGGAUUGCCCUUGCUGCCUCGUAAACAAAGAAUAAUCUGCCUUUGAUUGGAUAUAACCAGCGGAUUUAAUUGCUUCUGAAAACUUUGCAAACCAUUGCCGGGACGCUUGUUUCAAGCCGUAGAGGGAUUUAUUAAGGCGACACACGAUAUUCUCCCCCUGUCGCCGAAGACCAGGAGGAAGGGUCAUAUAGAUUUCUUCAUGAAGAUCACCAUGAAGAAAGGCGUUGUGGACAUCAAGUUGGUGGAGAGACCAGUUGCGGGCAGCAGCGAGGGCUAACAAACAACGAACAGUGACCAUCUUAGCAGUAGGGGAGAAGGUAUCGUGAUAAUCAACACCUUCAAGUUGAGUGUAACCCUUGGCUACAAGGCGAGCCUUAUAACGUUCAAUAGAACCAUCAGAACGAUGUUUGAUCUUAUAAACCCAACGACAACCAAUGGGAGUUUUGCCGACAGGGAGAGGAGUGAGUGUCCAAGUAUUAGUGGCCUCCAAAGCACGGAGUUCAGAGUCCAUGGCAGCAUGCCAAUGGGAAUGAAGAGCAGCCUGAGCAUAAGUGUGAGGUUCGACCUGCCGACUGAUAGAAGCAAGGAAAGAUUGUUGUUGAGGUGAGAAACGAUGAUAAGUGAGAAAAUUAGCAAGAGGAUACCUUGUACCGGUGGUAGGACCUGUCGACGAAGAGGAUGAAUCGAUUGGUUGGGUAGAAGGCAAAGUAGGGCAAACAUAAUCACUGAAGUGAGCGGGAGGAGCUGAGCGACGGUCAGAGCGGCGAAGCACGGGUGCAGAGGGCACGGAAGGUGCUGAAGGCACGGGCGCUGGGAGCGCUGAUAUGGCAGGAUCAGGUACAGAGGGAGAUGUAGCAUCAGACGCGGGAGGAAAAGACUCAACAGGUGACACGGGAGAAACAAUGGGUGCGGAAGGAUCAGUGUAGUCAAGAAGGGGUUAAGGUAAGACAGGUCCUGGUUGGUCAUCGGAUGGGGAUUGAUGUUGGUAAGGGAAAAUAUGCUCGUGGAAAAUAACAUCACGGCUUGUAAAAAACUUAUGGGUGGUGAGGUCGUAGAGUUUAUAGGCUUUUUGGCCAACAGGAUACCCUAGAAAAACACACUUAUGAGCACGGGGAGCAAACUUAUGAGAAAUGUGAGUAUUUGUGGCAUAGGCAAGACAUCCAAAGACUCGUAAGUGGGAAUAGGUAGGGGAUGUGGAAUAGAAACGUUCAAAAGGUGUAGUGUUGGAAAGAACUUUGGUAGGGAGACGAUUAAUAAGGUGAACUGCUGUGAGCACACAUUCACCCAAAAAACGAAGUGGGAGGUUGGCUUGAAAACGCAAACUACGGGCUGUUUCAAGGAUGUGACGAUGCUUGCGUUCUACAACCCCAUUUUGUUGGGGCGUAUAAACGCAAGAGUGUUGGUAUAUGACACCGUGUUCUUGGAAAAAAUCACGAAGGGAGAAAAACUCACCUCCAUUGUCCACACGGAUUUGACAAACAAGUGUAUUAAAUUGAGUACGAACAUAAGAGAAAAAAUUCUUAAGGAGGUGUUGGGUCUCAUUUUUGUGAUGCAUAAGAAAGAUCCAUGUGAAACGAGAAUAAUCAUCUACUAUAGUAAAAAAAUAUUUGGCUCCACAAGUAGAGGCAAUUUUAUAAGGACCCCAAAUAUCACAAUGAAUUAGAUCAAAAGGUUUCUUGGUUGAAAUGGUACUAACACCAAAAGGUAAACGACUUUGCUUGGCUAAUGGACAAACAUCGCAAGCAUUAUUAGACUGAAAAGGAAAAUGUAACAUGUUUUUGGACAUAAAAUCUAAUCUAGAUGAUGACAAAUGACCUAAACGUCGAUGCCACAACUCUAUAGGUGAUAGAACGAUAUUGCAGAAACGCCUCGAAGUGCCAUCUUGGACAGGAGCCAAUGCCACCAAAUAGUAGAGUCCUCCUCGUUGCUUACCCAAACCAAUCGUCCUCUUCGUGGUCAGGUCCUGCAAAAUACACCAAGUGGGAAAAAAAGUGAUGGAACAAUUUAAUCCUCCAGUAAUUCGACUCACUGACAUCAAAUCUACAUUAAAAGUAGGCACACACAACACAUCUCGUAGCAAAAAGGUAGAACUCAAAAGUAAAUCUCCAGUUGAUACAAUAGAUGCUUGUUCUCCACUGGGCAAUAAAACUGGCAGCAUAUUAGUAUUUUUCACACUAUGAGUGAGCAGUUUUGGUGAGGAGGUGAUAUGGUCCGUCGCACCACUAUCGAUAAUCCAUCGAUGGAGAUGCGAAGGAUUUUUUGACAAACCUUUGGUAGUGGUGGCAGCAUUGGCUUGUGGGGCUGCAGAUGCAUCUUUGCCAUUCAUAAUACUGAGAAUUUGUUGAAAUUGAGAAUCUGAUAAACCUGACAUCACAGACUGCAUCUCUUGCACAGAAGGUCCUUCAGAGGAAACUAUGUGAGCUGACGAUGAGCCGGUGUCUCGCUUGGAGCGAUUCCCACCACGGGGAUUGGAUUUGUUGGUUUUAUGAAGACGAUGCCCAGGUGGAUAUCCAUGCAACUGAUAGCAAGUAUCAAUAGUGUGGUAAUCUUGAUCGCAGUGCGUACAAUGCAUGGGUUUACGAGUGGAAGAGCCUGAGGACUUGGAAUGGUGGCCCUGGCGAACUGCCAUGGCUGCUGUUGCAGUAGUGGUGCGAGAAAGGCUCAAGGAGCGCUGUUUCUCCUCCUGUGAGAUUGAGGAGUAAGCUUGACGUACAGUAGGCAAGGGAUUCAUCAAGAGGAUUUGUCCUCGAACAACACUAUAUGAAUCAUUGAGUCCCAUAAGGAACUGCAUCAACCUAUUCCUUUCAUUUUGAGCACCACAUGUGCAUGAGGAUGAAUCGCUGUAGGAAGACAACUCGUCCCACAGACUCUUCAACUUGGUAUAGUAGGCUGCAAUAGAAAGUUGAUCUUGAGAAAGACACGAAAUAUCCCGCUGUAAUUGAAAAAUCCGAGGAGCAUUACUUUGGGAGUAGCGCUCUUCCAAUUCGUCCCAAAUCUCAUGAGCACCAGUCAUGUAGAGAAUGCUGUCUGAAAUAUCUGAAUCGAUUGAGUUGAUGAUCCAGGCAACAAUCAUGUCGUUGCAUCUCUUCCAUGCAGCAUGAUCGUUCGGUUGGGUUUUUGCUGGUGGUUGUGGAACAGUGCCGUCAACAAAACCAAUCUUGUUUUUAGCACUCAAGGAAAUCUUCAUGGCUCGGGACCAGGUGGAAUAGUUGUCCCCAUUAAGGGGUUUCGAGACCAGCACCAUAGCUGGGUGGUCUGAAUGAUGAAUGAACAGUGGAUUGGAAGCAUCAGGCUUGCUUUCGCUCGAAGUUCGAUCAUCGGCCAUGGCUAAUGAUCAAUGAAAAAAAACACGCUGCUUGUGAUGAACAGCGGCAAAGAGAAACAACAGCAGAAAAAGAACUAGGGUUUCGGCCUAGCUCUUGAUACCAUGUAAAAAUAUAUUUGAUUAUUUUUAAUUGAAUUGAAAAGGAUACAAAAGGCCUUUUAUACAGACUCAUUCUCUUGGAAGAGAAUUAACCUAGCCUACAAUUUAGCUAUACAAAAAAGGAAGAUUUUGUACAAAUCAAUUACAGACUUUGUUUCCUAUUCUAAGCUAAGAUAUCAGGGAUCUUGAUAUCAUUGACUUCUCAACAAACAUCCCCACUCUUCGAGAAAAGUAUGAUGUGUUUAUUAGUUUCAAAGGUGAGGACACCCGCAAAACUUUUGCUAGCCAUCUUCAUGCUGCCUUACUUCGCAAGAAAAUCGAAACCUACAUAAACUAAAGCCUGACGAGAGGAGACGAAAUUGGAGCCAGCCUACUAGAAGCAAUCGAGAAAUCAAGGCUUUCGGUGAUCAUUUUCUCCAAAAACUAUGCGUCUUCCACCUGGUGUUUGAUUGAACUUGUGCAUAUACUCAAAUGCAGAAAGAAAUAUGGCCAGAUGGUUGUCCCCAUUUUUUACGACAUCAGUCCAUCAGAUGUGCAAAAACAAAAGCGGAGUUAUGCAGAUGCAUUUGCUCAACAUGAAAAUCGUAAGGACACCAUGGAUAAGGUGAUCGGUUGGAAAGCUGCUUUGGUGGAAGCAACCGGUUUAUGUGGGUUCGAUUAUUCAAACAAAAAAGGGUAACUAACUUUGUAACUUGUAUCAAUUUCUACUUGUGAUUAUUUCUUUUCAAAUUUUUAUUAAGUAAAAUGAACCUUAUUCAUGGUCAAUACAAAUAUAACACUGAGAAACACAAAUUAACCAUAUUUGACAUAAAAUUCUAAACCAUGACCAAUUCACCAAACUUACACAACUUGAAAAUUCCCUCCAAUACUUCACUAUACUAACGUGUGUAUACCUUACUGAAAACCCCAUCACAAAAACAUCUUUUUUCGAAAAUGAAUCACCACAUCACCAAGCAAACUGUUAUUCAAAUGAAAAAACUAAUUAAUACCUAAUACCAUAACCAUAAACCACACUCAAUAUAAUCAUUAACUAAACCAACACCAUAAAAAAAAUUUAAAAAGAGGGGUCAAAUUAAACACCUUUAAACCACAAAAUGGAAAACAACAAACCAUAUAAUUAGUGAGUGCAGACUUUCCGGCAUUCGGGACACCAAUUAUGCCAACAGACAAUGCCUUUUGGUCCUCCGCCUUCACCAUUUCCUCCUCAUCCCCUGAUUUCUCAUCAUCGGCACGCUCCAAUGCCGCCUCUAGAAGCGCCUUUGCGAUAACCAACUUAAUAAGCAUAAGUUCAAACUUAAUCCACUCCUUAAAUUCAUCCUUAAUAUGUAACGUGAACGCUGAUAAGUAACGUGAACGUUAAUAAACUUUCAGCACAUAAUAAUAAUAAUAAUAAUAAUAAUAAUAAUAAUAAUAAUAAAAAUAAUAAUAAUAAUAAGAAUAAAGGUCAUCGUUGCCUUAUACUUGUACACUUCUAUAACACAAUACACAGCUUAUCCCAGCUGAAGCAGAACUUGUAAUUCAUGCGAACUUUCUCGGUAAGCAAACAAAUGGGUGUGCGAAUUAGCUCAAAUCCAGAACAAUUAACAGUGAAUGAAAAGUGCCAGGAGCUGAAUUGAGCAAAGAAUGCAUGAAACUUUGAGAUUGAACAGGUUGGAAUGGUGGGUUUUACCUUGUUCGCAUACAGAGGGACUAAAUCUCUUUCCUUCAUGAACAAAUCUUGAUCUAUAGUUGAAAGUUUCACUGCUUUCGCUGCUGCUACUAAAUCGGCUUCUACUCAUCCUAAUUCCUUAUUCUCCUAAUAGCAAUCUUGGUUAAAUUGGCCAUAGCACGUAAAGAGGAACAAUAAUGUCGAAGAGAGGGAAUGACACUUGAGCAAAACAAUAUCAGAUGACCAACACGUGGGAAAAUUUGAUAACAGCUGAGCCAAAGGGCAUAUUAGUAAUUCUACUAUGCAAAAAUAAAAAAUAUAAAGGAAAUGAAACAGUGCAAGACAAAAACAUCAAUACACCGAGUUUACUUUUGUUUAUGGUUUUCUUGUGAGACAAGGAUAUUAGAAUUUUUUAUAUCCUUUAAGACCAUCUCCAAUGGUUGGGCUAAAAGCCAAAUAUUUUAGCCCGGAAAAUUUAGUUUUUAGCCUAGAAACAACUUUUUUGCUCUAACCGUUCUAGCCUAAAAUUUUAGCCCGGAAUUAUUAAAGAAUGAACUUAGGCUAUUUUUUUUGUUAAAUUAUAUUUUUUAUAUAAAUAAAUAUGUACAUUAUCGUAAAUUAAUUUUAUGAACAUUUUAAUCUAAAAAAAUUUAAAUUCCGAUAAAUAUUGAAAAAUUUAAAUUCCUAUUUCUGGGCUAAAUUUCGGGGGGAAUCUGGCCUUGGUUUAACAUUUAGCAUUUAGCCCAAAUUUUCCCCUUGGGUUGGAGUGGGUUUGGGGGAAAAUUUUGGGGGGUAGUUUGGCUUUUAGCCCACCAUUGGAGUUGGUCUAAGGGUUAAGAUUUAGAUUUUAUUAGAGUUUUUUAUAUCCUUUAAGAAUUAGAAUUUUACUUUAGUUUUCACUAUAUAUAGUAGUGCUUGUAUUAGUUAGUCAAUAAAUAGUGCUUUGCCGGCAUACUAUUCAACUCAAUGAUGUCGAAGAGAGGGAACGACACUUGAGGAAAGCAAUAUCAGAUGACCAACACGUGGGAAAAAUUGAUUACAGCUGGGCCAAAGGGCAUAUUAGUAAUUCUACUAUGCAAAAAAUAAAAAAUACAGGAAAUGAAACAGUGCAAGGCAAAAACAUCAAUACACUGAGUGAACAGUGUCUUUGAACUGGGUUUACUAGACUAGUUAAAGCAUUACUGGGAACUUUAAUGAAAAACUCUCAACACUGUUCACUUUAACAAAAAACCACAUUUUUACACUAAAAAGUUAAUCCUGGUAGUAUUCACCUUACCCUUUAUUUUGUCGUUUUUGUUAAAACUUAAAGUUUUCAAAUUCUUUUCAUUAAUUUUCCUUACUAUAUAUUGCUUAUCAUUUGUGAUCAUAUUUUGCAUGACGGAGGCUGAUUUCAUUGAGGAAGUUGUGGAAGUUAUAGAUAGUAUUCUAGGGUUUUCAUGAAUAUGUUUUUUUAUUUUUUACAUCUCACAUAGAGGAAUAUAUAUAUACUUAUACAAUCCCCUACCAACUAGGAAGUAGAUAUCCUAAAUAUAUUAGGAUAUCAAUUACAUACUCAAAAUAUCCCUACAUUCCUUAUUCCAAAUACAGACUCACGGCAACACUCCCCCUCAAGUUGGUGCGUAGAUAUCACGUAAGCCCAACUUGUUAAGUGAGUCAUGAAACACUCUUGAUGACACGGCAUGAGUUAACACAUCUGCCAACUGAUCUCCAGACUUCACAAACAGAAUAUCAAUCAAUUUAACAUCCAACUUCUCUUUAAUAAAAUGCCUAUCCACCUCAACAUGUUUUGUACGAUCAUGUUGAACUGGAUUAUUAGCUAUUUCUCUCGCAACUUGAUUAUCACAAUACAGCAACAUAGCUCCAUGUGGUUUAAACACAAUCUCGGUUAAGAGGAUUCUUAGCCAUAACAAUUCACAAAUUCCAUGUGCCAUACCACGGUAUUCAGCCUCUGCAGUGGACCUAGGAACCACAUUCUGCUUUUUACUCCUCCAAGUUACAAGAUUACCUGCAACAAAUGUAAAGUACCCUGAUGUAGAGCGUCUAUCAGUAACAUUUCCAGCCCAAUCAACAUUUGUGUAUCCUUUUACUUCCAAGUGCCCAUGCUUCCUGAAGAUCAACCCUUUUCUAGGCGCAUCUUUCAAAUUACUUAAGAUUCACAUUACUGCAGCCAUGUGAUCCUCACUAGGAGUGCAUGAAUUGACUCACCACACUAACUGCAUAUGCAAUAUCUGGCCUUGUGAGAGACAAGUAAAUCAAUCUUCCUACUAGCCUAUGGUACCUUUCCCUGUUUGCUAGAACUUGGUCAGGAUAAAUUGCUAGAUGAUGAUUCUGAACUAUAGGCGUUUCUGCAGGUUUACAUGCCAACAUUCCAGUCUCAGACAAAAGAUCCAGAACAUACUUCCGCUAUGACAAAUAAAUACUUUCACAACAACGAGCAACUUCAAUUCCUAAGAAGUACUUCAAGCCUCCUAAGUCUUUCAUCUCAAACUCUGAAGAGAGAUGCCCCUGUAACCUCUUCAUCUCCUCGGUAUCAUCACCAGUAACUACCAAGUCGUCCACAUAAAUUAUUAACAAGGUGACCUUUCCUUCCCUUCGUUUGAUAAACAAAGUAUGAUCAGCAUUUCCUUGUCUGUAACCAUAUUUCUUCAUUGCAUCGGUGAAUCUCCCAAACCAUGCCCUCGGCGACUGUUUGAGUCCAUAAAGCGCUUUCCUCAACCUACACACCUUGCCUGUCCUGUUUGACACCUCAAACCUAGGUGGAAGUUCCAUGUAAACCUCUUAUUCCAGGUCUCUAUGUAGAAAGGCAUUUCUUUACAUCAAAUUGCUUCAACGGCCAAUCAAAGUUAGCAGCUAAAGACAAAAGUACACAAAUAGUGUUCAUCUUAGCUACCGGAGCGAAUGUUUCUUGAUAAUCUACCCUGAAAGUCUGUGUGUACCCCUUAGCAACCAACCUUGCUUUGUAUCUGUCAAUGGUUUCGUCUACGUUGUGUUUGAUGGUGAAUACCCAUUUGCAUCCCACUGGUAUUUUCCCUUGGGAUAGCGACUCUAUGCUCCAAGUCAUGUUUUUCUGUAGAGCCUCCAUCUCGACUUCCAUUGCUUUUGUCCACCAAGAAUCUAGCAAAGCUUCUUCCACUCUUGUUGGGAUUUUGAUUCCAUCCAUUGUAUUCACCAUGGCUCGAUACUUAGAAGACAAUCGAUGUGUAGAGACAUAAUUUGCAAUAGCAUAUCGGACUUUUCCAUCAGGAGAAUACCUGUCUAGUGGUUUCCCACAAUUUUGUAUAGAUGGCAACACAUAUGUACUUUCAAUAUUAGUCAAAUCACGAGCUUCAUUAGGUUGAGAUAGACUUACCUCAUGGAUAUCCUCGGGCACAUGGACAGGUACAACCGGAGAGGAGUUAUUUCUUGAAGUGUAUUGGUCGUCCAAACUGUGAACUAAUUGUUGCAAUUCACUGUUGUCUUGAUAUGGUGUUUCUAACCGUGCACUGGGCUGUGCACCAAACUGCUCACCUGCUGCCAUGCCGUCAGGCCCACUCCUAGAUUUGGUCUCGCUGGCUGCUGCACAGCCUUUCAAAGAUGGGGCCUUACUUACACUAAUGGGUUCAGGCCCGUGGAUUUCACCAGAAGGCAGAAGUCGGCCCUGCUGGCAGUCACCGUGGCAAGCAUUCUGUUGGGUUUCACGUGGUUGCCCAGUAGGGAGAUCAAUCCAACUGUAAUCUCAUAUGUAUUUAGCUCCCCCUGAAGGUUAGAGUUGGUGUGAUCAGUGACAAAGAACAUCUCAUGCUCGGAAAACGUAACAUCCAUGGUGACAUAGGUACCCUUUUUGUUGGCCAGUAAAUCCCAAAAAAAUACAUCGAAUUGCACAUGGGUCCAACUUGCUACGUUGAUUUUUGUGGAGAUGUACAUAGGUCACACAUCCAAAAAUACGGGGUAACAACUGAAGGGAAGAGGUUAAUGUCACAUGGUCAACAAGUACCUCCAUAGGGGUGCAGAAAUUAUGUAUUCUGGUGGGCAUUCGAUUCAUCAAAUAAACUGCAUAUUUAACAGAUUCUGCCCAAUAAGAGUGAGGGGCGUGAGCACCAAUGAGAAGUGCUCGAGUGGUUUCCAGAAUAUGUCGAUUUUUGCGUUCAGCGAUCCCAUUGUUGUGGGGUGUGUGGACAAGAAGUCUCUUGAAGAAUGCCAUGAUCUUGGAAAAAUUGAGAGAGUUCAGUACUGAGAUAUUCGCCACCAUUAUCAGAUCGGAGAACCUUAAGAGGAAGAGAGUAUUGAUUUUCAACCAUGUGAUAAAAUUGUUGAAAAAUUUUCCCAACCUUACUUUUAUGUUUUAGAGUAUAAAGCCAUGUCAUUCUGGUGCAAUCAUCAACAAAGAUAAUAAACCAACGAACACCAUGAAUAGUAGCAACUGGAGAAGGUCCCCACACAUCAUAAUGGACUAACUCAAACGACACUAUUCUUUUAUUUAAACUUAAAUGAUAAGAAGUACGGUGGCUUUUUGCCAGAAUGCAAUCCUUACACUGAAAAUCAGAGUUUGAAAUGCCACAAAAUAAAGAUGGAAGUAAUCUUUUUAAAUAACCAAAAGCGGCAUGGCCCAAACGACGAUGCCAUAACCAGAUUGUCUUAUUCUUGUUUGACUGGCUACUGCACACUUGGUUCACUCUGCUUGCAGACACAUCAUCCACAUAGUAUAACCCUCUCCUCUUAGUACCACGCCCAAUUAUCGCCAGAGUCUGGAUAUCCUGAAGUAGGCAAAAAGUGGGAAACAUUAACACAAUACAAUCUAAUUGCUCAGUAACUUGACCAAUAGACAGUAAAUGAUUGGACAAUGACGGAACAAGUAGUGCAUUGUGAAUAGACAAAGAUGGAGUAAGGGAAAUAGAACCAGCUCUCGUGACAUGAGCAAUAUCACCAUUGGUUGUGAUGACAUCCUCUUUAGAAGGUGACGUCGUAUGAUAAAAUAAUGAUGCGUCGUAAGUCAUAUGAUCUGUAGCUCCAGAGUCAAUUAUCCAACCAAUAUCCCUCUUGGUAGACAAUAUUAAAACAAUACUGAUUUUACCUGAGUCUUUCGAGUUUUCAUUCAUUGAAAUCUAGUUGAUGAGAGAUAAUAAUGGACCAGAGUCAUCAACUUUGGAUGUUGCUUCCAAGACCCGGCCUGCUGAUUGGGCUUCUGCCGUGACUAGAUGUGACACAUUGGGCCUCGGUUGGCCUGCUGUGACAGCUGCAAUGCCGCUGCUACCUGCCUUGUCUUGUUGGGCUUUAGGCCCAAUGUGGCCGCCUACAUUUGCUGUCAUCCCCUGUCCAGUAGCUGCCACACGGACCUGACCCGAGGUACGUUUAUUCCCCUUAGCUUUUAAUUCUUUCUUCCUUUCCCAGUACCAUUCUGGGUAACCAUGAAUUUCAAAACAGGUUUCCUCCGUGUCGGGUUCCAUUAUAGUGAUUGCAAUGGAGUUUAUCUUUAUCAAUAUCCUCCUGCGUACGUGAUGACCGAGAGUUUCCAAAGGAUGGUGAACGAUAACUUUGCACUUUAGUUGCCAUAGCCAUAGAAGGUCAUGCCGUGAUGCUCUUUGUUCCCAUCAUAGUGGCCUGCCUCUGAGCUUCGCGUCGUACUAGAUUAAAACAUUCCUCGAUUCCAGGGAUAGGCUUUAUCCUUAGAAUCUCACUUCGUACUUGAUCGAAACCACUGUCUAACCCAGCAAGAAAAUCGUACACCCUAUCCUUCGCAAUUUCCUCUUUACGAGUUCUCAAAUCUGCUCCACAAACCAUACGAAGAGGACGUCUUUUGUCAAGAUCUUGCCAUACACCCUUUAAUUCAGUGAAGUACAGAUUAACUGGGUGACCAUCUUGUCUUGUCCGUGUAGCCUUACAUCGGAGUUCAUAAUAUUGUGACUCAUCAGAACCAUUAUAGAACAUCUGGGUGACACUCUCCCAAAUAUCUUUUGCUGUGGGUAGGAUAAAGAGACCAAGUAGAUGUGGUUCCAUAGUUUUUAAGAACCAUCCUCUCACAAUAGCAUCUUUAGUUGACCACUUCUCUCACAAUAGCAUCUUCAGUUGACCACUUUGCAUAUCCCGGAUCAUCUUCCUCGACCAUCGGAAUUUUCCCUGUUAGAUACCCUAGCUUGCCGAGCCCUGAAGCAUGAACCUCCAUCAUCUUCGACCAUACUUUAAAGUUCGAGUCACUCAACCGAUACCUUAAAGGAAUGGCAUUGAUGUUGGUAGAUUCGCCUUGGUUGGACACGGUAUGCACGGGAAUCAAGCUUGCCUUAUGUUCUUCAGCCAUCACACAACUUUUUAGAAUGGGUUUUAAUUAGAUUUUCGCAGGCUUUGAUGUUUACAAAGGCUGCAAUUCAAUUUGGUUGUUUCUAACACAGUCUGAGAUUCAAACCAUGAGAGAGUUUUACUGGGUUUUUGUGAUUGUCAAAGGCAGGCCGAACCUGCUCUUGAUACCAAGAUAGUAUUCUAGGGUUUUCAUGAAUAUGUUUUUUUCUUUUUUUCAUCUCACAUAGAGGAAUAUAUAUAUACUUAUACAAUCCCCUACCAUCUAGGAAGUAAAUAUCCUAAAUAUAUUAGGAUAUCAAUUACAUACUCAAAAUAUCCCUACAUUCCUUAUUCAAAAUAUAGACUCACGGCAACAAUUAUUUCAACGAAAUUGAAACGUGAAACCUCAUAUGAUUUAAAGGGCAUGGUUGGAAUUGAAACGUGAAACCUCAUAUUAUUUCAAGAAUGACGCUUUUCGGCCCCUUCAACUUCGUGCUUUCAAGAAUAAAUCUCCUAGAGAAGGAUAAACAGGGUUGUCAGAAAGGGUGGUAGGUUAUGCUGGAGGCAUUCCACCUGCUCUUGAAAUUUUGGGUUCCUUAUUCCUUCCAUGUGAGAACGAACAAGAGUGGGAAGAUGUAUUGAGCACGCUGAAAAAAUUUGCCCGCAAGGAGAUUCGGGAUGGGUUCAAAAUAAGCUAUGAUCGGUUAGAUGAAAAUGAGCAGGAGAUAUUUCUUGAUAUAGCAUGCUUUUACAAAGGGAAUCAUAUUCAAGAUGUAAAAAAGAUGGUAGAUUUUGGUCAAAUGCGUGGUGGAAAGAGGGAAGAUAAUGGCCAAACGCAUGGUGGAUCAAGUGCAGCACAUGGAAUUAGAGUUCUCUAUGAUGCGUCUCUCAUAUCGAUUGAUUUAGAAAGGGAAACCAUAGAGAUGCAUUAUUUGGUACAAGAAAUGGGUUGGGCAAUUGUUCGCGAACAAUGUAUUAUAGAACCCGGAAAUUGCAGUAGGUUGUUCAUUGCUGAGAAUAUCUAUCAUUUAUUGAAAAAUAAAGAGAUAAAAAAAAUACCGUGUACUUGUGUUGACCCUAGAAACUACAAAGCCUACGUGGCGCGCAGGCCGAGUAAUCUAUAAGCUAACUACGUCCUUCGGUGAAUGCGGGGCGUGCCAACUCGUCGGCCGAGCUCGGCCGAGGAGUAAAUUUGUUGAUGUUGCGUUGGAUCGCGCUACUGACUUCUGCGUCUUGCGAUUGCGGCCGAGAAAGGAACACGUCUCGGCCUCUUGGGCUCUCGAACCUGAAGACAAGGUUACUAUUCUUACGAAGUUCAAUAUCAAAUUCGGCUUUCAAUGUGCCGAAUGUAAUAACUGUAACACCUCACUUUGCCGAGAAGGUUGAUGAGAUGACCUCGACCAAUAAGGAUUUAGAAACCCUUCUCGACCGAGACUUGGAUAGGUAAUUAAUCGUUCUCGCCGCAGUGCUGUUGAUGCCAACGGAAGGUACUGCGAGACCGACUGACUCUAUGGUGACAGAGCUAUCUAUGUCGACUUAAGAUAUCACCGGUUGCUUCCACAGUGCUGUUGAUGCCAACGGAAGAUGUGUCAGCGAAAAAGGAAAAAGAAAAAUCACAAGUUGUGAGAAUUUGCACAGGGCAAUUUUGUAUUCAUUUGCAGGGCUUUGAAUGAUGUGCAACCUCUUCUAUUUAUAGCAAUGGCCCCCCCCAAGGUCGAGUUAAAAACCUACUCGGACUAGGUUUUCUUCCCCUGAUCAGCAUCAACUCGACCAGUCCUACCUUCACUAGGACUGUGAACUUAGUCCUUUAACUGAGCCGGAUUCGUUUCCGGGUUCUGCCGAGACUCCUUAUUGCACUAGGAUUCGACCUCUUGCGUUAUGACCUAGCCGACCUAGGUUUGGAGGCCCACGUACUGAACGAUCCAUGGUAUUCUUGUCGCAAGGCCUUCCGGGCCGAGAAUGACCCUACACUCGGCCCAAAACUGUUAUUUUGGGCCCAAACAUUGCCCCCUCGCUUCUGAGGUCCUCGGCCUGAAUUCUUUGGCCGAGUUUCGGCCUUGAAGAAGCGAAUCUACCACUCAGAACCCUAAUGCCCAAGUUCCAAGGUGCACUUAUUGAACAUGAUUGCACGAUCUUGAUUCUGUUAACCGAACUCGCCACGUGGCGUCCUCUAACACGACCAAUCCCAAUAAUGACGUCCAAGGCGUGCGGCUGCCUGAACCGUCUUGCCAUUAUGACCACUAUCUCAAUCCGCGAGCCACUUCCUCAAGUCGUGAGCCCACUUGUCAUCGUGCAGGCGUCGAAACGUCUUCCGCCAUUAAUUUCGCCGUCACACGUAAUCGUGCGCCCCCAACAUCUGAGACCUUCGGUCUUUUCAACUGCAUUUCCCAAAUGUUCAUCAUGAUCAUCGAUUCUUUCGGUCGAUUUUGCCCCUUUGUUUUGAAUUUCAAACGGUUACCCUUCCUGCCAAAAGCCUAUAAAUACUGAAAAUCUCUCAUUCGCACUUUACGCUCCCAAAACUUUCUGAAAACUCUUGCUCUUAUUCUCCAGUACAUUUCUUUUUCUAGGUCUUCGUCCUCAAAUCCCCCAACCCAGAAAACCCUUUUCCGCCGUGCUUUCUUCUUACAAUGGCGUCCUUCAUCUCCAAGCUUUCCAGGGAAUGUGACCAGCAUCAGAAGAUUCUUGAUCGGAGCUCGAUCAAGACUAUACGGUUUGAAAGUGACAUGAGCACCGUCCACCAAAUCUUGGGUCCUCUCUUCAAGGCUACAAUACUGCCGACCAUUACUGGCCUUCUCCAGGAGCAGUGCCUAACACCCUUGCUACAAGGGUUUGAAUGGUCGAGAUGGGAUGCGGCGAAACCCCAAGGCUCCUGGCCCUCGACGACCACAUCCUGGGCAGCCUGGGUUGUUCGAAUGGAACGGCUCUUCGGCGAGCAAUGGAAAGCCCUCGGUAUCUACGACGACAUCCUCCUCUCGUCAAUGGAUGUCGUUCACGACAAGGAGCUUAUCCUAGCCGCCUUGUGCUUCUGGUGCUCGGCCACCAACACCCUGGUUCUUCCUCUUGGUCCCAUCGGUCCCACCAUCCUUGAUGUCACCGCCAUUCUGGGGACUUCGGCAACCGGGAUCCCUAUCGACGCGGCCCUCUCUGGGCACCCGUCUAAUAUUGACCUGAAGACGCUUUUUGAUCGACGAGCCUUCGAGGCCUUGAACCGUGACGGUCAAAUCCCGUCGAAAGAAGACAUCCAGAAGCUCCACAAGAACUUCUUUAAUUACAAUACCCUCUAUCUUCACUUCGCCGGCCGAUGAGAGGAGGACCUACGAGAGGGAGAGCAUGAAGUCUUCCUCUUUUAUUGGUACAACAAGUACAUUUGUUGUACCAAGUCAAACAAAUGCUUGGUCGAGAAUAUGCCGGUAGCCGAGGCCCUGGCCAGUGGUCACGUCCUGGCACUGAGCUCCAACAUUCUCGCCCAUCUCUUCCGCUGCCUGGCCGAGGCGACCCUCCACAAAAUCGAUCCACACCAGAAUGGUCCCCUCUGGGUCUUCCAACUCUGGUUACAAGUUUACUUCGCCUCCCUUCGGCCGACCAUAGCUGACUUCUCACCAACGGAGGCGCUUGGGCCUCAGCUGGCCUCUCGACCGACACCUCCCCAUCAACCCGAAGAGGUAUUUCGGUACCUCUUCGCUCUCGACGACUUCUCCAACGACGAGUUCCUGAUAUGUCGUCGUCGAGACUAUCCUUCCUCCAUCAGGCUGCCUACCUCUACGUGGGGCGCGGAGGAGGACGCCGAUCUCCGUCAGACCUGGGGGUCGUUUGUGCUUGCUCGCGACCUCCCCCUCGGCUGCGAUGGGAAACGGUCGGGUUGGGAAGUAUAUCAUCCGAACUUCCUUGCCCGACAGCUCGGCUAUCUUCAGGGCUGCCCCGUCCCCCUUCUCUCCUCCCGGACAGUCCUAAGCCGUGGACGUGAACCUCGUUCUUCGGAGAAGGAAUGUAAAACUGCCGCAAGAGAGUUCCAAGAGUACUGCCAAAAAUUCCGCCUUCGACCGGCCACCCCAGAAACCCAUUGCACUGACACCUUCGGUGAGUGGUGGGAAAAUUACACCCAGGAGUUCUUUGGUGCUCCGGUCGAAUAGGUGCUGAACAAACUCUUCGGUGACCGACCUAAGAAGGCCUCGGCCCCCCAAACUCAAGGUAAUUGUUCAUUUCUCCUCUUUUCCUUCAACCUUGCAUAUUGAUUUGCCUUACUGAAUUCUUUUUAUCUUCUCAGGUAGUCGGCCUUCGAGAAAAACGGAGGCUGUUGCCGCGGCCACGGUCGAGAAAAAAUCGGCCGUGGUUAAAAGGGAUAAGGCUGCUGGUCGGGCCGUGCUGACCAAACGCCCUCGCCAAGAGGCCGAGUCGGUCGUCGAACCUCCACCGCCUGCCAAGCGGGUAAAACAGCUGGCAAAGAAGGGCGCACGGGAGAUCCACGUCAUCUCCAGCCAAACUACAGGGGCGACGACUCCCAGUGUUUCCCCUUUUCCUGCCGUUGUUCAACCCUCGGUCGAGAAACAGCCCGCCCCGGCCGCAGCGACAGUUCGAACGCAGCCUAUCUCUGGGACUGGUACACCAGUUGUGCCUCCCUCCGUCGAGGAAACACUCGCUCCAAAAAAGGUGGUUUCUACGACCGAGGGAACAGCCCCUGGAAAUCCAAAACCCUUGGUCUUCAUUCUGGAAGAGAGUGAGGGGAGCGACGAGGUCCCGUUGGCAGAUCGUCCUCACUUUCGUCGGCAACCUCUCCCAAGGUCUGAGAUUGUGGUUCAAGCCGGCCCCUCCACGGCUGAUCGUGGCAAGCGCCCGAUCGAGGAACCGACAGUGGUGGCCGAACCCCUCGCUCCUUCUCAGGACCAGGAUGUCCCUGCCUCUUCCGAGAUGGCUGCUCCGGUCGGCCCAUCUGCAGCCGACCGUGGCAAACGCCCGCUCGAGGAACCCGAGGCAACGGCGGAAUCGCCCGUUCAUCCCCAAGACCAGGGCUUCCAUAUUCUUCCACAAGAGGUUACCUCGGCCUUCGUAAGUACCUUCGACCAUCUUUCCUUGAUUGCUUUUUUUUUUCUAGAAUUCUAAACGAGGAAAAUACUAAAUGUCAGGUGCCUGUACAUUCUUUUCACCGAUAAUUCUACGCGCCGAAGGGCGUUAUCUACAUUUCUUGGCCGCCUCAGUGGCCAUCAAACGUAGAUAAUCUCCAUCGGCCGCGUGAACUGAGAAGCAAUCUGAGACACUGGGCUAGGCCAUUAAGUUCUUUAAGUUCGAGCAACGAUCCUGGAGACAUGGCCGAGGUCUCCUCUCGGCAGGUUAAAAAAAACACAAAACCUUCUUGCUAUUCUUGUCAUGACUUCUUUUAAACUUAACCUGAUUUGUACGUGCAGGCUUCAUGGGAGGUCGAAUUCAAGCCCUACUCUCCAGCACAACUGCAGAGUCCGGUCAUUCGGCUGCUACAACUGAAGCUGCCGAUCCAAGCGCCCUUACCCAGUUGCGAGAAGUCUUGUCGCUUUCAACAUCGCAAGUACUUGAGCGCAACGGUCUUGAUCUGCUCGGCGUAUGCCUGAACGACCUUGGAGCCGACGGUCGCCUGAGCGGAGAUGCCAUAGUUCGGGCAUCGUCUGCCUUGGAGCGUGUUCGGGAGACAUUUAGUAUCUUCCAGACCGCUCUAAAGGCCGAACAGGACCUGCAAGCCGCCACGGCCAUUCAAGACACCAUCCGUCCGAAAAUCGAUGAUCUUCGUGCAAAAGGGGAAGCGUUAGCCGAGCUUGACCGUCAGAUGGCCGAACUAGCAAAACGUCGGUCGGCCAUUGCCUCCGAGCUUGCUAAAGACUUCGAGUCAGGCGGCAAGGAUCGCCUAACUGAGUAUGCGGCAACCAAAAAACGGGUCGAGCAGCUGAAGCUGGACAAAAAGAAUCGGCAGGCCGAAGUUAUCAUGGCCGACGUGCGGUGGUUGGAAUUGAAGGCCCUGCUCAGCACUCUUCUACCGUCUUCUCCUUGAAUGAUUUUGAAUGUAAACCAAUCGACCUACCCAUUUUGUAAAUGCUUAUCAAUCUUAAUGGACUGGUUUUCUAUUCCCGCAUUUUCCAUGUGACCGGAUAGUAUUUCUUCAAAAACUUCCCAUUGAUUGGUAAUCUGUGAACUACACCGGUUCGGUCUUUAAGAUGAUACGCCCAUUUUCUGUAUACUUUAUGCACAAUGAACGGCCAUUCCCAAUUCGGCGACCACUUGCCGAACCUAGGGUCUUUUAGUCCUACAGGCAACACCGUUUGCCACACUAAUUCACCCUCGCCGAAUGUUUUCUGUCGCACCUUUUGAUUAUAGGCCCGCUCGGCAAUCUGUUUUUGUGCCACCAAUAAGUUAUAAGCGUCAAGUCGCGCUUCUUCCAAAUCUUCUAGUUCCUGUCUCAUGGACUGAUUAUAUUCGGCGCUAAACAAACUACUUUGUUCAAUUAAUCGCAACAAAUUUAUGCUCAACUCGACUGGUAGCACUGCAUCGUGUCCGUAGGUUAAUGCGUACGGGGUUGUCGCAGUCGCCGACCGGGGCGACGUUCGGUAUGCCCACAAUGCUUCGUUCAACUUCAAAUGCCAUAUGCCAGGCCUUUCUUUUAUUAUUUUUUCGAGGAUGCCUAUCAACACUUUAUUACUUGCCUCGGCCUGCCCAUUCGCCUGUGGAUAAUACGGUGUGGACUGUUCCAGCCGAAUUUUCAAAUUUGCCGUGUAUUCUUUAAACCUUUCGGCUGUGAAGAUUGUUCCAUUGUCGGUUAUGAUCGUUUCCGGUACAUCGAACCGGGUCACAAUGUGUUCCUCCACGAAGUCGCAAACCUCUUUAGAUGUUAACUCGGCAUAUGAUUUUGCUUCGACCCACUUAGUAAAGUAAUCAGUUGCGACUAUUAUCCAUGCAUGCUUAGCAGCUCCAGAAGUCGGCGUGAUUUUGCCGAUUACGUCCAUGGCCCAUCCUCUAAACGGCCAUGGCUUAAUGACCGAAUGUAGUGACUCGGCCGGGACCCUUUGUAUAGGCCCAUGGAUUUGGCACUGUACGCAUCCUCGUGCAAACUCGAUACAAUCUUUCAGUAUUCUCGGCCAAAAAUAGCCGUGUUGUCGGAGUAGCCAUCGCAUUUUCCGUCCGGAUUGAUGAGCUCCGCAUACACUUUCAUGAACCUCUGCGAUCGCCCGAGCAUUCUCUUGGGGGCCGAGGCAUAGCAAUAACAAACCAUCUUCACCCUUUCGGUAUAACUCGUUCUGGUACAUGACAUAGUUCGUGGCGUGGACCCGUGUCCUGCGACUAUGUUUCCCGGUAGGAUUGUCAAGGUACUGCAUAAUGGGUGUUCUCCAAUCAUCCGGUAUCACCUCGGUUGUGCAAAUCUCGACAGAGUCCUGCCGAUCUAACAACGAAGGUAAGGACAUAACCCUGGUGCGUAUCACGUCGUCCCGUCGGAGAAUUUGCUGGUUAACCAAGGCCGGGUAUAACUGUCGUAUCACUGGUAUCUCUUGGCCUAGUUUGCCCCCCAGGAGUUAUGCACCGGAGGCAAUUUGAGCCAAUUCAUCCGCGUCGGUAUUAUGACACCGGGAAAUAUGUUGAAAUGUAAUACCGUCGAAGGAUUCGGCCAAAUAGCUGGCGACCAUAUGGUAAGGUGCCAGGGUACAACUCAUGCAACGAGCUCGGAGUCAUCGAGGACGAGGGCGUGGGUUGCCCGCAGGUCAUGGAAAAUUCCAAGGCCGACGAUUAGGGCUUCAUAUUCGGCCUGAUUGUUGGUGCAGUCGAAGUCCAACUUAAGCGAAAAGAACCAGCGAUCGUGAUUCGGGGAUUGAAUAACAAUUCCCAUGCCCGCCGAAGAUGACGUACUUGUUGGAAAUGUGCCCUAAAGCCAAUCAUGUGAUGAUACUUUACGGACAUUUCACAUGUUAAACUAAUCUAGUUUUACAUAUAAAGGGCAUAAAUUAUUGUUUGAGCCGUCUCAUAUAAAUGUUAUAUGCUUAAACGAUAAAGUCCAAGGAAUAUGUGAUUGGGAGAAUGUAAUCUAAUGAAGUUAGAUUCAUGAGACCAUUCUUUCGUAGACACAUCCUAAAUGUUCCUGAUCAUAGGAUUGCCAAUUGGGCGUUGACGGUCCGUUAAGAUCAGUACGUACUAUGUCUUCUCUCAGGGAGAGUGACUAGUCUCGAGUCAUUGGUGUGUGACAUCAAGACAAGUACGUAGGUGCUCAAUAGAGAAUGAGUACACUGAACGUGAUCAACGAAGAGUUCUCAUAUUCCAUGUCACAUAAGAACUCAUGGUUGGGAUAAUGCAAAGUAGUCCUUUGACCUGAGGCAUCACAGUUGUCUUGUGGUUAAGUCCUUGAUCUUUGAUUAUGUCAAAGUCACCCUCUCGGGGUGUCCACGGCAUCGUUGGGGUUAAGCCACUUAGCUAUGGAGACAAGUGAAUGUGCAACAAGGGAUCUCUAACCUUCAAACAGUUGAGGGAGAAUACUCUAUGAUAUGAUUUGGAAUCUCUGGCCAGAGUAUGAAUGAGAUUAGGGAAUGCGUUCCAAAUCACAUUCAAGGAAAUCAUAUAAGCACACGAAUCACAUUGGAUAGUAGACAUGAAUAAAUAAACUAUCAUACCAAACAAUGUGGUCAAGAGUAUUAGAUUAGAGAAAGACCGUAUUGCAUUUGUAAUCCCAAACUGAAUAGGUUCUCUAUCCUCUUCUGAUUAGCUUGGGUAACCAUGAUAUGCUGCUAGGUGUCACUCAUGGUUUGUGGAAGCCCUAAACGUGUGUAAUCACUAAAGGGAGAAUUGAAAAUAGUUUCAAUUCACAAUCGAUGUAAAAUGGUUUUAAUCGCCCACUACCUCGCUAAAAGGAACCUAAUGGAUCGCACACCAUAAAAGGUGGAGAUUGAAGAUUAAACGGAAAUGAGUAAGAAUGAUUAAAUGGUUUAAUCAUUUAUUUAUGGCAAGGAUUCAUUAAUAUGUUAAUUAAUCAAACGAAUAAGUUUGUUAAAGACUUCGGGAUAGUUUUGGACCUUAAGGCCCAAUGGGCUUCGAACGUCAAGCCCAUUAACUUAAGUUGUAUGACAAUUUAAUGAAUGAAGAUUCAUUAAAGCCCAAAAGCCCAAAAUCCCCUAAAUGGCCGGCCAUAGUGUGAUGAAUUAGGGUUUUGGUUAUUUAGGUCACUUAAAGAAGUGACUAUAAAAAUGACUUUAUAACUAAAUAUUCAUUAAGUGAUUAAGGGUUUAUUUUGGGGAAAAUUGGUGAGAAUUGUCUCUCCAUUUUCUCUCUAAAGAGGCCAACACCUUGGAGGGUACAUCUAGCAAUCCUACUACUCCAAGGUCACUCAUUUCUUCUACAAUCAAACCUUGGUGAAGAGACUUAGAGGUUCCCUAUUUUGGGAACUUGGAGAAAACCUAUUUUUCCAUCCAAAUCCAUGGAUCUAAGAAGCAAGGAAUGAAGGCCCUAUCUCUUUGGGUGAUUAGCCUUUGCUUAUGCAAAGAGGAAUCUACAAAGGUAAUAAUUUCAACUCACUUUGUUUUGAGUUGAUUAUUGGUUCACCAAUCUACUAGGCUUUGAAUUUCAUGGUAAUGUUUUGUUUUUGAGUGCAUGCAAGCAUGAUUCCGCCUUUAAUUGUUAAUUGCAUGCUAUAUGAUGUUGCUCAAAUGAACAUGUUUUUCAAAAUAAAUCCUUCAAGUGGUAUCAGAGCCUAGGUCUAGUAGUUGGUGAAUCCUUUUGGGUUUUGUAGUUCAUAAGUUUAUGAUUUAAAAGUUGUAAUUGUUACAAGCUUUAUUCUUGCUUCUUUGAAUGUAAAUUUUGUUUGAAAAUUUGCCAUCUCAAAUGUUGUAGAUGUAGUUCAUAUGAGCAUGAAUAUUGGAGCUAAAAUUUGGUGUCAUGAUUUUGGGGAUUUUCGGCCAAAUCCAAAGGGUGAUUUUUUGGGUUCAUGUUUGUCUUGUUAAAAUGGUUUUAAGGUGACUUUUGGAACCCCUAAGUACCCCUAGGAUGUUAGCCUCAUUUUGAAUGAUAAAAAAUUUGAGUUUUAUUGCAUGAAAACAUUCAUGGAGCUCUUAUGGGUUUUCAUGGAUGUUCUUCAUAUGUUCUUGAUGUUCUUGCCAAGAACACAAAGGUUUGUGUUUUGAUUCAAAGUUUUGAUUUAUUUCAUAAAGUUUAUGAUAUAUGUUUUUCAAAUGAUUUAUCAUGUAUUUAAAGUGUUAAAUAUUUGUAUAAAUGAUGAUGGAAACAUCAAUCAUCAAAACAUAUAUUAUUUUUAUGAAAGUAUUUAAAGUGUUAAAUAUUUGUAUAAAUGAUGAAAGAAAUAUCAAUCAUCAAAAACAUAUAUUAUUUUUAUGAAAGGUGAAAGCACUACUUGAUUGUUUUUGACAAAACUAAUAAAUCAAAAACACCCACCACUCCUUUUUAUCCCUAAAAACCGGCCACCCUAAUAAAAUAGGGUAUUUUUGGGGCUUUUAUGCAAUUACAUAAAGUUUUUUGAUACUUUUGUGUAUUUGUACUUUGACCCGAAAGUUUACGUUUUGACGUUAAGGCCUAAAAACGCUAAAGGACAAAUUGUUUUGCUCCUUUAAUGAAGUUUUUGAAUUUAUUUAAAUUUUGGGUUCUAGUUGUAUUUACAUGAAGUAGUGACUUUUGUGUUUUUACAAAGUGACCCCAAAAGUUUAUGUUUUCGCAAUAUGGCCCAAAAAGUUGUGGUUAUUGCAUGAUGGCCCAAAUAGGAUGAGAACAAAAUUGUUUUGUCUCUUUAAAUGAGAAUUGGAUUUUCAUUUUGUUUAGCUCCACUUAAAUCAAUUUUAUGGAUACAAAAACCAAAUGAAAAUGUUGCAUUCAAUUAAUUAGUUAAAGCGUUAAUUAAUUAAAGGAUGAUUAUGAACCUAAGCCUAAUAUAAUUGAGCUAUGUGAAAGGCGUUUCAAAUUUGUUUGAACCAUGGGAAUGUGUGUAGAUUAUAUUUUGGUUGUAAUUUGAUUUGAUCAAAUGUUGUAAAAGGGCAUAAGUCCUUCUUUACUUUAAGGUAAUUUGUUUUAUGCAAAUGUUGUAAUGAGCAUAAGCUCAUCCUUUACUUUGAAGUAUUUCUUUCUUGCUUUAUUAUAUGAUAUGCAUGAAAAUGAAGUAAUUGGGUCCAACGCCCCUAAGACAACACGCCUUAAUGUGAUUAAACGCGUAACUAAAAUCAAUCUCCAUCCCUAGACCGAGAUUCAACACAAGGCUCGUGUUGAAUCUAAACAAAGGUUCAUAGUCAUCCUAAGGCCCUAAGGCAACUAUAUAGUCCAUCAAAUGAAUGCAAACCUUAUGUUAGUAGUAACAUAUACUCUUGCUUUAAAAAUCGUUUUAAAAGCAUAGUGGGAGUAUUAUGUACAACUAAAACAAUCAUAUGGACCAAUAGUUGUAAUAGGACCAAAAUUGUUUUAAUAGAGAUUAAAAUGUAUAUUGAUAUGUGAUGAGACCUAAAACCCUCAACCAAACCAAUAUUAAGUUAUAAGCGUGAGAGUGCUUUGAACACUCUUUCGUGGCCUUCCACCGUGGUAGGCUUCAAUCGUGUGUGACUCAUACACCGUAUUCGUCCAAUUCUGGGGUUGCAAAGUAUGUGCUUACAUUCAGGAGAAGCCUAUACACAUAUGAUGAAGUGAAAGGUAGGCAACUAGUGUGGCCAAUAUGGAGUUCUUCUGAGGCCAUUCUUGAACCCCUACUUGAACUAGCAUGGUGGGAAUGACUUAACUAAGUGCAAUGGUGCCAAUAUGGAGUUCUUCUGAGGCAUCAGUCUCUAGAGGCCAAAUGAGAUGGGUACUUGCAUUAGUUGCAAAUGAGUAAGCGUACUCUCUCAUUAUUAUUGUUGCUAGCCAAUAUGGAGUUCUUCUGAGGUGGGCUUGGUAAUAGUGAGUCUCCCAUAACCUACUAGGAGUUUCAUCCAAAACUCUCGAAUUCCAAUGAGGGAUAUGGAAUUUGCCAAAAAUAGUGGGUGGUGCUAUUUUGAUUUAAAGACCCGAAUCAAAUGGCUUAAAAUCAAUCAAUUUAUAUUCGUUAUGUAUUUGAUUACCAAUAUAUUUGCAAACGCUAUCCAACACUUGACAAAUAAAAGCCGAACGUUUAGUUUACGGACUUGGUACUACAAAACCAUAGAUUGUCUUUAAUGGCUUGUAAAAGUACCAAAGUAAGUCUCAUCCUCACAAUCUUCCUAUUGAUAAUGUAUCAUUAGAAGAAUAUGUUAGAAAAGGUCUAUCAUAAAGAGGACAACACUUUUAAUGUCAUAAUUCUUCAAUUACAAAUUGUUGUAUGAAGAAAUAGGAGUUGCUUUGAACAACCCUUAAUCAAUGCAAACACUUAGUGCUUGUUUCUUUGUUACAUGAACAAGGAACUUGAGAAGAAAGCACAAAGGCAUGGACACUUUAUGUGCCAUGAUUCUUCACUUACAAUUUGUUGUGUGAAGAAAUAAGAGUUGCCUUGUACAACUCUUUAAAGUUUGUAAUUAUGUUUAGAACAUAAUGGUUGGAUGACAAAAAUAGUCCAUUAACAUGGAUUUAUAAUGAUUUUGAAUCAUUAAGUGUUGAAGUGAUAAAACCACUUAAUGAGACGGAAACUAGGCAAGGACUUCACCUUUGUUUCCCUAUCCUAAUGGUUCACUAAGUUUAUUGUAAACUAUAUAGUGAACAAUAACCACAUGCUCUCCAAAAUGUUUGAUGUGUAUAACACAAUUGAAAAAGGUUUCAAGAGAGAUAGUGGGAGUUUAGGGACCAUGACUAAUGUAGUCAAAGGUGAAAGUCAAAUAAAGAAGAUAAAUAACUCCAAGGGAACAAACUUUCUUUAUGAAAGGAUGGACAUCGGAAGGGGUAUUUGCAAGAAAUGUCUUGCAAGUGUCAAGAACACACCUUUCGAAGGUGUUGUAAAUUGUUCUUGAAUAGUUCAAAACAGUUGGUUCUUCUACUUGAAUGUAUGAUUCCGUAUUAGUAACUAUGUUUUACAAAUCGUUGUAAAAGUGUGACUAAUAAGAAGUAGAAGAUAUAUGAGAGAAGAAAAGGUGCUUCACAUACGGAACGUGAAUAAGAUAUAGAUCUCUGCGAAAGCAGAUAGUACUUACUUCCUCAUAUGAACUACCAAAGAAAUUGGAUAUAUAGUAAUCUAAUUGAUUGUCUCUAUAGUAGAGAUGAUAUGGUAGUGUUAACUGUUUAGAAUAUAAUGAUGCUUAAAACCCAAAAGGUUGCAAGGUAGUGACUAAUCCCAACUAAAUUGUGAUACCUCUAAAACAUAAGUUACGAGUUGGUGAAAACAAGGAUGCUUUGGAUCGUUAGAUCCGGAUCCAAUACCUUCUUGUUAAAAUUGUAUAGAGGCGAAAUGUUCGAAUCUUUAUUCUUUUGGAAAGAAGAAAGAAUCACAAAGUUGUUGAGGUUAAUUCACUUAGAUGUUAGUGGCACUUGUCCACAACAUAAUACUACUCAUGUUAUAUGACAUUCACCGAAGAUCACUCUCGGUUGGACUAUAGUUUAUUUUGAAUAAACACAAGUCCGAAUACUUUGCAAAAGGUUUCAAAGAAUUCAAGAAAUGUAAAUAGAUGAGUAAGAUAUCUAAAGUAUUUACCUCCUUAGAUUUGAUCCAAGGAAAGGUAACACUUUAGAUGAGUUUCCUUGAAAGAUAUCAAGGAAAAUAGCAUCAUAAGAUAAUGUAUUUCUCCAUUAGGAGAAGAACGAACUCAAAUAAGAUUUAGUUCGUUAGAUGUUAUCUAUUACCCAUAUAUAGGAUAUAUACUUCUAAAACAAUAUGAUUGUCAAUUAGAAGAUCUUCCAAAAUUUUCAUAACUCCAUAAGAUGUAGUUGGAAAGAAAGACAAAUCUUAAGCAUGUUAAAGAUUUGGGGUUGUGUGGUAACAAGCAAUAUUUGUUUGAUAACAAUCUUGUAGGAUAUCCUUAAAUUAACUUUUGGAUAUCGCUUCUAUAAACCAACUAACAAAUGUUGUUUUGUUGGGUAGUUCAUUGUAAUUCUACAAUGUGAUUUGCCUAAAAGCAAAUGAACGAGAGAUAGAACUCGAAGAAUGGGUUCUUUGAGAGACAAGAAAGUAAUCAACAUAUAAAAACCUAGUUCCUAUACCUCAAGCUCCAAGGUAGUCGAUAAGGAUUUAUAAACCGUCUCAGUUGAAUGGUUUUGAACUUUAUGACUAUGUCAUAGAGUUGCACCUCUUAAUUCGAAAGAAGUAAGAAUGAAAAUCCUUAUGACUACACUGAGUGCAUAUACGAUAUAUACUCAAGGAAAUGGUAAAGUACCAUUUGACUCGAAAUAAUGAAACCUUCAUAGCUAAUUGGUAGCUUAAGGUGACUACAAUCAAAGAAAAUGGUUGACUUUGAAGAAACCAUCUUUGAGAUAGUCUUAGUUUCAAUUAAUUCGAAGAUUGCUAGCUACAACUAAAUGGUGAUUCAAUAGUCUUGAUAAUAUAUGUCUAAAACUAUGAAUCACAAGACAUGUAAGUUGUAGAGAUCCAUCCAUCAUGGAUCUUAGCAAGUUAGUGGGAGCUAUUUGCAUUUUAUGAGAAAAAGGAUCAAAUCGUUUGAUUUCUCAUAAAGAAGUAAAUGAAUCUUUUGUUUACUAGUUUUACAAAAGAUUAGUGGGAGUUAAUCAUGUUCCUAAAAAUUUAAAUAUAUAUGAUAUAUUUAUUUUGGAAAUGAAAAUAAUACUUCUUCGUUAAAGUUAUGACUUUAAUACAUUAUAUGAAGAUAGAAUGUAUAUGGGAGAUAUAGUCUAUGUACAUGGGAUGGAAAUCUAUAAUGAUAUAUUUCAUGAUAUAAUUGGAUUAUAUCAAUCCCUAAUAAUAGACAAUGGAUGCUAGGAAGUUUCUCAUAUGAUGAUAAACUUCAAUAAGAAGGACGAUUCUAGUGAGACUAGCAAGUUGCCCUUCUCAAAGGGAACGUACCCUUUGACUCCCAAAGAAAUAAUGCGUAAAUUGAAUCCUUUAUGCAGACGCAGAAAGGUGAUUUAUGUAUGAAAAACAUUGAUAUGAGUUGUACCUAGAACGGUACAAGAUGAUAUCAGUGCAAGCCCAGGAUCAGAACCAUGGCAACUGUCAAGUGAGUCCUUAAGUAUUUGAGAAAUACUAAAGGAUAAAUUCCUCAAAGAUCGAGGAAGAAUCAAAGUGACGUAAUGGAAGCGUAAAUGUAUUAGAUUAUGAAUCUAAUCCAUCAUUGGAUGUUUCUUCAUUAUGAAUGAAGAGAUAAACAGAUAUCUCUUUAUUAUGACUAAAGAGAUAUUUGGAUGGAAACAUUAAAGUAUGACUUUAGUGUGUUCCAUUAUGAAUGCAAGAUAUAUUGCCAUAUAGAAGUUUACAACAAUGUUGUUUGGAUGGGAAAGUUCAUUUAUGAACUCUCUAUUCGGUUCCAACCAGAAAGUGUAUGACACUAAUGGGGCGAUAGCUCAAGCCUGGGAAUCAAGGUCUCAUCAAGAUCCGAACUCAAAUGAGAGACUGAACCACAUGAUUGAGAAUCAUGUAUAAUGGUGACGUCGUUAUUCUCAAGGUUGCUUCUAUGGAUAACACAUAUAGAUGUCCACUGUCUAGGCCUACUAUUCAGCCAUUUAUGAAAUGACUACAGAAGAGGUAUCAUCAAGAUGACCAAGCUGAUUGGCUCUAGUGCAAGUGGGAGAUUGUUGGAAAUGUGCCCUAAAGCCAAUCAUGUGAUGAUACUUUACGGACAUUUCACAUGUUAAACUAAUCUAGUUUUACAUAUAAAGGGCAUAAAUUAUUGUUUAAGCCGUCUCAUAUAAAUGUUAUAUGCUUAAACGAUAAAGUCCAAGGAAUAUGUGAUUGGGAGAAUGUAAUCUAAUGAAGUUAGAUUCAUGAGACCAUUCUUUCGUAGACACAUCCUAAAUGUUCCUGAUCAUAGGAUUGCCAAUUGGGCGUUGACAGUCCGUUAAGAUCAGUACGUACUAUGUCUUCUCUCAGGGAGAGUGACUAGUCUCGAGUCAUUGGUGUGUGUGACAUCAAGACAAGUACGUAGGUGCUCAAUAGAGAAUGAGUACACUGAACGUGAUCAACGAAGAGUUCUCAUAUUCCAUGUCACAUAAGAACUCAUGGUUGGGAUAAUGCAAAGUAGUCCUUUGACCUGAGGCAUCACAGUUGUCUUGUGGUUAAGUCCUUGAUCUUUGAUUAUGUCAAAGUCACCCCCUCGGGGUGUCCACGGCAUCGUUGGGGUUAAGCCACUUAGCUAUGGAGACAAGUGAAUGUGCAACAAGGGAUCUCUAACCUUCAAACAGUUGAGGGAGAAUACUCUAUGAUAUGAUUUGGAAUCUCUGGCCAGAGUAUGAAUGAGAUUAGGGAAUGCGUUCCAAAUCACAUUCAAGGAAAUCAUAUAAGCACACGAAUCACAUUGGAUAGUAGACAUGAAUAAAUAAACUAUCAUACCAAACAAUGUGGUCAAGAGUAUUAGAUUAGAGAAAGACCGUAUUGCAUUUGUAAUCCCAAACUGAAUAGGUUCUCUAUCCUCUUCUGAUUAGCUUGGGUAACCAUGAUAUGCUGCUAGGUGUCACUCAUGGUUUGUGGAAGCCCUAAACGUGUGUAAUCACUAAAGGGGAGAAUUGAAAAUAGUUUCAAUUCACAAUCGAUGUAAAAUGGUUUUAAUCGCCCACUACCUCGCUAAAAGGAACCUAAUGGAUCGCACACCAUAAAAGGUGGAGAUUGAAGAUUAAACGGAAAUGAGUAAGAAUGAUUAAAUGGUUUAAUCAUUUAUUUAUGGCAAGGAUUCAUUAAUAUGUUAAUUAAUCAAACGAAUAAGUUUGUUAAAGACUUCGGGAUAGUUUUGGACCUUAAGGCCCAAUGGGCUUCGAACGUCAAGCCCAUUAACUUAAGUUGUAUGACAAUUUAAUGAAUGAAGAUUCAUUAAAGCCCAAAAGCCCAAAAUCCCCUAAAUGGCCAGCCAUAGUGUGAUGAAUUAGGGUUUUGGUUAUUUAGGUCACUUAAAGAAGUGACUAUAAAAAUGACUUUAUAACUAAAUAUUCAUUAAGUGAUUAAGGGUUUAUUUUGGGGAAAAUUGGUGAGAAUUGUCUCUCCAUUUUCUCUCUAAAGAGGCCAACACCUUGGAGGGUACAUCUAGCAAUCCUACUACUCCAAGGUCACUCAUUUCUUCUACAAUCAAACCUUGGUGAAGAGACUUAGAGGUUCCCUAUUUGGGAACUUGGAGAAACCUAUUUUUCCAUCCAAAUCCAUGGAUCUAAGAAGCAAGGAAUGAAGGCCCUAUCUCUUUGGGUGAUUAGCCUUUGCUUAUGCAAAGAGGAAUCUACAAAGGUAAUAAUUUCAACUCACUUUGUUUUGAGUUGAUUAUUGGUUCACCAAUCUACUAGGCUUUGAAUUUCAUGGUAAUGUUUUGUUUUUGAGUGCAUGCAAGCAUGAUUCCGCCUUUAAUUGUUAAUUGCAUGCUAUAUGAUGUUGCUCAAAUGAACAUGUUUUUCAAAAUAAAUCCUUCAGUACAAGAGCCGUCAAAGUACAUCGUCCAGUGGUUGUCGCGCGUCUGAACCAUGCCGAUGUCAACGUCGUUGCCCCCAAAACCGUAUGGGGAGGGAUGUUGAGCAAGGAAAUCAGCCAAUGCUUGGCCCUUGACGGCUUUCUGAGCUACAUAUUGCAAGCUAAACUCGGACAGUGCCAUGGUCCAUUCCCAAUGCGGCCUUUUACGAUUGGUCGGGUGAGCAUGUAACGGAUGACUUCGGUCUGGGUAAUAACUUGGGUAACCGAUGGGAGCAUAUAAUGCCGGAGCUUGGAAGUGGCGAAAAACACGGCCAGGCACAGCUUCUCGAUGGCUGGAUAAUUGAUCUCCGGUUGACUGAGAUUGCGGCUGAGAUAAAAAAUAGCCUGUUCUCGUCCGGCGUCGCUGUCUUGUGCAAGGAGGCAGCCGAUGGACUCUUCGGCCGCCGAGAUGUAGAGCUUAAGAGGCUUACCACGCCGAUGAGGAACCAGGACAGGUGGGUUCGUAAGGGAGACUUUGAUUUACGUAAACGCCGCCUGAUGCUCAUUGUUCCACACAAAUUUAUCGGAGUCCUUGAGUCUCAAAAGCGUGGAAAACGCUUUCAUUUUACCUGCGGAGUUGGCAAUAAAUCGACGGAGGAAAUUGAUCUGGGCGAGUAAGGACUGGAGUUGUUUCUUCGUCGUUGGGGGUGGGGCAUUGAUGAUUGCGCGGGCCUUAUUCUCAUCGACUUCAAUCCUAUGGUGAUGCACGAGGAAACCAAGAAAAUUUCCGACCGACACGCCGAAAGCACACUUGGCGGGAUUCAUCUUGAGGUUGUGUCAACGCAUGCGGAGGAAAGCUUGUCGAAAAUCGUCCAGAUGUGUCUGUCGGCGUUUAGAUUUGAUGACAACAUCGUCGAUGUAAACUUCGACGAUGGUUCCAAUUAAAUCAUGGAAAAUGGUAUUCAUCGCCCGUUGGUAUGUGGCGCCGGCAUUCUUGAGGCCGAACGGCAUAACAACCCAUUCGUAAGUCCCGAGUGCCCCCGGGCAACGGAAAGCAGUUUUGUGCACAUCGGCUUCGGCAAUGAAUAUUUGGUAGUAUCCGGCGUGUCCAUCCAUAAAGGAUAAGAUUGCAUGACUCGCCACAGCAUCGAUCAAGAGGUCUGAAAUCGGCAUUGGAUACUCAUCUUUGGGAGUUGCCAGAUUCAGAUUUCUGAAAUCGAUACAGAUGCGUAGGGCACCAUUUUUCUUUAAAACAGGCACGAUAUUUGCCAACCAUUCAACAUAUCGAGCUAUCCGAAUGAACCCGGCUUUCAAAAGCCGAACCAAUUCGUCCUUGAUGCCGAGUUGUACUUCGGUCGAGAAUCGACGAGGUGGCUGACGAAAAGGUUUGCAUCCGGGCUUAAUAUGUAAUUCAUGCUCGACCAGAGUACGCUCUAAGCCGGGCAUUUCAUGAUAGCUCCAAGCAAAACAAUCUUUGAACUCCGUAAGCAAGGCACGAAGCUCGUCCUUCAUUUGUUGGGGAAGUAACGUACUAACAAACAAAGGCCGUGGAUCAUCGGCCGUCCCAACAUUAAUCUCUUCCAGGGGGUCCUUCACUUGGGGCCGAUGAUCUUCGAGUUCGGCCGGGGCGGCUUGAAUUUUAUCAAGAGACAAAACAGGACCAUUAUCUCCUUCGGCAAGGAACUCGACGAGGUUAACGCCCGAAUUUGGUUGUUUGGAUAUAGUAUACCAAUGGGCCAGCAGUCGUUCCAUAGUAGAUGAAACCGCGGCCCUACGUCUUUCCCGAUCGGUGUCAAACAUUAGCUUCGGGGAGGAAAUUAGCUAAUCCGAGUCUCGCCGAAUCCUGCUGGAUAGUCUCGGCGCCAACCUCGAUAGCUUUCUGAACGGAAAUCCGAGUCGACCGUCCCUCUUCAUUGAAGCCUUGCAAAGUAAUGUAGCCGACGUGAUCGUCAUAAUACCGUGCUUGGAUCAUGUUAGCUUCGAAGGGCUGGCUAUCGGCUGGAUGAACAGUGACCGAUUUGCCGUCCCAAAAGACAAGCACUUGGUACAAUGAGGAAGGAAUACAGCUGGUUUGAUGAAUCUAAUCUCGGCCGAGCAGUGCAUUAUACUCGGUUUUGGAAUCAACCACGAAAAAGGCGGUCAUGUGGGUGCGACCGGUAAUAUUCACAGUUAACGGAAGUACACCUUUGGUGUGGGAUUUGUCGCCGACAAAACUACUCAUUGUGAUUCCUGACGGAAUAAGCUCGUCAUUUGAACGGCGUAAGGCUUUCAUGAUGUUCAGAGGCAUGAUAUUGAUGGUAGCUCCACAGUCGACAAAAACUUUGGAAACUGGAUAUCCCUCGAUGUGGGCCGUCACAUACAAUGGCUUUAAAUGGUGAAGCUUGGCCGACGAUGAGUGAGGGAACAAUUCGGCCAAAACGGCCUUUAGACUAUCAUCUUUUGUUGUUGACUCGCCUUCAGCAAUCGAUACAAAAUCAACAUGGCCGGGUUCCUCGGCAACCACAUCUCCAUCAAGGAAAUUUGGUUGAGCCGUGCUUGAUUGAAAAUCGGCAGGUAACACAUGGACCAUACUGAUUUCCAUAUUAUCCAGGACUGACGGGCCCAUCUGGUCAAGACCCUCCUCAUUCGGUUGGUCGGCGACUACGGACUCAGUUGUCGUCAAAGUCGGACAACGAGACUCUUCUGUCCCUUCUUCAAUGACGUCACUCGGCGGAGCUGCUUCGGCGACUUGUUGGUUCUGCGUGACCGCCUCAGGUAAGGUUGAGACUGACAACGUACUUGGGGUCAGGACCUGAACCUGCUCCUGGUAGUGUAGCCGAGCAUCCCUAGUGCCGAGAUAAGCAUCUAGACGGGCAAUACGUGCGAUUUCAUCGGUCGUAAGGCCGAAGAGAGAAACCGCCGAAAAUACUUCAAAGUGAUAUCGUAAAUACUGAAGGUCCUCCAGCGAGAAAGGAAGGUCGACUGCAUUGAUAUCGAUGUACGGGUCGACUUCAAAUCCAAGGACACGAGCUUCUCGUAUGUGCUGGAACCUGGCUUUCAAUCCUGGAUCUGAGGUCUUCUGGAUGAUCCGCUCAGCAUCCGGACAAGUCAGGACCAGAUCAAUGGUGUCCUGGCAUGCCUUCGGCAAACCAUACAGAUCGUUGGCCGAAUGUUUCUUAUGAAAUUCUCGCAUAUACUCCAAAGACUCCCCAAGGAACGGGGGAUGCAAAUUCCGUCGAAUUUUGACUAAAGGUUCUUGUAUAGCUGGCGGGGAUAAUUUGCUUUCGGCCUCUUGCCUGAAAUGUUCAAGGCGUGCCUUCAUUUCCCCUGGUCGAAUGAGGAGUUUGAUCCGUUUAUCAGCUUCUUCAAACAUGGUCUCGACAUCUUGAUCGACCAGUCGUUUCCCCUGAGCCAACUCUGUCAUAAUUGCUGGAGAUGGUCGGUCAUCAUCAGUGGCAACUGUGUCCUUCGGCCGCCACUUAGGGGCCGAAGUUUCUUGGGCUGCUCGUUGGUGAGCCAUGCAAUCUAUCCGUUGAUGUCGGCGUUUCUGAGAUUUGGACAACGCGGUGUAGACGCCCUUCGAAGAAUGGUAUGUAUACCAACGUUGAUCUCUAGGCUCGGGAGGCUUGAAGGUCUUUUGGCUCCGCGAUGAUUCUGAACUGCUAGAAUUACGCUUAUAGUAAUCAUCGUCAUAGAAUGAAGCAUCAAAAUCGAAGCGCCACCUGAUGUUGGCCUUCAUUGGCUACCUUUUGCCGAGUUGCGGCCACAGGUUGCGAAGAGGGCUUCUCCUCUGGUUCACUGUCGACCUUCGCUCUACAUUUCCUGCACAAAACCGUCGUCCCACUGUCUUCAUCGGUGCUAUAAUCCAUCAUAGGUUUGACAAUAGCGGGCCCUGUUAAAGCCGUAGGUGGUUUGUUUGAACGAAAAUCAGCCAUGAACCGUGGCCAAAAAUUCUGAUUCCGCGGGUUGCGUCUCAACCACUUCGGCCUUGCCUUUCCCUUUGUCCUUGGGUAGGUAUGCGUCGACCAUAUUUACUGUUGCCGUGGGGAACGGAUCAGUAUCAGCACUCAUCCUCUUCUCGAGAAACUUCAGUUUGCCAUUAUCAAUCCAGCUUUGGACGUUAUCGCGAAAUACAACGCAAUUGUUUGUCGUAUGUUUGCUCGAAUUGUGGUAUUUGCAAUACACCUUUCCUUUAAGCUCUUCGGCCUUAGGAAUGUUAUGACCAGGCCGAAGCUUAAUGAUUCUUGCUGAUAACAGUUGGUCAAAAAUUACGUCAGCCUUGGUAAUAUCAAAAGUAUAAACCUUUGACGGUUUCAAUGUUCCUUCAGUGGCCGAGCGACUUUUGGCUUCUCUAGAAUCAACCUGAGUCAAUGCCUUGCAAACGUAUGGCUUAUCUAUCACUAUCUCAGCCGCAUCCACACUAACGCAUUCAUCCUCGGUUGAUGCAUAAUUGACAGUAGGGUUCUUGUAAAUCAUUCCCCGAGUUGGAGUCUUCGAAGUCUUUUCCUCGCGGAGCAAAUAAUCAUACUGCUCAACAUGUUGGGCUAAUUCGUACAUAUCCCGAAAAUUUGCCCCCAAGAAUUUCUUUUUGUAUUCGACGUCAAGGCCAUUCAAAGCAAGCCUGACAAAUUCGACUUCGGGUAAAGGCACUCGGCACCAAUUCCUAGCUGAUUUGAUCCUGGUAAGAUAAUCCAUUGGUGACUCAUCAGACGCUUGAGCCAUCCGUGCUAAUGAAGAGACUGACAUCUCCAUCCCCGGCCGAUAAAACUGCUCGUGGAAUUUCUCGACCAACUCCUCCCAAUUUUGGACGGAAUUAGGAGGGAGAUUGAUGUACCAGGCAAAUGCCGAGCCGGUCAAUGAAAAGUUGAACAGCCGUAACUUAUGGACAUCACUAUUAACAUCUCCGCAUUGCGCGAUGAAACGAGCCACGUGCUCCAACGAAGACAGGGACGAUUCACCGGCAAAAAGACUAAAAUCUGGGAUCUUGAAACCCUUCGGGUAUCCAAACGUUUCCACGUAAGCUGGGUACGGAUGAAUAAACUUGGGAAACUUCGGCCCUUUCUUCAUGGCCGAGUCGAUCAUCCGCUGAACUUCGGUCAUAUCAACAGGUGUUGCUUCGAUCCUCUGGUCGGUUCUGUCUGAUCUACUAUUCGACCCUCCUCCUUUUUCCAAGUUAAUUGGUUUGAGCGGAGCAGGAAUAGGCUCGGCCGGUACAAUCGGUACCGGGUUGUUUCCUGGUGGACAAUGUUGGAGAAGAUCGAAAGGCCUGCUGCCACCAACUUUACUAACCAGCAUUUCGAGUAGCCUGGUUUGUCGAUCAUUGGAACUGAGUAUCGCGUCAUGCAGCUUGUCAAUGCCUCGACUGAACGUCUGCUCGACUAACCGAGACUGCUCGUCUAGUCACUUUCGGAUAAACGACCUCGUUGGUGGGUCAGAUCCUUCACCACCAUCCUCGUCACACUCCUCUACUAUCCCUUCAUUGAGAACGCAUGUGUUUCUGUUAGGGAUUUCUAAACCACGGAGUUGACCGCCGAGAUUAACUUCUCUCUCUCGGCGAGUCGCGCUCGUGGACUCAGGUGUCGUAGUGCUAAAGGGAUUCUGCGCCUGUGGCACACUCUGUCCUAUGCUCUGACUCGACAAAUCGGCUGUCGACUUUCCCAUAACUGUUUUAUUUUUUACCGAUCGUGUUUCAAUUGGCAUGAACUUCGUAGUUUAGCACUGGGUCCCACUGGGCGUGCCAAAAUGUUGACCCUAGAAACUACAAAGCCUACGUGGCGCGCAGGCCGAGUAAUCUAUAAGCUAACUACGUCCUUCGGUGAAUGCGGGGCGUGCCAACUCGUCGGCCGAGGAGUAAAUUUGUUGAUGUUGCGUUGGGUCGCGCUACUGACUUCUGCGUCUUGCGAUUGCGGCCGAGAAAGGAACACGUCUCGGCCUCUUGGGCUCUCGAACCUGAAGACAAGGUUACUAUUCUUACGAAGUUCAAUAUCAAAUUCGGCUUUCAAUGUGCCGAAUGUAAUAACUGUAACACCUCACUUUGCCGAGAAGGUUGAUGAGAUGACCUCGACCAAUAAGGAUUUAGAAACCCUUCUCGACCGAGACUUGGAUAGGUAAUCAAUCGUUCUCGCCGCAGUGCUGUUGAUGCCAACGGAAGGUACUGCGAGACCGACUGACUCUACGGUGACAGAGCUAUCUAUGUCGACUUAAGAUAUCACCGGUUGCUUCCACAAUGCUGUUGAUGCCAACGGAAGAUGUGUCAGCGAAAAAGGAAAAAGAAAAAUCACAAGUUGUGAGAAUUUGCGCAGGGCAAUUUUGUAUUCAUUUGCAGGGCUUUGAAUGAUGUGCAACCUCUUCUAUUUAUAGCAAUGGCCCCCCCUAAGGUCGAGUUAAAAACCUACUCGGACUAGGUUUUCUUCCCCUGAUCAGCAUCAACUCGACCAGUCCUACCUUCACUAGGACUGUGAACUUAGUCCUUUAACUGAGCCGGAUUCGUUUCCGGGUUCUGCCGAUACUCCUUAUUGCACUAGGAUUCGACCUCUUGCGUUAUGACCUAGCCGACCUAGGUUUGGAGGCCCACGUACUGAACGAUCCAUGGUAUUCUUGUCGCAAGGCCUUCCGGGCCGAGAAUGACCCUACACUCGGCCCAAAACUGUUAUUUUGGGCCCAAACAACUUGCUAUGAGAAGACAGCUAGAGAAAACUCAUUUACGAUAAAUAAUAUGUAGUUUUGAUUAAAUUUUGUUGUAUGUUAAUGUAUUCACAUUUAUACUUUGUUUUUUAUUAUCAGGGAACUGAAAAGGUUCAAGCCAUAUUCUUUAACAGGUCCAACAUUCGAGAGCAAAACUUGAUUCGUGCAGACGUUAAAAAGAUGUAUAAUAUGAGAUUGCUCAAUGUUGAUAAUUCUAGCUUGUGCUUGGAAAACCUCUCUCUCUUCUCGAUUCUCUUCGUUAUCUUUCCUGGGAAGGAUAUCCUUUGAAAUCUUUGCCCCAAGAAUUUUCUCUUGAAAAUCUUGUUGAGCUUAAUAUGCCCAACAGCGAAGUCGAGCAACUUUGGAAUGAAGGCCAGGUAUAUGUGCUUAUUAUAGUUUUUGUUUAAGAUGUAAUGUAGAAACUUAUUCAGACUAAGUUGUUAAUUCUUAUUGUUUCUCUUUAAUUUGUUACAAAAUCCUAUCAACUUAAAAGUGAUCAAACUUUGUUACUCCAAACGUCUAACUGCACUUCCAAACCUCUUGGGGAGUCCAAUUAUCGAGCACAUAGAUCUUUUCGCAUGUGAAAAUUUGGUUAAAAUUCCUUUGAAUUUUCAAGAUCUUGACAAGCUUACUUUUCUUAAUCUUCCAAGGAUGCCAGGCAAUAUUGAAAUCUUAAAGUUAACAGGCAGUGGCAUAAAGAAGUUGCCGUCAUCAGUUUGGUCUCAUGAAAAAAUUUCUUCCUUGGAGAUCAGAUAUUGUAGAAGACUUAAGAAACUUCCAAGAAGCAGUUGUAAGCUGAAAGUCUCUGGUGCUUUUAGUCUAGAGGGUUGCUACUCUCUUGGCGAGUUUUGGGAGAUUCCCAGGGGUAUUGGUGAAUUAGAUUUUUCUAGAACAUCAAUAGAAGUAUUGCCCAUAUCAUCAAUGGAGUGUCUCUUUUGUCUCACCACGCUUAAACUGAAUGAUUGCAAAAAUCUUGCGAGUCUCCCACCAGACAUUUGUGAGUUGAAAUCUCUUGAGGUACUUGAUCUCACUGGUUGCUCUAAACUUCAAGAUGUCCCAAGUAACAUCUACAAAUUAACAAAUCUUAAAACUCUAGCUUUUAUGACUGUUGGAAGCUUCAAAAUUUUCCCCACCCAGCUGGCUCAGUUGGUUUGCUCUCUCUUGAAGUGCUAAACCUUGGUCAAAACGGUAUAUUAGAAAUCCCUGAGAACCUCAUUUGCUCAACCUCAUUACGGCAUAUUAAUUUGAGAGGAACCAAAAUUCCCUCAGGCAUCAAACAAGCUUCUCAGCUGUCUUGCUUGUGCUUAAUCGAGUGCAUGAGCCUUGAAUCUUUACCAGAGCUCCCAUUGCUAAGUCAUCUUGAAGCAGAUGGGUGCAAGUCACUGAAGACAGUGUCAAGUUCAACAACAACAACAACAAUAACAAAGCCUUUUCCCACUAAGUGGGGUCGGCUAUAUGAAUCCUAGAACGCCAUUGCGCUCGGUUUUGUGUCAUGUCCUCCGUUAGAUCCAAGUACUCUAAGUCUUUUCUUAGAGUCUCUUCCAAAGUUUUCCUAGGUCUUCCUCUACCCAUUCGGCCCUGAACCUCUAUCCCGUAGUCACAUCUUCGAACCGGAGCGUCAGUAGGCCUUCUUUGCACAUGUCCAAAUCACCGAAACCGAUUUUAUCUCAUCUUUCCUUCAAUUUUGGCUACUCCUACUUUACCUCGGCUAUCCUCAUUCCCAAUCUUAUCCUUUCUCGUGUGCCCACACAUCCCACAAAGCAUCCUCAUCUCCACUACACCCAUUUUGUGUACGUGUUGAUGCUUCACCGCCCAACAUUCUGUGCCAUACAACAUCGCUGGCCUUAUUGCCGUCCUAUAAAAUUUUCCCUUGAGCUUCAGUGGCCUACGACGGUCACACAACACGCCGGAUGCAUUCUUACAUUUCAUCCAUCCAGCUUGUAUUCUAUGGUUGAGAUCUCCAUCUAAUUCUUCGUUCUCUUGUAAGAUAGAUCCUAGGUAGCGAAAACGGUCGCUUUUUGUGAUCUUCGCUAGAUUGCUCAAGUCAUUAGUGUGGAUAAGUAUAUAGAUGGAUAGAGAUAGGAAAGCAAACACAAGAUGUACGUGGUUCACCCAGAUUGGCUACGUCCACGGAAUAGAGGAGUUCUCAUUAAUUGUGAAGGGUUUACACAAGUACAUAGGUUCAAGCUCUCCUUUAGUGAGUACAAGUCAAUGAUUUAGUACAAAUGACAUUAGGAAAUAUUGUGGGAGAAUGAUCUCAUAAUCACGAAACUUCUAAGUAUCGGAGUGUGGUAUCGUCUUGACUUGCCUUAUCUGUCUCAUAGGUAGAUGUGGCAUCUUCUCUGGAAGUACUCUUCCUCCAUCCAGGGGUGGUAUCUUUAACUGGUGGAGAUGUACAAGGUAAUGUAUCAAUUUCACUUGAAGCUUACUUGUAGUUUCAGGCUUGGUCAAGCGCGAUACAAACCAUGUAGUAGGAGUCCCCAAGUCGCCGAGCUAGGGGAUCUGCUGAAAGAGGUGACAGACAAGGUAAGCAAUCAGAGCUUCGGCUGAUUGUUCACAUUCUCCCUAUCUUGCAGGCAGCAUGAAGGAUAAAGAGAAGAAAAAUGAGAAGAGAUGAUAUGGGAUACUUUUGCUUUUGAAGAAGUAACUUUCCACGGGCUUAUUCUUGAACUGAGCUGGAGGGUUUUCUGGUUUCCUCCAGAGUAUAAGGCCGACUGAAGAAUUUGAGGGUCAAAACAAGUCCUUCAAAUCUAGAGUACGUUCGACCCUGCUGAUAUGGGAUACUUUUUCUUUUGACAGAGUAGUGGAUGUAUCGGCACGUGUACUGUUACGCUUGUCUCCACAUGCUUCCUUGUAUCCUUCUCACUUGCCCUACCUGUUCCUCAGGCAGAUGCGGUAUCUUCCCUUGAAGCAUAAGAUGUUGAAGAUGAGUACUCGAGAGCAAUGCCAGGUAAGUAAUCAGGUAAGGGGUUCCAGGCAGUCAGUUUCUGGCUGGAAGCUUGAUUCCAAGUGCUGACUGAUUGCUCUCUUUCUCCUUGUCUUGCAGGUAAGAACAAGGCCAAAGUAAAAGACAGGGAAAAAGCAUGAUAUGGGAUACUCUUGCUUUUAACCCUGAUGAUAUGAGAUAUUCUUGCUCUAGUAUAGGUUGUUUGCAGAGGUAUUAUCGGGGGGAAAGAAAGCUGAAUAUUUCGAAAGGCUUCUUUGGGAGUGCCCUCUCAGAUAUGAGAAAGGGUUGAGCAUUUUUGCAGGUCUGCCUGUCCGUUGGGGAUGGAGGUCGACAUAUAUAGGAGUCUCCCUAACAACAAGUAAUAAUGCUAUUCCUUUACCCUGCUUGGUCAUAGCACGGUAGUGGGAGCUGUCAGCUUCACAUGUUUUAACUCUGUCAGAGCACUUUGAAAAAGUGGUCUGUGGUAUCUGGAAAGCUGAUGUUGCGUGUGAAGAUUACAGACAAGCUUUAUCCAAGGAGAUCCGGCUCUUGAAGUUGGGAAAGUGGUGCCUCUUCGGUUUUCGAACAAGCAAUCCUAUCGGGGAUCUGGCUCUCGAGAUUCGGAGAACGAUGCCUCUUCGAUUUUUGAGAAAGCAAUCAUGCUGGGGGUCUGGCUCUCGAGAUUCGGAGAGCGGUGUCUCUUCGAUUUUUGAGAAAGUAAUCAUGUUAGGAGUCUGGCUCUCGAGAUUCGGAGGGCGGUGCCUCUUCGAUUUUGGAGCAAGCAAUCUUGUUGGGAGUGUUUUCUCGAAUGUGAGUAAAGGUUGGGCAUGUUUGCUAGUCUACCUUGCCACGAAGCACAGAUGUUGACACACAGGGACUUUCCAAUUAUCCAGUAAUGGUACUGUUCCUUUACCCUCUCUUUAAUUUUUGAGAAAGUAGUCAUGUUGGGAGUCUGGCUCUCGAAAUUCGAAGGACGGUGCCUCUUCGAUUUUGGAGCAAGCAAUCUUGUUGGGAGUGUUUUCUCGAAUGUGAGUAAAGGUUGGGCAUGUUGCUAGUCUACUUUGCCACGAAGCACAGAGGUUGACACACAUGGACUUUCCAAUUAUCCAACAGUGGUACUGUUCCUUUACCCUUAUGGGUAAUAAUAUGGUAGCUAGACCUUCAAAAUUUAUGUGUCUAAACUUUGUUAGUACUGUUUCUUUGCUAUUCUUUUACCCUUCUUAGUCAGAGCGAUGCAGUGGGAGCUGCAAGCUUCACUUGUCUCAACUUUGGCAGAGAACUUUGGCAAAGUUAUCUGUGGUACCCAUGAGCUACUGUUGCGUGUGAGAAGUGGGUGAUUGAACAGUAAGAUUCAUGUGCUUUCUACUUCACCAGAAGUCUUCGACAGAAUGCUCAUAAUUUCCGCAAAGCUGAGUGUGCGUGUGACAAGUGCUGACAAGGCUAGAAAAGUAGGUGCCUCUUCGAUUUCUGAGAUCAGCCCUCGUGGUCUCUGAGCAGCCCAACUUUUGAGAAAGUAAGCGCCUCUUCGAUUUCUAAGAUUGGCCUUCGUGGUCUUUGAGCAACCCAGCUUUUGAGAAAGCAAACGCCUCUUCGAUUUCUGAGAUCGACCCUCGUGGUCUCUGAGCAGCCCAGCUUUUGAGAAAGUAAACGCCUCUUCGAUUUCUGAGCAGGCGCCUCUUCGAUUUCUGAAACUCCGUCGAGUGCAGAUUUUUAUAGGGGCUGGCAUUAAGUUCCAAAGCACACUUGAAUCUCCACCAGUAGAAGCUCCAUUCUUGCACUUCUAAGAUCUUGAUUUGUCCGACCUCUUAUCUCUUCAACACCUUUGAAAAUGUCUGGCCCCUCCGACCGUCGUUUUGACUUGAACCUUGUUGGAGAGGCAGCCUCGCCUUCUCCAGACAACAUAUGGCGCCCAUCCUUCGUCUCCCCUUCUGGUCCUCUUACCGCUGAGGAUUCCGUGAUGAAGAAUGAUAUGACCGCUGCGGUGGUGGCCAGGAACCUUCUCACUCCCAAAUAUAACAGACUACUUUCCAAACGGUCUGAUGAGUUAGCUUUUAAGGAUUCUCUGGCUCUCAGUGUUCAGUGUGCAGGUUCUGUGUCUAAUAUGGCCCAACGCCUAUUUGCUCGAACCCGCCAAGUUGAAUCUUUGGCGGAUGAAGUAAUGAGUCUCAAACAGGAGAUUAGAGGGCUCAAGCAUGAGAAUAAACAGUUGCACCGGCUCGCACAUGACUAUGCUACAAACAUGAAGAGGAAGCUUGACCAAAUGAAAGAAUAUGAUGGUCAGGUUUUACUUGAUCAUCAGAGAUUUGUGGGUUUGUUCCAAAGGCAUUUAUUGCCUUCGUCUUCUGGGGCUGUACCGCGUAAUGAAGCUCCAAAUGAUCAACCUCUGAUGCCUUAUCCUUCUAGGGUUCUGUCUAGUACUGAGGCUCCGAAUGAUCCCCCUCCGGUGCCUUCUAUUUCUGGGGCUCUACCGACUGCUAAGACUUCUCCUAAGCAACCUUUGUGAAGGCUCCCUCUUGUUUGUUUAUUUUGACUCAUGUAUAUGUACAUAUUUGUAACUUAUCGGGGAUAUCAAUAAAUAAGCUUUCCUUCAUUUCAACGUAUUGUGUUAAAUACACCAAAGCCUUCUUCGCUAAGUUCUUUGAAUUUUCUUUUGUUGAAGCUUGUAUGUUGGAGCUUUGUGAGUGGAGCAUGUAGGUUGACGUAGUGUUCCCUUAAUUUCCCGAGUGAGGAAAACUUCUCGGUUGGAGACUUGGAAAAUCCAAGUCACUGAGUGGGAUCGACUAUAUGAAUCUUAGAACGCCAUUGUUCUCGGUCCUGUGUCAUGUCCUUCGUUAGAUCCAAGUACUCUAAGACUUUUCCUAGAUCUUCCUCUACCCCUUCGGCCCUGAACCUCUGUCCCAUAGUCGUAUCUUCUAAUCGGAGCGUCAGUAGGCCUUCUUUGCACAUGUCCAAACCACCGUAACCGAUUUUCUCUCAUCUUUCCUUCAAUUUCGGCUACUCCUACUUUACCCCGAAUAUCCUCAUUCCUAAUCUUAUCCUUUCUCGUGUGCCCACACAUCCAACGAAGCAUCCUCAUCUCCGCUACACCCAUUUUGUGUAUGUGAGGAUGCUUCACCGCCCAACAUUCGGUGCCAUACAGCAUCGCCGGCCUUUUUGCCGUCCUAUAAAAUUUUCCCUUGAGCUUCAGUGGCAUACCGCGGUCACACAACACGCCGGAUGCACCCUUCCAUUUCAUCCAUCCAGCUUGUAUUCUAUGGUUAAGAUCUCCAUCUAAUUCUCCGUUCUUUUGCAAGAUAGAUCCUAGGUAACGAAAACGGUCGCUCUUUGGUAUUUCUUGAUCUCCGAUCCUCACCCCUAACUCGUUUUGGCCUCUAUUGGCACUGAACUUGCACUCCAUAUAUUCUGUCUUUGAUCGGCUUAGGCGAAGACCUUUAGAUUCCAACACUUCUCUCCAAAGGUUAAGCUUUGCAUUUACCCCUUCCUGAGUUUCAUCUAUCAACACUAUAUCGUCUGCGAAAAGCAUACACCAAGGAAUAUCAUCUUGAAUAUGUCCUGUUAACUCAUCCAUUACCAACGCAAAAAGGUAAGGACUUAAGGAUGAGCCUUGAUGUAAUCCUACAGUUAUGGGAAAGCUUUCGGUUUGUCCUUCAUGAGUUCUUACGGCAGUCUUUGCUCCUUCAUACAUAUCCUUUAUAGCUUGGAUAUAUGCUACUCGUACUCCUUUCUUCUCUAAAAUCCUCCAAAGAAUGUCUCUUGGGACCCUAUCAUACGCUUUUUCCAAAUCUAUAAAGACCAUGUGUAAAUCCUUUUUCCCAUCUCUAUAUCUUUCCAUCAAUCUUCGUAAGAGAUAUAUUGCCUCCAUGAUUGAGCGCCCUGGCAUGAACCCGAAUUGGUUGUCCGAAACCCGUGUCUCUUGCCUCAAUCUAUGCUCAAUGACUCUCUCCCAGAGCUUUAUUGUAUGACUCAUUAGCUUAAUACCCCUAUAGUUCAUGCAAUUUUGUACGUCGCCCUUAUUCUUGUAGAUAGGCACCAAAGUGCUCGUUCGCCACUCAUUUGGCAUCUUCUUCGUUUUCAAAAUCCUAUUGAAAAGGUCAGUGAGCCAUGUUAUACCUGUCUCUCCCAAAACUUUCCACACUUCGAUUGGUAUAUCGUCUGGGCCUACUGCUUUUCUAUUCUUCAUCUUUUUCAAAGCUACAACCACUUCUUCCUUCCGGAUUCGACGAUAAAAAGAGUAGUUUCUACACUCUUCUGAGUUACUCAACUCCCCUAAAGAAGCACUCCUUUCAUGUCCUUCAUUGAAAAGAUUAUGAAAAUAACCUCUCCAUCUGUCUUUAACCGCGUUCUCUGUAGCAAGAACAUUUCCAUCCUCAUCCUUGAUGCACCUCACUUGGUUUAGGUCCCUUGUCUUCUUUUCCCUUGCUCUAGCUAGUUUAUAGAUAUCCAACUCUCCUUCUUUGGUAUCUAGUCGUUUAUACAUAUCGUCGUAAGCCGCUAACUUAGCUUCUCUCACAGCUUUCUUCGCCUCUUGCUUCGCUUUUCUAUACCUUUCACCAUUUUCAUCGGUCCUAUCCUUGUAUAAGGCUUUACAACAUUCCUUCUUAGCCUUCACUUUUGUUUGUACCUCCUCAUUCCACCACCAAGAUUCCUUUUGGUGUGGGGAAUAGAUAUGAAUUGCUUCGAGAGCAGCUUUACUUUUCUAAUUGCCAUCGGUUGGGUCAUAAUGCAAGGAACAGCAUAAUGUUUGAUGCACUGCUUAGAAUCAUGCGAGUGGCAACUGCGGCUUCAAAGUUAAAAGAAGAAGAGCAAGAUUACGUAUGUCUCUCUCUCUCUCUCUCUCUCUUAAGUAACAUGAUGUCAAUCAAUGUUGCAGGGAAAGUUUAAAGAAGAGGAAGAUUACGUAUCUCUCUCUCUCUCUCUCUCUCUGUUAAGUAACAUGAUGUCAAUCAAUGUUGCAGGAAAAGUUUUCUGAGCCCUUAGUUACCGUUGUAUGGCCGGGAUAUGCAAUUCCAUUUUGGUUCGAACGUAGUAGUGGGCUAUUUUCGUACGAGUGUCAUUCUAGUGAGAAUGAAUGUCAUCCUAGUGAGGAGAAAGAGAUCCGUCAUCGUAGUGGGGGAAAAGAGAUCCUCUUCCGGCUACGGGGCUUUAAUAAAUGUUCAGCUUCCUGCAAAUUGGUUUCGUGAAGGUUUCUUGGGUUUCGCUCUAUCUGUUGUUGCAUCCACUAUCAAUGUUAAACAGUGAGUGCGGUUUGGAUGCAAGUACAAUUUCAAAACUAAAGAGGGGGAAAGUCAUGAAAUCAAUUGUUAUUUCAAUUGUCCAUGGGAAGACGGAGAAUAUAGUUGCAGAUUAGAAAAAAAGCAUGUGUUCGUAUUGUAUAAAGACCUUGAAUAUGAAGAGGGAGCAAAAUGGUCCUCUGAUUUUUACUGCCGUGUCACUGAGGUGUCUCUUCUCUUCUACCGAGAUGCACACUAUACAAUGGAAAAGUGGGGCAUAUGCCCGUUGUAUGCCGAAGAUGCUAAGGAAUUAAAAUUUGAUAUCAUGUCGCGAUAAGAACAAGAAGAGCCCGCAGCAAGUGGGAGUGGUAACUUUGUAACUUGAAUCAAUUUCUACUUGGGACUAUUUCUUUUCAAAUUUUUAUUUUUGUGUUUUUUAUAGGAAGGGAUAUCCAUUAUAUAAACUUCAGUUUCUACUUAUGACUAUCGGAUUUCAACAAAUCUUAUAGACAAGCGAUGACUCUGAUCAUUCAUAAUCAUAUUUUGCAGGGCGGAUGUAUUGAGCACACUUAAGGGGAUCAUAUUGAGGAUGUAAAAAAGAUGGUAGACUUCGGCCAAAUGCAUGGUGAUUUAUGCGCAGCAGAUGGAAUUAGAGUUCUCUGUGAUAGGUCUCUCAUAUGGAAUCAUUCGAAAUGGGAAACCAUAGAGAUGGAUGAUAUGGCACAAGAAAUGGGUGAUAUGACACAAGAAAUGGGUUGGGUAAUUGUUCACAAACAAUAUAUUGAAGAGCCUAGAAGACGUGGUAGGUUGUUCAUUACUAAAGAUAUCUAUCAUGUAUUGAAAAAUAACACUACAAGUGCAUUCACGUUUUCUUUUGAUGUAUGUGUGGACUGUAUAGAUUAAAUCUUUUGUUUAUUAAAAUCUUCUAACAUUUUUAAUGUAAAUAAUAUUAAUCGUCUAUGAUAAUUUUUUUUUACAAUUUCUAAUUCCACAGUAACGCUCGGGUACCAAUUUCUAGUAAACACUAUUUGUCGUCAAUUCAAGAUAAUAUAAAAAGAAACUACACCUGUGCAGUGUGCAGUGGUCACAAGUACCAAUUUUGGGCAAUCAGCCAAAUAGUGCUUAUCCUCUCGAAGAUCUGCAUAUCUAUCCAUUAUAAACCAAUCUUUAGUCUUGCAGAAAAUAUGCUGACAACACAAUCUGCUCAUGCAGUUAAUUUUAAGAAAAACUAAUGAAAAGAGCUUGAAAACUUUGAGUUUUAAUGAUAAGGACAAAAUAAAGGGUAAAAUAAAUAGUACCAGAUUUGACUUUUUAGUGUAAAAAAUGUGGUUUUUCAUUAAAAUGAACAGUAUCACGGGCUUUUCGUUAAAACUCCCUUAAUUUUAAUGUUUUCCGUCAUCACCAUUGUUACAAAUCAAAUCCUAUGUGCAGGUUUAUGCUAUAAUACAUAACUGAAUAAGAUAGUUGUAUUAAUACGUGUUUGUUAUUUCCCUUUCAACAUGUUUGGAUCUCACUCCUCAAAGAAGAGAUCAGACUUUUAUGGACACAAAAUGUAUCACAAAGUAUCACUUUAACCACUCACAAAACAACUAAUAACAUCUCUCGAAUCAUUCAUUGUGCAUAUUGAUGUCAUUUUAAUAUAGAACCUUUUAGUAAUCUAAGUUCAUCAAAGUGUAUUUCCAACAAAAUACACAUACCAAAUUGACACUUAGUUUCGCAUGAUACAACAAAAUAGAGUAUAAAUACACCAAAUGAAAGGACUUUUUCAUUCCCAAUGGCCAUUUGUAUGGGUUUGGCUUGCUUUUAGUAACCCAACGACAAAUAAAAAACCCUUUUGUGCCUUGAAGCUUAGAAAUGCAGAAUACCCAUAGCCAAAAACUCAGUAAAAAAGGCAUGGAAUUGAUAACCCAUUAAAAAAAACAACAAAGAAAGCAAUUGGGUUACCAUAGUCAAGCACUCUCAUUCGCCUUGAAAUGGGGUACCACCAUAGACACAUAUCCAAACCAGGUGCUGCAUCACGAAAUUCCUUCUCAACUUGCUUUAUGCGUUCUCUUGUUGAGGCCAAAACCAAAUCCAAAGGAUACUUUCCACACCCAUAUAUAAUCGAACAUAAAUCGCAUACACACUCCAAUUACCAAAAAGAAAAUGUUGCAAAUGGGAAAUUAGAUAAUGAUAUUGAAAACCCCUAUCGAAGCACAUUAAUUAUCUAACUAAUGAAUGUGAUUCGAGAUACAAACCCAUGUUUGGCAUUGUGUAUGUGGAUUUUAUCCAAUAUGGGAACCCCAAACGCAUGACGGAUCAUAUCCCGCCCUUGCAUCGCUGGUUCCAACACAGCAUCUAUACACAAAAUCCCCAAAAAAAAUAAAUUAAAACAUAGUUCAUAUACAAAUCAACUAACGAAUAACAAAAGCAAAAAACAUAUUUUUCAAUCAUUUUCUCAUCAACCAAACAGAGCACAUAUUGGGAAAUGAUUAAUCACCUGUAUGGGGAACAACUUGCUGAUACCCUUCAUGGCCAAAGCGAACACGAUCUCCUAUAAUUUCCUCAUAAUUCAUUUUUCUUUUACAAUUACUGGAUAAAUGCAGAAUUUGGAUGGGUUGCUGUCAUUUCAUACACAAAUGCCAAAUUUGGAUGUUGUAACAUCAGUGGAAGAUCAGGCUACAAAUUCAAAACACAAAAACCCAGACUAAACACAUUUAUGAUCAAAACAAUGGAGUGCCUUCCAGCAGUUUUAUGCACCUUGAGAGGUUGCCUUAGCUUCCCAGCGAGUGUCAUAAACAAUGUGGUCUUCCCACAGCCCGGACGGCCAAGCAAUAAGGUCAUCCUGCAAUGAAAAGAACCCAAAUUUGUUUUUUUUUUCCAGAAAUUAACAGGAAAAACUAAAAAAUUUGGAAACAAAAUUAAUUCAAAUGAUUAGGGAGUCUGCAAAUUGCUACCAGUCGAUGAUUUUGCGGAAGAGAGCUCUGACUUGGCCGAAAAAGAAGACCCAUCAGGUACUACAUAUCGAGGAAGGAGGAGGAGGAGAGACGCCUUUGAUACGGCUGCGGCGGAGAAGUGGGGCGACGUUGGGAGGGGGGAAGUUGGUGGUGAAGGGGUAGGUGGAGUUGAAGAGGCAGUCAAGGAGGGGUUUGGAAGAUGAGGCGAGGAAGGAGAGGGGCGUAUGAAGGGACUGAUCAAUGGUAGACGAAGAGAGAAGUCGAGAUUUUUCCAUCCCGUUCCCUUUCUGCGAUCACCGACACGGGAAGGAUGAAUGAAUUCGUAAAUUACCGUGCAGGGGUGUAUUCAAUUUGGAUUUUGAGAGAUUUUAAUGAAUUUAGACGUAUUCAAUCAGGAUUUUUACUGAUUCUCUAAAAUUUAAGGUCUAUUGAAUUAGAAUUUUAAGAUAGUUUAUUAAAAUCUUUAGAAAUCCGGGUGUAUUCAAUAGGGAUUUUAAAGAAGUUUAUAACAUUCCAGGUAUAUUCAAUUAGAAAUUGAAUUUAAAGAAUUUGAGAAAGUUGAGGAAUUAGAGUGAAUUUGAGAGAUUUGUAGUGUAUUUUAAGCAUUCACAAAUCUCACCUCUUUCCAUGAGAUUUCAAGGGAAUUGAAUCAAAAUUUUAUAUGGAAUCUCUACAAAUCAAUUAAACUCCAUAAAAAUCUAUGGAUUUAUAAAUUCAUUAAAAUCUCUCAAAUUCUCAAUUGAAUACACCCCCUAAAAAAAGCUUGAGAAUGAGUGGAGCUGAAGGGCAGUUUGGUCAAAUCACCGUUGGUGAACCGUGCUCAUCUCCUGAAUUUAGCCCCAGUUUGGUAGUGAGGUGCUUAAAAAAAAGCUAGGGUGAAAAAAAGCUAGAAGGAUUUGAGGUGUUUGGUAAAUUUUCCAAAAGCAACUUUGUUUUAAAGCUGAGGGUGAAAAGAAGCCCAAAACCGGAAGCUGCUAUUUGCAGCUUCCCAAAAACAGCUACAGCUUCCCAUACCAAAAACACGGGUGAACAGUGUAGGUUUAAUGAAUUUUUCAAUAAUCCAAAAUUGCCCUCCUUCCUUACAGUCUCUCCUCUCCGCCUCUCUCUCCUUCUCGCCUUCCUCCUUUCUUUCCUUCAGUCUACUCUCCUCUCGUAUACCCGAACCAGGAAACCAGAUCUCUCUCGUUCUCUCGUUCCAAAACCAGCGUUCUCCCUUGUUCUCUCAUUCUCCAAGUUCGUUUGGUAAGUUUCUCUUGUAAAUUUUGUUUAUUUAUUUGUUUGGAUUUUUAACAUUGGGGAUGGGAGAGGGAAAAAGGGGUGGGAAGAGCAAAGGGAUGAGGGUAUGGGUGUCGGGAAAAACAAUUGGGGAUGGAGGGUGGGGAAAAAUUAAUUGGGGAAGGUGAUAUGGUUUGUGGAAAAAAAUAAUUGGGGAAAAAUUAGGGUUUGUGGAGGAAACAAGAAAAAUUGAGAAUGUCUGCUUCUGAUUUGGGUUUAGGUAAAGGAUAAUUUUUUAUAAAGCUUUGCUCUGGUUCUAAUCUGUGAAUUGUGCUUCUGAUUUGUCAUCCCUUUGUCAGUGUUCGUAUCGUAUCUCUCUGGAAGGAAGUGGGUUUCUGAGGACAUCGCUGAGGCUGUACUCGAACAGGUGGGUUAUUUUUGUCUUGGUACAAAAUUUGGUUUUCAUGUUUUUGAUAAAUUUGUUUUGUGAUUGCAUUUAUAUGGUAUUUGGUUUAUGUGUUUACGUAUUAGUUUGCACUUGAAAUGAGUUUUCUUUCAAGCAUUUUGUAAUUUUCGUGAUCAUAUUCGAUUAGUGGUACAUAUCCUCUCGUGAAACCUAGGGAUUAAAGUAGAAGACCAAAACUUGAAAGAAUGAAAUUAGGGUAGCUGAUUUAUGUUAAAUUUGAGCAUGGAGUGUUUGCAGCAACGUUGAUUGUUGCAGGCUGGCCCAGCUGUAUCCUACACAAAAGAGAAACUUUUGACUGAUAAUUCCUACCGCAAGUUUCAAAUGUUUACAACUUCAACCUCUAAAUCAUAGCUUUGUAAAGUACUUACCAGGUUACAUGAUUUCUAACGUGUCUUAUGGUUUUAAGCAAGAAAAUGCAAUGUCAAACAAAGAAAAUGCAUUCUGCAAACCCAAAAAACAUAUGAUGCCCCAAAAUGAAGUCCAAGAUGAACAAAAUAUCUUGAUCAUCAUAAGUUGGGUGCAACAAAAUGCUUCCCAAAGUUCAGCCUGCUUGGAAUUAUGUCUUUAAGAUUUAUUGCCAAAAUUCAACAUGUCAACAUUAUACAGUUGAAAGCCACUGAAAACACUAACGAAAAUAAGAAUAAAAAAACUGCACAAUUCCAACUACAAAAGGGAAGACAAAAAACAGUUGUUAAAAACCAGAGGCUCUGUCACUUACGUGUACUGAUGAAGAAAGUGACGCACAUAAUCAGACACAAUUUGAGAAUCAGCAGCCUGAGAACAGAAUAUUAGACAGAUUAAUGACAGAACAGAGCAACUACAAAGUCUAUUACCAGCCACCCAAAAAAAGGCCUUGUUACUUAGCUAUCGAACAAUGUUCCUGAGAGAUUGAAUGAUUCAAAAACAAAUUAAGCAGGAGUAAAGAGAGAUAAAGAAUGAAAUAGGUAGAAGUGGUUAGGUGUUUGUUGGUUAGGAUUAGAUAAAGAAUGAAAUAGGUAGAAGUGGUUAGGAGUAAAGAGAGAUAAAGAAUGAAAUAGGUAGAAGUGGUUAUAUGUUCAGGUGUGUUCAUCUUCUUUUCUUUUAGGUUUUUUGGUGUUUGUUGGUUUGGCUUUCAGCUCUUACUUGAAACAAGGUUUUUCAGAGAUUAGGAUUAGAUAGACUACUUGUUUCAUUUCUCAGUCUUCUUGUCUACUAAAAAAAUAAUAAUAGUCAAGUGAAUAUUUUUAUCUUAUUCAUCGUGUGAAUUUUCAUGUAUUUUUAUGGUUGAUCUAUGUGUUAAUGAAUUUUCAUGUAUUUUUAUAGUUGACAUUACAUUCUGAAAUUCCAAAGAAUAAUCGAACCACUUUUCAAACUUAUAUGUUAAUUAACAUAAUUUUUUUUCUUUCUAUAAUGUGGUCCUUUUUAUUAUAAGUUUUCUCUUCUGUUCAAACUAACUUCCACUUAAUGAUUUAGUGUGAUGAAAUGUUUAUUUAGUCUAGAAUGCUUUAAUGGUCGUAAAUUGUUGUGUCCGAGUAGUCUUAUAUAAUAAAUAGUUGUAUGGAAAAUCACAUGGACUAAAAUUACAUUUGGUAAACCUGAGGGGUAUCCAUAUAAGCAUGUGUUGGUAAACCUGUGGGGUAUCCAUAUAAACCUGUGAAAUUUAAUCUUGUGAUUAAUGGUCCAGUUUUUUUCCCAAACUGUGAUGUAAUCUUUUGUAGUUGUAUGUGCAUCGUUUAUUGGUUAUUUCUUGGUUAUAUUACAAAUCAGUAGUUGGUAUCAAUGGCAAAGAAUGGGGCAUCUUCGUCAAAUCCUAUUGCUACAUGGAAUGUCCACAAUAUAUCUAUAUUUUGUGAUAUUUGCAUUAAGGAGGUUGAGGCCGGACAUCGUCCGGGCACUCAUUUUGACAAAGAUGGAUAUGCAAAUAUUAGAGCUAACUUCAAGGCAGAGACAGGGCAUGAUUAUGAAAUAAAGCAAUUGAAAAAUAAGUGGGAUGCACUUAAAAAUGAGUGGAAGUUGUGGAAAGAGCUAGUUGGUAAAGAAACUAGCCUAGGGUGGAAUUCGAGCAAGGGUACCGUUGAUGCCUCUCAGGAGUGGUGGAAUAAUAAAAUUCAGGUUUGUGUAUUUAUUUUUUAAUAUGUAUUAUGAUAUCAUGCAAUAUGGCUUAACCAUAUUCUUUCUUACUUGUAGAUAAACAAAGAAUAUGGAAAAUUCCGAAAAAAGGCAUUAGUCCUGAGAUGGAGGACAAGUUAGAUGGGAUGUUCUCGAAUACAGUUGCUACCGGCGAACAUGCCUGGGCACCUUCCUCUGGAGUACUACCACCAGAUACAAGAGAUGAAUCUAUAGGACAAGUUGAUUCAGAUGAUGAGGAUGAAAUUGAGACCAUGCAGGAUAUAAGGCAAGCUAGUAGGAAGGGAAAAAAAGAGCGGCUAACCAAGGAGAAUUGCAAAACAAGAAAGGGAAAAAAAUUGGAGGUGCUGCAAAACUUUGUGGUCAAAUUGACCAUCUUGUUGAAGUUUAUGAAACUAGGAGUUCUACAAACUCAUUGAUGUCCAAACUGCAUAUAGGAAAUAGUAUUUCAGAAGUGUUAGCGACUAUUGCACAAUUGCCUGGUUGUGAGCCACCUAGCGAGUUAUGGUUGUUUGCUACAUGUUUAUUUUAUAACGCAGAGAAGCGAGAGGUGUUUGGCACGAUGAAAGAUCCUGAAGUCUAGCUAACUUGGUUGAAAUAUAUGUUCAACAAAGAACAAUAGGGAGCUAAAAGCCGAAAACUAUGAAUUAGGACUAUAUGUGUGGUUGUACUUUGCAUUAAGAUUAUGUAUUGAAUGUUACUACAUGUUUAUUGAAUGUUGGAUUAUAUGUUGAAUGUUGAAUUAUGAUUUCUUGUUAAACGUUGGUGUAGACAUCGAAAUUUCGUAAAUAAAUGUUGACCGAUAAAUCAAAGUGUCAACGCUCAUGUAUUACAUAAAUUUUACACGUAGCGUGUGACUCAACGAAAAUUGAAAUGAGUUGGAAAAGUCAUCAAAUAGGACACGUGUCAACACCUGGCAGAAACGACUUAUUUCAUCUGGGAUAUUAUAUUCAAAAUUAGGCAUUGGAAAAUUCUAUAAAUACAAGCCCAUUUCAUUCAUUUAAGGGAACCAAUUCAUAUUACACCUUGAAGCUCUGAAGCUCUGAAACUCCGAAGCUCUCAAGCAUCCAGGUUCCCGAAGAAUCAAGAAAGCCUUCUUCGUUCUUCGUUCAUCGUUCUUCCAAGAUCAAGCCCCGACGACCCUUUGGAUCAACAAGCAUCCACCAAUUCAAGAUCAAGCCCCGACGGCCCUUGAAGAAAGCACCAUCGUUCAUCAUCAGUUCAUCCAAGAUCAAGCCCCAACGGCCCUUUGGAUCAACAAACGUCGACAAAUCCACAUAUCCAACCGUUCUUCAAGAUCAAGCCCAAAAGCCCUUGGAGAUCCGUUCGUCACUGUUCUUCAAGAUCAAGCCCAAAAGCCCUUGGAGAUCCGUUCGUCACUGUUAUUCAAGAUCAAGCCCAAAAGCCCUUGGAGAUCCGUUCGUCACCGUUCUUCAAAGAUCAAGCCCAAAAGCCCCUUUGAAGAUCCGCUCAAAUCCACCUUCAAGAUCAAGUCCACGGCCCUUGAAGAACGUUCAUCCUUAGAUCAAGCCCAACGGCCCUUUGGAUCAAUCACACAUCCACAAAUACACACCUUACGGAGAUCGAAUCAGAGGAUCAAAAUAGAGAGAGAUUGUAACCCAAAAUCAUCAAAUACAAAUAUUUGUUUGUGCCGCGUUGUUCUUGUCUCUUUCGUUUCAGGAAUUUUCCGUGUUCACAAAUUGGCACGCCCAGUGGGACAAUCUCUGCCUUUCAUCUCUUUCUCCAUUCAAGAAAUUCAAGCGCACUUCCAAAAUUAAUGGCAUCAAGGAAGGCUCAAACUGUUCCCGCAACCGGCGCAAAGAACAAAAGCGUCCUCGUCGCAACUGGUGUCACUUUGGGCAUCACGACUCGAAGCAUGGCAAGAGCUACUUCUGCCGCCUCUUUCACCUCUGCAUCAACUCUGCCAAGGGAACAAAAGCACCCAAGGCAUGAGCCUUUGAUCACCUUAGCCUCACUAAGGGCACCAAGGGGGGGAAGCCCAAGGGAAUACUCCGAAUCCAUGCUCUCCGAUGACAAUUCAAGCGGCAGUUCAGCCAUGCAAGUCAUGACCGCUGGAGCAACUUCAGUCGAGGAACAGCUUGCUCAAAUGAAUGAAGCAAUCGCAAGACUAACUCGAACUGUGGAAGAAAAAGACUUGCAAAUCGCGGCAUUAGUCAACCGACUGGAGGCGCAGAACAGUGAGAAACCCGACCCAGAGGAUGAUCCGCUAAAGGGAGGAGCUGGCGGAGACGAAGAACCCCCGGUGAAGAAAAUCGAUGGGAAGCCGAAACCAGACCAAGCAGCGGCACUCAUGGGAUCCAUUUCUAUCCAGCAGCUGCAAGAGAUGAUCACCAACACCAUCAAGGCACAGUACGAAGGGAGCUCAUAUACAUCCGGGUUGUAUUCAAAACCGUAUUCAAAGAAGAUUGACGCCUUAAGGAUGCCGAGGGGUUAUCAACCACCAAAGUUCAUGCAAUUUGAUGGAAAGGGAAACCCAAAACAGCACGUCGCCCACUUCGUUGAAACUUGCAACAACGCAGGAACCGAAGGGGACUACCUCGCCAAGCAGUUUGUGCGCUCGCUAAAAGGAAACGCCUUUGAGUGGUACACGGAUCUGGAGCCUGAGUCCAUCAACAGUUGGGAGCAACUUGAGCGGGAAUUCCUCAAUCGCUUCUACAGCACUCGCCGCACUGUGAGCAUGCUAGAGCUAACAAGCACAAAGCAGUGGAAGGACGAGCCAGUCAUGGACUACAUCAACCGAUGGCUUAAUCUAAGCCUCGACUGUAAGGAUAGACUCUCCGAGAUUUCUUCAAUCGAGAUGUGCAUCCAGGGCAUGCAAUGGGGUUUACAAUACAUCAUUCAAGGUAUCAAACCACGAACUUUUGAAGAAUUAGCUACCCGUGCCCACGACAUGGAGUUGAGCCUCGCCCACCAUGGAAAGAAGAAGCCCAAGACGUCUUCCACAUCACAAUCCAAGAAGGUGAAGAAGAAAUCGUCGAGGAAGAUGUCAUGGCGGCACCGUCACAACUCGAAGAUGGGGGGCAAGCCACGGUUGACGAUCUCAAAGAACUCAACUUAGGCACAAGUGAGGAACCGAAGCCCAUCUUCGUGAGUGCAUUAUUAGGUGCGGACGAGAUAGAGAAGUAUUACCAGCUGCUAUUAGAGUACAAGGACGUCUUUGCUUGGACCUACAAGGAAAUGCCCGGCCUCGACCCUAUCAUUGCGGUGCAUCAUCUUGCAGUCAAGCCUGGAACGCGACCAAUAAAGCAAACUCAAAGACACUAUCGAUCCGAGCUCAUCCCACAAAUCGAGGCCGAGAUCGACAAGUUGAUCGAAGCAGGCUUCAUUCGAGAGGUGCAAUACCCCAAGUGGAUCUCCAACAUCGUCAUAGUCCUUAAAAAAUAUGGACAAAUACGUGUCUGCGUGGACUUCCGAGACCUCAAUAAUGCUUGCCCAAAGGAUGACUUCCCCUUGCCAAUCAUCGAAAUCAUGGUGGACGCAACCACUGGCCAUGAGGCACUGUCAUCAUGGACGGCUCUUCUGGAUACAAUCAAAUUCGCAUGGCUCUUGAAGAUAAGGAACUAACAGCCUUCCGCACUCCGAAAGGUAUUUACUGCUAUAAGGUGAUGCCCUUUGGUCUGAAGAAUGCUGGAGCUACAUAUCAACGCGCGAUGCAGAAGAUCUUCAAUGACAUGCUACACAAGAACGUAGAAUGUUAUGUGGACGAUGUGGUGGUCAAGACAAAGAAAAGAUCAAAUCACUUGAAGGAUUUGCGAGUAGUGUUCGAAAGGUUGCGAAAAUACAACCUCAAGAUGAACCCGUUAAAAUGUGCAUUUGGCGUCACAUCUGGAAAGUUCCUUGGCUUCAUUGUCAAGCAUCGGGGCAUUGAAGUAGACCAAUCAAAGAUCAAGGCCAUUCAAAGCAUGCCCGAGCCAAGAAACCUGCACGAGUUGAAAAGUCUACAAGGUCGGCUAGCCUUCAUCAGACGCUUCAUCUCCAACCUUGCAGGGCGUUGUGAACCGUUUAGUCGACUCAUGAAGAAAGAUGUUCCGUUCGUAUGGGACAAAGCAUGCAACAACGCUUUUGAAAGCAUAAAGAAGUAUUUAUCAAGUCCACCUGUCCUGGGGGCACCUGUACCAGGGAAACCGCUCAUAUUGUACAUUGCUGCUCAGGAAAGUUCAGUUGGAGCACUCUUGGCACAGGAAAACGAGGUCCAGAAAGAAGGAGCGCUCUACUACCUCAGCCGAACGCUUACCGGCGCUGAAUUGAACUACUCCCCAAUAGAAAAAAUGUGCCUGUCCUUGAUGUUUGCCAUCCAGAAGCUCAGACAUUACAUGCAUGCUUACACCAUCCACUUGGUUGCUAAAGCUGACCCGGUCAAAUACGUCAUGUCUAAGCCAGUUUUGACAGGGCGACUAGCUAAAUGGGCAUUACUUCUUAAUCAAUACGAGAUCAUCUACAUCCCAGCUAAAGCCGUCAAAGGACAAGCGCUAGCAGACUUCCUUGCCGACCAUCCAAUCCCAGCCGAUUGGAAAAUCGCAGACGACCUGCCCGAUGAAGAAGUGUUCUGCAUCGACAUAUUCCCGACAUGGACGAUGUUCUUUGACGGAUCUGCACGAGCAGACGGAGCAGGGGCAGGAGUAGUAUUCAUGUCGCCACGAAGGCAAGUACUACCUUAUUCAUUCCAGCUAAGCGAACUAUGCACCAACAACGUCGCUGAGUACCAAGCACUGAUCCUCGGACUCCAAAUGGCAAUCAACAUGGAAAUCGCAGCCCUUGAGAUAUACGGCGACUCCAAGCUCGUAAUCAAUCAACUCCUGACGGAAUAUGAGGUGAGGAAAGACGACCUUGUCCCAUACUUCCGGCUGGCAACGCAGUUGCUAUAAAGGUUUGAGGCCGUAACACUAGAACACGUGCCAAGAAAAGAGAAUCAAAUGGCAGACGCUCUCGCCAACCUAGCCUCGAGCAUGACAUUAGGAGAAGACGAAGCUACAAACGUGCCAGUCUGCCAAAGAUGGGUAAUCUCACUUGUCACUGAAAUAGUACUAAGUGAUACAAACGUUAUUUCAAUACUUCCGGUCAACGUUGAAGAAUGGAGACAGCCUCUGAUCAACUACUUGGAGCAUGGAAUGCUUCUAGAUGAUCCGAAACACCGCUCUGAAGUACGUCGACGAGCAUAUCGCUUCCUCUAUUACAAAGGGACACUCUACCGGCGAUCUUUUGAAGGGGUACUUUUGAGAUGCCUAGGCGAGGAAGAAGCCAAUCAAGCCAUGGAAGAAGCACACUCAGGAAUAUGUGGAGCGCACCAGUCCGGACCAAAGCUUCAUUUCCAGCUCAAAAGAAUGGGUUAUUACUGGCCAAGCAUGGUAAAGGACUGCUUAGAAUACGCCAAAAGGUGCCAAGCCUGCCAAUUUCAUGCCAACUUCAUACACGAACCGCCUGAACCAUUACACCCCACAGCUACUUCAUGGCCGUUCGAUGCAUGAGGAUUGGAUGUCGUAGGACCAAUUGCGCCAAAGUCAUCUACAGGGGAGGCUUACAUCCUGGCUGCAACAGAUUACUUCUCUAAGUGGGCUGAGGCCAUACCCCUGAAGGAAGUCAAGAAGGAAACUGUCGUCCGUUUCAUCAAGGGACAUAUCAUUCAUCGAUAUGGGGUGCCUCGCUACAUUGUCACCGACAACGGAAAGCAGUUCUCAAACCGACUCAUGGACGAGCUCUGCGAGAAGUACAAGUUCAAGCAGCGCAAAUCCUCCAUGUAUCAUGCUCCGGCCAACGGUCUUGCAGAAGCAUUCAACAAGACAUUGUGCAACCUCCUGAAGAAGGUAAUCGGUAGAACAAAGAAAGACUGGCAUGAAAGAAUAGGCGAAGCCCUAUGGGCAUACAGGACAACAUAUAGAACGCCUACCCAAGCCACACCUUAUUCUCUUGUAUAUGGCGUAGAAGCUGUUCUACCACUCGAAAGUCAAAUCCCCUCGCUAAGGAUGGCUAUACAAGAAGGCUUGACUGACGAAGAGAACGCAAAGUUGCGUCUUCAAGAACUGGAGGCACUGGAUGAGAAAAGACUCGAAGCCCAGCAGCACCUGGAGUGUUAUCAAGCGCGACUUUCUAAAGCCUUCAACAAGAAAGUUCUCCCUCGGUCUUUUCAAAUGGGAGAUCUCGUCCUUUCAUUGCGUAGGCCUAUCAUCACAACUCACAAGACAAAGAGCAAGUUCACGUCAAAAUGGGAUGGACCAUACGUAGUACAAGAAGUCUACACCAAUGGCGCCUACUUAAUCAUGGCGGAAGACGGCUUGAAGAUCGGCCCUAUCAACGGCAGAUUCUUAAAGCGCUACUACCCUUGAAAGGCAACAAAUUACCGCUCUUUAUUCGCACGAGCCUAAACUGCAUGAACCAAAGCUCCUGGCCCGCAAGAGCAUAAACUGCGUACGCCAAAAAAAAAAAAAAAAAAGUGUAUUUUGAACUACGUUAUGACUUGAUCCCUCCUCAACAAAGGGUACGUAGGCAACUCGAAGUGUCAAAACUUCAAGUACAGUCACACCAUCUAAAAGAAAUAAUAAUAAUAAUAAGUAAACACUUUGAGGAGCGAAGAGCAAAAUCAAGAACAUAAAUGCUUUAUUUCUUUGAAAGAAUGAGUUGGCUCCAAGGCCUUAUUACAAGAAAUAUUACUUGAAAACUAUGUCUCUAAAACCACGAAGGCGAUCUCCAAGCGAGCCUUCCAAGGUCUUCAAAGUCUCUACCUCGGUGGGAGACAAGAUGGGUAACUCAAUAGUCGUGCUUUUCUCUCGUUCUAGGCGUGAAAUCUCUUCUUGGUACUGAGAAAGUGCAGUUCCCUGCUCUGCGAGGAAACUUUCAAGUUAUGAUGCCUCGACUAUCAACUGCUCUCGCUCUCGCGCCAAUGCAUCUAGACGCCCUUGGACAGAAGUUAACGAAGCCUCCGUGACUUGAUAAUCUCCUGAAACAGCUUGCUGAAAUGACCGGACUUGAGCCAGUGAUGAGUCUAUCAUGGUUAGCUGAUGAGCUCUGACAUCUGGACUCAACUUCUCUAAGGAAAUAGCACGCAAGGAAGAAUAUUCAGUCGAGGCGGCCAUGAGUUCGGCAAUCUUGAUCUUCAAGGAGGAGGAAUCAACGUUAAGGUUGUCAAUCACUGAAACAAACUUCGACAAAUCCUCAUUAAGCAACGGGAGGUCUUCCAGUGGACACUUAGAAAUCCUCGCCUCAAUAUGGCCCUUGAUCUCCAUUGCUGCACCAAGACUUAUGCGAUGGAUGAGUCGCUCAGUACCGCUAAGAUUCGGUCCUCUCAAAGAGAUCUCAGAGCUAGCUGGCAAAGGCGUUGGACGCAUGACGUGUUCUUGCAUACCCCCACCAACACGUGGUAAACUCGGGAAGUUCGACGGAUUCGGAACAAGCUCUGCACCAGGAGGAUCCCCGAUAUCCCCGUCUGUAGGUAGGUUACCUGCAAAUAGCAUCUCCGUAUAGGAAUAAACAUCUGCAGUUGCCAAAUCAAAAUGACGGGAAGGCCCAACCUAAAGAAGACAAAGAAAGAUGUUAGAAAUAAAAGCCAAAACGACAAAAGCAAAAGAAAUCAUGAGAGAAAAUAAAGGAUAUACAUCUCUCUCAAAUGGCUCACGGUCAUCGAAUUGAGGAGUUCUAAACACUUCUUUCUUCUUGUGACGAAAAUUGACAUCACUGUCAGCCUGAGCAUCCUCAAGUGGUCGCUUGUUUGAAACUCGUGGACGCUGCUGCAAAAUAAAUCCAUCUUCGUGUGAGUCACCUUCAUCCCCCGCCUAUUCAGAAGCAUCCGGAUGUCGAGGAGACAAGCAUGGACGUUGAAGAGUUAAAGCUACAGGUCUAUCUUGUAAGGGAGCCGCACUCGCGCGAUCAAGGGGUACCAUUCGCAUAGAAACCACAGGACAACCCUCUCUCGACGUAUCAUCACUUAAGUGAGAAGAAUUGGCGCCACUUGCCGUCCCCGAGUUCUCAUAAUGUGUCUUUGACCACCAACGUGCGUAAACACGGGUCACUGGAUUACUCCUGAACUCAUCAUUGGUCGGCAGCGUAAUAACAGCAUUUGUGCAUGAACGGGUACAAGACUCCCAAUGCAUGUACACGGCUUGCAGGGAUACCGAUGGGUUCUUUUCCUUCAACUUGCCUGGCUCGCUUUGGACAAAACCAAAUUGCCUGCUGAAACGGUAGGGGCUAUAUGACUGGAUGAUACAUCGGUCUUCUUGCCGCAAAGAAACAAACCCCAAGCGAAGGCUUAUAAGAUAAGACAAGUCCGAGAAGCGGAGAUGCGAGUUGUCUACGAUGCCUCGCCGCACCGAGCCAACUCUCACUAAGGGGUCCAUCCUCAAAUCUUCACAACUCUUAAAUAUCGCUCGCGCUUGCAAAUCGUCAAGGCUCUUCGCGGAGAGCACACCAGAAUACUUCGUCAUCAAAGGCCCUAGCUUGGCUCCGGUCAAUGAGGAAGGUCUUGACUUAUCCAGAGUCGACAGAGAAAAAUGAGUGCCAAAAUAUUCACCCAACCAACCAUACAUAGUGGUAAGGAAGCACCGCAACACGAUCUUCAGUGCUUGCCGAGUCAGAAACCAUGCUCAAGCCGUUGUAAAUGCUGGCUAAGACCGGAAUAGCGAGACUAAAAGACUCACCUGCAGCCAUCUUGCUAGCAACUUUGAAAACUCCAGGGCGAACUAAGUUGACGUCGCCUGCGGGGAAAACAAAUUUACAAAGCCAACAAGCUAAGAAAGCAGCCAGGUAAGACUCCUCCACAUGCUCUGGUGCUAUGCCGAGAUCCUCAAAUGCUCUCAACUCGUCAGAAGAGCGACGCCUGGUUGCGCCAAUAACCCCGGACGGGUCUGAGUCGCCCUUUGGCCUAGUGGUCUUGUUACGACCAACUUUCUUCAAAGGCUUCUUAUAUCUCAUGGCCUCCCAGUACCAGAAUCGGAUCCAUGAGGAAAUCCUCACGCCUGAUUUACCCCGAGCAUCCUGGAAAAGCCUGUGAUACGCCCAAAACAAAUAGCGGCAACUUGCAAGCAAUCCUCGGUUAUUGCAAAGAGAAAGGUCCUCUGCGCUGGGAACGACCUCGUCGUAAAACUUGCCUUGGAUCGCAAACCUCCUAUCCGGUGAAGAUCCCAAAGUGAAAUUGACAUCUCCCCUUGCGCCGUGUGAAGUGUGUUGGUGGCCGAACACCAACACUCUAAGAACGCACGAAUAACGGAAGGAUGGCGAUCGUAACUAAACAAAGACGCAUACACGGCUUGGUAAAGGUCCACCUUAGUAAGCACGUCCUUAGAUCGGCUUAAGACAUCUUCGAGCCACUCCCAAUAAAACUCAUCAAAAACGGCCUCUCCAGCAGUAGACAGGGUACCCCUCCAAACCUUAGCUCCAAUGCGGAUGUGAUCACCAAGUAACUUAAAUGAGGCCGAAUGAUUGUCACCAGCAUGGUGCGACGGAUUCAAGAUAAGAAUCUUCGUGAGACGCGCCUUCUUCUUCGUAUCUGUUUGGACAAAAUCUACCACAUCCCAAGAUACUUCGGAAGACCACGACUUAAUAUGCAUGGAGUUAUCUUUCACGGGAAGAGCAAGCGCUUUAGGACCAGUCAGUGGCUCGUAAAGCUUCAACGUCGUUCCUCUGUCUUGCGAGUCACCUGCCUGCGCAAGAAUGGUAAGGGUGCUGCCCUUAAAGCACUUAAAAAAUACCAUGACCUCGGAAAAACCAAAUAAAUCAACAGCAGCACGGCAAAAAGGGUAGCCACUAGACAAUCCUUCCAAGCAGCGGCAAGAGGCACAUCAACGUCACCACAAAGGAAAGUUGUGACCAAAAGGCAUUACACAACGUAGACUCGCUGCAGUCUCUCGCACAGCACCACACGGCAGCGCAUCACCGGGGGAAAGCUGUGAUAAAAAGGCACUGCGCAGCGAAAUCCCGCUGCAGUCUUUUACACAACACUAUGCGAUAAGUGACGCACUGCAACAAACCCAAGCAACAAGAAUGUGGUGGUUAUGCAAUAGUUAUGCAGUGACGGUGCAAUCCUCGAGCACUGUCAAAAAAAAAAAAAAAAGAGAAAAAAAAAAGGGUACGCAUAUCACAUAUAAAUAGACAUUGUAUAUAUGAACAUGACAAGGAUGCUGUGCACCUUUUCAUUUAUAUUAUUUUAUAUAUAUAUAUAUAUAUAUAUAUAUAUAUAUAUAUAUGUAUUUGGAAAUUCAAAGAAUUUGAUUAAUAUCAAUAUAAAAUUUUUAGGAUUAAUAACAAGAGCAUAUAUAAACAAAACUAAAUUUAAAAUAGCUUUAGUGUUCAUGAUGAAGCAAUGAAUUAAAAUUAAUGAUGCUGAUAUUCGAUUGAAAAUAUAUUUAAUGAAAAUCAAACAAGACUUACAGAAGUUUCGUCUAUUGACGAUUUUGAAAAUUAAAGACUGAUGCUGGAGCUCGCAGGCAUCCUUGAUUACUUAAAAUUAAAAUAUAUUUAUAUUACAAUAUUUUUGCUGAGAAGCUGUAGACUCUGUUCGAUGUGAAUACGCAGAGUUUUCCUUCUGAGGAGAAGAUGCCCCCCUUCCUGAAGCUCGAGAGUCCUUUUUAUCGGAGAAGGAGGUGAUCCGAAAUGAUUGAAGGAUGGAAGCGGGAUUCCCGCUUGGCAUGUGCUACUGCUGUAAAGAGGCCGAAAGCUGAAGAUGCUGUCAGGGACUGUGACUUUCACGAGGGUGAAUACUGUGGAAGAAAUGAUGGAUGAAUAGUAAAAGUGAUUUUACUAUUCAUGAAUAGUGCCUUGUCUGCUACUGCUGAUUUCCCUUGCGGCUAGCUUUGUCGUCUCAUGCAGCUACUACUUACAAAAUUACAAAAUACUCUACUGAGUCUAGAUACAAUGUAUGCUACUGAGAUUACAUUUAUACGAAUUUAGAAAUUCCUAUACAUGCUAUUACAAGUUUAAAAUUCGUAAGGGUCUUGGGAAUCAGGCGGGAAAAUAUUCCCUUGUGCAGCGCACUGUGAUGAAGCAUCCGAAGAGUUGUCGGAGUCCGAACCAUCUUCAUUUUCUUCUUGAAGUUCCUUCAUGAGGAUUUGGGCUAGAGCCUUGAGCUUUGAUGAUUUCUUUUUCUUCGAACUGCUCGAAGAUCUGGAUGACUUGGUCUUGCCUUUGAGAGAGGAAGAAGGACUAAUGUCCGAUAAUGAAUCGAUUUCUUCCUUGGUUGGUUCUGGUAAAGCAGUUGUUGAAGAGGCUGCUACUGCGGGUACUGAACUGGAAUUCAUGGGGAAGUCCCUGAGCACAACUUCAAUGAUCUUCUGGUAGUUGAACUUGUCCCACCAUUUGAUCAUUCUCUGUCGAAAGACUUGAUUGGAUUCAAUCUCGUAAUUCCAGCGGAGGAUCCAGGGGAUCUUGUAUUUUGCCAUGAACAGGGCGAAUAAAGGGAUUCCUUCAUCAAAACGCGUUCUAUCGAACUUCUUCUGGAAAGUGCCUGAUAAGACUUGCUUGAAUUUGUCGGGCAUGAGGUCAGAGAUAAGGCCAUGUUCUGACCACCAUCUGGGAAACCAUGCAGGAAAAUUCAAUCUGAAACUUCGGUCAAAGGUUAUGAACCAUGAAUGACUAAAAUCUUCGGAUUGGUGCAGGAAGAUGUUAGUCCAAGCUUGAAUGUAAUCAAAAUAGGUAUAAUGGUUUGAGUGACUGGGAAAGCUACUGCUUUUAAAAGGCUUGGGCUGGAAAAGUGGAACUUGCCAUUCUGAUUCUAAUAAGAAUUUAUUAAUGGUAAGGGAAUGAUACAGGAUUCUGUUUUGGUUGCCAGAGGAUUUGUCAAAGAUAGGUUUUAUGGUGAUGGAUGAAGUCUCAUUGAGAAUAGUGGUAUAGUAUUUGAGGGUUUUGUGGAAUUCACUUGGUUGAAAAUGGGAAUUGGUUGGAAACAUCUUUUUGGUUAUGACCUCAGGUGUUUUCAAAUGUUUGAGAUUGAAAGGAAUGCUGAAUAAGUAUUCUUUGGAUGGUUUAAUAAUAUAAGGAGAUGUUUUGGUAUAACUUACAGAGGGGGAUGGCGAUUGCCUGUAGGUAGAGGAGAAAGGAUCAUACUGGUUUACUAACGCUGUUUGGUAAUUUGGUCGGAUACUUCCUAGAGUUGAUCCUAAUGGAGUAAAUCUAUUGGUAAUGGCUAAGGCCGAGGAACCGGGAAUAGGUUCCUGUUUUGGUGGUGGUAAUGAGGCAGGAAGCCUCCUUUGUUGGCUACUGCCUUGUGGAGAAGCAGUGUUCUUAUUAGACAUUCUUCCCCUGCAAAAUUCUCUGGUUAGGAAAUCUGGAAUGCAGUUAUGGCUGCCUUUAAUGUAUUCAAUUUCAAAAUCAAAGAUUGAUAAUAUGGCUUGCCAUCGUGCAAAAAUCUGUUUUGAUGCAAUAUUUUGAACAUCUUUUUGUAAAACAUGUUUUGCAGAUUUGCAAUCAACUCUAACGAGAAAUUUUUGAUUUAAUAAAUCAUCUUGAAAUUUACUAAUGCAUAAAACUAUAGAUAGUAUUUCUUUUUUAAUAGUACUAUAAUUAGCUUGAGCAGGAUUCCAUACACCUGAAUGGAAGCGAACAAUUUGUUCAGGUGAACCGGAGGAAGUUUGCUGUUUGAGGAUACCUCCAUAACCAACGUCAGAGGCGUCAGUUUCAACAAUCUUAAAAGAGUUGGGAGUUGGAAUGCCAAGACAGGGCAAAGUCUUAACAUGAUUUUUGAUCUGUUUGACAAUAGAAGUAUGAAUGGUAGACCAGGCAGGAGGAUUCUCUUUAAGGCGAUCAAACAAGGGUUUACAUUGUUGACGCAAAUGAGGAUAAAAUUCAGAAACAUAAUUCAAAGAUCCUAAGAAUCUUUGGAGUUGGGUUUUUUCAGUAAUCUGGUCUGGAAAUUUAUCUGCAAACUGGAUGACACGGUCAAUAGGUUGGAUGGUAGACCUAUGAAUAUUAUAACCUAAAAAUCUAAUCUUUAGUUGAAACAACCUAAUUUUAGUGGCUGACACAACCAAUCCAUUUGAUCUAAUGAUCCUAGCAAACAAGUGUAAAUGUUUCCAAUGUUCAUCUAUAGAUCUAGAGAAAACAAGAACAUCAUCAAUAUAAACAAUUGUAAAAUGACUAUACUGAUUAAAAAUCUCAUUCAUAAUAUUCUGGAAUUCAGAUGGUGCAUUCUUCAAACCAAAAGGCAUAACAUUCCAUUCAUAAUGGCCGAAAGGCGUUACAAAAGCAGUUUUAUAUUUAUCAGAUUCAUGGAUUUGGAUUUGCCAAAAACCUGAUUUCAUAUCAAACUUUGAGAAAAUAGUUGCUUUACUAAGCCUUUUUAUUAAAUCUCUUUUGUUGGGAAUUGGAUAUCUAAUCCAUUCCAAAACUUCAUUCAAAGGUUUGUAGUUAAUAACUAAUCGGGGUGAACCCCUCUCAAGUUCUGCACUUUUCUGAACAUAAAAUGCAGGACAUGACCAAGGUGAUUUACUUUUCCGGAUAAUUCCUUUAUUAAGAAGGUCUUGUAUUUCUGCUUUACAGAAAUCCAUUACUUCUUGACUCAUUUGGAUGGGUCUGGCCUUAGUAGGGAUUUUUGACUCAUUAAAUUCCUUGAUAUAAGGUAAUUUAACGAUAUGUUGUUUGCGGUGCCAAAAGGCAUUGGGAAUAUCAGAACAUACUUCUUUAACAAGUUGUUCUUCAAAUUUAAGGAUUUUUUGAGAUAUAAUCUCUUGUUUGAGUUGUUCUUCAGUUCUUUUGUGAUGAAUAUCAUCUUUCAAGAAUUGAAGGUGUUUAGUCUUAUUAGAAAUUAUAUUUAAGGAUCGCGAAGUGCUAUCCUUCUGGAGAUGUCUAAGUUUUUUGAGGUCUGUUUCCAGGCAGAACUCAAAAUUGACUUUCUGUCCUAAGACCUUUGAGGUAAUCCUAUUAUGAUGUGUCUUAAAAGGAUAGAGGAGUGCUAUAAAGGGUAGUCCUAGUAUGACAGGGUCAGAUAAGUUCUUAAUUAGAACAAAAGGUGUUUUGAAACAAACUUCAUCUUGGCAAACAUGCGCCUUAGGAAGUUCAUAUUUGAUUUCCAUCGGAGAUUCAUUAGCAGCACUAAGGAUUUCCUUAGACUUGUGGAAAUACCUAGUGGGAAUCAGACCUUCUUGAAUACAAUUCAAGUCUGCUCCUGAAUCAAUUAAUGCGAUUGAUUCGAAACGAAAGUCUUCAAUUAUUAUUGUUACUUUAGAAUACCAUUUUUGGAUUCUAAUUUUGUGAAGAAGAUUCAGAACUAAUUGUUCUGAAUGGGUGUCAUCUUCAGACUCAUGGUUACUACUGGAAGAAGAGGAACUGAAUAGUUCUUCUUUUGGAGGAGUAUCGGCUCUAGUGAGUUGUGUACGAAUCUCUUGAUUAUCAGAUUUUAGAAGUUUAAUUUCUUCUUUUAUCUGAUUGAUUUCUUUUUGGAGGUCACUAACCGUAAUUUCUUUCUUAGUUUUACUAAACUUUGCUAGUGUAGAACUAAGAGAGAUUGGAGGUUUCUGAAUGUGAGAUUGGCUAGUGCCUACUUCUUCAUGGCAAACUAAAUUUUUAAGUUUUUUGAGGUAGAACCUUUUGAGUUCAGUAUCCUCAACAAUACUUAUUAGUUCUAAGAGUAACUCUUCUUGUUUUUCUUGUUUAGUUAAUACUGAUAUAUUCUUACAACAAGCAUCAAGACAUCCGAUCUUGAUGUUUGGGGUAGAGUGCUUACUAGAGGCAGAUUGAUAAGAGGAUGAUGAGGUAGAACCCAGAUCAUCUUCUGAAGAAUGACUACUGUCAGUAUUUUGGAGUUCUAAAGCUUGAAUAAGCUGAAGCUUUUCUUCCUCAGAAAUCUUCAACUGACUUAUGGUCUUCUUAACUUUGCAUUUAUUGGCAUAAUGGCCUUCUUUGCCACAUUUGUAGCAUUUUCCCUUGUGACUAUUGUCUUUGGAAUGGAAUUUUCCAGAGGAUUUUCUCUUUCCUUUCCAAUUCUUGGAUCUAGGGUUUUCAUAAAACGGGUUUGGUUUGGCAUACUUGCCUUUAUGGUAUUUGGAGUAAUGGGGACGUGAUUUAGAAAUCUUUGAUUUAUUGAAGGUAGUUGAUUUUUUCUUGAGAUUGGAAGGAGCGAUAGGUGGUAAACCAUAUUGCUCACAGAAGGUUCCUAAUUCAUAUUUGGCUAUUGCCUUAUCAGAUUGUGCUUGUCUAGAUAUUUUCAUAUCUAUACACAUUUUCAUACCUUCUUUUUGGAUAGUACUUAUGAUAUGUCCAUAAGUAAGAUCAUUAUAUGGUAUAAUACCAUCUUCGUUUAUUAAGGUAUUCCUUAUUUUGUGUGCAAAAAGGUUUGGUAAUCCAUUUAUAAAUUUUUCUUUCCAAAAUGGUUGAUUACUAUCAUCUCUAAGCAUAACUCUUGACAUAAAUACAUCUUUAUACCAUCUAAAAUCACUUAGGGUUGGACACCUUAAGUUGCUUAGUUGGUCAUGGAUUCUAGAUGUGAUGUUGGAAGGGAUUCCUAUGAAAUGUUGUAUGAUUGUAUAAAGUAAGGUAUUGACUGCAUCUGGGACACCACGUCCUAGAUGUUCGUCGAAGAUAGGUAUUCCUUCUUCAUCUUGUUUUACAGCAUUUCUUAUUAGAUUUCUGGAGUCUUCAGUGAGAUGUUUCUCCCACCAGGAAUGAAGCAUUCCUGUGAAUCCAGAGACAAGGAUGUCGACAAUUUGGGUUUGACUAAGGUCAUGGUUAGUGAUAUAGCUAUUUGCUACCAUGGAAAUGUGCUGGAGUUUGUUUAGUAACUCUUGUUCUGAUAAACCAUCUAUAUUCCAUUCAUAGAGUUUAUCAGAUGAAACAGUGAAUUGGGAUUGGAAAUUCCUUUCUUCAAAUUGAAGAUCAGGAGGUGUUGGUCUGGGAUACCAGUUUUUAGUUAAGGAUGUAGGAUUGGUCCUUUUAGUGUUAAGACGUUUUAAUUCAAGACUCUGAAAGGCUUGUUCCAUUUGAUUGAUGGACUCAAUACUUUCAUCUUCUGAAUCUGGAAUUGAGGAAGGUGUUUCAGAAUCAUGUGGAUUAUUAAUCACACGAACUGAUUUGUCCUUUUCUAGCUUAUGAAGCAUUUGUUCUAUCUUAAUAGAUGUUGAGGUUUUUAAAGAGGGUGACUCUCUAAAACUAGUUAAAGGUAUUUCUUUACUAAGUGGUUUAAUUGACAAAUUGUCAAUCUUAGUUUCGAUUUUAUCCAACUGUUUUCCUAUGAUAUGUAGGCUUUGGUUGGUAAAAUUGUUUUGUUCAAUAACAGGUUUGACACCUGCAUCUUCCUUCGGAAGUUUGAACGGUGAGGCUGGGACCUGCGUAUUCGCAGUACUAAUAAGUAUAGUUUCUUGUGGAGGGUGACUGGAGGAGACAACUGUCUUGUCCUCUUUAACCCAAUUUCUUUGGUGAUUACCUUUACUUGGUUUUCAGACUCAUAAUGUUUUUCUACGAAGUCGAAGAAAAAUAUUUCAAGUCUGUUGGUUUGCAUGAAGUCUUUCCAUGCCUUAUGAAUUUCUAAUUUUUCUUCAGUAGUAUAUUUACUUCUGAAGAUGUUUCGUCGAGGGACAUUUUCUAAGGCUUCGAUGUCUCUACAGAGUUUCUUACGGUCAUACUUAAAAGGUUCUAGUCUGGUUAAAACCAAUAGUUGGUGGUGUACUGGUUCUGCAUCAAAAUCAGAAGCAGUUGGGGAUGUUUGUUCUUCCUUAGGAGGAAUGGAUGGGGUAUGAUAGGUAGGCUGGACUACUUGAGCGUUUGUCUCAAGUGAUUGGAGUUUGAAAUGUAAAAGGUCAUUUAUUAAUUCUUGUUGGGUGACAGAUGAGCCUGUAUCUACUGAUUUUAAUUUCCUAUUAACUAGGGAAUUGAUUAAUUCUUGAUCUCGACCUUGCCUAUCGGUUGGCAUAGAUCCAGAGAAAGAAUUCCUAUUGGAAGUAAAGGAUUUGAGUGAUCGAUUAGAAUCACAGGAUUUCCUUUCAGGACGAUCAAAAUUAAUUUUAACCGUUCCGUCGAAGUAUUGUUCUACGUUGUCUAAGUUAACUAGACUAUUUUGGAUGGCUACUGGCCGACUCUCGUUUAUCAGACACCAAUCUGAAGGGAGAUUGAUUUCUGACCACCUAAUGGUUCGAGGUAUUUUAAUAUUGGCAUUCUCUUGAUCAGUCUGGAUCAAGAGAGUAUGAUCCUUCGGACUUUUGGUUAAAGCCUGAAAGUUCAUAUUUGUGCCAGUGACCUUAUAAUAGAUUCUAUAAAUUAAGGCCAAAGGCUGUGUUCCUUCUAGGACUUUAUAUCCUGAAGUUUUGAUAUUUAGUGUAAGUGCUUUUAACAUAUGUGGGUCGGACAGACUUAUGGUAAGAUCUGGGAAGCAGUCAAAGUGGAUAGGUCCAUUACAGAGGCUGGAUUCAACCAUACCAAGUAUACUAUCACUGAAGUCAGUGAAUCUAGCAUCUCGGAGACAUAAGAGGAUAGAGGUAUUAAGACCUCUACGUGUUAAUGGUUUGGCUGCAAUUUGCACUAAACCUAUAUGAAUAUAAUUAUGACCAUCUUUCCUAUGAGAAUUAAUUUGUUCUGGGGUAAACAAUUGGCAAGUCUCAUGAUCUUUACUAAGAGCAUAAGCUUGUUCAACCGUUUUGACAUGGUGUUCUGUUUUAAAAGAGGCGAAUGCCCAUUUCUUUUUAUAAAUAUUUUUUGAAGAUAUUUUUGGAAUAUUCCAUUCAGCAAAAUCUAGACUACUGUCUGUUUGAAAUUCAAAUUUUUGUUCUUCAUUGACAAUAUCAGGUAUAGUUCCUAAAUUUGAUCUAGAGCUAGUGCUGGCCAUAGAAUUAGAUCUAAACAAUCUACUCAUACUUAAAAUUUCAAACAAUCAAAAUACAGAAACCUUAACAGAAAAUCUUACUAGUGCUUCUAAACACCAAGCUCUCUGGGUCAUGCGCGCCGCUCAGGCCCUAUCCUCCGGGACUUACUGUUUGGGUGACGCCUUACUGCUCAGACCUUAUGGAGAUCAGGAGACACUAAAAGGUUAAACUGAAAAGAUUAACUAUAAAGAGACUGAAUAAAUCUAAAAGUACAAACAGAGUAUAUAUAUAUAUAUAUAUAUAUAUAUAUAUAUAUAUAUAUAUAUAUAUAUAUAUAUAUAUAUAAACAUGAUGAUAGUACUUGCACCUUCCAUAUAUAUAUUAUUUUAUAUAUACAUGAUAGGGCCUGCACCUUCCAUAUAUAUAUAUAUAUAUAUAUAUAUUGCUUUAUAUAUACAAACAUGGACGACAGUACCUGCACCUGCCACAUAUAUAUAUAUAUAUAUAUAUAUAUAUAUAUAUUAUGUAUACAAACAUGGCAACAGUACCAUGCAAAUAUAUAUGUAUGUGAAUAAGCCUCACCAGAAAGGCUUCACAGCGACCCAGGAAGGACGUGAGCGAGCCAAUGCAGCAACCAGGAAUGAUGACAAAGGCAGUGCAGCAACCAGGAAGGACGUGAGGCAGUGCAGCGACCAGGAAGGACGUGAGGCAGUGCAGCAACCAGGAAAGGAUGACAAAGGCAGUGCAGCAAAGACGAUGGUUGUGCAAUGGUUUUGCAGUGGCGGUAAAAUACAGCGAGAAUGCAGUGGCUGCGCAGUUGGCUGUGAAACUGUUGUGUAGUUGUGGUGUCCAGAGAAACAGGCAAACCUGCGCAAAUAUGAAGCAGCAAGCUUCUGGGCAAAUAGACAGAACUACACUUGAUAGGUGAAAAUUUUCAAGCCGAUGGGAAUGGAAUAAGGAUCAAGUGCCUGUCUAAAAGCCUCACAGGAAGGCUUACUUAUACACACCAAAACAGACCAACAUUACAGAGCACAUGCCGCGAAUGAUGAUACUCACAUGCAGCAAUCUUUUGUUAAAGCUGGAAAAGCUUUAAACGCCUAUAUUUACCUGCUAGCAAGCAGCAUAUUUGGGGAAAAAACAAAGACAUACAGCUUUAGCUGUAUGUUUGAGAUUGAAUAAUCACCAUGUAGGUCAUCUUCCCACCGUCAGAUAUCUAAUGGCAGCUUGGUGUCAGCAAAUCGUGUGUUGAUCUCUUGGCCUCAGUGGCCUCUUAUCCUAAUCCGGACGACAAGAUCAAAACAACCAGAUUCAAGGAUCAAGCAGGCGGGGAAAAACAGGCAAUGCUUUAACAUGUGCAGCCCGCCAGCGAUUAAGUCCGAAGCUGAUUUCCAAGGUUUCAGAUGAUACACAAGGCAGGGCUAUGCUGCAUGAGCUACAAACCGACAGCAUAGGUACUUCUUUGUUACGACAUGGACAUGAGGAGCAUCUGUUCGAGAAGGCGCCCACCACCUUAGACGAACGAGAAGUACGUGGACGUGCUGACGACGUCGCUGUCGCUUAAGGAUGAUGCUGACGGUGACGGCACCAAGCUCACCGACACUGAGAUUAAAUAUGUUGAAGAGGCCAUAUUCAAACGUUGCGUGCUGUCGCUGUUCCUGGGUCCACCACCUCCACUGCAUACAUUUUCAGGUCAUGCAUCCAUUUUCUCCUAUCUGUUCAUACUUUCUGAGUGAUCAGACAAAGGGAGAUCGGACAUCACUCAAAACGCUCAAAAUCUGGAGAAAAGCAAAGGCAGAGGUGCAAAGCAAAAGUGAAAAGGAAGAGGAAAAGGAAAAAAGAAAAGCAAAAUAAAAAAAAAAUUAAUUUAAAAAAAAAAAUCAUUAUGAUUUAGAUUCAUUUUGUCUGCCAAGAGACAGAGACAGUUGGUGAAAUAAAAAAAUAAAAAAUAAAAAAUAAAAUAAAAAAUAAAAAAUAAAAAUAAAUGAAUAAAAAAAUAAUAAUAAAAAUAAAGAAAAAAAUGUACGUAUAGACGCUAAGUGAAAUAAAGCUCAUUUAUUAAUGUUUUCGAUAAAUUAAAAAUAUGUACAUAUACAUAAAUCAAAAUAAACAAACGAGAGAGAGCCUUCACAAAAGUUGCUCAGGCGGAGCCUUCACAAAGGUCGCUCAGGCGGAGCCUCAGCAGUCGGCGGGGCCACAGAAGGAGGAGGUAUCGGAGGUUGAUCAUUCGGAGCUUUACUACGCGGUACAGCCCCAGAAGAUGAAGGCAAAUGUUGUUAGAACAAACCCACAAACCUCCGAUGAUCAAGUAAAAUCUGACCAUCAGAUUCCUGCAUCUGGUCGAUUUUCCUCUUCAUAUUGGUGGCAUAGUUGUGUGCGAGCUUGUGCAGCUGUUUAUUCUCAUGCUUGAGCCCUCUAAUCUCCUGUUUGAGACUCAUCACUUCAGCCGCCAACGAUUCAACUUGACGGGUUCGAGCAAAUAGGCGUUGGGCCAUGUUGGACACAGAACCCGCACACUGCACACUAAGGGCCAGAGACUCCUUAACAGCCAACUCAUCAGACCGCUUGGAAAGCAAUCUGCUAUCUUUGGGAGUGACAAGGUUCCGGGCCACCACCGCAGCGGUCAUAUCAUUCUUCAUCACCGAAUCCCCAACGGUAAGAGGACCAGUAGGGGAUAUGAAUGAUGGGCGCCAUAUGUUGUCUGGAGAAGGCGGGAUUGCCUCUUCACCAAGAUUCAAGUCAAAACGACGGUCGGAAGGUCCAGACAUUUUCAAAGGUGUUGAAGAAAGAAGAGGUCAGACAGAUCAAGACCUUAGAAGUGCAAGAAGGGAGUUUCUGCAAGCGAAAAUUCAAGUGUGCUUGAAACGAACUGCGUGCCUCUAUAAAAAUCAGCACUCAAUGGGAUUUCAGAGAUCGAAGAGGCAAGCUCAGAGUUCGAAAAUGCCGAUUCAAAAAUCGAAGAGGCAAGCUCAGAAAUCGGAGAAGCAUCUUGCUUUUCCAGACGCAUUAGCCCCCGUCACACGCAAACUCAGCUUUGCGGAAAUCACGGGCAAUUUGUUAAAGCGCCAAUCCCAGAUAUCGAAGAGGCGCCAGUCUUUUCAGCCUUGUCAGCACCCGUCACACGCAAACUCAGCUUUGCGGAAAUCACGGGCAAUUUGUUAAAGCGCCAAUCCCAGAUAUCGAAGAGGCGCCAGUCUUUUCAGCCUCGUCAGCACCCGUCACGCGCAAACUCAGCUUUGCGGAAAUCACGGGCAAUUUGUCGAAGCGCCGAUCCCAGAUAUCGAAGAAGCGCCAAUCUUUUUCAGCCUCGUCAACACCUAUCACACGCACACUCAGCUUGAUGAAAAUUACGGACAAUUUGUCGGAAAAUUAUGAUAAAGAAGAAAGCACGUGAAGCCAUACUGAUCAAUCACGCAUUGGUUACCGACACGAGUAAAAGAAUAGUACCUCUACAGGUACUAACGAAUUUCCUAUAACUGUCCACCUUCACCUUCAUAGCAAGGCAGACACACAGAGCCUCUCUUCAUCUCAAAAAAAUGUUUUCCCAACGAAACCUCUCGAGUCAUUCGGUGUUCCUUAUUCGUUGGAGUACCUCUGCAAGCCAAUGACUCCAAAGCAAAAGUAUCUCAUAUCACCAGGGUAGAAAGCAAGAGUAUCUCAUAUCAUGCACUCUCCCUGUCAUUUCCUUUGUCCUUGUUCCUACCUACAAAGACAAGGAUAAAGAAAACAAUAUGCCGGAACUUCCACUCAAACUCGGGUAAGGAACUGACUGCUUGGAACCCUUCCGUGAUUGCCUACCUAGCACUGCUCUCGAGUACUCGCCUUCCACUGCUGCUGUACUUUCAAAGAAGCUGCCACAUCUGCUUGGAGGACAGAUAAGGCAAGUGAAAAUGAUACCUUGCAGCAUGUGGAGACAAGGUGCAGAAGGAACAAGCAGAGAAGAAUGCGGUCUGCACGAUCAACUCAGCAGAAUGAGUCCGAACUGAGGAACUCGAGAAGCUGCCACAUCUGCCUAAAGAAACAAGCAGAGAAGAAUGCAGCAUGCACAGUCAACUUAGCAGAAAGAGUCUGAGAUGAAGAACUCGAGAAGAUGCCGCAUCUGCCUGAGGACGGUGAACUCGUUUUGACCCUCAAAUUCUUGGGUCGACUUACUAGGCGUUGUGGGCUGCACGUGCCGAUUCACCACCUUUGAAUAAAAUCCUUAAAGACCAAGUCACCAAUCGGAAGAGGAGCCCAUCAAUCUCGAAGAUCAUACCGUUGACCAAACUACUCAGGUGUGAAUUAGAAAGAUUGAACAAAGCAACAAGUCGUCACCUUCACCUCGUGCCUGCUUGCCGUGUGUUCGAGUCAGCCUUCAAGAAUCAAGCCUCAACGGCCUUUGAAGAAGCUUCCAGCCAAAUUCAAAAUCAAGCCUCAACGGCCCUGGAAGAAAUCACAAGUCCGAUUCAAGAUUAAGUGUCUACCAUCCUUGAAUCAAAACCUAGUUCAAGAAUAAGCUGUGGAAAAUCAACAAUUAGAGGAAUCUAGAAAAUCCUUCAACCCAGUUCAAGAUCAAAGCUGUGGAAAGUCAACAAAGCGCAACAAAAUACGUGUCGAUUCACCCACUACCAAAGCCAAAGAUCAUCUACCACAUGAAGCUCCUUGUGGUCCAAUUUCAACCUUCAAGAUCAAGCCUCGACGACCCUUGAAGAAAUUUCAAACAAAAAAUUCAAGAUCAAGCCUCAACGACCCUUGAAGAAAUCUCAAGCCCAAUUCAAGAUCAAGCCUCAAUGGCCCUUGAAGAAAUCUCCAGCCCAAUUUAAGAUCAAGCCUCGACGGCCCUUGGAUCGACAUCUACAGUAAGGGACUUCAAAACGCAUCUCCUACACGUGACAAGCACAUGUAUACGACGUGCCUUGAAGUGGGGGCAUUUGUAGACAUCGAAAUUUCGUAAAUAAAUGUUGACCGAUAAAUCAAAGUGUCAACGCUCAUGUAUUACAUAAAUUUUACACGUAGCGUGUGACUCAACGAAAAUUGAAAUGAGUUGGAAAAGUCAUCAAAUAGGACAUGUGUCAACACCUGGCAGAAACGACUUAUUUCAUCUGGGAUAUUAUAUUCAAAAUUAGGCAUUGGAAAAUUCUAUAAAUACAAGCCCAUUUCAUUCAUUUAAGGGAACCAAUUCAUAUUACACCUUGAAGCUCUGAAGCUCUGAAACUCCGAAGCUCUCAAGCAUCCAGGUUCCCGAAGAAUCAAGAAAGCCUUCUUCGUUCUUCGUUCAUCGUUCUUCCAAGAUCAAGCCCCGACGGCCCUUUGGAUCAACAAGCAUCCACCAAUUCAAGAUCAAGCCCCGACGGCCCUUGAAGAAAGUGUUCUUCGUUCUUCGUUCAUCGUUCUUCCAAGAUCAAGCCCCGACGGCCCUUGGAUCAACCAUCCACCAAUUCAAGAUCAAGCCCCGACGGCCCUUGAAGAAAGCACCAUCGUUCAUCAUCAGUUCAUCCAAGAUCAAGCCCCAACGGCCCUUUGGAUCAACAAACGUCGACAAACCCACACAUCCAACCGUUCUUCAAGAUCAAGCCCAAAAGCCCUUGGAGAUCCGUUCAUCACUGUUCUUCAAGAUCAAGCCCAAAAGCCCUUGGAGAUCCGUUCGUCACUGUUCUUCAAAGAUCAAGCCCAAAAGCCCAUUUGAAGAUCCGCUCAAAUCCACCUUCAAGAUCAAGUCCACGGCCCUUGAAGAACGUUCAUCCUUAGAUCAAGCCCAACGGCCCUUUGGAUCAAUCACACAUCCACAAAUACACACCUUACGGAGAUCGAAUCAGAGGAUCAAAAUAGAGAGAGAUUGUAACCCAAAAUCAUCAAAUACAAAUAUUUGUUUGUGCCGCGUUGUUCUUGUCUCUUUCGUUUCAGGAAUUUUCCGUGUUCACAGUUGGAUUAUGACUUGUUCUUGAAUGUCGGAGUAUGACUUCUUAGUGAGUGUUGGAUUAUGACUUGUGGAAUGUUGAAUUAUGUGUUAGGUUACAGGUGUAUAUUCAAUAUGAAUACCUCUGAUGAUGAUGUUCAGGAUUUGGAGGAUGGUGUAAUUAUAUGCGCUGUAGCGAGAGCUAUUGAAACAUAUGCAUUCUUCUCUAAGGAGCAUCAUUGAACGAACUUUUGGGGUAUGGAAGAAAAGAUGGGCAAUUUUAAGGGAUAUGCCUAAUUACCCGUUCAAUAAGCAAGUGAAGAUUGUCAUUGCUACAAUGGCUCUUCAUAACUACAUACGGAGGUAUUCUGAAAGUGAUCGUCAUUUUGAUGACCCCAGGGACUAUUGUGAAGAGAGCGAUAAUAGUGAUGAUGAUGAUGAAGAAUACCAAAAUUAUCAAGUUGAAUGAUCCCAUGAGAUAGAAGCAUUAAGAAAUAGAAUAGCAGCAAGUUUGAUGAAUGCAUCUAAUUAGACUACUUUCAAGUACAUUAACAAUAUUGUACUAAUGAAUCCUAGCUAUUCAGUCUAAAAUAUUUCAAUUGAAAUACUUUGUCAUACUAAUUAAUAUUUAAGAUAAAGUUUAUAAAUAUUUCUUUUUAAAAAAUAAAGUAUAUUUAAUAAUUCACUUUUAUUUGUUAAGAAAAUUAAAUUAAUAGCACAUAUAGUAUUAUACCCUUUUUGGUCAUUUCACACAGUCACAGCUUUUUUACAUAAAAGUUUACCAAACACUUUUUUUUCCAAAAGCACUUUUACAAAAAAGUUUACCAAACACUCUGCUGGCUUUAUUUCACAGCCGCUUAUUCUCACAGCACAGUCGUUUAUUCUCAUAGCAGUUUUUUUUCAAAGCACAGCAAUACCAAACCAGCCCUUAGUAUGCGUUAGAAAUUGUGCCGCAAAAAAUUUAAAAAUGGUAUGAAAUAUUAUGUUUGAAAAAAAAAAAAGAUUUUGUUGCAAAAGAUUAAUAUUAUUUACAUAGAAAAUGUUAGGUAGAUUGUUACAUACAAAGAUUUGAUCGGCACAUUCUACACAAGUAGUUCAUGUGGCCUUUGAUUGAUAGUACUUGCACACAAAAGAUUAUAGAUUUUUGUAUUAUUUACAUGCAAAAAUGAUAAAGUUCGUAAAAUUUUGUAGCAGUUACCUCACAUAACUUCCCUUUCGAAAAAUACGAAUUGAUGUGUAUCCUUGAAUGUGAUUCCUGAACAUUAUGAGCAAUCUUAAGAGGGUAAGGAAGUGAACAACAAUAUCGCAUCUAAAGUAAUCUGAAGCAAUAUAUUAUAACCAUUUAAGAUAUCACAUAAAAGCUUAAUAACCAUAGCUACAUUGAAGAAUACAAUGUGAAAUGCAUAGGACAGUCUAAAACAUGAGUCCACCCAUGUGCCACCCGGAGGUUAACAUUUCUCUGUUCAAGUAGAGAUACAACAAAAACAAACUAAUGUGUCAAGAUCUUUGGAAAUUGCUACUGCCUUGGGGGUGGAACUUAAAACUAUUAUUUAUGUUGUUUAUAUGGCUAGCUUUGGAUUGGGGUUUGCAUUCUCUUUAGAUUGAGAUUCUUCUUUGGCAAUGCAUUUUCUUUCUAAUGGAUCUUCUUAGGGUGCCUUGCCAUUUAUCGGUUGAUUGGGCAAAUUGUUGCAUAUUCUCUCUCCCCAUCCAUAUUCUGCUUUCUCACAUUUAUUGCGAAGGAAAUCAAGUGGCGGAUUGUUUGGCAAAUUAUGGUGUUGAUUAUGUUGCGGUUCAUUGGUGGAAUUCUUGUCCGCCAUGUGCAAUUGCGGCUUUUGCUAACAAUCUUUCGGGAUUUCCAAUUUUUCGUUUCUCUUAGGAAUUGUCUUAAUUGUUUUUUGUUUGUAAUAGCCUUCUACUUCUUGUUAGGGUAUGGUUUCAUGUUCCCUCUAACUUUUUGUAUCUUUAUUUUUUAGGAAAACUAACGAAAAGUCCAAAAAAACUUCUUUUUUAACGAAAAACCCAUUUUAAAGGUAUAUUGAAUAGUGUCAGUUAAAGGUAAAAAUGUAGUUUUUCAUUAAAAAUGAACAGUACCGGAAGUGUUUUGUUAAAACUCUUUUUUUUUUCUUCUUCAAUAUAUUCACAAUAAUCUCUUUUUUAUGUUAGGUAUGUUGAAGUGGAAGUGACAUUGCUUUUUUUAUUAAAAAAAAGGAGUGAUGAGUGUGACAGGUUUCUGGUAGAAGUUGGAAUGGCUUCAAUCUAAUUAUGUUUGUAAAUUUUUUGGUGAAAAUCAUGUUUCUAAUUAUUGCUAGCCCAUUGUAUUAAUCUUAAAACAUCAUUACACUCGGUUUUGCAUUAAAUUUUCCGUUAGCUCUAACUACUUCAUGUCUUUUCUUAAAGUCUAUUUCCAAGUUUUCUUAAGUCUUUCUCUACCAAUUUUGCCUGAAAUAAAAAAAAUAGAUACAAGGUGUAUGGAGCAAGAAAUUGGAGAAAACUAAAGACAAAGUUGAAUUAUGUCUUCUUUUAGUUUAUAGAACAAAUAAUUAUUGAAUAUUUUUUAAAUUUUAUUGGUGAAAAAUUAGGUUUGUAAUUUUCAUAUUAAUCAUAGAUAUACAAAAUUUACAGAGGCAAAUAUCAUUUAAAGUUAAAAUUUUACAGAACAAUGGAGCUCUCAAUGAUGCCAAAGUGGAUGAUUUUGGCCACUUUUAUCACCACUAAUUUUGCUGGCAUCAGCUAGGCCCCAACCUGACCCGACCAAGUUGAAUUCAAGUAAUAGGUUUAAGCUCAAUGUUGGAGACAGAGGACUCUCUGGAGUAUGGAGUCUUGGACUGUUUUUUUUUUUCUUUCAGAAAAUGACUCGAAGCUUCUGCUGCUGAUAUGUUGGAACUUAAGGUCAUCUCCAACCGAAUGAGUUAUAUUUAGCCUUCAUCUAAAUUAUAGUCUUGUAAGAAAUUAUUUUUUAAUAAACAGUGUCAGAUCAUAUUUAUAUACAAUCUCUAACCGAAAGACACUAUUUUUAGUCACCUCAAUAAUUUAUUAUUUUAAGUUUGUUCUUUAAUUUUAUCAGUUAAUUGAAUUAAAUCAUAUUAAAAUAAGGUUUCCGGACAUAUUUUAAGGGCUACUUGUCCCUAAAUGUUGUUUUAAGUUUCAUGUUAUUAAAUAUUUUAAAUUUACUUGCAUGUUAACAACUUGAACAUUAAAAUGAUGUAAGAUAGUAUGGAAGGUUGAAAAUGAUAUGAGAAAUAGUGUAGAAAUGACUUAGGUACUUAUAGGGAAAAUUUUGAAUUAAAUUUUUUUUUUUCAAAUUCGUAUUAAAAAAAUAAAAGGCUACAUGAUGUCAACUAGUAGUACAACUGAGUUCAACUUUUAGGGCUGACUGUCUAUAUUUGCCCAACCCUUUGGCCAUUUGGCUAUAUUUUGGCUCGGUGGGUCCCAAAUUUUUUUGACCUAACCCUUUAUUGGAGAUUGAUUUUGUGUCAAAACAGGCUAUAUUUUAGCUUAUAGCCAUUUGGCCAGCUUGGUUGAAGAUGGCCUAAAAGUGAUGAAAGGACCCCCAUCCCCUUCCACAGUUGGCUUUUGAAGUCUUGGUAACUUGACAGUCAACUAUAAUGUCAACUGCUAAAGCCUGAUUCUAUCUCAAUUGCUUAAUUACAGCCUGAUUCUCUCUUAUUAGCACCUAAAUCCCUUUUUAAUUAUAUUGUUUCACACUUUGCGGUUCAUCUCUCUGCAACUUCCUAUGCUAAAGUUGGUAAUCUGGUAUCUCUAAUAUUCCUCUAUUCAUUUUGCCCUAAAAUAAAAUAAAUACAAGGUUAUGGAGGAAGAAAUAGAGAAAACUAAAGACAAAGUUGAAUUAUGUUUUCUUUUAGUUGAUAGAACAAAUAAUUAUUGAAUUUUUUUUAAUUACUGGUGAAAAAUCAGGUUUGUAAUUUCCAUAUUAAUCGUAGACAACAGAACUUACAGAGGCAAAUAUCAUAUAAAGUUAAAAUUUUACAGAACAAUAGAGCUCUCACUGAUGCCAAAGUGGAUUAGGAUUUCGCUGAUGCGUAUACUACUAUUUGGUUCCAAAAUAAUCUCUCUUCCAUGAUAUUAUUGUUGGAUAAUUUGGAAUGGAGACUUAUUUUCUGCAUCACGUGCUGGUUUUUGUCGCACUGACGAAACAAAAGUACUUUUGAAUAGGAUUUGGCUCUCGCUGAUGAUUCCGAAUCUAUGAUCAUUACUUAUUUGAAAGAUUGGCUUGGGGCGAAGAUGGUUUAUUUCCUAAAACUCCUUCGAACACAUGCUUUCCUUCGUUAAGAACCUCCUACUGAGGGUUGGGUAAACUUUAAUGUUGAUGGGUGUCGUAAGGGGAGGCCAAUUUCAUCAGUGUUGGCAGUGUCCUCAAAAACUCAUCGGGAGCAUGGGUUUUUAGUUUUUGUGCUACUCUUGGUCGAGGUGAAAAUCUAUGUGCUGAAGUUUGGGGUGUUUUUAUUGGGGUGCAUCUUGCAUGGAAUAACGGAAUUAAGAAAAUUAUGGUAGAAUCAGAUUGUGCUCUUACGGUUCAAUUCGUUAUAUCUAUCGUGAAAAGAAUUUUGUUACUAAUAAUUUGGCUUGUUUAAGUUUGUCAUGCAGUUUGGGUUGAGUUUUUUUUUUGGGACACUUUAUAUCCGGUCCUUAGUUGGUAUAGAUUUUUGACUAAAACCUUAUUGUUUUUUACUUUUUGAUUAAAGUCCCUAUAAUUUGUCCACAUCAGCAUUUACUGUCAAUAUAUUUCCAUGUCAGCUUUCUUUUUAUUUUACUAAAAUAGUUAAUUAUUGCAUUUUUUAUCCCACGCUGUGUUUUUAUUUCAGGACUCUUAUGCCUUCAACGCCUCUUAUGCUUACCGAACUGAAUUAACGCAUCCGUUCCACCAAAUAAUCACGCUCAUUUGAUUUCGUUCAGUUUUUUAUUUUCGUAACCGCAAAAUCCACAAUAAUCUCACUCAAAUUUUCAAAUUCAUCAUUAUUAUUUUUGAUAUGAAUCCUCAAUUUCACUUUCCGGCAAAAUUUGGGUCAAAAUCAUAUUUUAUCCGCGAGUGUUCGAAGGAGCGCAGUUUUUGGCAGGGGAACUUGUUGAAUCAACGACCCUUACGAGCUAAAAUUCCAGGUAUUGGAACUUCAAUGAUUUCAGCAUGUCCCUUAUUGUUUUGUAGUGUUUUUUUCUAGUGUAUACCAAGUGUUUGUCGAAAUGUUUGAAUGAUAAUUUUGAGUACAAUUCAAUUCAAUUGCACUGUAUUCGUGUUUUACAGUGGUCCAUGAUAUAUGUGGUUUUGAGUGAAUAUUUGAACAGUAAUAGAACUCUAGGAGGGGGUACAAACGAGUUGGCAUGGGGUAUAAUGCAAUAUUUUGUUGAGUUGGGGUAAUAACUAGGUGCGGAUACAUUCUUAAAUGUUGGGAGUGUGAAUUCAUUUUACUAACAUUGACAAGAAUGGGUACGAACUAGGUGGCAUGGGGUACAAUCCAACACUUGUAGACUUCCAGAAUUGGUAUGCAGGGGUACAAACCAGUUGGCAUGGGGUGUAAUGCAAAUGGUUGUUGAGUUGGGGUACAAACUAGUUGGUAUAGAUUUUGACAGGGGGUACAAACUAUUCGAUAUUAACAAGCAGUUGGCAGGGUUAAAAACUAUGAGAUAUUGACUAACAGGGGUGCAAACUAGCUGGUAUAGAUUUUGGCAGGGGGUACAAACUAUGAGAUAUUAAUAAGCAGUUGGCAGGGGUACAAAUUAUGACAUAUUUGACAAUCAGGGGUACAAACUAGUUGGUAUAGAUUUUGGCCGGGGUACAAACUAUGGGAUAUUAACAAGCAGUUGGAAAGGGUACAAACGAGUUGGCAUGGGGUGCAAUUCAAUACUUAUAGAUUGGCAUGGGGAAUAAUGGAAAAUUUGUUGAGUUGGGGCUGUAUAGGCGCGGAUACAUUAUCAGUGUUGGGAGUAUGAAUUCAUUUUAUUAACAUUGAGUUGGAGGGGUACAAACUAUAUCGUGAUGGGGUACAUUCUGAACACAGAUUGUCCCAAGAUCAUUUUACUAACAUUCAUAAGUGUGUAUGGCCCUUUCACCAGCUUGAAAAUUUUGAUAAACGAUGGGGUUCUGAAUGUACAUUGUAGGCACAUUCUCAACAUCUUGAAAAUUUUCUUAAACUUGUUAAUGUUACUAUAUUGUUCCCUUACUAAUAUGUUACAUAAAUACAUAUGGGAGUUGGACACAAGAUUGUGAUGAAGAUUUGUGCAAGAAUUUAAAUGUUUCUUUUUUGGAUAGGUACAUGAAACUAUGAGGUAUCGUUCGAGCCUUCUUCAUUUUGCUAGGUUGUACCCGAGAAUAGAAGGAUUUAUUCGUACCGGGCAUGAUGAAGAGAUGAAAAAAACACCAUUUUGGAACUUGUUUAAGGCAUAUCGUGAUGGUCAUGUUACAAGUGAGUUUUGCAAAAAAAUUGACACAGAUGUUGCUAGAAUAGUAAAUCAGUACAAUAAAGAUAUGAAGUUCUUUGUGUUUGGGGACAUUUAUGCGAGGUUCACACCAAGUGAUAUAGCUGCAAUUCUUGGCUUGCCUAAUAUGGGUUACACACUUAAGCAUACUGGUAUGAAAGGUGUGAGAGUGAAACACACUACAUUUAUGACAAGGUAUUUUUGCGUUCAAAAGGAUCGGGUUACAAAAAGUGACGUUGAGGGUGCACUUAUUAAAUCGGUUGCGGGGGAUACAGAAGAAAGCAAAAAAGAUUUUGUAAGAUUGGUAUGCCUAUACUUCUGCAACUCUCUAUUAUUCUCCAACACAGCAACACAUGUUUCAUGGACCAUUGUCAAAUUAUGCGAAGACCUUGAUCAAAUAGGUGGCUACAAUUGGGCAGCGGCUACUUUUGACUGUCUGUUCAGUUCACUUCACAGGGCAGUCAACCCGAGUUCAGUUAACGGUUGUGUGGUUGCAUUAUUGGUAAGUCACUUUAUAUUGAAACAAUUUUUGUGUGUAUAUAUGUAGUUAAUUUAAUGUCUUAUUAUUAAUAUGGUUGUGAAACAGUUUUGGGCUUGCGAUAAAAUGGGAAUGUGUAACAAAAUUGCUGGAAGGGAAAACAUAUGCCCGAGCUUUUUAAGGUGGAGCAUGACAGAUUUCCAUGAAAAGCUUAUAGUAACAGAUCUUGCCACUAUGAAGGUAUAACAAUUUUUUUAUUAACAUUAUAUAAAAAUCAUUCGAUUCAAGUGACAUUGUAUAUUGAUUUAACUUGCAGUCACAUGUGAACCACGAGAUGGUGCUUUAUGCACACGCGGAUGAUGAGAAUGUACCCAUAAAACUGGAUGAUAUACUUGGAAACGCUGUCAAUAAGGAGGAUGAAAACCACGCCAAUUCACAUAGUCCAGCAACUAAACUUGUCGAAUUUGAUGCUCCAAAUUGGCAACUCAUUGCAACACAAGAUUUUUAUUCCUCAUCAUCCAAGUUUUCCCCGAAUGUCAGCCCACGUGUGAUUGCAACGAAUGGGAUGAACGACAGUGCAGCGGAAAAGAACAACCCGCAGUCUGGAAUGAGUGAAAUGGAUAUUAGAUGUGAAACGGCUGAAAUAAAAGUGGAUGUACUGACAGAGUCAUUGAUUAUUGCUGAUAAUGAUUUGGAGGCUGCACGGAUGCAAAUAGAUACACUAAUUGAAGAGAACAAGAAAUUGAAAAAACAGUUGGCUGCAAUACAGAACAUGGGUUCGUAUUCGUCAGUACUAACACAGUGCUCCAUGUACAGACGAAUCAAAACAAGAGAAGGCAGGAUAAGGCGCAGGCUACCUGAUUUUAGCUAUGGAAGCACUAUUAAAAAGCGAAAUACCAGUAUGAAACGGGCAAGAAACUCAGCUGAGUGCAGUGUUGCAGCCCAUGAUGUCAGUCGGAAAAAGGUAAGAACCGACUCAAAAAAGAUUUGUAAAAAGAAGAAUGUGCUGAAACCAAUUUCUAUUAUAGACCCUGACUUUGUAGAGCCUAUGCGAACAAUGCUUGAAAAUCCGAAAGAGAAAAACACAUUUUGCGAUAGUGCUUCUAAGACUGUUGAUAAGCAUCCAUUAGUACAACAAAAGCAUGUUACCAGUGAUGAAGGCAUGAACUGGGACACCGAUGCUGUUAAAAAAAGACUUGAACUUAAAAAAACCCCUGUGGGUCCAUACUUUGAUGAUGAUGACUUCAACAGGCUUGAGAAAUUUGUGAAUGUUGAAUAUUCAGGGUAAGAAACCUACUUGUUAGUUGCUAUUGUAAUAUGUUUUUCUUUCUUUUUUUUUGGUACGUUGUUGAUUGUUUUUUUAUCAAUGUCAUAUUUUUUUGUAUUUUCAAAUAGGACUGCAUUAUGGAAAAGUGAUCGAGCUAUCAUCCUACAUGAGGAUAUUAUGUUCUUACUCACUAACCAAGCAAUCACUACAAAUGUAAGAUUAUUGAAAACUUGUUUGGAAUACUGAUAUAUUUGGUUUUGUAAUGUGGUUUUGCAUAAUGUUUUGAUUUUGUAGACAAUUGAUGCAUAUGGAGAUAUCUUACACAUGCACCUAGAUAAUGAUAAUAAGAAGAUACAGAGGGAAUCGUAUUUCAUGUCUGCAAAUAUAUGGGUUAGUAACUUAGUAUGGAUAUUUAGUUUUCAAAUUUUGAAUAUUAACCUUGUAUUGGGUGAAAUGGGUCCAUUUUAUUUAAUCGUUACAUGCCAACAGGAAUUCAAGAUCUCCAACAACCUAAAGGCUCUUGAAACAUUUCUUUAUAACCCAUUGCUUAAAGUGUUUGGCAAGUAUGACAUGAUAUUCUUUCCCAUAAGGCAUGGUUUUGAAGAUCACUACACUUUAGCUCUACUUGACACCAUAGAAGGGAAGUGGUACCAUUACAAUCCACGCCUUCCGGAAAAUGGAAAUCUGCAUAAUCCAUGCUUUAACGAUGCUGUGCAAUUAGUAAGUUUAUUUUCUUUACAAUGAAUGAAUACUAUACAAUCGGUUAAACUUGAAAUUUCCACAUUACAUCACCCUCCUAUCUGUAUCAAAGAACAUGUAUGUCAUUACUUUUUUUUUUUUUAUCUUUACGUAGAGGUUGAUUCAUCAUUAUCAUUGCAGAGUAAGAUGGUGAUGGAAUUCCUAAAACAUCAUCAAAAGCGUUCGAUAUUUGCACUUCGCGAGGGAGUUAUUGUCAAGGGUUUAUUCCACCCUGAUAGUGGUGCGAUGGAGGGGAAAAUGUACCCAAUGUCAAAUGAUGAAAAACUUACAUUUCAGAGUAUAAAGGAUAUCCACAUUGAUUGGCCAAUUGUGCUUGUCCAAAAGUGCCCACAACCUCCUCCAGGCUCGUGAGUACAUUAACUUAUUUUGUCAUUCCUAUUAUUUUGUACCUGGAAAAUAUUCAUAUAGUAGCUUAACACUUUAUGAGGAUUAUGAAUAUGCAGGCUUGAUUGUGGCGUCUCAGUGUUAUAUUAUAUGGAGCACAUGUCAAAGAUGUGGCCAAUAAUGGAAAAUUUUGAUGACGAUGAACUGCUCGAGUAUAGAGCAACAUGUGUGGGUGCAUUUCUGAACGAUGAAUCUAAUUGGUCGCAUGCAUAGGGCACCAACAUGCAGUCAUGGCUAUGAAUCUAAUUUGAUGUUUUUGUUUUAUGGUAAUAGAUAUGAUGUACUUUGUGUACUUUAUGGGUUUAUAAGAUUGUUUUUUUUUUAUGAGAACCAAUUGACGUUUGAAUCCAACUAAUGUGAUUACAUUUAAUUAGUUCAUGUUCACGAGCAUAAUGCUUUUUUUCUUUCUUAAUAUGCAGAAUGAAAAUGAAUUGUUAGAGGUACAAAGGGAGGGUACAUUCUUAACGAUGGGAUUUGAAUUCAUGUCACUAGUACAUUAUCAUUUGUUAGUGUUAAUGUAUUCUCACCAUAUUGAAUUCAUUUCACUUCUAAAUUCUUACUUGUUAAUAUUUGUUUUAAAAUUUUAGGUACAUUCUCGACAUCUUGAAAACUUUUUAAAACUAGUUAAUGGUGUUAAUUUGCACCCACUCUCACGAAAAGUGUGAGGGGUAACAUGAGGUAUCAUUCGAGCGUUGUUCAUUUUGAAAUUCUAAAGAAAUUGCACCUUCAACAAUAGAAGGAAAAGUUCUCUGAACAAAAAAAAUGUAGCCAAUGCAAACAGUAUUGUAACCCAUGCUGUAUGGCUCAACUUCUAAAAUUCUAAAUACAAAUGAACCAAAUUUGAAUACAUAGAAUAGAAGCAAAAUUGUCACACCAAGCUCAAAUUGUGUACAAUUUAAAUGUAAAAAAAUUAUGCAAAGACUGAAUAACAAUGGGAGUAGUAGCAUAAGCUUAUAUAAGAACUGAACAAGUCCUCUUAUUGUGAUGGCCCACUUGAUGACACCGACCACACUCCAAUGGUCUAGCUUCCUCCCCAGCAGAUUUGAUCCUCUUGAUCCUUGGUCUACCAGGUUGCUUCCUAGUUUUAGGAGGUUUCACUAUAAAAUCUGUAUCUUCACUCAUGGGAGGCUUAUCUAUUUGAGGAAUAGGUUGAAUUGGAAAUGAAUAGGAAGACUUGUAGUAAUCAGCGCUGAAAUAAGCCUCAGUGUAAUCAAAAGGAUUUGCACCAUUUUUCAAGAUUGCAGCAAGUGCGUGUGAGCAAGGGAAGCCUUUUAUCUGCCAUUGAUGACAUGAGCAGAUUUGUCUUUCCAAGUCAACCAUCAAUGAAGUAUCAUCGGUUUGCACUUCAAACACAAACUCACUAGACCGUCUAACAAGCCAAUGCCUACCAACCUCAAUAGAUGCAACCAUCUCAGCCUCCAUCUCCGGGCAUAAGAAAGUGGUCCAUUUGUUUGCCUCAAGAUAUCUUUCAGCAUUCAUUUCCAUCAACUUAAUUCUUAUACCAUCCACCAAUUGGUAAAUUGGUAAGAGACGCUCGUUACUAAUCCAUGCAUUAAAUGAUUCUGCAACGUUCGACCACAUUUCCCCGUACCUAACACAUCGAAAUAAUAAAAUGAGCAAUCUGCAUAAUUUGGUUAUAUGAGAAAUCUGAGAAAUCAAACAGUGUAGAAACAAGUCAUCUUCAUGUAAUAUUAUAAAAUGACACAUGCAUGAAUAAAAACGAAACUUGUAUUGUGUUUUGGAAGAUAGUAAAUUAACAAAAAUUGUUACCUUUUACCCUUGAAAAAUGCAUCGCAAAAAUUCUCUUGUGGGAGAUCCUUCAAAAAUUUGCGCAUUAUAUUACCUCCUUCCUUGACUAAAGCUGCUCUUUUCAAUUCAUACAUCUCGGGGGUGGCAGCAUAUGCACACUCAUUGAACUUUUGAACAAUUUUAUUUCGAAAAACAGAUCCAAGACCAGAGGGGUACUUUUCUAAUAUGUUUAGCUUGAUGUGAUACAAACAAUAUGCAUGAGGGGAGUCUGGAAAAGUAUGCGUCACAGCCGGAAUCAACCCCUUGUGUCGAUCAGAAAUGAAAGUUAUGGUACGUUGUUGUGGCUCCAAAAUCUUAGCCAAAUUUUUAAGAAACCAUAUCCAAUUAUUUUGGUCCUCACCACCAACUAAUGCGAAUGCAAGAGGAAAGAAUCCUUCAACCAACAGAUUAAAACAUGACAAAAUAAGUGGUCAGCAUUAUAUACCAAACUUAUGAAUAAAAGUGCAUCGUGAGCAAUAUACAUAAUCAGGUUAAAGGUACCGAAUCUUCAAAAUUUUGAAAGAUGCUAUAUAAUCAUGUUGAAUAGGAAGAGUUAUUAUUAUGCAAAUUAUUAAAAUAGAAAAAUUUAAGGGACAUGUGCAUACCUUGAUUGCCAUUUUUACCAAUUGCAACAAGCAAUGUUCCUUUGUAUUUGUCUUUCAAGAAAGUACCAUCCAAAAACAACAUAGGCCUACAAAACUUAAAACCCUCAAUAGAACCACCAAAUGCAAUAAAUAUCCGCUGGAAAUGAAAGGUUUCUUGGUCAAACUCCAAUUCGCAAUGAGAACCAGGAUUUGUUUUUUUGACAGCUUCUACGUACCAAACCAUUUGAUGAUACGACAACGAGUCAUCACCAUGAACUUUAGUUUUUGCAAUCUCUUUCCCAUACCAUGCAUUGUAAUAGGAAAUAUCUAAACCGUAGUCUCUCUUGAAAUCCAUUACAAUAUCAAUUGGUUUAAUACGGGGUCUGGUCCGUAUCUUUUCAACUAUAGCAGAAGCUACAACUUUGGAAGUCAUCAUACCACUUUUCUUCUCACGAAUGCGGCCUGUGCAAGUGUGUUCGUUAUUUAACCUCUUAAUAUAAAAGAAAUUGUUAACACGACAUACUGAUGCAUGCACACGCCAUUGACAACCUUCAGAAUAUUUCUUAUUACAUACAGCUGUAACUCUUUCCCUAUCAUUCUUCACAUACACAAAUGUGAAUCCCAUUUCAACCGCAUACUUACAAAGUUUGUCUCUGAAUUCUUCCACUCCGCCUUCAAAUCCUUGAUUUACAUGAUUGAUGUAGGUCUUCCAAGAGUUUGACAGAUACACUUUGCCUCCCGGUGUUGCAUAUUUCCCUAAAUAGUCAUUCCCAUCACUAUGAAUAUUUCCUUCAAUUAUAAAUGUUUGUGAAGCAUUGGUAUUUCGGCUGACACGAUCAUUAUCACGACACGACUUUUGGUUGAUAACUAUAUCAACACAAUAAUAUUUCUCGUUGACAACCGACAUGUGCAACAUCCGCACAUCCAUAUCAGAUUGCAAUAGGCAAGUAGAAUAUCCAGGUAAAGCAUAUGUAAGAUCGAAUAAACCAUGAGUCAAAUUACUAAGCCUUGAGCAAACCUCAUUGUACACUUCAGAGAAUGUAGUGUGGCAAAAAAUUGGGAUAGAUAUAGUGGUACCCUGAUGAGUGCAUCUCCCCAAUAUAACACCUUCCAUCUGAAAAAUAAAAGAAAGUAGAGACAACAACAACCCAAAGCAUUAUAGCUUGACAUGAAAAAAGUGCAUAUAAAUUUUCAUAAGGAAAAACAAGAAAGAUGAAUUAAACUAUGUCCAGUUACUAUUUGCUGUUCGUACCCCCACUCCAAAUACCGUAUAUGUCAAACAGAAAAAUAGAUGGCAAAAACUCUCUGCCUUAGCUAGUCCUCCCUUGAUUUAUCUGCUCAGUUUAAUGUUGUACCCCUGUCUAUACUUUUACAACUCUCUAUUAAUUUCCAACACAGCUACACGUGAACCAUUGGUAAAAAAUGUACACAAUGCGAUUGAAUUGUACCCAUGCACACCAUAAUAGAGAAAAAGACUUAUUCAAUAAUUUUUAUGAACAAUUUCUAUGCAUACAAAAAUUUCAUAUUCGAAAUUCUCUUUCAAACAUUUCGACAAACACUUGGUAUGCACCAUAAAAACACUGCAAAAACUACAAGAUACAUGCUGAAAUCAAUUAAGUUCCCCAAUACAUGCCAAAAAAUUUGUUAAAGAAUCAUUUUACAUAUGCAAAACCAAUUGCAAAACCAAUUGUGAAAACAAUACUGCACUACCUGUAAAUAUGGGUACAAAAAUUAUAAACCCAAGAAUCUACCAUUACGGCCAAAUCGGUAUAAACGAACUAUGGUGCAAAUUCAAAAAAUGAAAAAAUACCUCGAAUUUUAGCUCGGAAGUGUCGUUGAUUCUUCAAGUUACUCUGCAAAAAAAUGCGCUCGUUCGAACGCUCGUGGAUAAAGUAUGACUUCGACUCAAAUCUUGGCGAAACUUGAAUUUGAAGAAUCAUAUCAAAUAUAAUAAUGCUAGAUUUGAAAAACUGAGUGAGAUUAUUAUGGAAUUUGCGGUUACGAAAAUCAAAAACGGAAGAAAUCAAUUGUGCAGGAUUAUUUGGUGGAAUGGAUGCGUCAAUUCAGUUUGGUAAGCAUAGGAGGCAUUGCAGGCAUAAUAGUUGUGGAAUAAAAACGUAGCCUGGGAUAAAAAAUUGCAAUAAUUAACUAUUUUAGUAAAAAUAAAAAAAGGUGACAUGGAAAUAUGCUGGUAAUACAAUGCUGAUGUGUACAAACUUCAAGGACUUUAAUCAAAAAGUUAAAAGUAACAAGGUUUUAAUCAAAGAGGAUCAAUAAUUAGGGACCGGAUCCUAAUUUCUCCUUUUUUUUUUAACAAGCUCCCACUUCUUAUCAUCGAGUGUUAAUUGCAAAUAUGACUAUGAUUUCGUGAUAUUCUUACGUAAUUCUUUCUUCUUUUAGGGUUUAUGCUCCGCUGUCAUAAAAGAAAAAGACAUUGGAUUGGGAUUUCGGCCACUUGAUUCACUCACAUCAGUUUAGGCCCCAACCCGACCCGACCAACUUAAAUUCAAGUAAUGGGCUUAAGCCCAGUGUUGGAGACAAAAGGACUCUUUGGAGUUUGGAGUCUGGGACUGUUUUUCUGCUGCUCAUACGUUGGAUCUCCCUCCCAUACCCUUUCGCUGUUGGCUUUUGAAGUUUUGGUAACCUUGAAGUCAACUACAAUGUCAACUGCUAAAGCCUGAUCAAAUCUCUGCAUGCAACUGCUCCAAGGUAGUCUCUCUGGCCGCAACUUCCAUCUCAAUUGCUUAAUUAGAGCCUGAUUCUCUCUUAUUAGCACCUUAAUCCCUUUUUAAUUAUAUUGUUUCUCACUUUGCAAUUCAUCUCUCUGCAACUUCCUAUCCUAAAAUUGCUAUUCUGGUAUCUCUAAUAUUGCUGACAUGAAAAAUUCAAAAUGCUAUUUUGCCAAAAUCACAUUGGUUACUUUGAUUGGUGCCUGAUUGCGUGGUUUACAGUUAUGCCUCGUUUGGUGUCUAGGAUUGGAUUGGAAUUGAUAACCCUCUAAAGAUGCCUCGUUUGGUGUCUCGGAUUGGAUUGGAAAGGAUAACCUUUAAAUUCAACGUACAUUGAAGGGAGACCAAAAUUAUAUUUCGUUUUGGGGAGGAUCGGAAUGCACAAGUUUUUUUUCCUCGAGUAAUCCAUCUCCUACCCCCAACCAAGUUGACCGUAAUUUUUUCAUUUCUUCAUUCAAAAUACCUUGGCUUAUCCAUUCGAAUCCAAUCCUUUAUACCAAACUAGGCCUUUGGGUUAUGAAAGUAUGAUGCUUUGACUACUUUUGGGUUUGCAGGCUGCGAAUAUGGCCGAUUCUUCUUCUGAUUCUGUUUCUUUUACCCCUCCUCGAGAAAAGUAUGAUGUCUUUCUUAGUUUCAGAGGUGUGGAUACCCGUGAUACUUUUACCAGCCAUCUCUACGCUGCUCUAGUUCGCAAGAAAAUUGACACCUACAUAGAUUACAAGCUUGAGAGAGGAGAUAAAAUUGGACCUGCCCUUCUCGAUGCAAUAGAGAAAUCAAAGCUUUCGGUGGUCAUUUUCUCGAAAGACUAUGCUUCGUCCACAUGGUGUUUGGAUGAGCUUGUGCAUAUACUAGGAUGCAAGGAAAGAUAUGGACAGACUGUUAUACCCAUCUUUUACGGAAUAGAUCCAUCACAUGUACGAAAACAACAGGGGAGUUAUGCAGAUGCGUUUGCUCACCUUGAAAAACGUUUCAAGGACAAUUUGGACAAGGUGAACAAGUGGAGGGAUGCUUUGAAGGAAGCAGCCGAUAUGUCAGGGUUUGAUACUUCUAGCAAAAGAGGGUAACUUACUCUCUAACUCGUACCAAUUUCUGCUUGUGACCAUCUGGUUCAUCAAAUAUUUGUUAAGGCAUGCUUACUAAAUAUUGUAUCAUAUUUCUUAGGACGGAGGCCAAUUUUGUUGAGGACGUUGUCGAUGAUAUUAUGACCAAAUUGAAUCGCAAAUCAUUACGUGAUUUAAAGAAGGACAUGGUUGGAAUUGGAACUCAAAUUGAGCAAAUUGAAUUGUUAUUAUGCAUUGAUUCACCAGAUGUUUGCACCGUAGGUAUUUGGGGCAUGGGUGGUAUUGGCAAGACCACCCUUGCUGAAGCUGUUUUUCACCGACUCACUUCUAAAUUUGAGGCUUCAUGUUUUCUUCCAAAUGUGAGGGAGGAGUCAGAAAGACAUGGACUAAAGCACUUGCGGAAUGUACUUCUUCGUGAGAUACUAAACGAAAAAGAUCUAAAUAUUGACACUCCAUCUAUAGGACUAUGUUUUGUUCCAGAAAGGCUCAGCCGUACAAAGGCACUCAUUGUUCUUGAUGAUGUGAAUGAUUCAAAGCAAUUGGAACUUCUAGUUGGUGAUAAUAUUCGGUUUGGUCGCGGAAGUCGAAUCAUUAUAACUACUAGAGAUAGGCGCCUUCUUAAGGUAAUCGUUGAUGCUGAUAAGAUCUACAAGGUUGAGGGAUUAAACUGUGAUGAAGCUCUUCAGCUCUUUCAUUUGCAUGCUUUCAAAAAUAAAUCUAUGGUUCCAUAUUAUACAGAGUUGUCGGAAGUGGUGGUAGAAUAUGCUGGAGGCAUUCCAUUAGCUCUUAUAAUUUUGGGUUCCUUGUUCCUUCACUGUGAGAGCAAAGAAGAUUGGGAAGAUCAAUUGAACGAGUUGAAAAGGUUUCCCAACCGAAAAAUUCAGAAUGUGUUGAGAUUAAGUUAUGAUGGAUUAGAAAAAAAUGCAAAGGAGGUAUUUCUUGAUAUAGCAUGUUUUUACAAAGGGAUGGAUAUAGGUUUUACAAAAGAAAUGUUAGCUAUUCGCGGUUUCUUUGUAGGAGGGAUUAAAGUUCUCAUUGAUAAGUCUCUCCUAUCAAUUUCAACAAGGAACUGCCUAGAGAUGCAUGAUUUGUUACAAGAAAUGGGUCGGGAAAUUGUUUCUGAACAAUGUAUUGAAGAGCCCGGAAAACGCAAUAGGUUGUUCAUUGCUGACGAUGUCUGUCGUGUAUUGAAGAACAAUACGGUAAGAGAAAAAUGCCUUCAACUUUGUAUGACAAGACACCAGUGAAACACUCAUUUCAGUACAAAUUGCUGCAAUCUUAUCCUUAUUUAUAAUGUGUUUUUUGAUUGUAGGGAACUGCAACCGUUGAAUGCAUAUUCUUUAACCUCUCUCAGAUUAGAGGGAUACAAGUGAGUCCUGCAGCCUUCGAAAAGAUGUACAAUCUCAAAGUGCUAAGGAUUGAAAACAAAAGCUUUGACAAGAAGUACAACAAAUUAUACCUUUCUGAUGGUCUUCAGUCUCUUCCCGAAGCACUUAGUUAUAUUUACUGGGAGGAAUACCCUUUGAAAGCCUUACCAUCAAAAUUUUAUCCAGGAAAUGUUAUUGAACUCCGAAUGCCCUACAGCCAAGUUGAGAAACUUUGGGAUGAAAGCCAGGUAUUUAUUCUUAUUUUAGUUCUUGUAUAAAAUGGGGGUGGAGCUAUUCAAGGCUUACUUAUAAACUCUUUGUCAUUUCUCGUUCAUUUGUUACAGAUUUUUGGGAACUUAAAAGAGAUUGAUCUAUGUUUCUCCAAACAUCUAAUUGAAGUUCCAGAUCUAUCUCGAAGUCAAAAAAUUGAGCAUAUAAAUCUUGGUGGCUGUACAAGUUUGGUUCGGAUUCCUUUGUACUUUCAGUAUCUUGAAAAGCUUAAGCAUCUUCAGCUGGAAGGGUGCUCAAAUCUCAAAUAUCUUUCGGAGAUGCCAGGCAAUAUUGAAUCCUUAAAUUUAUCUAUGACUGCAAUAAAUGAAUUGCCGUCAUCAGUUUGGUCUCAUGAAAAGAUUUUGCACUUGGAUAUUCGAUCUUGUAAGAACCUUAAGAAUCUUCCAAGUUGCAAUUGUAAGCUGAAGAUCUCAGGUACUUUUAGUGUAAGAGACUGCUCAUCUCUUGGCAUGUUUUCAGAGCUUCCCAAGGCUAUAAAACUGUUAGAGUUGACUGGGACAGCAAUAGUUGAACUGCCGUCAUCAAUCGAGUGUCUUUCUGACCUCAUUGAAAUUCAACUGGAAAAUUGCAAAAAGUUUGCGAAACUCCCGUCAAGCAUUUGUAAGUUGAAAUCUCUUGAGAGACUUGAUCUCACUGGUUGCUCUGAAUUUGAAUGCUUUCCAGAAAUCUCGGAGCCUAUGGAUCAUCUAGAAUUUCUUAGUUUAGAAAGAACAGCAGUUAAAGAGCUGCCCUCAUCAAUCGAGUGCCUCUCGGGUCUCACUUCAAUCAAAUUGAAUGACUGCAAAAGGCUUGUGAGUCUCCCAACGAGCAUUUGUAAGUUGAAAUCACUUCACAGACUUGAUCUUACUGGUUGCUCUGAAUUUGAAUAUUUCCCAGAAAUCUUGGAGCCUACAAACCAUCUGGAAUUGAUUGGUUUAGAAAGAACAGUGGUUAGAGAGCUACCGUCGUCAAUUGGAAAGCUAUCUGGGCUUCAAACAUUAGAGCUAUAUCUCUGCAAGAACCUCGAGUUUGUCCCUAAUAGCAUCUACAAUUUGAACUGUCUUAAAACUCUUAGCUUUGAUGGCUGUUUAAAACUUAAAGAAUUGCCUCCCUUCUCGGUCGGGUUGUGCUCGUUGGAAAGACUAAACCUUAGUUACUGCAGCAUACUGGAGAUCCCUGAUCACCUCACUUGCAUAACCUCAUUACAAGAUUUAGAUCUAAGUGGAACCUUGAUUAAAAGCCUACCUACAAGCAUCAAACGAGCAUUUCAGAUGCGGUGGCUGCGCUUAACCAAUUGCAAAAGCCUUCAAACUUUACCAGAGCUCCCAUUGCUACAUUCUCUCGAAGCACAUGGCUGCACAUCUCUGAAGACAGUGUCAAGUUCAAGGACUGCACUCGCACAAGGUUGGGAUGAUUAUGAAGUUAUCCGAGGGCUUCCAGAGGAACUUAAAUUUUCGAAUUGUGUAAAGUUGGAUGAGAAUGCAUGGAGCAACAUAAUGUCUGAUGUGCUGAUUAGAAUUGUGCGAAUGGCAAUAGCAUUAUCAAUCCUUAGAGUUCAAGAUGAAGUAACAUAUGUAUGGACUCUCUCUCUAUCUCUCUCUCUCUCUCUCUCCCCCCCCCCUUGUUGUUUACUAGAAUAUGUUGGUAUGAUUUCUAACAAAUUAAGGUUGGAGGAGCUGCUAUUGUUUGAUUCAAUAAUCAUGAUGUUCAUCCAUGGCACAGGACUUUUAUCAUGCAAGAUAUUCGACUCCCUUUGUAUGUCCAGGGAGUGAAAUUCCAAAUUGGUUCAGCCAUCAAAAUGAGGGAUCUUCAAUAAAAAUCAAGCUUCCUCCAGAUUGGUUUAACACAGAUUUCUUGGGUUUCGCUCUAUCUGUUGUUGUUUCAUUUGAUAACUAUAAUGUUAUACGGGGUUUGAAUUUUGGAUGUAAAUCUAAUUUCAAAAACCGUUAUGGUGGAAGCCAUGAAUCUGAUCGUGAAUUCAAUGGUUGGACCACGGAUGAGACCAUCUAUAAUCUUGGAGAACAGGAUGACUACAAUUUCAAUGCUGACCAAGUGUUUGUGUGGUAUGGUGACUUUGAUCUUCUAGAGGGAGAAAAAUCCUCCAGUCCUUUUCCGAAUGUUGUCACUGAGCCCUCUCUGGACUUCUAUGUGGUUGAUCAUCUCGACAGACCCGAGGUGAAGGUGAAAAAGUGUGGGAUCCGCCUGCUGUAUGCCCAAGAUUCCGAGAAUUUUGAUGUCAUGUUGGGAGGUGAAACAAAAGUAGAAGAAGAUGCUAAAACUGAGAAACUUGGUGAUGAAUCUGCAGCUAGUGACAUUUUUAGCUCGUACAAGGAACAAGAAGAUGAAAUAUUCAAUCAGAGAAUUAGAAAGAAAAGGAGAACUGGAGGCGCAAGAGCAGUCAUGUUUGUGGAAGAAGAUAAUGGAACUAAGAGUCUUCCUGACAAGUCUGCGGCAAGUGUAAGCAAAGUUUUCAGCUCAUGCGACGAACAAGAAGAUGAAUUCCUUCACCAGAGAAUUGGCAACAAAAGAACAAAUAGAGGUGCAAGAUCAAGCAUGUUCAAAGAGACCAAAAUGUGGUGGUGGAUAUUGUUCUUGGUUUGGGCCUCUCUUCUUGUUUGGGUUCUGUCCUUCGUGUUGUUGUAAGCCUUGUGGGCUGAAGACGGUUUCGGGUUUCUUAAGCCUAUGGAUUUUCUAGCGCAGUCGAGCCCUUCUCCCUCCCGUGUACAAAAGUUAAUAAAAAAAAAUCGAAUUUUGAUUAUAAUACCAUUGAAGGUACGCAGUUCUCCCCAGUCCUCUAUAGUAUCUAAUUAUGUUUAAGUUUAAAUCACUAUUAUUGCAGCCAUCAUCUUAUUACAAGUUGCAACUACUAUAUCGCAAAUGGAUGACAUGAUUAAAGAAAUUCAAACAGAUUGUCAGAUUAUUGCUAAUUAGAAGUAGAUUUAAAAUUUAAAAUUGCAAACUUUCAUCUAAACUAAUAGUGACGCAAAGUUGACAUUCACACGGGUCCACAUAUCCAAGAUUCCCCUUCCGAUUGGGGCUUGCAUCCUUUUAAAAUUGUUCUCCACUAGACAACACACAAGGUUUGUGACAAUCAUAUUACUAUUUUUUAUUUCUCAUCCCGGACUUUGCCCUUUAAUUAUAACAAAUAAUGAAAGAUCUAAACAACGGAAAAAUAGAAGAAGAAGAAGAACAAAAAAAUGGCUUGCCGGCCAUGUCUUGGAUAUUAUGUUGAUGUGAUUCCCUUUUCUUUAGUUCGAUUAAUGGUUGAAAGUUUCUUGGCACAGAAGCCUGAUCAUUUAGUCUCUGCAUGAAACUGCUCUCUCUUCUCUUGCUUCCUAGCUAGUAACGAAGGCAGCUUUCUCUCUGCAACUUCUUCAUAGCACUCUUGCUUAGUUCAAUCUUGAAACACAACUUGUUCUUGAUUACAUUUUUUUCUCAACAUUUCCGGAGGCAAUUAAUUUCUCUCCACUUUGAAUUAAACUCUGCACUUUCUGAACAUAGUUGGUAUGAUAUCUCGUACUAAUCUCUUUUAUGUCACAAUUGUACGAAACUGGUCAAAGUUGGGGAGAUUUGUUGGUCCCUCAUUUCUUAAAUGAAUGAUUAAAUAUGCAGUCAAGCAUCUCUAAUUUGCAUGUUUUAUGAACAUAUGUAUAUAUGGCAAUUUAUAAACGUUCUCUUUAUUGAAUGUGUUGCAAUAAUUCAGUAUGACAAUAUAAGCAUAUCGUAUCAAAACUAGGUGGAAUGAGGAGGUACAAACAAAGGUGAAGGCUAAGAAGGAAUGUUGUAAAACCUUAUACAAGGAUAGGACCGAUGAAAAUGGUGAAAUGUAUAGAAGAGCGAAGCAAGAGGCGAAGAAAGCUGUGAGAGAAGCUAAGUUAGCGGCUUAUGACGAUAUGUAUAAGCGACUAGAUACCAAAGAAAGAGAGUUGGAUAUCUAUAAACUAGCUAGAGCAAGGGAAAAGAAGACAAGGGACCUAAACCAAGUGAGGUGCAUCAAGGAUGAGGAUGGAAAGGUUCUUGCUACAGAGAACGCGGUCAAAGACAGAUGGAGAGGUUAUUUUCAUAAUCUUUUCAAUGAAGGACAUGAAAGGAGUACUCCUUUAGGGGAGUUGAGUAACUCAGAAGAGUGUAGAAACUACUCCUUUUAUCGUCGAAUCAGGAAGGAAGAAGUGGUUGUAGCUUUGAAGAAGAUGAAGCAUAGAAAAGCAGUGGGCCCAGACGAUAUACCGAUUGAAGUGUGGAAAGCCUUGGGAGAGACAGGUAUAGCAUGGCUCACUGACCUUUUCAAUAGGAUUUUGAAAACGAAGAAGAUGCCAAACGAGUGGCGAAAGAGCACCUUGGUGCCUAUUUACAAGAAUAAGGGUGACGUACAAAAUUGCAUGAACUAUAGGGGUAUUAAGCUAAUGAGUCAUACAAUGAAGCUCUGGGAGAGAGUCAUUGAGCAUAGAUUGAGGCAAGAGACACGGGUUUCGGACAACCAAUUCGGGUUCAUGCCAGGGCGCUCAACCAUGUAGGCAAUCUAUCUCUUACGAAGAUUGAUGGAAAGAUAUAGAGAUGGGAAAAAGGAUUUACACAUGGUCUUUAUAGAUUUGGAAAAAGCGUAUGAUAGGGUCCCAAGAGACAUUCUUUGGAGGAUUUUAGAGAAGAAAGGAGUACGAGUAGCAUAUAUCCAAGCUAUAAAGGAUAUGUAUGAAGGAGCAAAGACUGCCGUAAGAUCUCAUGAAGGACAAACCGAAAGCUUCCCCAUAACUGUAGGAUUACAUCAAGGCUCAUCCUUAAGUCCUUACCUUUUUGCGUUGGUAAUGGAUGAGUUAACAGGAUAUAUUCAAGAUGAUAUUCCUUGGUGUAUGCUUUUCGCAGACGAUAUAGUGUUGAUAGAUGAAACUCAGGAAGGGGUAAAUGCGAAGCUUAACCUUUGGCGAGAAGUGUUGGAAUCUAAAGGUCUUCGCCUAAGCUGAUCAAAGACAGAAUAUAUGGAGUGCAAGUUCAGUGCAAAUGGAGGCUAAAAUGAGUUAGAGGUGAGGAUCGGAGAUCAGGAAAUACCAAAGAGCGACCGUUUUCGCUACCUAGGAUCUAUCUUGCAAAAGAACGGAGAAUUAGAUGGAGAUCUCAACCAUAGAAUACAAGCUGGAUGGAUGAAGUGGAAGAGUGCAUCCGGCGUGUUGUGUGAUCGUCGUAUGCCACUGAAGCUUAAGGGAAAAUUUUAUAGGACGGCAAUAAAGCCGGCGAUGCUGUAUGGCACAGAAUGUUGGGCGGUGAAGCAUCAACACGUACACAAAAUGGGUGUAGGGGAGAUGAGGAUGCUUCUUUGGAUGUGUGGGCACACGAGAAAGGAUAAGAUUAGGAAUGAGGAUAUCCGAGGUAAAGUAGGAGUAGCCGAAAUUGAAGGAAAACUGAGAGAAAAUCGGUUACGGUGGUUUGGACAUGUGCAAAGAAGGCCUACUGACGCUCCGGUUAGAAGAUGCGACUACGGGACAGAGGUUCAGGGCCGAAGGGGUAGAGGAAGACCUAGGAAAACUUUGGAAGAGACUCUAAGAAAAGACUUAGAGUACUUGGAUCUAACGGAGGACAUGACACAGGAUCGAGCACAAUGGCGUUCUAAGAUUCAUAUAGCCGACCGACUCAGUGACUUGGAUUUUUCAAGUCUCCAAUCGAGAAGUUUUCCCCACUCGGGAAAUUAAGGGAACACUACCUCAACCUACAUGCUCCACUCACAAAGCUUCAACAUACAAGCUUCAACAAAAGAAAAAUUCAAAGAACUUAGUGAAGAAGGCUUUGGUGUAUUUAACACAAUACGUUGAAAUGAAACAAAGCUUAUUUAUUGAUAUCUCUAAGAAGUUACAAAUAUGUACAUAUACACGAGCCAAAAUAAACAAACAAGAGGGAGCCUUCACAAAGGUUGCUUAAGAGAAGUCUCAGCAGUCGGCAGAGCCCCAGAAGAGAAGGCACCGGAUGGGGAUCAUUCGGAGCCUUAGUACUGGACAACACCCUAGAAGGAGGAGGCAUCGGAGGUUGAUCAUUUGGAGCUUCAUUACGCGGUACAGCCCUAGAAGACGAAGGCAAUAAAUGCCUUUGGAACAAACCCACAAACCUCUGAUGAUCAUGUAAAAUCUGACCAUCAGAUUCCUUCAUCUGGUCAAGCUUCAUCUUCAUGUUUGUAGCAUAGUCAUGUGCGAGCCGGUGCAACUGUUUAUUCUCAUGCUUGAGCCCUCUAAUCUCCUGUUUGAGACUCAUCACUUCAGCCGCCAAUGAUUCAACUUGGCGGGUUCGAGCAAAUAGGCGUUGGGCCAUAUUAGACAUAGAACCUGCACACUGAACAUUGAGAGUCAGAGAAUCCUUAACAGCCAACUUAUCAGACCGUUUGGAAAGUAGUCUGUUAUCUUUGGGAGUGAGAAGGUUCCUGGCCACCACCGCAGCGGUCAUAUCAUUCUUCAUCACGGAAUCCCCAACGGUAAGAGGACCAGUAGGGGAUAAGAAGGAUGGGCGCCAUAUGUUGUCUGGAGAAGGCGUGGCUGCCUCUUCAACAAGGUUCAAGUCAAAACGAUGGUCGGAGGGGCCAGACAUUUUCAAAGGUGUUGAAGAGAAAAGAGGUCGGACAAAUCAAGAUCUUAGAAAUGCAAGAAGGGAGCUUCUACUGGUGGAGAUUCAAGUGUGCUUUGGAACUUAAUACCAGCCUCUAUAAAAAUCUGCACUCGAUGGAGCUUCAGAAAUCGAAGAGGCGCCUGCUCAGAAAUUGAAAAGGCGUUUGCUUUCUUAAAAGCUGGGCUGCUCAGAGACCACGAGGGCCGAUAUCAGGAAUCGAAGAGGCGUUUGCUUUCUCAAAAGCUGGGCUGCUCAAAGACCAUGAAGGUUGAUCGCAGAAAUCGAAGAGGCGCUUGCUUUCUCAAAAGCUGGGCUGCUUAGAGAUCACGAGGGCCGAUCUCAGAAAUCGAAGAGGCACCUGCUUUUUCAGCCUUGUCAGCACCUGUCACAUGCACACUCAACUUUGCGGAAAUUACGGGCAUUCUGUCGAAGAUUUCUAGUGAAGUAGAAAGCACGUGAAUGUUACUGUUCAAUCAUUCACUUUCCACACGCAACAUCAGCUCACGGGUACCACAAAUAACUUUGCCAAAAAUCUCUGACAAAGUUUAGACACGUGAAGCUUACAGCUCCCAUUACAUCGCUAUGACCAAGAAGGGUAAAAGAAUAGCAAAGAAACAGCACUAACAAAGUUUAGACACAUAAAUUUUGAAGGUCUAGCUACCAUAUUAUUACCCACAAGGGUAAAGGAACAGGACCACUGCUGGAUAAUUGGAAAGUCCCUGUGGGUCAACCUCUGUGCUCCGUGGCAAGGUAGACUAGCAAACAGGCCUAACCUUUACUCACAUUCGAGAAAACACUCCCAACAAGAUUGCUUGCUUCAAGAUCGAAGAGGCACCGUCCUCCGAAUCUCGAGAGCCAGAUUCCCAACAUGAUUACUUUCUCAAAAAGCAACGAGACACCGCUCUCCGAAUCUCUAGAGCCAGACUCCUAGCAGGAUUGCUUUCUCAAAAAUCGAUGAGGCACCGUUCUCCGAAUCUCGAUAGACAGAUCCCCGACAGGAUUGCUUGUUCGAAAAUCGAAGAGGCACCGCUUUCUCAACUUCGAGAGCCCUUUAGAUAAAGCUUGUCUGUAAUCCUCACACCGCUUUCUCAACUUCGAGAGCCAUAUCUCGUUGGAUAAAGCUUGUCUGUAAUCUUCACACGUAACGUCAGCUUUCCAGAUAUCACAGACCACUUUUUCAAAGUGCUCUGACAGAGUUAAAACACGUGAAGCUGGCAGCUCCCACUACCGUGCUAUGACCAAGCAGGGUAAAAGAAUAGUAUUACUCCUUCUUGUUAGGGAAACUCCUAUAUAUGUCGACCUCCAUCCUCAACGGACAGGCAGACCUGCAAAAAUGAUCAACCCUUCCUCAUAUCUGAGAGGGCACUUCCAACGAAGCCUCUCGAAAUACUCAGCUUUCUUUCCCCCCGAGAAUACCUCUGCAAACAAGCUACACCAGAGCAAGAAUAUCUCAUAUCAUCAGGGUUAAAAGCAAGAGUAUCCCAUAUCAUGCUUUUUCCCUGUCUUUUCCUUUGGCCUUGUUCUUACCUGCAAGACAAGGAGAAAGAGAGCAAUCAGUCAGCACUUGGAAUCAAGCUUCCAGUCCGGAACUGACUACCUGGAACCCCAUUGCUCUCGAGUACUCAUCUUCAACAUCUUAUGCUUCCCGAGAAGAUACCACAUCUGCCUGAGGAACAAAUAGGGCAAGUGAGAAGGAUACAAGGAAGCAUGUGGAGACAAGCGCAACAGAACACGUGCUGAUACAUCCACUACUUUGUCAACAGCAAAAGUAUCCCAUAUCAGCAGGGUCGAACGUACUCUAGAUUUGAUGGACUUGUUUUGACCCUCAAAUUCUUCAGUCAGCCUUAUACUCUGGCGGAAACAAGAAAACCCUCCAGCCCAGUUCAAGAAUAAGCCUGUGGAAAGUUACUUCUUCAAAAGCAAAAGUAUCUCAUAUCACCUUUUCUCCUUUUCUUCUCUUUAUCCUUCAUGCUACCUGCAAGAUAAGGAGAAGGAUAACAAUCAGCCGAAACUCGAAAUCAAACUUCUGAUCUGGGAUUGAUUGCUUGGAGCUCUGAUUGCUUACCUUGUAUGUCACUCUUUCAGCAGAUCCCCUAGCUCGGCGACUUAGGGGACUCCUACUACAUGGUUUGUAUCGCGCUUGACCAAGUCUGAAACUACAAGUAAGCGUCAAGUGAAAUUGAUACAUUACCUUGUGCAUCUCCACCAGUUAAAGAUACCACCCCUGGAGGGAGGAAGAGUACUUCCAAAGAAGAUGCCACAUCUACCUAUGAGACAGAUAAGGCAAGUGAAGACGAUACCACACUUCGGUACUUAAAAGUUUCGUGAUUACGAGAUCAUUCUUCCACAAUAUUUCCUAAUGUCAUUUGUACUAAAUCAUUCACUUGUACUCACUAAAUGAGAGCUUGAACCUAUAUACUGUGUAAACCCUUCACAAUUAAUGAGAACUUCUUUACUCCGUGGACGUAGCCAAUCUGGGUGAACCACGUACAUCUUGUGUUUGCUUCCUGUCUCUAUCCAUUUACAUACUUAUCCACACUAAUGAUCGGAGCAAUCUAGCGAAGAUCACAAACUUAAUAUUUAAGAUGAUAUUCUUUGGUGUAUGCUUUUCGCAAACGAUAUAGUGUUGAUAGAUGAAACGCAUGAAGGGGUAAACGCGAAGCUUAACCUUUGGAGAGAAGUGUUGGAAUCUAAAGGUCUUCGCCUAAGCUGAUCAAAGACAGAAUAUAUGGAGUGCAAGUUCAGUGCAAACGGAGGCCAAUAUGAGUUAGGGGUGAGGAUUGGAGAUCAGGAAAUACAAAAAAGCGACCGUUUUCGCUACCUAGGAUCUAUCUUGCAAAAUAACGGAGAAUUUGAUGGAGAUCUCACCCAUAGAAUACAAGCUGGAUGGAUGAAGUGGAAGAGUGCAUCCGGCGUGUUGGGUGACCGUCGUAGGCCACUGAAGCUUAAGGGAAAAUUUUAUAGGACGACAAUAAGGCCGGCAAUGCUGUAUGGCAUAGAAUGUUGGGCGGUGAAGCAUCAACACGUAGGUGUAGUGGAGAUGAGGAUGCUUCGUUGGAUGUGUGGGCACACGAGAAAGGAUAAGAUUAGGAAUGAGGAUAUCCGAGGUAAAGUAGAAGUAGCCGAAAUUGAAGGAAAGAGGAGAGAAAAUCGGUUACGGUGGUUUGGACAUGUGCAAAGAAGGCCUACUGACGCUCUGGUUUGAAGAUGUGACCACGGGACAGAGGUUCAGGGUCGAAGGGGUAGAGGAAGACCUAGGAAAACUUUGGAAGAGACCCUAAGAAAAGACUUAGAGUACUUGGAUCUAACGGAGGACAUGACACAAAACCGAGCGCAAUGACGUUCUAGGAUUCAUAUAGCCGACCCCACUUAGUGGAAAAAGGCUUUGUUGUUGUUGUUGUUGGUUCUUUGCCAAAAUCAAAACUGAACCAAAGUUUCGGUUCGGUUCGGUUCAAUUUUCUUUUGAUUUUUUUUUGUUUGGUUUUGUUCGGUUCGGUUUCAGUAUGGUUUUGGCUUUUUUAUUUUAUUUUAUAAAACUUGAUCAUUUUUUAAUAUGGAAUUUAGAAAAGAGGCUUGCAUUGGUAGACUAUUGAUAAGAAAAUGGGCAAAGUGGGAAGGUAGUUAUACAUAUACAAGAUUAUAUAAACCAAUAUUUUUUAUCAACAACCUCAAUUGCAAAGAAAAAUGAUCACCGCCAUAUACAUUUAAAAAACAAACAAAUAGAGAAGCUCUUCCAAGUUCCAAAGCCUUCCAAAAAUUUCCCUUAUAACCAAUGGAAUAGCCUUCCUAAUUGAACCAAAUAUGCUCCUUGAAAAUGUCCUAGGCUGAGUUUCAAACUUGGCAACAAAGUUUCACAAAAGAAACAUCAUGGCAUACAUUUAUAAAGUGUAGAGGGAUUCGGUUUGGUUCGGUUUUUCCUCUUUCGGUUUGGUUUUUUUUCGGUUUUUGGUUUUUCGGUUUAGGUUCAGUGUUCGGUCCCUUUUUUUUCAGUUUUCGAUUUUUUGAAUCCACCCUAAUCAAAACUCUCUGCCAAGAGUACGACGUUAUCUUACAUUAAAAUAGCUGCAGUGGCAUGUUUUGACUAGCAAGUUUGCAGGUUAUGAGUUUGUAUGCUUCUUCUGCUGUAGCUGCGGCUGCCAUCCCUCAUCUACGAAAGUAUGAUGUAUUUCUUAGUUUCAAAGGUGAGGAUACCCGUUAUACUUAUACUAGCCAUCUUCAUACUGCUUUACGUGGGGAUAAAAUCGAAACCUACAUAAGUGACAGGCUUGAGACGGGAGAUGAAAUUUCACCUGCCCUUUUGGAAGCAAUUGAAAAGCCAAAGCUUUCAGUAAACAUUUUCUCAAAAGACUAUGCUUCUUCCAAAUUGUGUUUGGCUGAAUUUGUCCACAUACUACUAUGCAAGAAAAAUGUGGACAUUUUGUAUUCGAAAGUCUGGUCGACAUCUUUACGAAGACCUACUCGGUGUAACAUGACGUCUUCAAAUGUCGUGGGGCCAUAUUUAGUAUGACCACCCAAUCCAAGGAUAAAAGUUUCAGAGCUUACUUGAAGUAGUUCCGUGCAGAGUUGAAUAAGCAGUUGAAUAAGAAAAAGUAUGACUACACCACCCUGGUGGAAUGCUUUGAUGUAGCGGAUGACCUCACUGAUUGGGAUGACAAGACUCAGAAGAAAAUUUCCAAUCAGGACCAUACCAAGAGUUCUGAUAGGAAGUGAGAUGACCGUGAUACCCCUCCUUCUUCCCCUGUCGGAAUGACAGGGGAGGACACAAAGACAAACAAGCUUUGUUUAAACCAACGAAGUACACAACCUUGAACACCACCAUGAAUAACAUCUUCCAUAACAUCAAGGAUAAGCCUUACCUCAAGCGGCUGAAGCCUCUCCCUAACCAUCUGGCGAAGAAAAAGCCAAAUGAGUACUGCUCCUUCCACCAGUGUAACGACCACACUACUUGGAGCUGCCACAUGCUGAGAGCUAACAUUGAAGAACUACUUAAUCAGGGGAAUUGCUGGGAGUUCGUCAAAAGCAAAGCCAUAAAGGAGAAACCUGCUGAAAAGGAAAGACCUAGGCAAAUCCGGACGACAAGAGCUCACUGAUGAUGAGGAAGACCGGUGCCCGGCAAAGAAGCCUACCCUCAGCAUUAAUUGCAUCUAUGAGCCAAAAAGCAAGAAAGUUAGGAAUCUUGAACCAAGGAAUGGGACUCUAAUCACCUUAAGGUGGAACGUCCUCAAGUAUUGCUGACAACACUAAAGACCCUAAUCUGAACAACAAGUGGUUUGAUGCUUCGAUUAUAUGAGGAGAUAUGUAGGCCGUCCAUUUUGGAUCCAACCAUUAUAUUCAACGCGGUUGUCCAUGCAAAGACAAGUCCAUGGAGAACUCAUCUCUUUAACUCCCCCACAAUAAGCUAUUCGUCAAAGAUGAUCCCUGAUGUAAACACACGUUAUAUCGUCUUUUAGUAGAUCUACAUCCGUGAUCUGGUUCUCCUUCCUAGAGAUAUUUAGGCAAUCCGAUUGGGAUUCAAUCGCACCCUUAUCAAACCCUAUUCUUUUAUUAAUAAAAUUUAAAUGUGAUUAUUUUGCAACUUUUGUCUUUUUUUUUUCUUUUUUUGCGGUACAGAGAAUCCUUAAUAUCCUAAACAACACACGGCUUUGAAACUUCACAUAGUUGUAAGUCUAACAAUUCAAAUUGAUAGUGUCAGAUGAAUAUUCUAUUGCCAUUUGUUCUAGUUAGCAGCUUAGGAGGUUUGAACCAUAUUUAGCCCGGCUAGGAUAGGCGGACUACUGACAUGGGGACAAGGCUCCCUAAUUCAGAAAUCCAGCUCACCUCUGGCUUUUGGAAAGAUUAUACAGCCUAAAGAAUUAUGGAUUGUAACAUUAAAACCUGAGCUCUGCGCCAUCUGAGUGGUGGCUCCAAACUUCGACCACGAGUAUGAUUACUUCUAUCCCAGAUCAGCGUACUAAAUGAAGUAUGUUCUGCGACACCAUGUGUCCAAUGAAGGUCCAAAGAGGCAUCCAAACUAGGAAAUCCUCAAGAAGAAUUUUAUUAGAGUGAAACUCCGAUAAGCAGAAGUGCCUUGGCCAAGCCAACUAAGUGUAGUCUGGUCAGAAAUGCUCAGGUCCGUAAUGAAUUUUCAUUUAAUCUUUAUUAGGGAAGAACAUACAAUUUGAAGUGGGAAGGAAGCCCGUUCUUGGUACCACGCUGCGACUAUUAAAAUCCUUAUACCUAGAAUCGGGUAAGGUAAAUGAACAAAUGGGCAUAAGGUUAUGAUUAAAAGAAGAACUCUAAUAUGACACCAAGAACUAAAGACCAAUCUAGGUAUAACUCGACACUUUCUCAUCCUUAAUUCGAUCAAUGCAUUAAGGCAAGUUCGGAGCAAAAGCUUUUCAUGGGCCUGAUAUUUGGUGUCAGAGUAAAGUGGUACUCCGACUAUCGCAGUUAAAAUGUUCAUAAACACUAAGUUUAAGAGGUAAUGUAUUUCUGAAGAUGCAAACAAGACCUCGGUUUAAUCCAAUAUAGCUUUCUAGCGAUAGCAAUGCUAGAGAUGGAUUUAUGUUGGAUUGUAUUGGGAAGAACAAUGGAAAUUCAAAAAAAGAGCUGAACUAGACCAAUGAGACCAACCCAAGCAGCUACUCGCAUCCUAGCCGCCUCACCUGCUUUAGCGCCAAGCGACUCCCCUACGCGCUCCAGAGAGCACCGCAAGCAACCAUGGGCCAGGCCUAUUGGCGUAGCCUCGUUCCAACCCAGUAUAAGUUUCGACAUCAGCUCUAGUGGAGGCCAACGGCACCUUGUGAUGUUGCCCCGUUAAGCGUGAUGAAAACAAGGAAGGGAAGAAGAAGAAAGUAACAAUUUCAUACCUAGGAUUUUUCUCUAUGCGAGUCAUGAAUUUUAAAAAUAAGGAAUUUGUGAAAAUUCAAGCAAGGUUAUCCUAUUUAUACUAAAUCCUUAUGGUAAAGAAAAAGGAAAACUUUUUCUUACUAAGACUUGAAGAUCUACCUUGUCUUGGAAGAAAAUUCUAUGCAAAUAGGAAGUACAUCUCAUUUUGUUUCCUAUUUAACACAAACUGAUGUGGGGGCAUUUGUGGAGACAUAAAUUAACCACAUCCAAUAGGAAAAGGAUACGUGGACAAGACUCAGAAGAAAAUUUCAGAGCUAACAUUGAAGAACUACUUAAUCAGGGGCAUUGCUGGCUAAGAAAAAGCCAAAUGAGUACUGCUCCUUCCACUAGUGCAUCGACCACACAUGCUAUUGGCCUCCACAAGAGCUGAUGUCGCAACUUAUACUGAGUUGGAAUGAGGUUAGGCCAAUAGGCCUGGGCCAUCGUUGCUUGCGGUGCUCUCUAGAGUGCGCAGGGGAGUCGCUUGGCUUUAAAGCAAAUGAGGCGGCUAGGAUGCGGGUAGCUGAUUAGGUUGGUUUAAUUGGGCUAGUUCAGCUACAAUUUUUUUUCUUUCUUUUUUUGAAUUUCCACUGCUUUUCCCAAUACAAUCCAACAUCAAUCCAUCUCUAGCAUUGCUAUCGCCAGAAAGCUUUAUUGGAUUAAACUGAAGUCUUGUUUGCAUCAGCAGAAAGACAUUACCUCUAGUGUUAUGAACAUAUUAAUUGCGAUAGUUGGAGUACCACCUUACUUUGACACCGGAUAUCAAACCCAUGAAAAGCUUUUGCUUUGAACUUGCCUUAAUGCAUUGAUUAGAUUAAGGAUGAGAAAGUGUCGAGUUGUAUCUAGAAUGGUCUCUAGUUCUUGGUGUCAUACUAGAGUUCUUUUUUUAAUCAUAACCCAUUUGUUCGUUCACCUUGCCCCAUUUCGAGUAUAAGGAUUUUAAUAGUCGGAAAGUGCUACCAAGAAGGGACAUCCUUCCCACUUCAAAUUGCAUGUUCUUCCCUAAAAAAUAUUAAAUGAAAAUUCAUUAGGGACCUGGUUGCUUGCAUACAGGUUGGAAAACACCUUUGGAAUCCUUUUGUCAGGAUUUAUGUGUUGGACCUGAGCAUUUAUGACCAGACUACACUUAAUUGGCUUGGCCAAGGCACUUCCGCUUAUUGGAGUUUCACACUAAUAAAAUUCUUCUUGAGGACUUCCUAUGCCUCUUUCGGACCUGCAUUAGACACAUGGAGUUGCAUAACAUACUUGAUUUAAUACGCUGAUUUGGGAUAAAAGUAAUCAUACUUGUGGUCGGAGUUUAGAGCCACCACUCGGAUGGCGCAGAGCCCAGGUUUUAAUGUUACAAUCCACAAUUCUUUAGGUUGUAUAAUAUUUCCAGAGGCUAGAUGGUGAGCUGGACUUUUGAAUCAGGGAUCCUUGUCCCCAUGUUAGUAGUCCUCCUAUUCUAACCGGGCUAAAUAUGGUUCGAACCUACUAAGCUACUAACUGGAACACCACAAAAUGGCAAUAGAAGACUCAUUUGACACUAUCGAUUUGAAUUUUUAGACUUACAAUUAUGUGAAGUUUUAAAGUCGUGUGUUAUUUAGGAUGUUAGGGAUUCUCUGUACAACAAAAAAAAGGAAAAAAAAAAAGAAGACAAAAGUUGCACAAUAAUCACAUUUAAAUUUUAUUAAUAAAAGAAUAGGAUUCGAUAGAGGUGUGAUUGAAUCCCAAUCGGACUGCCUACAUAUUUAUAGGAAGGGGAACCAAAUCAUGGGUGUAGAUCUAGUAAAAGAUGAUAUAACGUGUGUUUACAUUAGGGAUCAUCUUUGACGAAUAGCUUAUUGUGGGGAGUUAAGGAGAUGAGUUCUCCAUGGACUUGUCUUUGCGUGGACAGUGGUGUUGAAUAUAAUGGUUGAAUCCAAAAUGGACGGCCUACAUAUCUCCUCAUAUAAUCGAAGCAUCAAACCACUUAAAGUUUAGAUUAGGGUCUUUAGUGUUGUCAGCGAUACUUGAGGACGUUCCACCUUAAGGUGAUUAGAGUCCCCUUCCUUGGUUCAAGAUUCCCAACUUUCUUGCUUUCUGGCUCAUAGAUGCAAUUAAUGCUAAGGCUAGGCUUCUUUGCCGGGCAUCGAUCUUCCUCAUCAUCAAUGAGCUCUUGUCAUCCAGAUUUGCCUUGGUCUUUCCUCUCAGCGGGUUUCUCCUUCCUGGCUUUGCUUUUGACGAACUCCCAGCAAUGCCCCUGAUUAAGUAGUUCUUCAAUGUUAGCUCUCAGCGUGUGGCAACUCCACCUUGUGCUGCUGCCCUGUUAAGUGUGAUGAAAUCGAGGAAGGAAAAAGAAGAAAGUAACAAUUUCAUACCUAGGAUUUUUCUCUGUGCGAGUCAGGAAUUUUAAAAGUAAGGAAUUUGUGAAAAUUCAAGCAAGGUUAUCCUAUUUAUACUAAAUCCUUGUGGUAAAGAAAAAGGAAAACUUUUUCUUACUAAGACCUGAAGAUCUACCUUGUCUUGGAAGAAAAUUCUAUGCAAAUAGGAAGUACAUAUCAUUUUGUUUCCUAUUUAAACACAACUUGAUGUGGGGGCAUAUGUGGAGACAUAAAUUAACCACAUCUAAUAAGAAAAUGAUAUGUGGACUAGGCGCUCACCAUGACGGUUCUACCCUUAACGUCGUGAGCAGGCAAUAGAUUACAUCAAGAGAGUUUGAGACUUGUCUGCCCUGUGGGUAAUAGGCCUUUGAGCCACUAACAUAUCAAAGGCGAUUUGGGUGCAUGAUAUGUCUUGCCACCAGGCCACACUCGGGCCUAAUGGUGUCAGGAAGCAGACUCUCUAGAGUCUUCUUUUGGGUGUCUGGCGCGCCUACGCUCUUACCGACAUGAAACUCAAGACUACUAGCUGGCAGGACUAUGAAAACUGAAUUGUACCUUCAAAGACUGCCUAGAAUGGUCUGCAACUUCCCUUCACAAUUGCCUGCUAGGGUUAAGUUCUUUAUAAACAGCCAAGUCAAACACAAGGAAACGACAAUCGUCAUUUAAUCCUCAUAACCUUCUCAAGUUCUUAAUUUCUCUCAAACUAUUAUGACUUAUGCAUAAAGGUCAUUUGUCGGAUCUUUUUCUCUAGAUGUUCAUCAAUGAGGCUAAUGAUGUUUAUUCUUUUGUAGGUGAAAUUUUGUCAAAUCGGUCAUGGACCCAUAUACAAAUUUUGCAUCCACACUUACCACGUCUUUCAUGCCACACUUAUACGUACCAUCUCUCUAAUACAGAUGUGACUCAUAUGCUUGGUGAGCCUUACCUCUAUUAGAAAUAUAGUAAAAGUGAUAUGAACAUGUAUUUUCACAAUACUUGGGUACUAACUGAUCAGUACUCAUUUUACUCAUGAAGUGGCCCAAUAAAACGAAGAAAAAUGUACUUUUAAACACUCAUUAUUCUGGUAGCCACACCCCUUUAAUCUCCUAACCAAACACCAAUAUUAUCUCUGAUCCACCAACAACUGAAGAAAAUUAAAACCAACAGAAAACUCAAUGGACUGAUCCAUCAUAGAUAUUAAUUUAAUCCUCACCAUAAUUUAUAUCUUGUACAAACACAUAGUUUGAUUCCUAUGCAAAACAUAAUAGGCAAUACCACAAUUGACAAAGGAGAAGAAUGAUGAAAGCUAUAAAAUAAAAAUAAAAAAUCCCAAAUUAUUGACCAUGGACAACUUGAGCAGCGGUGUCACAGCCCGUCUCGGAGAAGUAUAUUAUUUAAUUAUCGACGAUGUGAAAUUACCUAAAUACCCUUGGACGUUGAGAAUUAUAUUGGAGUGUUGUGGUUUUGACUUAAGGUUGUGGACCUAUUAGUUAUAUUCCUCUAUUAUUGGACCCAAUUAGAACUAAGUGUUCUCUUAGUUUUGAUUGGUGGCUUUUGGACCACACACACACCCACCUACCCUCUCUCUCCUCUCGUUCCCGUGCUCUCUCUCUCUCUCUCUCUCUCUCAGAUUCACUCUCUCUCUUCUCUCUUGUACGGACACAACCAGAAACCCUUGCAAACGUGACAGAUCGAAGAAGAAAAUGGUACCAUUGUGUUCCUAAGGUCCUCACGAGUUUAAAGGUACCAAAUAUAGGUAAGAUUACCUUCGAUUUCACGUCGAACCACAAAAACCGAUUUGAGGUACUAUUCAUGCUCACGUAAAAACUUAUGUUUUAGGGAAAUUUAAACUCAUAGGGAGCUUAAGGAGGUCCUUACGAAGCUCGGAGUAUUUCGUUUGAAGAAAUUGGAUGUCGGAAUCAUGAGAACGAAGAGUUUUAAAUUUGGCCGGAAUUAUCGAGGCUUUUUUCCGACGAAUUUCUGACGAGUUGGAGGUCGGGGCAGGUAUGGUUUUGUUUGUCUUGUUGAGAUCUUUAAAAUGGUACAAAUUUCAUAGAAAAUGGUGCAAAAAUGAAGAAGUUAUGAAGGUUUUUCGAUUUCCCAGUUUUCCGGCAACGGCGAGGAGUCCGGCGAGCAAUCGGAGAAGACGAGUGAAUAUUCCGUCAGAGUUGACGGAAUAUUCUGACGCCGUCAGGUAAACUUAACUGAAUCCAUUAGCUUUUAACAAAAUAUUCCACAGAAUAUUCCUAACGGGGUUAGAGAAUCUGUCAGGAUUCCUUGCGCGUGGCCGCGAGUAUUGCCGUGCACUCGCCGGCGCGUGGCGAUGCGUGCGGGGUCAGAAAAUUAUUUUACAAAUUCCUGGGUGAUCGUGACAUUGUGUAGGUCACUGUGGUAUAUUCAUAUACCCAAUUUGAGCUAUGUAUGAGAAGUUAUUACAUAGUUUGAUAUAUGUGCAUUAAAGUGACGUUUAUAUAGUUGCUUUUCCUAUAGGCGAGACCUAUCCGGAGGACGAGCGUAGCCAGGCUAGGCAUGGGGGUUACGACCCGGCUUCAUAUCUAUGAGUGGGCAGUUAUUUUCAGUCUAUAUAUAUAUACUUGACGUUUUUCCCAGAAAACGUAUUUAAGGAAAUGUGAUUUAAAUGUUAUGCUAUGCCUAUAUUUUAUUUUAGUAUAUGCAUUAUCAUAAUUUUGCAUAUUGUUGCAUGGUGCUGUGGAGGCUCAGGUAAAUUCAGGUAAGUUAUGUUUGGUUAUGUGAAUCAUCGAUGAUGUGAUAUGUGAUUGAAUACUGUUGAGCUCAUAAAACUGCACCUAGGGUGAUUGUGAUUUAGCCAGAGAUAUGAAGUACAUGCCUGUUUAUUAUGUCACCUCCCGCACCAUAUGCUCAUAUUAGAUCCAAUUUAGGUGCACAGUCUUGUCGUACAGACCUUAUUUAUGGUUCCGACUCGUAGGUGACUAGCGAUUUAUCGCCCGGCUAUUAUGUGAGAGUAGUAUUGGGCAUAAUUAUAUUACACCCAUGAUCGUCGUACAGACCUUUGCAUUUGGUUCCGACUCUUGUGCAGUAUAUUGCCGUAUAGGUCAUUGUAGUGACUCUGGUUAGAUUGACUUUUGAGCUAUGAAUUCAGCUGUACAGACUACCAUAGGGGUUCUGGCUAACAUGUUAUAUUUCUAUGAAACUAUUCUUACCUGAAUUGCUUAUUCUGUUAUAUAUAGGCAUGGCAUACAUACAAAUAUGAAUCUUGAUUUUGAGCAUGAUUUGAGAUAUAUACAUAUUUAUAUAUUCUAUUUUCUAGGAAAGUAUCUAUAUACUUGUUUUACGGCGAGGGGUUAGUAUAUUCAAAGGAAAAUAAGGUUUUUGUGUAAAUGUGUUUUGCUGACCCACUCAACUAUGUUUUUCUCCCCUCCAGGUUUUAGGUAGCAGAGUUUGGUGGCCACGAGGAAUCCAACGGUGCUAUGACAGAAUCCGAAAAGUAGGAUUCACCUUAGGGUGUUGUUGUAUCUUAGUAAUUGUCCUGCUUGACUGCGACUAGAUCUUCUUAUUGCUCUGAAAGUGAAUCUUGAUUUUGCGCACAAGGCUACGUCACGCUCACGUGACGGCCAACACGUCUUGACUUUGGUCAGGUGUGUCAAGCGGAAUGGAGAAGUCAUUGAUGGUGGCUUGCUUCGACGAAGAAGAGAGAUUGAGGGUGAUAUCUGCAGUGUUUGUUGCUAGAAUUGUAUAUAUGUUGGUGUUUGGCUAGAGAGUUAAGAAUGACAAGUUGUAAUUUUAUUGGGCAUCAUAGUCUGGUGAGUAAAAUGUAGUAAGUAUAACAUUACUAAAAAACUAUAACUAAAUGUAGUAGAUAUGUCACGCCCCGGACCCGGGGUCGGUAAUAAAAAAAAUAAAAUACUCAAACUCGAAUUCGAAACAUGAGUUAAAAGCUUAAUAAAUAACCGGAAAUUGAAACGGGUUGGAAAAUAAACUCCUCUUAUUAAAUAGCUCCAAAAUCCUUGCAGGGUGUACAAAAGUAAUAAAUUAAAAUCCUUAAAUUUCUCCUCAAUCACAGCCUCAGCUCUUCUAACACGUCUUGCCAAAUAACUCAUCUGUAAAAUAAUAGGUGAGGGGUGAGCAACAACCACCGUCGCUCAGUGAGUAGAAUAUGUAAUAUGCCAGUCAAGCUUGCCACUUUAAUCACACUAUAAAAUAGGAUAAUAAAAUCAAAGCUUUAGCCACGUAAUUCCAUAUCACAUCGUCCCUUCACAUGUUGAUCAUCUUCUAUCUUCUAUAUAUAUAAAGUGAGAAGCACACAAUGGUGAAGCAUUCUGAAAUGUCAAAAAUGUCCUCAUUUCAUACGUAAGGCUAUUGGAUAACUGCUCAUAAAAAUAGAGUUAAAAACGUAAAAAUAUGGAAUUACAUCUCAAUAAUGAUUCCGACCAUUGGAUCAAAUCACCCACACUUUAAAUUAAUUUUCACCCAUUAGAUUAAGCAUACAGUUACUGCUCCAGAUUAAAAAAAAGGAUAAUCGACCACAACUACUCCAGAUGGAAUCGAAGCACUCCAUAUCAGCAGUUGCAUAGAUUGGAGAUGGAACCGACCUCCAUCGCACGUUCUCGAUCACCACAGUGCAUACAAAAGAGUAAAUUGGGUAAUUUUCUCGAACAAUAUUCUUAUCUAUGCCAAAAUUUUGAAAUGGGUUUUCGCCAGAAAUUUUCACUUUCUGCUUCAAUUCAGGUACUCUGUGCCUAAUUGAAUUGUUCAUAUCUACUAAUGUUUUGAUUUAUUAACUAAUUGCCCACUUUAAUAUAUACUAAUUUGGAGAUUUUUACUUGAUUAUAAUUUGAACUAUUUGAAAUUAUUUAUCUUUACCAGAUUUUGUUAAUGGGUUUUGGACCAAUUUGUAGAAAGCUCUCUCUUUUGUGUAUUGGUUAUUCAGUUUCUGGCUUAAUUUUUGCCAUUCUGGAAUGCCAUGUUGGAAGUUCAAAUCAAAUACAGUAGCCGAAACUAAUGGAACACUUUUCAGAAAUUGUUGGAACACUUUUCAGAAAGUGGUGAAACUAUUUUUAGAAAAGCUACAUGUGUGUGUGCAUCAAAAGGUGGUGCAUGUGUGAAAGGGUGUAAAGAUGGUAAACACCAUCAUUGAUUGCAUGUGUGUGCAUUUGUUUUUAUUAAAAAACACUUGAGUGGUUUGUAACUUUUGCAUGUAUAAUUAAGCCUCUUGUAAGGCUUUAGAAAAAUCCAUCCGAAUUCCCAUUUCCAUUUUAGCUUGUAAGCAAUUGAGUUUGUAAACUCUUAUUAAAUAUAUCAAAGUGUUUGCUUGUUUUCCGUGCAGUUUGUCCAACACAAAAAGUUUGCUUCUUCAUUUAUUUUUUUCUUUGUUUAAUUGUAUUGAGAGUGAUAGUGAGAUGUAUGAUAAAGUUAGAAAACUUAUCACCCAAAUAUUUUUGGUAUUGAGUUAGUCAACUUUGAAAUACCAACAAUUGGUAUCAGAGCCAGAUUACCGUUCUGGCAAGUGCAGUAGCUAUGGCAUCUAACUUAGUGCAGCUCCAGGUUCCAACAUUGAAGAAAGAAAAUUAUGAAAGAUGGUGCAUCUAGUUCAAAACAUUGUUUGGAUCACAGGACCUAUGGGAAGUUGUCAGUAAUGGGUAUGAUGAACCCACUACUGAGCAAGAAGCUGCCUACACUGCAGAUCAAAGGAAUACUCUCAAGGACUUACGAAAGAAUGACAAGAAGGUGAUGUACCUUCUAUAUCAAGGAUUAGAAGAUUCAACGUUCGAGAAGAUUGCAGAAGCAACAACCAGCAAGCAAGUUUGGUACACUUUGAGCACAAUUUACCAAGGAGUAGAUCGAGUAAAAAGAGUUCGGCUUCAAUCAUUAAGAGCAGAUUUUGAGGCUGCUCAUAUGAAAGAAGGAGAAAACAUUUCAGACUACUACUCUCGACUACUUGUAAUUGUGAAUCAAAUGAAAAGGAAUGGCGAGAAGCUUGACGAUGUUCGUGUCAUGGAGAAAAUCCUUCGGUCACUCACAUCCAACUUUGAGCUUGUGGUGACUGCCAUUGAGGAAUCCAAGAAUUUGGAGACGAUGAGUGCAGAGGAACUGCUAGGAUCCCUCCUAGUUCAUGAACAACGCAUUCAGAAGAAUGCAAGCCCCACAACGCUAGAGCAAGCUUUGGAGUCAAAGUUGAAUAUUGACAAACCAAAUGGAGGUCGUGGACAGUGGAAUUCACGUCAUGGAAGCUCAUCCAAUCAUAGCCGAGGACGAGGCCGAGGAAGAGGUUGAGGCUAUGCACAAAACCGAGGUCAAUCUCAAUAGUGGAGAUCUACUUGAGGAAAGGCGCAUAUCCAGUGUCACAGUUGCAAGCAAUAUGGACAUUAUGCCAAUGAAUGUUCAUAUAAAAAUGGUGAGCAUGUCAACAUGGCAGAAUCAAGUGGAAAUGCUGGUGAGGAAUUUACAGUCUUACUAGCACACCAUGAUAUCAGUAGCCAACAAGAUGUUUGGUAUUUGGACUCUGGUGCAAGCAACCACAUGUAUGGAAAGAAAGAGUUUUUUGCUGAACUCAAAGAUGGGCCUUAUGGAUCUAUAAGUCUUGGUGACUCCCCAAAGUUGCCAGUUGAAGGCAAAGGAAAGAUCAAAAUCAUCUAGAAGGAUGGUAGAGAAGAAUACAUCUCUGAUACCUACUACAUACCAUGUAUGAAAAGCAACAUUCUGAGCAUUGGUCAAUUGUUCCAGAAAGGGUAUGUUAUACAUAUGGAGAAUAUGCUUCUCACUCUCAGGAAUGCAAGGAGAAAGCUUAUUGCAAGUGUUCAAAUGUCAAAGAACUGAAUGUUCCCGUUGAAGUUGAACACAAAGAUUGGAAGCUGCAACAUUGGUGUGAUAGAAGAUGAGUCAUGGAAAUGGCAUCUUCGGUUUGGCCAUCUUCAUUUCAAUGGCCUAAAGUUAUUGUCAAGUGGAGAAAUGGUUCGUGGUCUACCCCAGAUUGAAGCCACACACCAAGUAUGUGAAGGUUGUGUGCUUGGCAAACAAGCACGAUCAUCGUUCCCUGUUGGUGAUAUAUGGAGAGCAAAGGCACCACUGCAGUUAAUGCACACGGAUAUAUGUGGUCCGUUGGAUCCUAUGUCCUAUGGAGGUAAUAGGUAUUUUAUUACCUUCAUUGAUGAUUUUAGUAGGAAGACUUGGGUUUAUUUUCUCAAGGAGAAGUCGGCUACCCUAAGAAUCUUCAAUGAGUUUAAGGCACUCACAGAAGCUGAAAGCAACCACAAGCUUGUGGCUGUGAGAUCAGAUAGAGGUGGAGAGUACACCUCAAAUGCUUUCCAAGCAUAUUACAAGGAGUAAGGAAUUAGGCAUCAACUGAUUGCUGCCUAUACCCCACAACAAAAUGGGAUAGCCGAAAGAAAGAAUCAAACCAUCCUUGACAUAACAAGGUCUAUGCUUAAAGAGAAGAAUUUGCCAAAAGAAUUGUGGGUAGAAGCUGUAGCUUAUUCGAUUUAUUUGUUGAAUCGAUGUCCAACAAAGAGUGUCAAGAGGAUGACACCACAAGAGGCUUGGAGUGGAUACAAGCCGAAUGUUGCACACUGCAUAUGCUCAAGUUCAAGAAGCCAAGAGGAGGAAACUCGAUGAUAGAGGUGAGAAGUGUGUGUUCGUGGGCUAUAGUGGAAAGUCCAAGGCAUAUAAGCUUUACAACCCACUAACUGGAAAAUUAGUGGUUAGUAGAGAUGUCAUCUUCAGUGAGGAAGAGGCAUAGAAGUGGAACAACAAAGAAGUUAGUAAAGAGAAGAUUGUUUCCACUGAUUUUGAAGAACCAGAAGUUGUACCACUUAUUAAGCAACAACCUGCUCAAUCAAUCACAACAACUCCAUUGCACAGAAUUGCAAGGAGUGGUCAUACUUCCAGUGAAGAAAGCAGCUCCUCAACUCCAGUGAGGCUAAGAAGUCUCAUUGAGAUAUAUGGACAAGAAAGAGAAGAAGAAACCAACCUUUUCUACUUGUAUGCAGACCAUGAGCCUCUCUCAUUCAAUGAAGUUAUGGAAGAAGAUCGUUGGAGAAUAGCCAUGGAGGAAGAAAUCCAUGCCAUCGAGAAGAAUCACACUUGGGAGUUAACAAAGCUCCCACCAAAUCAGAAGGCUAUUGGUGUCAAGUGGGUCUAUAAGAUCAAACGCACUGCAAAUGGGAGUGUGGAUCGAUACAAAUCAAGGCUUGUAGCGAAGGGCUACAAACAGAAGUAUGGAAUGGACUAUGAUGAAGUCUAUGCUCCAGUUGCAAGACUUGACAUGGUAAGAUUGCUAAUCUCUCUUGCCGCUCAUCAUAAAUGGAAAAUUUAUCAACUAGAUGUCAAGUCAGCCUUCUUAAUGGAGUACUUGAGGAAGAAGUGUACGUGGAACAACCAAAAGGAUUCCAAGUACAAGGAGAAGAAGAAAAGGUGUAUCGUUUGAAGAAGGCUUUGUAUGGCCCCAAGCAAGCACCACGAGCUUGGAACUCAAGGAUUGAUAACUACCUUCACCAAAAUGGAUUUCAGAAAUGUCCAUACGAGCAUUCAGUUUACAUGAAGAAUGGUACAAAAGGGGAGUUCUUAAUUAUUUGUCUCUAUGUAGAUGACUUGUUGUUUACAGGAAACAAUGAAGCAAUGUUCCAUGAGUUCAAGCAAUCCAUGUUCAGUGAAUUUGAGAUGACUGACAAUGGAUUAAUGUCAUACUUUCUUGGCAUAGAGGUGAAACAAGAAAGUGAUGGUAUCUACAUCUCUCAACAAAAGUACAUAAGAGAUAUAUUGGAGAAAUUCAAUAUGGACAAGUGCAAUAUUGUCAACACUCUAGUUGCAAUUGGAUUGAAGCUGUCCAAGGAAGGAGAAGGUGAGUUUGUAAACUCAACCGUGUACAAAAGAUUGGUUGGAAGCCUAAGGUACCUUACAAUCAUAAGACCUGAUAUAGUUUAUGGCGUUGGACUCGUGAGUCGGUACAUAGAAACACCAAGGAAGUCUCAUUGGCUGGCCGCCAAGAGAAUUUUGAGGUACAUAAGAGGUACUCUAAACUAUGGUCUGUUUUAUAAUUUUGGUGAAGAUGCAAAAUUAUUUGGUUAUUCAGAUAGUGAUUAGGAAGGUGACCAAGAUGAAAGGAAAAGCACAACUGGUUAUGUGUUUUUUCUAGGAUCAACAACUUUCUCAUGGACUUCAAAGAAGCAAUCAAUUAUUGCUUUGUCAUCGUGUGAAGCCGAAUAUGCUGCUAUAGCCUCAACUGUGUGUGAGGCAAUUUGGUUAAGAAAUCUGUUGAAGUCAGUGUGUCAUCCACAAGUGGAAUCGACUGUGAUUCAUGUGGAUAACAUCUCAGCUAUCAAGCUUGCUAGGAAUCCAGUCCAACAUGGAAGGAGCAAGCAUAUUGAUACCAGGUUCAAUUUUCUGAGGGACCAUCUGAAGCAAAAGACAAUUGAACUUGUCUAUUGUCACAUGAAGGAACAAGUAGUUGAUGUGGAUGCAAAUUUUCUCCUCUUCGAUCUUGGACGAUUUUGCACCUACAAAACAACUAGCACCUUAGGUUAAGGCCAAAAGCCUCACGCGCCCACGAUGAAUGGGGGGGGGCUUUGGCCGAAGAACCUCCGAUGCCAAAGUUAGAAUUUUAGAGAGAAAUAGUGUUUAGAGUGUUUUGGAAUUUUUGCAAGAGAUUUGGAAUGAGUGUUUGGUAAAAAUGGGUGACUAUUUAUAGGACCAAAUUGGUCCACAUCUUCAAGAAAUGGCCGGCCCUUUCUUUGUGCUUUGGGAUGAAUUUGUGGUUUUAUUAGCCACUUUAUUGGCUAAUAAAAUAUAAUAGAAAUAAAUGGGAAGUUACCCAAUUGAAUGACUAGCAUUAUUUGGCUAAUAAAGUGGAAGAAAUUUGAAAAGGUGUGGAGCAAAGAGAGGGAAUGUGGCCGGUCUACUAGGUGGGAUUUUAGGGUUUAUUUUAGGUUUAAUUAGCCAAUUAAUUGGCUAAUUAAAUAUGAAAGGAAAUGUUUUAGUAUUUAUGGUAUUGAUUGGCUAAUUUAAAAGGGAAGGAAAGGUGGAAAAGGUAGAAAAAGGUGAUGGAAUAGGCUUUGAAUGGGGUAGCCGGCCCUAUAUAUCAUUUUUUAGGUUUGAGUGGAUGUUUCAAAUUGAUAAUUAAGGGAUGAUUUUAGGAGAUAUGGGAAGAAUAUAUUAUUUAGAUAAUUAAUUAACUAAAUAAUAUAUUAGGGAAAUUAAGUUUUGGAAAUAAUUACCUAAAAUAAGAUAAUUUGGAAUUGGUUACCUCUUUUGGAGCAUUUUUGAAUUGGUUGAGGAUGAUUACCCACUACUUGCGCGUAGGAAUCCCGGUAUGCCUCAAGGGUAUUUUUGUCCUCUUUCAUUCAAAAGUCCACGUGUCGCCUAGCGAAUAUUUUUGGCUCCACAAAUGCCCCCACACCUGUUGGGCUGCUUGCAAAAAAGGGCAACAGGUGUAGAGAUUUUCUCACUUUAGGCAACUCUGAAUUGAUUUCUAUUUUGUUGUUGAUUCUCUCUUUAAAUGGAAAUUAGAUCCUUCUAGGAAAGGGAAAUAAAUUUCUCUCAAAGCCUAUUUAAGUCCACCUUAAGUGGGUUAUUAAAUCAACUUUGGAGAGCGAUUUAUUCUACCCUACAGGAGAGAGAUAGCUUAGAGGAUAUUUGUUCCCCCUCCUCUAGCAAUCUUCUACAUCUUGCCCGUGCAAAGGACCGUAUUUCGUUGCUUUCUUCGUCUUCUUCGUGCCGCACCAAUGUAAGAAAAAUUUAAUUUUUCUUGCCUUAUUCUUGGAUAGUGCUAUUGCGGGGUGGUGCGGCACGUCGGCUGGCAGGGGCCAGAAGCUGGCUCGGCAUGAGCUGAGGAGAUAUCGUGGCAGGGACCACUGCUUGGGCAGCUUGGCUUGGCCUGAGCCAAGGGCAGCUUGUGCAGCUGGGGUCGAGGAUUGUGGCGCUAGGGCACAGUGUUAGGCGAGCUGCAUAGCUCAUGUCCUUUGGGCUCUUGGACCUGACUCGGGCCAGGCUGACGAUUGAGAGAAAUAAGGAGAUUGCGGGUCUCAUGGGCUGCUGGAAUGUUGGGCAUGUAUGCCUUCUGCCUGCUGGAAUGCUGGGUUGAGCUCCCCUGCUGAGUACCAUGAAUGUCGUUGGCUACUUAGUCUUCUUUGCUGAAAGAAAGGUGGGCUGCUCCAGAAAGAUGAGGUAAAGAGGAUCAAGGCGGAUGCACUGGCUCGUCUGAUCGCUGUCGUGGAGCUUACUAUGAAUGAAGAUGGAAAGAAGAGAUCUUCCCCGCCUGCUCAUGAGAUGCCUAGUUAAUAAAAAACUGAAGACUUCUUCUGCUGCUCAUGAAGGUCCGCUUGCUACCGAGAGGUAUGUGAUUGACAUAACUUCUUCUAAUGGGAAGAAAAUAAGGCUGCUAGAUCUGAGCAUGUGGCGUCUUCCAUGUUGAGAAUGGCUAGUACAAUUGUGGAUAAGAUUACUCAGCGUAAAGGUUUUAUCAUGCCCCCAGUGCCGAAGUCUGUAGGACGUUCUUUAGGAGCCAAGUCCGGUUCACCUUUGUAGAGACUUGCUAUUAUGAAGAGUGGUAAGGUGGACUCUGCUGCUAAAUUGGCGCCAAAGCCUGCUCCCUUUGCUGCUGAGAUUGAUUCGCCUCAGAUUCAAUAUCUUAAGCUUGCAAUUUCUGAGCUUCGUUUCGCUACUUAUGCUAAGAAGAUAGUGGAUGAGCUUCUCUAUUUCUCCGGAAGACUUGCUUGCUUUUACUUUUAAGGCUUCCAUUGGUGAAGUAGUUGGAGAAGUUAGUGCCCAGACUGGGGCAGCCGGGGGUGAAGCGUCGGAUGAUGCCGCUGCUAAGAGCGUUACGGCUGUUGAAGGUGUGGCGACCGAGUAGUCAUGGGAUGUCCAAGCUGCUGUAAUGUAGUAUUUUAGGUAGCCUUUAGGAUUUUCUUUGUUUUUCCUUGUAGCUUUUGUUUUGCUUGAAUUCCUUCGGCCUUUGCUAGUUGUUUAUAAACAUGUUUUCCUUCGUUUUUCUUCAUCUUCACUUCUUUUGUUCAUGCCUUUAGACUUGAUAGACCAGUGGCAGGCAUGCUACUUUUUUAUAAACAGACAAACUCGCGUAGCCUAUGCAGCCGUAGGUGUUGGUGUAGAACUUUGCAAAGUUGUUAGCCAUAGGGUUGGCAGCCGGAUGCCUUACUUACAGAAGCAGACAAGUCCGCGUAACCACUAGGCUGUUAACCUUGACUUUCUUCAAUUCCGUAGGUUGUGUAGCAAGUAUCACAACACUUUAGGACUUGGUGUAGGUUGUUCCGCGCUUGGCAGAGGUGAAGCUUAUCGACUACGUAGCAUGUCGGCAGUGGAUAAAACUUCGUAUAUGCGCGCUAGCUUGUUUAACCUUUCACAAGAAUGUGCGGUUGUAUAAGUCUAGUGCGGCUUCACUGCUCUAAGGGCAAGCCGUAGGCAGUCUUCCGGAAUCCGUAGGCUACCUUAGUGCACUCGGUAGCAGCUUUAGGAUUCCAGGGCAGCCGUCCAUUGGAUGUACGGCGUAAUGUGCCCUCUCCGUCUCUAGGGCUCGGUUCCCCACGGAUUAGGCCAAGAGACCCAAAAUCCUUGAGUUAGCUAAGCCUUGAAAAAGACCAUUGCGGCUACUUCAAGGAAUCCCGGCGCAAGCCAUCGUGCAUCUAGUUAUACUAGGGCAGCCAGGCUCAUCCACGUCUGGAUAUUCGGAGUGUAAAGUUUAUCCUCCCGUCUUGGAGAGCUGACCCAUAUGGGUGUCGGAGAAUUGGUUUACCCUCUCGCACUGGAGAGCAUGGUUGGUCCCUCGGGGGGCGCAAUUCCUGCGAUGAGUCCCUAAGAAGGGCGCAAUCUUCUUUUGAAGUGCAUGAGUGAUUAGUUGUUGUAAGCAUGCAGCCACGCCAAGUUGUGAUUACUUCUAAAUUCCUCAUUGAAAAACGAGUGAAACGAACGAGAACUUUAGCUGUAAGGUAGGGACUGCAUAACAACUGGAUAGUCCUCAGCUUGUGAGGUGGUGCCCGUCGAGCUUAUUGAGUCUUCGGGUUUUGAUGUAGCGGGAGGUCACACAUGGUACUUCUUCAGAUUGUAGGCCAUCUAUUUCUUUUCAAUCUUUUUGCCGCUUCAUGGUGGUGAGGGUGUAAUUACUCUUACUCCCUACUCUGCUGAUCUUGUACGGACCUUCCCAGAUGGGAUCCAUCUUUUUGGAGCCUUCUCUGCCGGCAGUGAUGAAGGCUUUUCUGCGUCGUCGACAUGCAAAUGCCAGAAGUCUCCAUCGGGUGGAGUAGGCGCAGCUAGAGUGUGCUCGGCUACUUCUGAGGCAUCGUUGGGCCGCUCUGUUGUGUCACCUAGGCUCGGCGUGAAGGCGCAGUAGGGAGCUGUGGAGAUGAGGCCAUGUCAUACGCAACAGGAAAUGCUCAACUGCCGGUAUUGGGCCACUCUAGAGUUGAAUCAUUGAGCAAGGGUCGGCUAGGGCCGUGUGAUGCGCAGCAAGAAAUGGUACUCAACUGCCGGUACAUGUUGCUCCUAUGUAGAAUCUUUUAGGGUGACGAGGACAAAACUUGCUUUCGAGUGUGUCCUUCCAGUGUUGUGUUUGUCAGAAAACUUUACAUCUGCCAAGGUCAACGCCUUUAUCGUCGCGCGUCUGGAUUGGGCAGAAUAGUACGUCAUUAAGAUGAUUGCAUGCGUUUGAAAGUAAAACUUGUGCUUCUGGGUUGCAACAACUAUCGCCAAAGUUAGCUUUUGAAUUUUUAAUAACAUCGAGGAGAGCUUUUGAACUGUAGAAUACAGGUAAUUGUGGAAUACAGGUAGUCGGGCCCCCAUCUCUUCUCGCAUGAUGGUAGAGCUUAUUGCUACUUUAGAUACCGUCAAACAUGUGAAUAAGUCAUCCGCUGCUUCUAGGGAGGUGAUGUUGGGUACUUCUUCAAGUCAUUGAAUGUGCAUUGGCGAGCCUCAUCCCAAAGUGCAUACUUCUCUGCCAAAGCAAAAGAGUCUGCCAGAGUUAGAUCUUUUUUCAUGAUCAAUUUUCCGAAUAGCGGGUGGUCUGCUGGAAGUCCUUUUUGGAAGGCUGCUCUAGCUAUAGAGUCGUUGCAUCCAACUAUUUUUGCCUUCUCUACUUUGAACCUCCUCACAUAGUCGCGAAGCGACUCCUUUGGGUUCUUCUUGACGUUGAACAAAUGAUCAGACUUCUUUUUGAUCGAGCGAUAGGAUGAAUAUUCUUUGGUGAAAACCAAAGAAAGUUCGUAGAAAUCCCGGAUGGAUUGUGGCGGUAAGGUGUAGAACCAAUCUUGCGCCUCGCCUUGUAGAGUGGUGGCGAAUAUCUUGCACAUGAGCUCAUCGUUGUUUCGAUAAAGGAUCAUUGCGCUUCGGUAGCGCUUUAAGUGUCUCUCCGGGUCUUCAUCCCCUUUGAAAUAUGUGAAAUGUGGCAUGCUGAACUCUCGUGGAGGCUCUGCCUGCUCGAUCUCGUCCGUGAAGGGUGACCUGCUUAUGUUGGUCAUGUUCCGUCGUAGUGCCUCGUCGGUGACCUCAUUGCGUUGGAAAUCAUGCAAUCGCUUGGUCAAGAGUCUCUCUACUUCUUCCUGAAUUUGCCUUUGUUGGGGUAGUGCAGCUCUCGGCUGCCCCCAGCCAUAACUUGCUGGUCUAGCUGCUUUUCCUGUUUUGGCUCGUCUAUGUGUUGGCUGGCGUCGUAUAUGCAUGAUGCAGUGCAUAUGGUGCAUUCCUGCAGCAGGCGAGCGAGUUCUUUGCAGGCUGCUGGUUGAACUUGAGCUGGAUUGAGUGACUGCUUCUUCUCUCCGUCCGUCGUGCUGCCUACUCUGAUGUGAGGUGGAUGAUGCUCCUUGUGGGCUUAGCCGCGAAUGAACACUUUGUCUGGAAGGUUGCUCAUGUUGACUACCAGAGUGUAACCCCAACCGUGAAUGUAUGCUCAUUCGUUGGCCUAGUCGAGAGUACACGCUCCUCCGCGCGCUAAAACGGGAGUAUACGCUAUCUCGGGGGCCCAAUCGGGAAUGUACACUGCCUGAACGUUCAGCUCGUGGCUGGUUGAAUGGCUGCUUGCUGGGAUGCUGCUGGAAAGGUUCGUCUGCCCUUGUCCUACUUCGGGAUACCUCGUCCGGGGCACGUUGGAUCCCGAUGCGUUGCAAAAGUUGAUUCACCAAAGUUGUCUGUUGUGCAAGGGGCGCUCGUCAACUCUAUGACUUACUUGUCGAGACAAGUGUUGUUCGCCAUUUGGAUUGGAAGAGCUUGGAAUGAAUGCGCCUCCUUGAGCAGUGGAAGGGUGGUAGACUCCGGGCGCGAGAUUUGAGUUGGGAAAUGUCAAAUCCGUGAAAAAAUGUGGUGAGAAUGCCCCCGGCUCGAUGGUAGGUCCAGAUGGUUGAGAUAGUUUUGGGCCGACUUGGGCUGCUUGGAAAGCCACGGGAGCAGUGUGGGCCUUGAGAGUGGGGCUGCUCGUCGGGAGUGGGCUGCUCGUUGGGAGCAGGCUGGGUCACGAGAGCAGGCUGCUUGGCAGGAGCAGGUUGCUUGGCCGGAGCAGGCUGGGCCACGGAAGCAGGCUGCUUGGCAGGAGCAGGUUGCUUGGCGGGAGCAGGCUGGGCCACGGAAGUAGGCUGCUUGGCAGGAGUGGGCUGGGCCACGGGAGUGGGCUGCUUGGCAGUAGCAGGCUGGGCCACGGGAGUGGGUUGCUCGACGGGAGCAGGCUGGAUCACGGGAGCAGGCUGCUCAAUGCGCGGUGCAUGUGAAUGCGAGGCUUGGGCUUGGGUCCACGUGAACUUGGAUGGCACGGCUUGGAUCGUGGUCUUGGUACCGUGAGCCUUGGAUGGCACGGCUCGGGCCGUGGUGAAGGCUCCAUGGACCUCGCCACGAGUGGCUACCGAAGUAGCCAUCGUGGUGGUUCCCAUGGUGGCGGUGGUGAAGGCAUCAUGGACCUCGCCGUGGGUGGCUACCGAGGUAGCCACCACGGUGGUUCCCAUGGUGGAAGCUCGUGGUGAUGAUGCCGCUCCCCUUAUUGUCGCAUUUUGCCUUACGGAUCUCCGGGUCGUGGUGAAGGCUCCAUGGACCUCGCCACGAGUGGCUACCGAAGUAGCCACCGCGGUGGUUCCCAUGGUGGCCGUGGUGAAGGCACCAUGGACCUCGCCGCGGGUAGCUACCGAAGUAGCCACCACGGUGGUUCCCAUGGUUGAAGCUCAUGAUGAUGAUGCCGCUCCCCUUAUUGUCGCAUUUAGCCUCACGGAUCUCCGCAAUCCCAUUUCUUGAACAUUAGAAUUUUCACUUGUGGAAUUUUCUAAAUUUCUAGCCAUUAUAUUUUGCUUAUACGUUUUAUCAAAGAACCUUUGCAAGUAAAAAAUUCUAAUAAUAAGAACGUAUGAAAAAUAUUCAAAUGGACUAGAAAAUAAAGAAAAAACCUUUUUUGUGCGAGAGUCUUCUACGAGUAUGGAUUUCAACUCUCAAUGAAAGCACCAAUUUGUGGAUGCAAAUUUUCUCCUCUUCGAUCUUGGACGAUUUUGCACCUACAAAACAACUAGCACCUUAGGUUAAGGCCAAAAGCCUCACGCGCCCACGAUGAAUGGGGGGGGCUUUGGCCGAAGAACCUCCGAUGCCAAAGUUAGAAUUUUAGAGAGAAAUAGUGUUUAGAGUGUUUUGGAAUUUUUGCAAGAGAUUUGGAAUGAGUGUUUGGUAAAAAUGGGUGACUAUUUAUAGGACCAAAUUGGUCCACAUCUUCAAGAAAUGGCCGGCCCUUUCUUUGUGCUUUGGGAUGAAUUUUGUGGUUUUAUUAGCCACUUUAUUGGCUAAUAAAAUAUAAUAGAAAUAAAUGGGAAGUUACCCAAUUGAAUGACUAGCAUUAUUUGGCUAAUAAAGUGGAAGAAAUUUGAAAAGGUGUGGAGCAAAGAGAGGGAAUGUGGCCGGUCUACUAGGUGGGAUUUUAGGGUUUAUUUUAGGUUUAAUUAGCCAAUUAAUUGGCUAAUUAAAUAUGAAAGGAAAUGUUUUAGUAUUUAUGGUAUUGAUUGGCUAAUUUAAAAGGGAAGGAAAGGUGGAAAAGGUAGAAAAAGGUGAUGGAAUAGGCUUUGAAUGGGGUAGCCGGCCCUAUAUCAUUUUUUAGGUUUGAGUGGAUGUUUCAAAUUGAUAAUUAAGGGAUGAUUUUAGGAGAUAUGGGAAGAAUAUAUUAUUUAGAUAAUUAAUUAACUAAAUAAUAUAUUAGGGAAAUUAAGUUUUGGAAAUAAUUACCUAAAAUAAGAUAAUUUGGAAUUGGUUACCUCUUUUGGAGCAUUUUUGAAUUGGUUGAGGAUGAUUACCCACUACUUGCGCGUAGGAAUCCCGGUAUGCCUCAAGGGUAAUUUUUGUCCUCUUUCAUUCAAAAGUCCACGUGUCGCCUAGCGAAUAUUUUUGGCUCCACAGUUGACAUCUUCACAAAGCCACUGCCAGUUGAAUUAUUUCGGUUGCUGCGUGAAAUGCUAGGCAUGAAGGUAUUUUGAUUUGAGGGGGCGUGUUGGAAGUUCAAAUCAAAUACAGUAGCCGAAACUAGUGGAACACUUUUCAGAAAUUGUUGGAACACUUUUCAGAAAGUGGUGAAACUAUUUUUAGAAAAGUUGCAUGUGUGUGUGUAUUUUUUUAUUAAAAAGCACUUGAGUGGUUUGUAACUUUUGCAUGUAUAAUUAAGCCUCUUGUAAGGCUUUAGAAAAAUUCAUCCGAAUUCCCAUUCCAUCAGAAUCCCAUUUCCAUUUUAGCUUGUAAGCAAUUGAGUUUGUAAACUCUUAUUAAAUAUAUCAAAGUGUUUGCUUGUUUGCCGUGCAGUUUGUCCAAUACAAAAAGUUUGCUUCUUCAUUUAUUUUUUUCUUUGUUCAAUUGUAUUGAGAGUGAUAGUGAGAGGUGUGAUAAAGUUAGAAAACUUAUCACCCAAAUAUUUUUGGUAUUGAGUUAGUAAACUUUGAAAUACUAACAUGCCAGAGGCAUUUAUAGGAGUUACUAAAGUUACUCAAUUACCAGUUCUUUACAAAAAGCCUUCUUCAACCGCCAAAUUCUUGAGCUUUCAUCCCACCAGAGAUUGGUGGCUUCAGCUUCAUUGUCGCUCAGACUGGUGACCCAUUGGUGUCGGGUACGGUUUAUUUUGUUUGUCUUUUUUCCCGGAUUUAAUUUGAUGUAUUGUAUUAUUUAUCUGAUGACAAUGCUCCACUAGCUUCGAAUUUUGUGCUACACGUUAACACCCUUUGAUCAUCCAAGGGCUCUCAAUAGAGUUGGGGCGGCGGGAUCCGGAUCUGAGAUGGUUGAACACUCUAUAGCCAGUUAAUACUUUUGCCCACCAAUCCGCUCGGUUGUGUUCGUAACAUCUGUGUUGUGACGUUUCUUCAUCUCUCUUACUUGAGAUUCUUUAAAUUUUUUGUUCAAAUGUUAUGCAAUUGAUCGCUGGGCAUUUGAAGACGAACAGGGAGGAAAAAUUGGAUAAUUAUCCUCCUAAACUAAGCGGUUAUAAUUAUAAAACGUUGAAAAAAAAAUUGGAGCUCAAAUUUGAAACUGCAAUGAGCAGUUGCAAUUGGUUUUUUUCCUCUCCCGCAAAAACUAAAUUGUCUUCACUCUUAGGUAUGUUAUGUUGAUGUUUGAUUUAUUUUUAAUUUCCUUUUUUAUCAUUAGCUCCAUAUUUGAUCAAAUACUAGCCUCUCCGCACGCACAUGUGCGUGUGAGAGGCCUUUUUUCAAUCAUGUGUGCUACACGCCCCUAUAUGUGUCUUGCAUUAGUUUUUUUCAUUGUAAUUGUCAAAAUGGCUCACUAAACAAAUUGAAAACAACUAACGCACGACAUCUUUAAUAUAUGAGUUGUGGUUUCAUUCUUUUGGUUAACUUCGUUUAAUUCUUUUUUCCUCCUGUCCAUGAAUUAAUUUUAAUUAAUUUAGUACAAAUGUUCAUUUUUUGUUUCUAGGAAAUUAAAAGUUUGAACCUUUUUUAUUUGUGUAAUCAGUUUUGAAGUUUGUUUCACAGGGAAAAUAUGGAAGAAGGAAGAGAAAUAGCGGAAGAAGAGGGAACAAAGAUAGUUUAUCAUACUCAAGAGUGCAGGUAGUAUUCUGUGAUUUGGCAUAAUUUUGUAUAUAAUUGAUUUUUCUUCUCUAAUAAUCUUCCCCUAUUUCCUUUUGUUCUGUGUAUAAUAGAUCGUCUAAAAUUUACAAGUUCAUGGCUCAUUCAGGCUACAAAAGAUUUGAUUACUUUCUUUUUAGGAAUAUGAACUGGAACAACUUCAAAGUUCGGGUGUAAUUAUUUGUCUUAUCAAGUAAUUUACUGUAUCUUAUCCGUUUUUGUUUUUCAUGCAUGUGAUUGUAUUUUUGAUUGGAAGGUUAUAAAAAUGAACACCUUUUACAGUGCUCCAAAUUAAAUACGAUAGAUAUACAUGUUUUUGCACGAAUUAAAACAACAUUAUUACUACAUUAUGUAUUCAAUUUUAAAUUAAGGUACGGUAUCUAUACCAAAUAAAAUAGGGUUGGCAUAUUAAGAGAACAACCUCCAUUUGCACUUUUAAUAGAAAAAGGCUCGGGUUCGAUUGUAAAAACAAAAGCAAAAUUGUUACACCCUUUUUUCUUAAGAAUAAAAACAUGAUUAGGCGAUCUACUAAUAAAGAGAUUGGAAACUAAUGUAAUAAACUUUCAUCUUCUAUAGGAAAAUAUAAACAAGUUAAGCAUGACUAAUUAAGAAAACACCAUUUGCAAACACAUAAAAAUUCGUCAAUCAACUCUCAAUGAAUAAGAAUGUCGAUAGACAAAUGAACACCUAAUACCUCCUAAAAAAGGCUGCUUUAAUCAUCUCACACGCAACUGUUGUUUCACUAUUGCAUGAAAACAAUUGACGCAAGAUAUAAUUAAAACCGCGUAGCGCCGGUAAUUAAAAAAAUGCCUCUAGCUUGACCAUGAUAAAAGAGAUCAUGAUUUAGUAAUGGCAUCAUCACGUUAUAAGUAGACUUUAUUUUUUGUAUGUACAUAUUGUGCAUUGUUUUGUUUUGAAUCAAUGUAUCAAAACAUACCAUCAUUUGAUCAUGAUAUAUAGCUUGAAAAAUGUGACAUAAGCAGUACAAUUAAACAUUAAUGCCAUUUUCGUUUACAUAGUUAUCAAACAAAUUUUUUGCGCCCUUAAAGAUGUCGUGUGUUAGUCGUUUUCAAUUGACAAUUACAAUGAAAAAAACUAAUGCAAGACACAUAUAGGGACGUGUAGCGCACAUGAUUGAAAAAAGGCCUCUCACAUGCACGUGUGCGUGCGGAGAGGCUAGUAUUUGAUCAAAUCUGGAGCUAAUGAUAAAAAAGGAAAUUAAAAAUAAAUCAAACAUCAAAGUAACAUACCUGAGAGUGAAGACGAUUUAGUUUUUGCCGGAGAGGAAAAAAACCAAUUGCAACUGCUAAUUGCAGUUUCAAAUUUGAGCUCCAAUUUUUUUUCAACGUUUUAUAAUUAUAACCGCUUAGUUUAGGAGGAUAAUUAUCCAACUUUUCCUCCCUGUUCGUCUUCAAAUGCCCAGCGAUCAAUUGCAUAAAAUUUGAACAAAAAAUUCAAAGAAUCUCAAGUAAGAGAGAUGAAGAACCGUCACAACCCAGAUGUUACGAACACAACUGAGCGGAUUGGUGGGCAAAAGUAUUAACUGGCUAUAGAGUGUUCAACCAUCUCAGAUCCGGAUCCCGCCGCACCAACUCUAUUGAGAGCCCUUGGAUGAUCAAAGGGUGUUAACGUGUAGCACAAAAUUCGAAGCUAGUGGAGCAUCGUCAUCAGAUAAAUAAUACAAUACAUCAAAUUAAAUCCGGGAAAAAAAGACAAACAAAAUAAACCGUAUGCGACACCAAUGGGUCACCAGUCUGAGCGACAAUGAAGCUGAAGCCACCAAUCUCUGGUGGGAUUAAAGCUCAAGAAUUUGGCGGUUGAAGAAGGCUUUUUGUAAAGAACUGGUAAUUGAGUAACUUUAGUAACUCCUAUAAAUGCCUCUGGCAUUCCAGAAUGGCAAAAAUUAAGCAGAAACUGAAUAACCAAUACACAAAAGAGAGAGCUUUCUACAAAUUGGUCCAAAACCCAUUAACAAAAUCUGGUAAAGAUAAAUAAUUUCAAAUAGUUCAAAUUAUAAUCAAGUAAAAAUUUCCAAAUUAGUAUAUAUUAAAGUGGGCAAUUAGUUAAUAAAUCAAAACAUUAGUAGAUAUGAACAAUUCAAUUAGGCAUAGAGUACCUGAAUUGAAGCAGAAAGUCAAAAUUUCUGGCGAAAACCCAUUUCAAAAUUUUGGCAUAGAUAAGAAUAUUGUUCGAGAAAAUUACCCAAUUUACUCUUUUGUAUGCACUGUGGUGAUCGAGAACGUGCGAUGGAGGUAGGACAAUGUAGAAUAAGAUUAUACUUAUUUUGAAGCCCAAUGGUUGCUGGAGAUGGCCGGAAAAUAGCCUCAAAGUUGACUGGUCUGAGUGAAAACUUGAAAACUCGCCAGAAACUAGGUAAACUUUAAAGGUUCAUAACUUCUUCAAUACUCAACGAAAUCAAGUGAUUCAAAAAACGAAAAUCAUACUUCUCGACGAGACAAAAAGAAUGGUACAUUUUUCAAUGGCUAACUCGCCGUUGUUUGGCCGGAAAAUGGCUCGAAAGUGGCUGUCUUGGUCUCAAGUUAGCCACUUUUGAGCCAUUUUCCGGCCAAACCACGGCGAUCUAGCAGUAUAAAAAGGUACCAUUCUCUUUGUCUCGCUGAGAAGUAUGAGUUUUGUUUUUGAAUGACUUGAUUUCAUUGAGUAUUGAAGAAGUUAUGAACGUUUAAAGUUUACCCAAUUUCCAACGAAUUUUCUAGUUUUCGCUCAAACAAGUCAACUUUGAGGCUAUUUUCCAGCCAUCUCCGGUAACCAUUGGGCUUUGAAAUAGGUAUAAUCUUAUUCUAAACUUUCCUAUCUUCAUUUUGAUAUAUUAUGGGUCGAAUUUGGUUAAGAAACGAUUGAGUUACGAAUCUUUGAAAAUUGCCCAAACUUCCGGCCAAGAGCUCCGGAACACUUAACGGAGUUUUUAACGGAAUGAUCAAAAUGAUGGAUGGUGGACAAUCUCAGGGUCCACUUUUAUCGAUUUGGAAUCUCAGAGACCAAAGUGAUGAGUUUUACAAAUCUUAGGGACCAUUUUGAUGAUUUACCAUAAAACAUUUACACAAAAUCCAACAUGCUUGACUUAAAAUAGAUAGAGAUUUAUAAAUAGAUAUAACCCACAAUAGUUCAUGGUUUUCUUUUAUCAGAAAAUAAGAAUAUUUUAAACACAUUACAUAAACCACUCACCUUAAUAAUCCAAGCUUUGACAAGACAACCCAAUUAACAUCUCCGCACACCUCAAACCCUAGCUUUCCCUUUCUCUUUUCUUUUCUAAUCUCUCUCUAAACAUAUAUAAUAUUUAUAUACACACACAUACAUAUAUAUAUAUAUAUAUACACAUACACAUAUAUACACACACACACACACACAUAUAUAUAUAUAUAUAUAUAUAUAUAUAUGUAUAUAUAUAUACAUCAUCUCUACGUAGUGCAUGCAUUGCAUGCUUCUGUGGUUUCAAAAGAAUGGAGCCUUUGCUCCUAUUUAUAGGGGAUUGGAGUCGGCUAUAAUUAAUGUUAAAUGCAUGACUAAGCCUUUCAAUGAAGUGGUGGCAAUAGAAUGUAAGAAAUCAUCUAGGAUAUUGACAGCUACAUGGAAGACGUGUUCAACUUAAGUUGGAGGUGUCAUGAACAUGGGCUGCCAAGUAUAAGAAUCAUCAAAUUGUAGGUGCAGGUGUCAAAUACAGGGAUUAAGCAUAUGCAACACGUUUAAGUUAAUAGCUGCAUACGAUCAUCACAAUAGAGUGCAUAAUAAGCACUCGUAAUGAUUGCUAAAGGAUGAAAUGGAAGGUGGUGCUGUCAGUUUGCAUGAAGCGAGAAGAGCAGGUGCUACAUUCGUAGGAAUGCUUGAGGUAGAUUGACAGGUGGUAUAGUAAAAAUGAAUGGGUGGGAUCUAGUGAGUCUAUUCUUGUCACGCCCCGAUCCUGACAUACAUCCAGGAUUGACACAUGACGUCACCAAGUAUAUGUAUAUCUAACAUACCCCGCCUCCAGAAUAUGUACCAAGCACGCUCAAGCCUCAAAUUGAGUAGUGAUUUUUCGUAUACUUUAUGACUGCAUCUAACCUCCUCGUUAGACUGCCUACGUACCCUCAUUAGAAAUCAAGUCAUUCGUAGUUCGUCGUUCACUAAUUUAGACAAUUAUUAUAGAGCGUUCUAACAAGAAUACAUAACAUUCUGUAAUCAAUUAUUAGAACUUGACAUGCAUGACAUUACCAAGUUCAGGGCUACAAAACAAACCAAUAUGCCGCUCAAGAUUCUGAUUCCAUCCAUCAUAUAAAUUCCAUGAUUUCAGUACGAUACUUCCAUCCACAACAUGUAACAUAUCAAAUAAGCAACGAAGCACAUACUAUUCUCAAGCCACAUUGGUCAACUAAAAUAAUUAGAAUAAUAACAACCAUAACCAAGGUCAUUCCACAAUCCCGUCAAUCAAUCAAUUCAUGAAUCAAAGAUACAUGAUCUUAGCAUUUAAUUAUGUUAAUCAAUGAAUGCAGUAACAUAUCAUUUCACGAAUUUAACCGAGGAAUUCUAUAUAAUUCCCUACUUGGAUUAUGAAUAAAAACAUGGUAAUUCUCAUUUGUAUUCACAAGAUCUAUUGUGGGUAAUUCUUAUUCACUCGAAUCAAGGAUUCUAAGAUAACCUUAUGGAAAUGAACAAGAGCAAGGAUUCCAGACGACUCAACUGAAUCCAACAACAUCGGGUUCCGGACGACUCAACGGAACCAAAAUGUCACACGGUUUCUCGUAAUCCACCUAGACCUGUCACAUGUAAAAUCAAUGCCUACAUUAUGGGAAUGGUACACUGGGCAAAUCAGGCACUCAGAUAAGCUGCAAGGUUCGGGUGAGUGACAAUAAUACAAGUAUGUGAUAUUCAAUAAAAACAGACCAUCGAUCACAAUGUAUAAACAUCAAGCAUAUAAUCAUGCUUUAUGAAAUCAUAAUCAAGUAGCUGAAAACUCCGUAGGAGUCACCCAGACAUCCAACGCUUUUUCUAAUUCAGGCCACAGGAUUCCCAAAAACCAUCAUUCAUAUGCGCAUUAAAACUAGGGCUAGAGGGACGCAGUUUGGCCGAAGCCUACAUAUAUGUAACCAAACAGGAAGUGACCCCCUAUCACGGAUUAACCAAGCAGAACCACCCCUGCAAUAACCAAGUAGACAGUGACCCUCUAUCGUGGAUUAACCAAGCAUAGUCACUCCUACGCAUCUGUUAAGCAGUGAUCACCUAUCGCGGAUUAACCAAGCAUGAUCACCCCUAAGUGUGUGUGUAUGGCCAUACCAAAGAUAUAAGGAUCGCCUAUCGUGGAUUAACCAAGCACGAUCCAUAGAAAAUAUGGUCCUGUAUCGUAGAUUAACAAGACCAUGGUCCCCUAUCGCGGAUUAACCAAGCAGAGUCACACCUACAAAACUGUUAGGCAGUGAUCACCUAUCGUGGAUUAACCAAGCAUAAUCACUCCUAAGUAUGUAUGGCCAUAAGGAUCGCCUAUCGCGGAUUAACCAAGCACGAUCCAUAAAUACUAUGGUCCCCUAUCACGGAUAUACCAAGUAGGACCAUUCAUAUACAUCUACUACAUGGUGCAGUCAAUUCAACACACAAUCUACCCUUACUUCAACCCCUAUGAUUUACAAUAUAGGCACAUGCUCAAUCAACUUCUCAUGGCCACUAGCAUACAUAUCAUGCAAGCAUAUAAAUUCUAUGGAAUACUUCUAAUAGGAUUCUAGGAUCACAUGGUCAUAACCUUUAUCAUUCAUAUCAUUCAUAUUAUCAAGAAAAUAACUAAACACACACACACACACAACACACACAUAUAUAUAUAUAUAACAAUAUGACUCCCAUACGCAUAAACCGAUGUAUAUAUUAUCUGGGAUAACUUACUAACCAAUAUAGGCCCACUAAGCCCUACAUAGUCUCUAGUAAUAUUGAAUUUAAUAUCUAAGAUCAAUUUGUAACAUAUUGACUAUAAGUAAGCAGUAAUUAGAUUAAAACAUAUAAGGUUUCCUAGAACCCCCUACCUUGAAUUCGAUUAAUUUUGUUCCUUUGAAGAACCUAAUCGGAACAUAAAAUUACAAUCAAAAGUAUAAAUACAAGUAACACACCUUAAUAACCAAACUAAGUGUUUAAACACAAAAUUAAUAUUAUUUAAAGAAAGUACAUUGAUUCUGGAAUCUACCACUCAAAUAAUAUCACUCAAAUAGCAAUAAAGAAGAUUAGAAAGGAAUCUGGAAAAGAAAAUAGGUGUGGCAAAAACAAUACUAUGCUUCUCUACAAAAUCUGCAGAAAACAACACUAUUGGACCAAGUUUAGGCUCGCUUUGGAACAUCCAAAACUAAACCAAAUCAUGUAAUAUUAUAUGGGUUUUGAAGCUUGUGUUAUGUACUUUAAAAGAAUACAAAGUUUGUANNNNNNNNNNNNNNNNNNNNNNNNNNNNNNNNNNNNNNNNNNNNNNNNNNNNNNNNNNNNNNNNNNNNNNNNNNNNNNNNNNNNNNNNNNNNNNNNNNNNNNNNNNNNNNNNNNNNNNNNNNNNNNNNNNNNNNNNNNNNNNNNNNNNNNNNNNNNNNNNNNNNNNNNNNNNNNNNNNNNNNNNNNNNNNNNNNNNNNNNNNNNNNNNNNNNNNNNNNNNNNNNNNNNNNNNNNNNNNNNNNNNNNNNNNNNNNNNNNNNNNNNNNNNNNNNNNNNNNNNNNNNNNNNNNNNNNNNNNNNNNNNNNNNNNNNNNNNNNNNNNNNNNNNNNNNNNNNNNNNNNNNNNNNNNNNNNNNNNNNNNNNNNNNNNNNNNNNNNNNNNNNNNNNNNNNNNNNNNNNNNNNNNNNNNNNNNNNNNNNNNNNNNNNNNNNNNNNNNNNNNNNNNNNNNNNNNNNNNNNNNNNNNNNNNNNNNNNNNNNNNNNNNNNNNNNNNNNNNNNAAUUAAUUUUAAUUAAUUUAGUACAAAUGUUCAUUUUUUGUUUCUAGGAAAUUAAAAGUUUGAAACCUUUUUUAUUUGUGUAAUCAGUUUUGAAGUUUGUUUCACAGGGAAAAUAUGGAAGAAGGAAGAGAAAUAGCGGAAGAAGAGGGAACAAAGAUAGUUUAUCAUACUCAAGAGUGCAGGUAGUAUUCUGUGAUUUGGCAUAAUUUUGUAUAUAAUUGAUUUUUCUUCUCUAAUAAUCUUCCCCUAUUUCCUUUUGUUCUGUGUAUAAUAGAUCGUCUAAAAUUUACAAGUUCAUGGCUCAUUCAGGCUACAAAAGAUUUGAUUACUUUCUUUUUAGGAAUAUGAACUGGAACAACUUCAAAGUUCGGGUGUAAUUAUUUGUCUUAUCAAGUAAUUUACUGUAUCUUAUCCGUUUUUUUGUUUUUCAUGCAUGUGAUUGUAUUUUUGAUUGGAAGGUUAUAAAAAUGAACACCUUUUACAGUGCUCCAAAUUAAAUACGAUAGAUAUACAUGUUUUUGCACGAAUUAAAACAACAUUAUUACUACAUUAUGUAUUCAAUUUUAAAUUAAGGUACGGUAUCUAUACCAAAUAAAAUAGGGUUGGCAUAUUAAGAGAACAACCUCCAUUUGCACUUUUAAUAGAAAAAGGCUCGGGUUCGAUUGUAAAAACAAAAGCAAAAUUGUUACACCCUUUUUUCUUAAGAAUAAAAACAUGAUUAGGCGAUCUACUAAUAAAGAGAUUGGAAACUAAUGUAAUAAACUUUCAUCUUCUAUAGGAAAAUAUAAACAAGUUAAGCAUGACUAAUUAAGAAAACACCAUUUGCAAACACAUAAAAUUCGUCAAUCAACUCUCAAUGAAUAAGAAUGUCGAUAGACAAAUGAACACCUAAUACCUCCUAAAAAAGGCUGCUUUAAUCAUCUCACACGCAACUGUUGUUUCACUAUUGCAUGAAAACAAUUGACGCAAGAUAUAAUUAAAACCGCGUAGCGCCGGUAAUUAAAAAAAUGCCUCUAGCUUGACCAUGAUAAAAGAGAUCAUGAUUUAGUAAUGGCAUCAUCACGUUAUAAGUAGACUUUAUUUUUUGUAUGUACAUAUUGUGCAUUGUUUUGUUUUGAAUCAAUGUAUCAAAACAUACCAUCAUUUGAUCAUGAUAUAUAGCUUGAAAAAUGUGACAUAAGCAGUACAAUUAAACAUUAAUGCCAUUUUCGUUUACAUAGUUAUCAAACAAAUUUUUUGCGCCCUUAAAGAUGUCGUGUGUUAGUCGUUUUCAAUUGACAAUUACAAUGAAAAAAACUAAUGCAAGACACAUAUAGGGACGUGUAGCGCACAUGAUUGAAAAAAGGCCUCUCACAUGCACGUGUGCGUGCGGAGAGGCUAGUAUUUGAUCAAAUCUGGAGCUAAUGAUAAAAAAGGAAAUUAAAAAAUAAAUCAAACAUCAAAGUAAUCACAUACGUGAGCACGAUGUGCAAGUACUAGCAUUUUAUUCCGUAUCUAGUCUGUCCGAGGAAUGAGAGGCACCACUGUAAGAAGCAAUUGAGUCGACAUUCGGCUACAAAUUGCAGUUUAGUCAAUAAUUUUCUAGACAGGCCGGCUCCAGACUCAGAUGUUUUUAUUCUCACGUUUUUGAUGAUAUUAUACCAUUUCACUAACGACAGUGCACGUCCAUUUAGCUUGGAAGCAGAUAAUGAUCAGACCUCUCAUACGGAGUUCGUGAGCCACUAAUGACUACCUCUACUCUGUUUAGGUAUCAACUAUAAGUGUCCUCCUAGCGAAAUCUUAGGCCUUUCUUCACACAGUAAUUCACAAGAUGAGUUCUUUUCCAACGAUAAAUAUGGUAACAUGGAGAGGAUAUAUAUAAUAUCUGUCUGACAUACCUCAGGAGUGACUAUACCGCAUAACACAAGAUAAUUAACUGGUUUGGGGAUCAAGUAUGUCUUCAUAACAUUGGAGCUGUUAUGUGCAUAGUUCACUGUUUAACUCUGAUGUUAACUAAUGACGUGGCUCCCAUGCGGACAAUGACUGGACGCCACGUGUCAUUAAGGGUCCACGUGGAAAUAAAAAAAAAGAAAAGAAACAAAACCCCGCUUCUUCUCGUGCGCAGACGAUACCAUUUCAACUUUCUUAGCCUUCCCCUUUACCUUCUCUGCUGUCUUUUGAAUCUCAGCACUGCUCUUCCCAUCCGCCGCCGAUUCCUGGCUCGACUUCGGGCUCGCCGCCGACUUAGGGUUCAGGAACACGAAAGCGUCUUUGUCAUCGUUGUUGUUUCAAAGCCUCAAGUCUCUAACUCUCCACAGCUUCGAGGAUCCCGUGGAAUUGCUCUUGUUAUGAGUUCCAUUUCACGACUCAGAUCAGGUAGCGAGUUCCAUUUCACUAAGACUUGUCCAUUUUCCUAUGGUAGAUUAUACGGAGUUCCUGACCCAGAAAGACAUUAUCUUUAGUGUAAAUCUCAGUUUACUGCCUUCAAGUUUCGUGGUUUUUAACAUUUGGUACAUGAAGUUUUUUUCGUCCUAAAGUCAUACCAAGUGUUAAUUUUGGGACAGUCUUAUACAUUCGUUAGUCAAACUGCUAACUCUGUCGUUAACUAAUGACACGGCGCCCAUGUGGACAAUGACUAGACGCCACAUGUCAUUAAGGGUCCACAUGAAAAAAAAAAAGGAAACAGAACCCCCUUUAUUCUCUUGCGCAGAUGAUACCGUUUCAACUUUCUUAGCCUUCCCCUUUACCUUCUCCGUCGUUUAUUGAAUCUCAGCGCUGCUCUUCCCAUCCGCCGUCGAUUCCUAGCUCGACUUCGGGUUCAGGAACACGAAAGCGUCUUUGUUGUCGUUGUUGCUUCGGAGCUUCAAGUCUCUGACACUCCACAGCUUCGAGGAUCCCGUGGAAUUGCUCUUGUUACGAGUUCCAUUUCACGGCUCGGAUCAGGUGGCGAGUUCCAUUUCACUAAGACUUGUCCAUUUUCCUAUGGUAGAUUAUACAGAGUUCCUGAGCCAGAAAGACAUUAUCUUUAGUGUAAAUCUCAGUUUACUAUCCUUAAAUUUCGUGGUUUUCAAUAUUUGGUAUAUAAAGUUUUUUUCGUCCCAGAGUCAUACCUAAAGUAUUUGUUUGUACCAUACUUGACCAAUUCCGAAACUACUGAGCACCGGUCAACGUUAUACCAUCAAGGACCCAGAAGAGAUUCCCUUCAACUAGGAGGUCAAUCACAAUGCGACACGUGUCGACAUCAGAAGCCAAUCACAGCUCGACACGUGUCAACAUCAGAAGCCAAUCACAACACGACACGUGUCAAUGUUAGGACAAAACUAGAAACUCUCCUCUAUAAAUAGGGAUCAUUCUCCCACAAUAAUCUCUAAUGUCAUUUUGUACUAAACUAUUCACUAGAAACUCACAAAAUGAGAGCUUGAACCUAUGUAUUUGUGUAAACCCUUCACAAUUAAUGAGAACUCCUCUACUUCGUGGACGUAGCCGAUCUGGGUGAACCACGUACAUCUUGUGUUUGCUUUCCUGUCCCUAUUCAUUUACGUACUUAUCUUCACAAGUGAUCGAAGCAACCAAGCGAAGGUCACAAACUUGACACUUUCUGUUGUACCAAAGUCCUCGCUGAUUUUGUGCAUCAACAUUUGGCGCCGUCUGUGGGAAAUGACACUUAUUCCCACUCUCUUCAGCUUUGUUAAGCUGGUUUCCACCGCUCAUACACUUUUUUUUGGCCAAACAUCUCUCUCCAACAUGGGGAGCGAAAGAAGCCAUAGCACACAGAAUGACACCCCCAUUGGACCUAGUAUGAAGCAACGAAAGCAGGAAGGAAAUAGAGUUACUCUUCAAGCUAAAGUCGAUGAGUUAGAAGCUCAGAACAACAAGAUAGUGAUGAGGAACGAAGUCCUCCAGGAGCAGUAUGAAAAACUUUUUCGAGAUGCUUCACGAGGCUAGGCAUGCUCAAGCCACAAGCUCGUCGCCCCUGCUGAGGUCAACAAUCAUCUGAAUGCCCCCCAACACGGAAGGGUCACGAUAUCCAAACGCGAUAGUGCCCUGAUCAUUACGGAGCAUCCGGAAGAUGUCACGCGCGAGGCACUCACUAUCGUAUACUAUUGGCAGACCAUCUGAUGAGCUGGAUGAUCCUCUCACAAGUCGGCGAGGUGCUGGCUUUAACUCGAGGAUGUGAGCACACGCAGGAGACAGUAGGGUAGUUAGGGGAGGGUACACGCCGAGUCAUCAGAUUACCAAUAUUACACAUGACAUAAGGAGUUAGAGAUAGGAGUCAAGACAGCAGAUAUAUAUUACCGAGCGAGAUCUAUAAGGCGGGGCGAUACACCGGUCACUGGAGCAGUCGCGGCAGAGUGAGGUGGGGGCGAGCGUACAAUAACCAGAGUGUUACUGGGGGAUUGAAGGGCUGGGAUACGGUCGGUUCAUUUAGGGUGUUGUUAUAAGAUAGACGUGUGGGUUUUCGUACGAGGGGCGCAGAGCGCGGGGUUAAUAUUGAAGGUAGUUUAAGGCUGUGUCGGGAGGUAACAUCUACUAAGUAUCCAUGCGACUAUGGGUAAGUGAUCCGAGAUAGGGAUUAGGCAGGAACUGGAUAACCAAUACGAAAAGAGGCAGAGGCUGGGUAUCCAUUGGUCCAACCAUUUAAACAAAAUCUGGUAAAGAUACAAUAAAUUCAAAAUAGUUCAAUAAUAAUAAGUCGAGAAACGUGCCCUCGCCAAAAUAUUUAUGUUAGUUAGAUUGGACGAAAGAGUCGGAGGGAUUUAAUAUAUUAUACAAUAAACUGACUACACCUCUAGUUAGCCAAAUCUAUCACUCGUAAACCAAAGUUAAAUUCAAUAGUUGCCACAAGUAACCUUUUCAAUUGGGACCACAAGCCCUACGACAAAUUUCUGCAGACCGGCUUAAACACCCAGUAUGUCACAACACCUUGAUUCUCGCGUGAGAUUAUGCACAGAGACUAAUUCGAGUUUUCUGCAAGGACACUUCAACAGCAGCCUCAGACCAAGAAAUCUUCAUUCUUUGUAUCGGUAUGGUACACUCUCGAGUGCUUAGACUGCCGCGAGUUCGCGUACGGCUACGCCACUGAUAAGAUACCACUGAAGUCAGACCAAUAUCUACCCUCCUGUAUUCCUCUCUGACAGCAUCACCCUCAAUCUGGUUGAGCUCCGGAGCUGACCGACGGCCGGAAAUAGCUCAACAGUGCUCACAAAAGUCAGCACUGGACUCUCACAGUGCUCACCCUGCAAGUCUACAUAAAACAUGCGACUAUAUCCACGUUAAGAGAAACUAGGAUCCGGUUGUUAUCUUGUUUUUUUUUAUGUCUCCGAUAAAGUAUAAAUCACUACUGAUUCAUUCACGAGACAAAGUCAGUGCCACUUGAUACAUUACUGAACAUAGUGAAAACUCUGUCUGAUGGAGAGGCCCUUUAUAAAUAGAUAAAGUAGAUUGGUACGUCAUGUAUUUAACAUAUUAUCGAUAUACUCGACGAGUUCGUUCUUUGAGUCAGGGAAAAUGGUGCAUGCUUAGUGGGGCUUGUCUGGGAUUCGUAGUACGUAUAGGAACUUUUACAGUAUAUUUUUGGGUGCAUAUAUAAUCGAGAGACAGAGAGCAUAUAGUUUCAUAGCGACGUAUUAGGUUUGAAAAUAUUGGAUUAAUAGUUUCUUUUGGAUUAGGGAGUCAGGAGAUAAUGAGUGUUUGUUGUGUUUUAUAUGGCAGUUUAGUUGAUAUUCGAUUGCAUAAGUCUAUUGAUAGACAUGUUUAUGACUUUAAGGUAUUAAAUUUCAAGAAUUGGGUUUUCUAUCGUUGUUCUACAACCAUAUAUUCUACAAUCUUGUUGAGAGGGCUAUUUGCUUACAGAGUCGACAACUAUCGAGUGAAAUCUCUAUAUUAUAUCUGCGUGUCUAUUGAAAUUAAGUCGGCUAUUUAAUUUCCUAACAUCUUCUGGAUAUCGUUGUUGCCUAAAUUAUGAAGCUUUGAUAUUUGAAUGUCGUUUUCGAUAAUAGUAUUUUAUCUGGUUCUGAAGUUUUUAUGCGGGCUUAUAGUAUUCUGGAUUGAAGAUGUAUGAUUUUAGGGAUACUUUUGAUAAGUGUAUAUAGGCCUCGGAUAGGCUUCGGAAGAUGUCGUAUCAUAUAAUGGGAGUUUAACGGGAGAACAUUGUUAUAUAUGGAGUUAGGAGAUUGCGUGGAAGAAUUUCAGGGUACUUUUAUCGAUUUGGAAUCUCAGAAGAGAAGCAGAGAUUCAGGAAGCAUUUGUGAAAAUUCUAGAAAAGGACUUGAACUAAUAGGUUGUUUGAGGCGGAAUGAUUUACAUAAAACAUUUACAAAAUACAUGGUCUUGACUUCUAACAGAUAUCACGCAGAUUAUUGAGAUAGGAUAGAUAUAAAACUAGCGAUUCUAAAUAUGAACAAUCUUACCUUGUUGUGAGAUAUAUUUUCUUAAUCAGGCCAGUAAGAAAUUUACCAAUAUUAAACCCUAUAGGGUGUUUCAGUCAGUACCGAUGACCUUUAGAGUACUUAAAGUGGAAUACAGAGUUAUGGAUUAGGAGCAUAUCACAGAUUUAAGCAAUUCUUAACGCACGUUAACCACACUAGCUUCUUACAUUUCUUAUUUUAUUAUAUACGUAAUAUAUCCUUGCCUCAUCAGAUUAUCUAACUUGAUUUGGUUAAUAUGUGGAUGGACUAUUGCUUGUCUUGGCAGUAUUUGCAUAUUCAAAAUAAUCUUUCAUAGUACAUUGAACAUAUCUAUUGCCUUAUAUUAGAUAUUCAAUUGAUAGUUCGACUACUUCAUGAUGACACCUAAGUUCGAUAACGAUUGCAAUAUUCACACAACCACAGGACAUGGACUUUCCAUAUAUAACGAUAUAAUAUCCUUUAUCAUAUUACAUUAUAUUUAGGUAUUGUUAUAUUAAUAAUGGUAAAAUAUAAUAUUACAUCAUCUUAAGGUAAUGCAUAGCAAUUGCAUGGCUUCUGUGUUUCAGGAAUAGUGAGCACUAUGUAUUCACUAAUUAUAUUUGUGAGGAGUGAAGUCUGCUCGGGUCAUAAUAUAAUAUGUCAUCAUCUGGGAUAGAGUAAUUGAAAUAGAAUUGGCAAAAGAGAGAAGUUAUAUGUAGCUAGUGGCUGGUGCGAAUGAUCACCUAUAUUGAUAGCAUAUAAUCGAUUAUGCUACGAUAAAUCAGAUUAGAAAUACAAUGGAGGAUCUAGUUUGUUUCGGUGCAACAACUUUAAGUUUGAGGGCAAUAAUGUAUACAUGGGUCUCAGUAAUAGAGGAAACCCUAUAAAAUAUAUGAGUAAAGAGUUGCCAGUUCUACUGAGUAUACCAUUGUGAGAAGGGUUAAGUCCAUCUCCUCUGUAGGCUUUAUCUAAAGUUCUAAGAUCUUGUUGAACUCAUGAUACAGAGGAGACCAAGAGCAUUGGUAAUAGAGCACGUAUAUUGUAUUUGUGCUUAUAAUAUGAUGAAUUUAUUCAGAGAGUUACGAGGUUGGUCUGCGAUCGGAUGGUAUGCUAUGAAAGUGGUUAGGAGACUGCUUGUUUGAUAUGUGCUAUGUUCAGAUAUGCGAAUGCUCUACGGUAUGUUAUCAGAAAUCUAUUGGAACUCACCCCGUUAUACAAUAAUCGUAUAUCAAUUUGAUGAGAUGUCGGCUUUGAGAUAUUAUAGGUUUUGAGAAGAACUGUGCUAAUAUGGUAUCAUAAGUCGACGGUCUGACCAUACCUUGCAAUGUCGAAAUGUUCUAUCUCAGAUUAAAAAUGAGUAUGACUACUGAGCUGUAAAGUAUACACUCAUAAAUCUUAUAUCGAGGUCGUCGUUGUAAUAACAAGAUUAUCAGCACAGUCCGACUUAACCCAGACUUGAUUUUACUGGUAGUAUUUAGAUCGUGAUUCUCUACGUUGAACUUUUGCGCUUUUCAUUUCGCAACUAAUUUUCGCUUAGGAGUGAGCAAAGUCCACGGCUUCUUUUCACGAGGAGACCAUGGUUGGUUGUAGAUUCAACUAAUUUCAUUGUCGUACUUUUUGGUGGUAUUUGCUGAGGAGUUGAACUUGGGAAUGACACGUUUUUACCUGAGUGCACCGGGCAUUUCCUUAAGUGUUUCUUUUGCUGAGAUUUGCACAUAAGUGAGGACUCAAAGUCCUUUUUGUUAGUAAAAAAACAGAUUGCAAUCUGGCACAGAUUGCCAAAAACUGCAGCUGCACAGAUUGCAGAAUCUGCCACCGCAAAGCUUGUGCACUGCAAUCUGGCACAAUCUGCACUGCAAUCUGUACGAAACUGCACUUGCAAACGAAAUUGUAAUGCUGCAACAAUCCUGCACAAUCUGCACAAACUAGCACUGCAUCGAAUUGCAAUCUGCCACAUAUCUGCACUGCAUCAGAUUGAAUCUGCAAUCAAAACCUGCAACUGCACCAAGAUUUUGCACAAAAUUGUAACUGCACAGUCACACACUGCACAAUAUUAAAUAACAUGGAUGAUACUUCUCAAAGCCUUUUUGGUCUUUUGUCGUCAACAAUCUGUGUGUUUGUUUGUUCACUCUGUUUAAAUUGGUGCUGGGCCGUGCCCUUCUGUUUCCCCACAUCUCAGUUUAGAGGUAAUUAUUUGUCGAAAUAUCUUCUAUUUGGAUUAAUGAAUAAUAGUCUCCAUUUUGUAGUAUAUAUGGAUUUUUUACAGAUUUUUACAAUAAUGUCUCAAUUCAAAGUCAAAGUACCCCUAGUAGUACUAAUGUAAGCAUCAUCUCGGCUUACAAUCAACAUGUCCUCCAACAACCCAACACAAGCACCCCAACAGUCCAAAACCAUCAAUGCCGCUCCACCCACCCCUCAUCCUACUAGAAAAAAAGAAAGCACCACUCUAUCCAAUAGAAAAAACAACCAACUAUAAUAGAGCACUUCAACUAGAGAGAUCCUUCUUUUAGAGAUUCUUGGUUUUUGGCCGAUCAUUGUCACCUAAGUGUACGGUCUCAGGGGAAAUGCAAAAGUAAGGGAGCGGGGAGGGGAGGGGGAGGACAGUUGCGUUAUACAUUAGUAGCUCUUUUUUUUGCAAUGUGAUUAACAGUACGGGGGUGGAACUAAGUACUACAUUAAAGCAUCUCAAUAACAACAUGUGGCAGUGUCAAAUAAUAAACCAAAAACUGAUGAGUUUGCACAAAGGGUUCUAGGCCAGUUCUGGACCUUCUGGAUGGCAGAUGUCCAAUAAAAACGAUGGGCUUGUUGCGUCAAUUAACGAGGGUUGGGAGGGUGAGUGGCAACUAAGAAUGUAAUUUCAGUAUUGGUGUGAAUAGGCGUAUUGCAUCUUAAUUCAUUCUGGAAAUAUUCUGAGUUGCUUACGCUACUAGAGAUAGAUCAGGCAUGAGAGUAAGUUCGUCCCGUUUACACGUAUUAUUAAAGGCUAGAUUAGUAAGUUGAGGCCAGAUGUCGAGCCAGUUAUAGAUCAUGACCGUGAGGUGAAUGUGCAUAAUAGUUCAGGACAUGUCGCACUCAUCAUGAAUUACAGAUUGCAUGUUCCAAAGUUCACGGGGCAGAAUCACCAUAAUAUGGCGAGCCGCGCAGAGAGUUAUCUUGAUCACAUCUAAUCUCAUUUUCUAUUGAUGUUGUAUAGAAACUGCAUUCGCAAUAAGCCCACCUACACAAGCAUGUGAAUAUAAAAUCAUACGACGAGCCACGGAAUGACCACAUACUAUCAUCUCAAGCUACACUAUUGCGUCAAGAAGUGGAGCUCUAUAUUGUAGACAUUAACCUUUAUCGACAUCUAUACAGAGAUCAUUCCACCACAUUGGACAAGUGUGCAAGAUCACUCUGAAGCUCUCAUCAUUCAUGGAUCAAGGAUAAUCAUGGAUUUUAGCGCCACUAACUAAUUAAAUGUUAAUCCAAAUGAAUGGAGUAAAAAUUACUCAUUUUACGAAAUUUAAAACCCGGAGGAAAUUCUAUAUGAAUUCCCCUACUUGUGUAUUAUUUGGAUGGAAUGAUAUCUGGGUAAUGGCUCUCCAUCUUGUGAUACACAAAGAUCUGGUGUGGAGGAUAAUUCUUAUUCACAUUGGCCGCACACAAAAGAAAGAUUCAUAAUUCAAAGGAUUCUAAGUACCUAUAAGACUAUGGUAAAAUGAUUGCUAUAAGAGAGAUAAGGAUUUUCACAAAGUCAUCCACAGGACUCGAAAACACACUGAUCAACAGACAAAUCGAGAUUCACGGAGGCGAAACUCAAGAACGGAAAGCAAAAUUGUGCAAAACGACAAUGUUUGGAAUUAGAGUGGAGGGAUCUGAAAGAGCGGAGUAUUCCUCCGUAUCCACCUAGAACCUGUCACAUGUAUGCACCUACAUUUAUCGGGAAGUUGUAGGUUCACAACUGGGUGAAAAGAUUGACAAAUGCAUCAUCAAGCACUCAGAUAAAGCCUGCAGAAGUCACUUGAGAUGAUGUGAGUGAGCAAUUAAUGCAUGGUUGAUGCUAGAUUUUCAGAAUAUGAAGUAUAAGAGACUUCGUAUUUCGAUCCACGCAUUGUUAAUAAAAAUCAAGGACAAUUAAUAAUAUAAUGGCUCUAUGAUGAAAAAUCAUAAUCGAAAGGUAGCCUAUGAAAAAAACUCGUAGGAGUCACCAUAGCAUAAAAUCCAACGCUUUUUCUAAUUCAGGCAUACGCAGAAUUCCCAAAAUAACCAGAUACAUAUUCAUGGACAAAGGUUUGACUAUGUCACAUUAAGGGUCUGAGGAGGGGACUCGCCUAGUUUGGAGCGAGCACUCUAUACAAUAAUUAAUGUAAACACAAAAUAUAAUGAGGAGGGUUGCGAACCCUAAUCACAUACGGAAAUUUAACCGCGAGAAAAAGCUCAGAAGAAACAAGGUUAAACCGUAGGCAAUAAACCAAAAGUAGUGUAUGGCCGUAGGACCUCUCUAAUCGUGGAUUAAACCAAGCAUAGUCACUCGCUAACGCAUUCUGUUAAGCAGGCUUUGGGUAUUAGAAAGACCCUGCUCGGCGGAUUAACCAAGCAUGAAUUCAUGUGAGGCUACAGACGUCCCUAACAGUGGUGAGUGUGUAUGAAGCAUUAAUAAGAAAGAUAAUUAUAAUGUAGAUACUGACUAUCUGAUAGGAUAAGCCAGCACGAUUCCAUGUAGAAGUAAAAUAUGGUGCGCUGUAUACGAUGAGUAAGACAAGGACCAUAGAGUUCUCCCUCGUAUCGCGAGGAAUUAAACAGAAGCAAUGAGAGUCACAACGCCUACAAAGGUUGAAUAGCCUAUCUGUUCUAUCUUAGAGGUGGGCUAUGUGAGACGGUUAGAGAUCAUCUUAUAUGCCGCUUACGGAUUAAACGGCAAAAGCAUACAAAUCUCGUCCUCGAAGAUAUGAUAAUAAGGGAGACAACAUGCCACCAAAUGAAACAUUAUCGGAGACUGGAGGCGACAGAGCCGCACACACUACCCGCGCAUCUAUAUGCGUUGCCCAAAUGAAAUACUUGUUACCUAAUCACGGAUAUUAACCAAGGUUAAAAAGUUCAAAAGCAUUUGAAAGGAUGAUCGAGAGGACUGAUUGCAUUAAAAGCCACUACAUGGUGCAUCAUUCAAACAAUCAUUCUACCCCUUUAUCCCCCUACUGAUUUACUAUAGGCCACACUGCUCAAUCACACCUUCUCAAAUGGCCACUAAAGCAUACUAAUCAUGCAAUGACAUAUAAAUUCUAAUGGGAAUACUUCUAAAUAGGAUUCUCUAGGAUCAUAAUGGUGCAUUGAAAAAACGCUUGAUGCUCUAUAUCAAUUAUCGAUUCAUAUUAUGAGAGAAAUAAAAUAACACACAACGAACAAGACACACACACACAACCAUAUGUGGUAACGGUUAAAUGGGAGGGAAUAUGAUAAAUAUGACUCCCAUACGCGCAUAAACCAGAUCUGAAUAUAUAUAAUCUGGAGGAGUAAGACUUGAAACUAACUGGGAUAUAAAUAGGGCUACGCUAAAGCCCAAACAUAGUCCUCUAGAUAAUGUUAUUGAAUGUUGAAUAUCUAGAGAAUAUCAAUUUUGUUUAAUCGAUAAUUGAUGAGACAGCUAUUGCAGUAUAUCAUUAGAUUUUAUAAAACAUACUUUGAGAGUUUUAGCUAAAAGCCACCCUAAACGCUAUAUGAAUUGCCGAUAUAAAUUUUUUGUCACAAAUUUUGACUAUAAACAUAAUAUCACGAAACAUAAAAAUACGCAAUAUCAAAAAGUAUCAUAAUACAGAAUGGGUUCAAUACUACACCUUAAGAGCUUGCCAAACUAGUGUUUAAAAGCACAAAAUUAAUAAAUAUUUUAAACAGAGAGAAGACAUUUGGUAAUUCUGGAAUGCACUCAAUGACAUUAUAUCUCUUCAUGAGCACCAGCUAGAAUUAAAGAAGAAUUAGAAAAGUGAGAUCAGGAAAAAAAAGGUGUGGAAAAACAGAGACAUGCUUCUCUACAAAAUAUGAGCAGAAUAGAAUUACAAGACACGCUAAUUUGUAGCCGUAAGGUCUUAAAGGCUCGCUAUUCGUGAUAUGGGGACAUUGGUACAUCCACGAAACCAACUUGAGACCAGAAGUUCAAAGUAUAUUAUAAUACAUGAGAAGGUUUUAUGAGGAGUCUUGUGUUCUAUAAUGUAACUUUAAGAUUGACAGUCCCAGUUUGUAGAAAUGGACAGAAUAAUUGAUCAUAAGCACAAAAUAAUAUAAUAUGUAGCCGUGUGAAUCGGAACACCCAAUUUCUGAUUUUGCUGUUUGGCACUCGCGACCCCAAAGUUUUAAAUAAGGUUUUUAUCGUAACCCAUAUAACGCAACCACAAAACUGGAGUGAAUCAAAAAAAUUGGGAUGUAACUCGAGUCAAUGGAAACAUGCCAAUGCACCUUUAUCAACACACAUGCACCCUAAUUAUUGUGCCUGCACCAAAGGACUACUAAAGACUAGCGAAAAUUAAGAGCCGAAAUGAAUGCAUAUCGCAAACCUUUGCAAUUCUUAUGUAACGCAAAAGAGAAAUAUCAAGAUAUUUUCUGAGGCACAACUUGCAAUACAAGCAGCUCAACACUUUGCCACGUGAUACAGUACAAUAUUAAGUUUGCCACAUAACUUCGCGAGUACAGACAUCAAAUAUAUCAGUGUGAUUAGACAACAUCUCGAAAACACUUAACAUAAGAUCAAUAAUGUUAAAUUUCAAGAAACUAAUGUGACCUUUUUGAUACCAACCCUUACUACAAAGGUUUCAUAGGAACUCUAUAAAACACACCCAAUCCCGAAAAAACUUAAACCAAGGGUAGCACUUAAAAAUAUCAUGGAGGAUUUAGUUAAAACUUAAUGUUGCAUACUGAAUAUGACUCAACCCUAAAUAAAAACUAAGAACUCCAAAUAAAAUCAUGCCAAGUUUCUCAAUAUAUAAUUUCCACUUAAGGAACUUAAAUACGGAAAACUCAAGAUAAGGAGUGGAAACAAAGACAGAGUAAUUUCAAAUCCUUAUCAAUCUUGGAAUUCUUACCUUCAUAAAUCCACGUUGUCUCGGUUCACUACCAUCCGCGAUACUUAAACAAUUGAUAUUUAGUCAAAUCAUCCUUCCGAUGUUGUAUUCUGAGAGGGAAUUAUUUCGUGCCGAGAGGAUGGAUACGGAAGAAAGAAGCCAACCUCCUCUCCUCGCAGGUGUUAUUAUUUUCGUUCCCUGCACACUUGACCACACCAUAGGAAAAGUGAGAGUAGCGUUCGCCAUAGGUAUACUCCUUGCACCCCCCGCCUUUUUUUUUCUUUUCGCCUCUCCUUUCCUUCCUCCGUGUUGCCCUCUCAUCCCUUCCGUUUUCUCUAAAUUGGGUGCAAAGUAUCUUUAAAAAAAAUCUUAGAUUAACAAGUAUGAAUUGGGGACCUACGUUCCCUAACAAAGUGGGGAAAUUACUUUAUUACACUAAUAAGUUUAGUAAAAUGAUUUCCAAAUAUAUGACAUGGAACUAUUUCUCCAGUCAUUAUUGAUCACUGUGACUUUGCAAAUAGCUUUCGUCCUAGGAGCGUAAUUUGGUGUCAGAAAUCUUGAUUUGCGAGAAGUAAAACGUAAACUUGUAGUGACCUCGAAAAAGAGGGUCAGCGAAUUUUAAAAUAAUUUUUGCACUAACAUUCACUCUGUAUUGAUAAACUAAUAUAUUAAUCACAUUGCACAAAUCUAAAUUCAACACAACUUAUAUAUAAUUUUCAAUAGGGAUCUAAUAUAUAGAAUUACUCGAAGUAAAAUAGAGCAUGAAAUAUCAACGUUAGUAUUAUCCAAAACAGUGAAAUUCCGGAAAAAACGGAUUUCAACAAAUUCUAACAACAUGAUAUGAUCUUAAGAAACAAACCCCUUCUUGUACGUAACUUUGUUUUGCACCUAUAUUUUAGUUUUUCUGAAAUUUGCCCCUUAAUGUUGAGAACAGCUACUUUGACAAUAAAAGGGAGGGCAAAUGAGCUAAUAGUUUGAACACACACACAUUUUGACAAAAUGAACGAAUCAUAAUGCGUACCAAUUUUUCCUAUUCUUAUAUACCUUCCCUCCGUUUGAUAACAUAAUAUUUACAUAACAAGAGGGGCAAAACGGUGAUUAUUGUAAUAUUAAAGAUAUGACCGCCGUAUAUAUAGUAGAUCUAUAUCAUCAAUUUGUCCUCAGACUCUUUGUUAUUAAAAAGUCUAAAAACACUAUCUAUGCUCCCAACCACUACCAAACCACACGGGUCGGCAACGCACAUUCCACCGGGCCCUAGAUGUGUCUCCUAGUCACGAGAGAGAGUGAAAUAAGAAGUGCAAAAGAUAUGUCGCUUGCGGCUUUAACACCAAAUAUUGGCAGCACCUCGUCCAGAUAAUCGGGAUAGUUAUCACAUGAGUUGUUUUCAGGUAAAACGCAUGCACGAGGAGCCAACUCCCAUAAGUGGUGGUCACGAAAUUCUAUUAUCAACGCUGAGGAAAGUUCUGCUGGCCUUGGACAUUCGCAUCAAGGUGACAUCUAACUUCCAAUGAAGGUUCCUUUAAACGGAAACCCUCUGUAAGACCUAGUGAGAGUUUUCGGCUCCAUAAUAAAGGCUCUCAGGCUAAAGAUUAGUUAUAUGUAUUGGUGUUAACGGAAAAUAAUAAUCAUUUAUAGGAUUUACACCCCCUGAGCGGUUUUGUGGGGUUACUGCUUCCAUAAAAUAUAAACAUUUCCUUAAUAUGAAUAGAAAUACAAAAAAAGAAAAUGAAAAUUGGUUACAGAACACGCACAAGCAAGUGAUGGAGUGGCUCAAUAUCUUACUUUAUACGUGAGACGUCAAUCAAGAACAAAUUACCAAUGAAAAAAACCCACUAAAAUAAAAAUAUUAAAUAUAUUUAUUUCAAAGAAAAUUUAGAUUUAUUAUAGUAAAUAUACAUUUUUUUUUUAAAAUACGGGUUCUCACAAGUUAAAGAAGCAUAAAUUAAGGAACAAGUCAAUCUUCAAACACUUCAAUUUUCUCAGUAAGUGAGAGACCUUCUCUCUGAGAGUGAGAGUUUUUUCUCUCUGUGAGGGAGAGCAGCAACAAAGCCCAGCUUUUUCUUUUGCCGCCUUCAGUCCUUGAUUCCCGAAAAGGUCGCUGAGGACUACUUUCUCUGUCUCUCUUUGAUUCCUCUGUCUUCUUUUAAUUUAGUUGGUUAUUAUUCAUCUGGCUUUCCUUCCUGUUUUUCCUUGUCCUCGCACACGCUAUUUAAUAUGAUCCUUCUUGCCCCUCAACUAACUCAUCAUAUGCCCUCCAAUAUUUUUAUUUUUGGCUUACCGACUCUCCAAAAUGGUCUGUAUUUUGAAACAUUUGGCGUCCUCCACACUUGGCAGCAGUAGUAUGUAGUAGUUUUAUGGGUUGCGCUCCUCACACCCCAAAAGAUCUAGUAAUGCGCCACCACCUUGCCUACUUGCUUCACUCGCUGUCUGGCUUUUUGGCAAUGUUGCUUGUGGUAAUUGAUGCAACUGUUUAGGGGCGCAAAUAAAAAGGAUAUAUGAAUAGUAGUAUUGAUAGGUAGGGAAAAUGUGAGAGGGAAGGAGGACAAUGAAAAAAGGCUCAAAACAAUUCGCCUUCUGGUCACUAAGUACUUUAGUCACCUAAAACUGAACCACCGCCAAACACGCUUAACACAGAAAGAACAAAGCAACAGACUUUUAAACAAGAGAAAGACACAUAAAAAUGAGUUUACAACUCAAAUAUCAAUAUGAUAUUUCAAAUAACUUCUCCCCUUCUUCUUUACAAAUACAAGUAUUUAUAGGCUUCCAACUUAAAAGUGAAAAAUAUGAAAAUACAUAAAAAAUAAAGGCUUACAAUAUAACUCUUAAAAAACUAAAUGAUUUCAUAAAAUGUCAUUAACCUAGGAAUUCCAUAAGCCACAAAUUUAAAGCUAGUUACAUGCAUUAUAACUCUAAAAAUGCACGUAUUAUAUUAUAAAACUUAAAUCACUGCUACCAGUAAUUUUAUGUAAUAACGCCUUUAGUCCUUGGCUUGCAUCAUUCUCAUAGGGUUGGAGAGAAUUCGUCCUCGAAUUCGGAUCAUCAUCUGAUUUGGAGUGAUAAAAUUGAACUCUGCCAGUCCAAACAAAUAGAUAUGGGAGCAUUUAACAUUGAUUGUUGAAGUGUGUAAAGCACCCUUAAUAGCAUACCUCACAACCUUGACAUUCUCUUUCGUUUGAUUUAUAAUGUCAACCAAAACUUUGGAAAUUCUGAAGUAGAAGAUAUCAACCCCAAUUAAAUCAACCCUAAUUAAGAUCCCACAUCGCCCGGGGGAGAGGAGGUGAUGUGCCUUAUAUGUACAUGUCUACCUCUCUACAGUGAGACAUGUUUUGGAUGGAAGCCCAAGUACAAAUUCGUGAGGGUGUGGCCCAAAGCGGACAAUAUCUCACUAUGCGGACUGGGAUGUGACAAUUUGGUAUCAGAGCCACUCCCCGACCGGGCCGACGAGGGCUUCAGACCCGUAAGGGGGGUGAAUUGUAAGAUCCCACAUCGUCCGGGGGAGAGGAGAUGAUGUGCCUUAUAUGUACAUGCCCACCUCCCUAUAAUGAGACAUGUUUUGGGUAGAAGCCCAAGAACAAAUAAGUGAGGGUGUGGCCCACAACAGACAAGAUCUCACUAUGCAGACUGGGAUGUGACAAAAUAUGUGACUAAUCUUCUUAACAAGGCAGGGAUGGUGAAUUGCAGACCUUGUUCCACUCCUAGUAAACCACAUACUCAAUUGUUGAAAGAUGAAGGAGAAUUUCUAGCUGAUCCUGCCAUGUAUAGGAAUUUGGUGGAGGCAUUGCAAUAUUUGACCUUUACUAGGCCAUAUAUUGCAUAUGUUGUUAUCUAUGCAUGUCAAUUUAUGACAACUCUUGCUGAAGCUCAUUUUUGUUUAGUGAAAGAAUUCUAAGGUACUUAAAGGGUACAUUGACUUGUGGAAUUACUUACUUUGGUGCUGAUAAUCUGGAACUAUAUGCAUACAGUGAUGCUGACUAGGCAGCUGAUAUCAAUACAAGGAGAUCUACAACUGGAUAUGUAGUUUUUCUAGGGUCUAAUCCCAUCGCAUGGCAGUCAAAGAAGCAAGGUAGUGUUUCUCGCAGUUCCACAGAAGAUGAAUACAAAGUUUUAGCCAAUGCAGUAGCUGACAUUGCUUGGAUACGAUUGGUUUUAUGAGAUCUCCAUGUGUUUCUUCUUUCUGCACCAUUGAUGCAUUGUGAUAAUCUUUCCCCAUUGACCUUGUGUCUAAUCCUGUUUUUCAUACCAUGAUAAAACACUUAGAUGCAUAUUUUCAUUUUCUUAGGGAGAGAGUACAAAAAGGGGAUUUGAAAGUUCAAUAUAUUCCCACAGAAGCUCAUAUUGCUGAUGUACUGACUAAGGGGCUUCACAGUCCUUUAUUUGUUUGCCAUUGUUCCAAUCUUAGGCUGGGAUAUUCCAUCUGAGAUUGAAGGGGAGUAUUAACAGUAUAAAGUCUUUCUGUUAGUAUUUAGCUUUAGUAUUUCUAUUAGUUUGUUAACAGUAAUUAGUUAGCUUAGUCAUAAAGACUUAACAGCUAGUGUCAACUACUUGUAAUUGUAAGUUUUUCAGAUCAGUAAAAUACAAGUGUGCAUUAUAAGCUCCUCUCUUCACUUUCGUGCUUGUUCUUCGAUUUCUCUAAAUUUCAAUCUUCUUGGAAAUCAUGAUUUCUCUUUAAGAAAUGUUUGGAUAAAGAAAAUCUAGAUUACUAAAGAAUUUUAAAAUGACGGAAAUUGAAAUGACAGGAUUUUAUUUUAUAGAAUUUAUGAAUUUUCUUGUUUGGUUAACCUAAAAAAAUAAUUGAAUUGAAUAAGGAAUUUGUUAUUUUUAAACUCUCAAUCAUAGAAAUUGGAAAAUAACAUAUAUUUACAUAGAAUUUAAACUUGAGAAUUGAAGGUCCCAAAUUCCAAGUUCUUUUACGCUAAAAUUCUAAAUUUAUGUGUUUAUGAAUCUAAACAAGGAAAUUAAUGCAUAUCAAUUUAUAAAUUAUGACUUUUAUCAAAAUUUCAAAUCUUUUGUCCAAACAUAGUGUUAGUGUUUAUAAAUCUUUUGUUCAAAUCUUUUCAUGUAGACAGAGGGGUGGGUGUACGAUUCCAAGGAGAGAGAGAGAGAGGGGGGGGGUUUAGCGGGAUUUGGGGGUGAUAAGACCCAAUUCUCAAUUCCCUUAAUCAACCUACAAGUAGCAUAAGAAAGCCAUGGAAGAAGAGGGAAGGAGAGAUGAAGGAGCAGAGCUCCAAAUAUUUUUGUAUUUAAUUUCUUUGUUGUAAAUUCUGAUCUCUUUACAAUACUGAGAGCUAGUGCUCUUAGAGCAACUCCACCCAUAGAGCCCUCCCCCCUGGCAAUCCACUAUUGAAUCCACCCUAUUGAACAGUAACUGCCACCAAUGAAUAGUAAUUGUCAUUAAUGAACAAUAAUUGCCAUUUGUAUCUCCACCCUUAGAGCCCUCCCCCCUGGCAAUAGGCAAUUAAAAUAAUAAUUUUUUUUGUUUGUUUAAAUAAUAGUUUAUACAUUAAAAAUAUUAUAAUAUUAAUCCAAUUAAAAAAAAUUAAAAAAAAAAAAAAAAACCCGAACUCAUUUCUUCCACCUCUCCUCCCACCCCCGAGAACCCCCUGCAAAAACCAGACCUGAACCCAUUUCUUCCACCUCUCCUCCCACCCCCGAGAACCCCCUGCAAAAACCAGAACCCAGUUACCUCCUCCCCCACCUUGCCUUCCCCCCCCCCCCCCCCCCCGCGACGACCCACUUCCCCUACGACGACCCCAACUCCCGCCCCCCCCCCCCGGCGACAACCCACCCUGCCUUCCCCCCCUAUGACGACCCACUUCCCUUCCGCACCCACUUCCUCUGCGACGACCCACUUCCCCUGCGACGAACCCAGCUCCGGUCCCCCAUUCUCUCUCUCUCUCUCUCUCUCUCUCUCUCUCUCUCUCUCUCUCUCUCUGACACAAGAAAAAAUAAAAAAUUACAAAGCCCUCGGGCCACAGGCCCGUCGACUCCCCACCCCCCCUCGCUCGGGCUCCCACCCUCACUCGGGCCCUUCAUGGCUGGACCCAUUUCGACCGGCCCUCAGGCCCUUGGAAGGAGGCUGUCCCCCGAGCAACAUGCAAGGGUGGACUUGCUCUUAUACAAGUUACAACUUAUCAUGCCAACAAUUAUAACAAACUACAUUAAAACAGGAAUAAGCCUAAUAAUCCCAAGAAUUAAACCCUUAAUAGUGAUUAAACUAAUCACUACUUGCAGAUGGGGGGUAGGGUUCUGAGGGAAUGGGCUACGGUGACGGGAGAGUGUGAUUCGAGGGAGAGAAAGAGAGAGGGUUGUGUGGUCAUCAGUCCUCUUUUACCUCCAUGAUCCAUUAGCUUUUUCUCAUUUGUGCUUUUUUCAUUGUCAUAAGACUCUAAUCUCUUUCUCUGUUUUUUCUCUCUCUAAAUUGGUACAAGUAAAUUCCAUUUUUGUAUUCAUUGAACAAAACCCAGAGAGGAUUUCUCUCUCAAAUCAGUGUUCUUUGAUUCAUUUGGUAAAAACCCUUUUGGAUUUAGAGGCAGAUUAAGGGUUUUGAUUUCGGCAGAAGCCAUGGCAACUCCAAAACCAGAAGCGAGAAGCCAUCCAGCAAUGCACCAACUCCAAGGCUUUGAGUAAGGCAUUGACUCAAAUCCCUCUUGGGGUAUGUUUAUUUUUCAUCUUUUCUCAAACCCAAAUCUCGACUUUUUUGUUGGGUUUUAAAAUUACCCGAAUUUGGUUCUCAUUUUUUGUUUCGAAAACAGGGGAGGCAAUUGCUUUGUGUUUCCAGCACUACAUUUUGGCCUUGGGAACUGCUGUGAUGAUCCCCACAUUCCGUGUUCCUUUGAUGGGUGGUGAUGAUGUGGAUUGAUUUUGUAUACCACUUUCAUUCAAUUCUUAUAUCGGUUUGACCUUUGUUUUAAUUGGAGACUAAAUUCAAGUAAAUUUUGUGUAUUAUUAAAUGUUGCUAAUUUCUUAAGAAAGAAUUAAGUGUCAGUUUCACAUAGCAAAAAUGCUCAAGAUUGAUUUUUUUUUUUUUAAUGUUUGUGUAUUUUAUACUGAUAUGGAUGAUGAAUGUGCUCCUUAUUUGACAUAAUUGAUUAGGGUGACAAAGUGAGAGUAGUGCAGACUCUACUUUUUAUUCAAGGAAUCAGCACACUUCUACAAACAUUAUUUCAAACCCGAUUACCAACCGUAAUUGGAGGGUCUUACACAUUCGUGGUCCGGAUAAUAUCCAUAAUUCAUGAUUCGCGGUUGAUGAAGAUUGAGGACAAUCAUGCGGUAAGUUCAAUUUUUAUCUCACUUAUGCACUUAAUUUGGCUUUGUGCAACUUGAAAUGUGUUCUUUUGUUGACACUUGAUAGAAGCCAGGCAGAGUCCAUUAUUUCCCCUGCACGAAUGCAUGAAUAAAUGUUUUAGAUUUUAAUCAUCGUGACUGGGAACAUGUGCUUCUGUAUAGAUGAUUUAUUGAUGAAUUUCAUAGGUUACUAUGUAAAUCCUUGCCAAAAUUUCAUUCAGCUACCAAUUACUUAGUUUGCAUUCCUUAAUAUUUUAGACGAAAGUUUCUUAAACAGCUUUAACAAUCUACCUUACUACUAAUUUGGUGGUUUCUGAAAUAUAUGUGGGUAGUAUGCUGAUUAGUAUCUUUUGUUCUCUCUCCUUCCAUCUCUAAGAAUGAAUGUUCAUAUAUCUCAAUUUCAGUUUUCAUUUGAUUUUUUUACCCACACUUCAUUUCACCUUCAAGUGCUUUCUUCAAUUUUUAUUUGCACUUUUCUUUUUUUGUUCUUCUUUUUAUUCAUAGAAAAUUGUUGCUUAUUUAAUUUAUGGAAAUUAUUUUUAAAGCCGAGUAAAGAAGAAAGGGUGACAAAACCCAUUGAGUGUGAAAAUUUUAAACAUUGAAGAAGCAGAAGAGGAAAGCUUUAGACUUCAAAAACUCAAAGGGUUGCAAAAUGUGGUGUCUUCCUUUCUCCUCUUUUUCUUUUGCUGUUUGGUACUUUUCUAGGUGAUGGGUUGGUUUCGAAUUUCUGAGUUUAAAGAGGAUCAUUUUUUUAUAACUUGGGUCAAUAUUAAUUUUGAAUUUGAUUUGAAGUUGUAUUUUGGGUCAAUGUUGAUUUUGAAUUUCAGUUUGAAGCUCAAUUUUUCUUGGGAUAAUGUGAAUAGGAAUGAUGAGCCUAGAACUGCAUUAGUUUCUUUACUGAAUGGAACAAUACAAUUAGUGGAUAGUAAAUCAUAUGAUAAUUUUAAAUAUCUAGAUAAAUGAUGUUUUGUUUUUUAAUAAUUUGCAAUUUUGUGGUGUUUUGGUACAAUCAGUGACAUUGAUAUUGGUUAAUUGGCUAUAAUCACUUUCUUGGUUAGCUAGAUUGGUGGUUGCGUAAUUGGUUAUAUAUGGUGGUCUGUUUGUUAUAGGAAACAAGGCUUUAUACAUUCAAUCAGUCAAACUUUUUAACUCAGGCUCUCUCUUUCUCCUCUCAUAUGCAUUUCAUUUAAUCUGCAGCAAAUGCUGGUGCAAGUGCAAAUGCAGAUAAACAAAUGACAAAGAACUGUUGAAAAUAUAUCAUUACACCAUGAAAUUUUUUGUUAAGGUGUGAAUAACUUCUGUUCCUUUUUGGAUAAUUAAUUGUGUUGAGCUUAUGAAUUUAUCUUUUAUGAAGUGAAUUUACUCACGUCUUUAUCGAAUGGAUUUACUUUUUUGUAGGAUUCUUCAUUUAAAUUCCUACGGUUUAGUACCAUUUUUCAUUUGAAUUUUGGGUUCCUUUGAUGUGAUUUCGUUCUAUCUAAAUUGUUCAUUUAAUUUGUGAGAUGUUAAUACCAAAUCUCCAGAUUCGCUCAUACUCAUGGUGCCUUUUUUUGUGUGCAGAUUUUCAAAGUACAGGACUGGGCUUUCAAGAAGAACUAAGCGUUCGAAUGUUUCAAGUAGGCCCAAAAGUUGUCUCUGUCUUUUUAAGAUCUUCAUUUUUUUCCCAUUUGUUAUUAAUUUUAUGUUUUCUGAUUGAAUUUGUUUUGAUUCAAUGGGAUAAUGAGCUAAAACUACAAGUGUGUUUCUUAAAUUGUGCUUUCAUUAGGCAUGGAUGGACUGAAAGAUAGGAGACAAAUUUGUUGGGACAACAGCUGCAUCCCUAGAAAAUAAAGGCAAGGUUAGUCAAUAAAAACAAAACUCCAUUCUUACUAUUUGUUUGGAAUUGUUUCUUUUUUACUAAAUUUUUUUUUUGGUCCCUACUGAAAUCUGACUUCUGCUAUAAAUUGCCACUGGAAUCUGACUUUUUCUUUUAAUUCUUUACAUUUAAUGUGGUAUGUUGCUGUUGGAUUCCAUUCAAAUCAAAUAAUGCAAUUUAUCAUGGCAUGUCUUUUCUCUACAACAAUAAUUUGGGAUUUUAGUUUAAACUAUCACUACGUUGUUUUUUUUAUGAUAAUGAAUCCAGAACGAAAUCGCGCUAAAGCUAGGACGUCACCCGUAAGUGGCGCGCUGUGUGGCCCGAGCACAGUGAUAAGUGAGCAAGGGUCGCUGUAUCUCCAUCGGCACCCGGAUGCAGUGUUAAAUGAGCAAGGGGGCCAUAGAAACUUCUUUUCGAACGACUCCACUCAAAGUUGUUUGGGAGCAUAUGCUCCUAUCAACUUUACACAGGACACACAAAAGAAGUACUUUGAUCCUAUUAGACGGGGGAUGGUGAAGAAGCUAGGACAGAAGGGUAGAGUUCAAAAGAGUAGAAUGCUUUUAGGAACGUGGAAUAUAGGAACCUUAACGGGAAAAUCUAUGGAAGUAGUGGAAGAUAUGGUGAGGAGAAGGAUAAAUGUUAUGUGCCUACAAGAAACUAAGUGGGUUGGUCUUAAGGCAAAGGAUCUAGAAAACUCAGGGUUUAAGCUUUGGUAUUCGGGCACAAAUAGAACGAGAAACAGUGUUGGCAUCAUUGUGGACAAGACCUUGACACAAGAUGUUGUAGAUGUCAAGAGGGUAGGAGAUAGAAUCAUGGCAAUCAAGAUUGUAAUAGGACAAGAACUCAUCAAUGUGAUUAGUGCGUAUGCACCUCAAGUAGGGUUGGAUACGAGUUCGAAGGAGAAAUUUUGGGAAGACCUUGGAGACUUGGUGCAAGGAAUUGCUCAGACGGAGAAGUUAUUUAUAGGAGGAGAUUUAAAUGGACACGUGGACAGGGAGACAGGCAACUAUGGAGGUUUUCAUGGUGGCCAUGGUUUUGGGGAGAGAAAUGAGGAUGGGGAAGCUAUCUUGGAUUUUGCAAUGGCAUAUGAUCUCUUCUUAAGAGGUCGCACUUGGUGCGAUGGCAAGUGCCUUCGCCCAUAAGCGGUAGGUCUCGGGUUCGAGACUUGGGAGCAGCUUCUCCAUAAAUGGGGGUAAGACUAGCUGACAUUCACCUCUCCCAGACCCUGCGUAAAGCGGGAGCCUUGUGCACUGGGUACGACCUUUAUAUGAUCUCUUCUUAGCCAACACCUUCUUUAAGAAGAGAGAAGAACAUGUGAUCACCUACAAGAGUGGGUCGUCAAAAACACAAAUAGAUUUUCUUCUAAUGAGGAAAGGGGAUCGUAUAACUUGUAAGGAUUGCAAAGUUAUAUCGGGGGAGAGCUUGGCUAAUCAACAUCGCUUGUUGGUGAUGGAUGUACAUAUCAAAAGAGUGAGAAAAAAGAACAAGACUUGGAAGUGCCCAAAGAUUAGAUGGUGGAAUCUAAAAGGAGAAAAACAAGUCAUUUUCAAAGAGCAAGUAAUCACCCAGAGUGUGUGGGAUAGAGAGGGGGAAGCUAGCCAAAGGUGGGAUUCCAUGGCUAGCUGUAUCCGAAAAGUAGCAAAAGAGGUAUUAGGAGAGUCCAAGGGCUUUGCUCCACACCAAAAGGAAUCUUGGUGGUGGAUAGGACCGAUGAAAUGGUGAAAGGUAUAGAAGAGCGAAGCAAGAGGCGAAGAAAGCUGUGAGAGAAGCUAAGUUAGCGGCUUAUGACGAUAUGUAUAAGCGACUAGAUACCAAAGAAGGAAAGUUGGAUAUCUAUAAACUAGCUAGAGCAAGGGAAAAGAAGACAAGGGACCUAAACCAAGUGAGGUGCAUCAAGGAUGAGGAUGGAAAGGUUCUUGCUAUAGAGAACGCGGUCAAAGACAGAUGGAGAGGUUAUUUUCAUAAUCUUUUCAAUGAAGGACAUGAAAGGAGUACUCCUUUAGAGGAGUUGAGUAACUCAGAAGAGUGUAGAAACUACUCCUUUUAUCAUCGAAUCAGGAAGGAAGAAGUGGUUGUAGCUUUGAAGAAGAUGAAGCAUAGAAAAGCAGUGGGCCCAGACGAUAUACCGAUCGAAGUGUGGAAAGCCUUGGGAGACAGGUAUAGCAUGGCUCACUGACCUUUUCAAUAGGAUUUUGAAAACGAAGACGAUGCCAAACAAGUGGCGAAAGAGCACCUUGGUGCCUAUUUACAAGAAUAAGGGCGACGUACAAAAUUGCAUGAACUAUAGGGGUAUUAAGCUAAUGAGUCAUACAAUGAAGCUCUGGGAGAGAGUCAUUGAGCAUAGAUUGAGGCAAGAGACACGGGUUUCGGACAACCAAUUCGGGUUCAUGCCAGGGCGCUCAACCAUGGAGGCAAUCUAUCUCUUACGAAGAUUGAUGGAAAUAUAUAGAGAUGGGAAAAAGGAUUUACACAUGGUCUUUAUAGAUUUGGAAAAAGCGUAUGUAUGAUAGGGUCCCAAGAGACAUUCUUUGGAGGAUUUUUAGAGAAGAAAGGAGUACGAGUAGCAUAUAUCCAAGCUAUAAAGGAUAUGUAUGAAGGAGCAAAGACUGCCGUAAGAACUCAUGAAGGACAAACCGAAAGCUUCCCCAUAACGGUAGGAUUACAUCAAGGCUCAUCCUUAAGUCCUUACCUUUUUGCGUUGGUAAUGGAUGAGUUAACAGGACAUAUUCAAGAUGAUAUUCCUUGGUGUAUGCUUUUCGCAGACGAUAUAGUGUUGAUAGAUGAAACUCAGGAAGGGGUAAAUGCGAAGCUUAACCUUUGGAGAGAAGUGUUGGAAUCUAAAGGUCUUCGCCUAAGCCGAUCAAAGACAGAAUAUAUGGAGUGCAAGUUCAGUGCAAAUGGAGGCCAAAAUGAGUUAGGGGUGAGGAUCGGAGAUCAGGAAAUACCAAAGAGCGACCGUUUUCGCUACUUAGGAUCUAUCUUGCAAAAGAACGGAGAAUUAGAUGGAGAUCUCAACCAUAGAAUACAAGCUUGAUGGAUGAAGUGGAAGAGUGCAUCCGGCGUGUUGUGUGAUCGUCGUAUGCCACUGAAGCUUAAGGGAAAAUUUUAUAGGACGGCAAUAAGGCCGGCGAUGCUGUAUGGCACAGAAUGUUGGGCGGUGAAGCAUCAACACGUACACAAAAUGGGUGUAGCGGAGAUGAGGAUGCUUCGUUGGAUGUGUGGGCACAUGAGAAAGGAUAAGAUUAGGAAUGAGGAUAUCCGAGGUAAAGUAGGAGUAGCCGAAAUUGAAGAAAAACUGAGAGAAAAUCGGUUACGGUGGUUUGGACAUGUGCAAAGAAGGCCUACUGACGCUCCGUUUAGAAGAUGCGACUACGGGACAGAGGUUCAGGGCCGAAGGGGUAGAGGAAGACCUAGGAAAACUUUGGAAGAGACUCUAAGAAAAGACUUAGAGUACUUGGAUCUAACGGAGGACAUGACACAUGAUCGAGCACAAUGGCGUUCUAAGAUUCAUAUAGCCGACCCGACUCGGUGACUUGGAUUUUUCAAGUCUCCAAUCGAGAAGUUUUCCCCACUCGGGAAAUUAAGGGAACACUACCUCAACAUACAUGCUCCACUCACAAAGCUUCAACAUCCAAGCUUCAACAAAAGAAAAAUUCAAAGAACUUAGUGAAGAAGGCUUUGGUGUAUUUAACACAAUACGUUGAAAUGAAACAAAGCUUAUUUAUUGAUAUCUCUAAGAAGUUACAAAUAUGUACAUAUACACGAGUCAAAAUAAACAAACAAGAGGGAGCCUUCACAAAGGUUGCUUAGGAGAAGUCUCAACAGUCGGCAGAGCCCCAGAAAGAGAAGGCACCGGAGGGGGAUCAUUCGGAACCUCAGUACUGGACAACACCCUAGAAGGAGGAGGCAUCGGAGGUUGAUCAUUUGGAGCUUCAUUACGCGGUACAGCCCCAGAAGACGAAGGCAAUAAAUGACUUUGGAACAAACCCACAAACCUCUGAUGAUCAUGUAAAAUCUAACCAUCAGAUUCCUUCAUCUGGUCAAGCUUCCUCUUCAUGUUUGUAGCAUAGUCAUGUGCGAGCCGGUGCAACUGUUUAUUCUCAUGCUUGAGCCCUCUAAUCUCCUGUUUGAGACUCAUCACUUCAGUCGCUAAUGAUUCAACUUGGCGGGUUCGAGCAAAUAGGCGUUGGGCCAUAUUAGACACAGAACCUGCACACUGAACACUGAGAGCCAGAGAAUCCUUAACAGCCAACUCAUCAGACCGUUUGGAAAGUAGUCUGUUAUCUUUGGGAGUGAGAAGGUUCCUGGCCACCACCGCAGCGGUCAUAUCAUUCUGCAUCACGGAAUCCCCAACGGUAAGAGGACCAGUAGGGGAUAAGAAUGAUGGGCGCUAUAUGUUGUCUGGAGAAGGCGUGGCUACCUCUUCAAUAAGGUUCAAGUCAAAACGACGGUCGGGCGGGCCAGGUAUUUUCAAAGGUGUUGAAGAGAAAAGAGGUCAGACAAAUCAAGAUCUUAGAAAUGCAAGAAUGGAGCUUCUACUGGUGGAGAUUCAAGUGUGCUUUGGAACUUAAUACCAGCCUCUAUAAAAAUCUGCACUCGAUGGAGCUUCAGAAAUCGAAGAGGCGCCUGCUCAGAAAUCGAAAAGGCGUUUGCUUUCUCAAAAGCUGGGCUGCUCAGAGACCACGAGGGCCGAUCUCAGGAAUCGAAGAGGCGUUUGCUUUCUCAAAAGCUGGGCUGCUCAAAGACCACGAAGGUCGAUCGCAGAAAUCGAAGAGGCGCUUGCUUUCUCAAAAGCUGGGCUGCUCAGAGACCACGAGGGCCGAUCUCAGAAAUCGAAGAGGCACCUGCUUUUUCAGCCUUGUCAGCACCUGUCACAUGCACACUCAAAUUUGCGGAAAUUACGGGCAUUCUGUCGAAGAUUUCUAGUGAAGUAGAAAGUACGUGAAUGUUACUUCAAUCAUUCACUUUCCACACGCAACAUCAGCUCACGGGUACCACAUAUAACUUUGCCAAAAAUCUCUGACAAAGUUUAGACACGUGAAGCUUGCAGCUCCCAUUACAUCGCUAUGACCAAGAAGGGUAAAAGAAUAACAAAUAAACAACACUAACAAAGUUUAGACACAUAAAUUUUGAAGGUUUAGCUACCAUAUUAUUACCCACAAGGGUAAAGGAACAGGACCACUGUGGAUAAUUGGAAAGUCCCUGUGGGUUAACUUCUGUGCUCCGGGGCAAGGUAGACUAGCAAACAGGUCUAACCUUUACUCACAUUCGAGAAAACACUCUCAACAAGAUUGCUUGCUUCAGGAUCGAAGAGGCACCGUCCUCCGAAUCUCGAGAGCCAGACUCCCAACAUGAUUACUUUCUCAAAAAGCGACGAGACACCGCUCUCCGAAUCUCGAGAGCCAGACUCCUAGCAGGAUUGCUUUCUAAAAAAUCGAAGAGGCACCGUUCUCCGAAUCUCGAGAGACAGAUCCCCGACAGGAUUGCUUGUUCGAAAACCGAAGAGGCACCGCUUUCUCAACUUCGAGAGGCCCUUAAAUAAAGCUUGUCUGUAAUCCUCACACCGCUUUCUCAACUUCGAGAGCCAGAUCUCCUUGGAUAAAGCUUGUCUGUAAUCUUCACACGUAACAUCAGUUUUCCAAAUACCACAGACCACUUUUUCAAAGUGCUCUGACAGAGUUAAAACACGUGAAGCUGGCAGCUCCCACUACCGUGCUAUGACCAAGCAGGGUAAAAGAAUAGUAUUACUCCUUCUUGUUAGGGAGACUCCUAUAUAUGUCAACCUCCAUCCUCAACGGACAGGCAGACCUGCAAAAAUGCUCAACCCUUCCUCAUAUCUGAGAGGGCACUCCCAACGAAGCCUCUCGAAAUACUCAGCUUUCUUUCCCCCCGAGAAUACCUCUGCAAACAAGCUACACCAGAGCAAGAAUAUCUCAUAUCAUCAGGGUUAAAAGCAAGAGUAUCUCAUAUCAUGCUUUUUCCCUGUCUUUUCCUUUGGCCUUGUUCUUACCUACAAGACAAGGAGAAAGAGAGCAAUCAGUCAGCACUUGGAAUCAAGCUUCCAGUCCGGAACUGACUGCCUGGAACCCCAUUGCUCUCGAGUACUCAUCUUCAACAUCUUAUGCUUCCCGAGAAGAUACCACAUCUGCCUGAGGAACAAAUAGGGCAAGUGAGAAGAAUACAAGGAAGCAUGUGGAGACAAGCGCAACAGAACACGUGCCGAUACAUCCACUAUUUUGUUAACAGCAAAAGUAUCCCAUAUCAGCAGGGUCGAACGUACUCUAGAUUUGAUGGACUUGUUUUGACCCUCAAAUUCUUCAGUCGGCCUUAUACUCUAGCGGAAACAAGAAAACCCUCCAUCCAGUUCAAGAAUAAGCCUGUGGAAAGUUACUUCUUCAAAAGCAAGAGUAUCUCAUAUCACCUUUUCUCCUUUUCUUCUCUUUAUCCUUCAUGCUACCUGCAAGAUAAGGAGAAGGAUAACAAUCAGCCGGAACUCAAAAUCAAACUUCUGAUCUGGGACUGAUUGCUUGGAGCUCUGAUUGCUUACCUUGUCUGUCACCUCUUUCAGCAGAUCCCCUAGCUCGGCGACUUGGGGGACUCCUACUACAUGGUUUGUAUCGCGCUUGACCAAGCCUGAAACUACAAGUAAGCGUCAAGUGAAAUUGAUACAUUACCUUGUGCAUCUCCACCAGUUAAAGAUACCAUCCCUGGAGGGAGGAAGAGUACUUCCAAAGAAAAUGCCACAUCUACCUAUGAGACAGAUAAGGCAAGUGAAGACGAUACCACACUUCGGUACUUAAAAGUUUCGUGAUUACGAGAUCAUUCUUUCACAAUAUUUCCUAAUGUCAUUUGUACUAAAUCAUUCACUUGUACUCACUAAAGGAGAGCUUGAACCUAUAUACUGUGUAAACCCUUCACAAUUAAUGAGAACUCCUUUACUCUGUGGACGUAGCCAAUCUGGGUGAACCACGUACAUCUUGUGUUUGCUUCCUGUCUCUAUCCAUUUACAUACUUAUCCACACUAAUGAUCGGAGCAAUCUAGCGAAGAUCAUAAACUUAAUAUUUAAGAUGAUAUUCUUUAGUGUAUGCUUUUCGCAAACGAUAUAGUGUUGAUAGAUGAAACGCAGGAAGGGGUAAACGCGAAGCUUAACCUUUGGAGAGAAGUGUUGGAAUCUAAAGGUCUUCGCCUAAGCCGAUCAAAGGCAGAAUAUAUGGAGUGCAAGUUCAGUGCAAACGGAGGCCAAAAUGAGUUAGGGGUGAGGAUCGGAGAUCAGGAAAUACCAAAGAGCGACCGUUUUCACUACCUAGGAUCUAUCUUGCAAAAGAACGGAGAAUUUGAUGGAGAUCUCACCCAUAGAAUACAAGCUGGAUGGAUGAAGUGGAAGAGUGCAUCCGGCGUGUUGUGUGACCGUCGUAGGCCACUGAAGCUCAAGGGAAAAUUUUAUAGGACGGCAAUAAGGCCGGCAAUGCUGUAUGGCAUAGAAUGUUGGGCGGUGAAGCAUCAACACGUAGGUGUAGUGGAGAUGAGGAUGCUUCGUUGGAUGUGUGGGCACACGAGAAAGGAUAAGAUUAGGAAUGAGGAUAUCCGAGGUAAAGUAGAAGUAGCCGAAAUUGAAGGAAAGAGGAGAGAAAAUCGGUUACGGUGGUUUGGACAUGUGCAAAAAAGGCCUACUGACGCUCCGGUUCGAAGAUGUGACCACGGGACAGAGGUUCAGGGCCGAAGGGGUAGAGGAAGACUUAGGAAAACUUUGGAAGAAACCUUAAGAAAAGACUUAGAGUACUUGGAUCUAACGGAGGACAUGACACAAAACCGAGCGCAAUGGCGUUCUAGGAUUCAUAUAGCCGACCCCACUUAGUGGGAAAAGGCUUUGUUGUUGUUGUUGUUGUAAAUGCUUUUUAGUAGCAGAAGUUUCAUUCUUUUGGUCGUUUUGCAGUUGGAUAAUUACACUAUACAACUUGAGUUGAUGAAGAAUAUGUUGCACAUCUGAGAUGGUAGCAAUUUUGAUUUGUUAAAACAAUAUAGUUCAUAGGAGAAUUUGGUAUAUGAAUCAACAUAUGAUUUCUUAUCGUUGCAUAUACUCAGUUGCGAGAGUCUGGUCGGUGACUGGCAAAAGGAAGAAGACAAUUAUUUGGGCUCAAGGAAUCCAAGAAUUAUAAAUUUGAAAAUGCAAUUAUUUGGGCUAGCCGACAUUCACCUCUCCCAGACCCUGCGUAAAGCGGGAGCCUUGUGCACUGGGUACGACCUUUAGUUUACUGGCAAAGCAAUGGAUGUAGGUUUAUGUUUCUAUGAGUUUGAUUUUUUAGGGUAAGAAUUCAAAAGUGGGUACUUUUUUGGUUAUUUGGUGAAUUGAGUUUUUGUAGUUUAGGAGAAUUUGGAGCAACAGCCACAUCUGAAGGAGCUGGUGCAGUGCUACGCAGCAGACUGGGUGAAGGAUGACAAGUAUGGUCACUACGAGAGUGUUGGACCACCCUCAUUCCAGAACCAGAUUUAUGGGGAUCCUGACGCAAUUGAAACUGGUACCUAACCCCCUUCUUUCGGUCUUCUAGUCUUUCGCUUACUCGAGCAUGCAGAAAUGAUGGUGCAUUUGGGUUUAUGUACCAGAAGGCUCUUAAGUUUGUAAAUUAAGCUAUGUUCAUUUGGUUUCUCUGUUGGAUUGCCAUGGAUGAAGAGUAUGACGUCUUAGUUCUGGAGACAGGUCUUAAGGAAUACAUUUCUCAAUGGCCUUCCUCUCUCUGUUGAUGGUCUCAAAGCAACUCCAUCUUUUUGGAUGCUUUAGGACAGGUUCUUGAAGGUUAUAAUAAACCUGGCAUUGGCAGCAAUUCAUAAAACUUGACAUUAACAGGUUCAAGAACUGUUGUCCUAUUUAUGUUAGUUAUACUUUUGAUCAUCGAUUUUGUAUUUGAUUUAAAUAUUUUUAGCGGGAUUUCAUGGUCACAUGCAUUAUUUGAGCAUGUCAUGUGUGUGCUUUAAGUGGUAUGUGGGUACACUGAAAUAGUAUUCUUUGAGUUUCCUCUGUGCUUUUGUUUGUAGGAUCAACUUGCGAAAGAACAGACCAGAGGCAUUAUCAAUUUAUCAGCUGAAGUAUUGUAGCUCUUUGCACGACUCCAACAAGCCACCUAAGCAUACAAUGGGCUUGCACUUACUCUAAUCCGGUUGACAUUCUGGCGGCAACGCGCUGGCUAAACAUCUAGUAAUAUCUAAAAUAAGUAAAAUGAAAAAAAAAAAAAGUAAAACAGGAUCCAAUUGCCACAUGUGUAGGCCUGUAGGUGUAGCAAGAGGCUAGUAUACGUAUAAAACAUUUUCUUGCUAGAAUAUGACCAUUGAAUUUGAUUGUUGCACAUUCAUUAUGUUGAAUAUAUAUUGGCCGACUUUGAAAAAUUCUAAGAUAUAUAAAUGUAUGGCACAUAUUGUUGAAUUUAACAAUUGAAUAUAAAUGGGACCCGAAGAAUUUGAGAGAAUUUAACGUGUGUAUGUGAUCACCUUUAUAAAACAAUGUAUUGUUUAGAUUGUUGUAUAAGGUAGAAGUCGUCCACUAGAACUAGGAAACUUCCUCGCAUCAGGAGGAGGAGGUUGGAUGGUCAUUUGAAUUUCACCUUUCCUCCACUAGGGGUAAUUAUAACCCGAAAGUGCUUUAGCAAUUUCACCAUUCUUUCUUCCCUUUUGAAUGCACACAAAUUCUACGCCGAAAGUGCUUUAGCAAUUUCGCCUUUAUAUUUUUAUGUAUUUUUUUUUUUACUUCGAUGAUUUUGCUGGAUCACUUUUUUCGAAGUCCUCCACUAGUGGUAUAUUAUAACCUAUUUUUCCGUUUGAAUGCACGUAGUUUCCGCCCCAAAGUGCUUUAGCAAUUUCGUCUUUAUAUUUUUUUUUCGUUUUCUUUUGGGUCUAAUCUCUGCUGAUUUUCCUUGGAUCCUCGUUUGUGCCUAUAUUUUAUUGAAAGAUACCUUGCAGAAAGUGCUUUGGACAAAGUUUCUUUUUAAUUUUCACUUUUUGUCCUCCUGGCGUGUUUGUAACUUUUUGCACAGGUUCAAUAAGUAGUUCAAAUUCGCUCUUUGCUCUUUGCUCUCUGUUGUACAUGUGCUGAUCAUUGACAUUUUCUUCCUCGACUUCUUCUUCUGGUGCUGCUGAUGCUGCUGUUGAUGAUAACGAUGAUGAUGUUGAUACCCCCCCUCUUCGAGAAAAGUAUGAUGUGUUUAUUAGUUUCAGAUGUGAGGACACCCGCAAAACUUUUACCAGCCACCUUCGUGCUGCCUUACUUCGCAAAAAAUUUGAAACCUGCAUAGACUAUGUUUGGGUUAAAACAUAAACUUUGGGCUACGAAGGGAGUUGGCCCAACAAAGAAAAGGAAAGCCCGGAGACCAGCCCAAAUCCAGAAGGCAGAAAGGGCCUUUCCCGACUAGGUGCAGAUCAUUUGCACCACUUGCUCACCUACCCAAGGGCCAAGUAGUAUAGGCCUGCCAGCUAAUCAGCCCAAAAGUACUUUACAGUGGCAGUACAAGUAAAUAGCUGAUGAGUCACUAUCCUUCAAACCGCAUUCGGGCAAGAUUGUUGCUACAGAAGAUCGAGUCAAAGUGUCUAUAAAAGAGGAGAGAGGAAUCAAAGUUAAAGACACUCAAACAACCAAACAAAUACAAGCACAAACUCUGCUCAAAACCAUAUUUGCCUUCAAAACGAAGCUGUAGUCAGCCCAAGCCUUCAUUCUUCUCGGGAUAAACCUUUGUAAUAGCUCUGCUACCUGGUCAAGAACUCGCCGUAGUAUCGAUUUCUUUUGUAAACUCAUCUCCCUACCCCUUUUCUAAAAACUCCCAACCCCCUUGAUAAACCACAAAGAUAGGAAGUUGCAAGACGAUCAGCCUUGCCCGACAAGGUUAAACCUUGCCCGACCCUCUUUGUUUUUGUCUUUUCAUUCUUUAGCCUAGCAAUAUGUUGUAUACUACAAGUUGUAUUCAAGUUAUUUCUAGUAAUAUGGCUAUUAAAAGAUUCUCUCAGCACUUGAAUCCGAUUUGAACAUGUCUUCACAGUUCAAACUAGAUCUAAGUUCUAAACCCUCGGGCAUGUAAGAUUUGAUCAUUCAAAAGUCCUUGGCCUCAAGGCAUAAAAAAGAACCUUAUGUGGACUUAACCCAUCCACGACAAGCUUUGAUAAACAAGAAGUCCGAAGUUACUUGGGGCGCAAGUAAUCGAUCUAUCACCUAGUUUUAUUUCUAUUAUAUUAUGAUUACCAUAGAACGUUGAGUAUAGAAUGAAUUCUGAUAGGAAGCCUCAAGGCCUAUCUCUAAGGCCCCAUAAAGGCACCUAUUUGGAUUCAUUUUGUCCUUCGGGCUAGAACGAUAAGUAUAGAAAGAAUUCUGAUGGGAAGCCUCAAGGCCUAUCUAAGGCCCCACAAAGGCACCUAUUUGAGUUCAUUAUGUCCUUCGGGUUCAGGUAAUCAGAAGUAUAAUGGUUAUAAGAUUUAUAUAACCAAUGAAACGAACCAUAUGUAUAUAUUCAAAUACUAAGUUAGUUAUCAACAAGAAGCCUCAAGGCCUACACCUAAGGCCCUACAAAGGCACCUGUCAUAACUAAAAUGGUCUCUUGGGUAUAUAUACAAUUAAAAUUCAACAUCCGUUUUACAUCUGCCAUGCCGAAGAUGGCAAUGGCACGCCUGAGCACUUAAAAGUUAAUCUUGAUUGUGAGCCUCAAGGCCUACACCUAAGGCCCUACAAAGGCACCUUUCAAAGUUAAUUAUGUCCUUCUCUUUCAGCCUUGCCCGACAGGCCUUGCCCAACAAGUCCGCCAGUGAAGCAGAAGCCUGGUAGAAAAGUAUCAACCGGCGUCAACCUCUCGGGGAGCUGUGUGCUCGUCGGACAGAAAAUAUCCCCGACGGAAAUUCCUGCCACGAACAUAGUUUUGGCACGCUCGGUGGGACAUCUUUGAUCAAACAUACAUGUCAAAGGGGUCAGAAGAUUUGCAAACUGCUUUGUUGCAUAUGCUACAAAGACUGGAGAACGCCUCCGCAGGCUCCAGGAAUGAAGAUGACCCGGUUCUAAGACCACCUAGCCCUAUAUCUUUACGUCACCCUGGGGAGAAAGAUGAUAAGGGGGACAUAAAAUCAGCCAACCAGAAGAAGUAGCAGUGACAGAUAAACAUACGAAGCCCUUCUCAGAUGCCCCUAUAAAUAUGAUUAGUAUGGCCUGGGCAGAGAAGGGAAAAGAGAAGGUCACAAGAGAAGAAGAAAGAAGGUUGGUUGACAAACCCAUAAAAGGGGUGGUUAACUUGCCCGAAUAUCCAAGAGCCGCCAUAAUCAAGGGGAUGGUGCUGUGCAGUAAGUGCCAAUGCGAGUGUGAGCUCGAAAUACCGCCCACAAGAGCCCUCAUAGAUCAUGAACUGAUCAGGAGGAAUGAAGAAGAAAAGAGAAAAAAGGCACAAGAAAAAGCUCGGCGAAUUCCAGGAAGGGAUACCUCUCAAAGUGUCUUUCAGCGGCUAGGAGGUGAUUCUCAACCAAAAGCUUUAUCAAAAAUAUUUCGCAACCAUGAAGUUUCUGAAGAGGCAGAAGAUAAAGAUGCCAAGAAGCCGAAAGAGAAGGGUGUAGAGCACUCUCAGUACGGCCAUAUGGGAAGAGAGGUCAGGAGGAGUGACAGGAUAACAAACCCUGUCAAAAAAGAUAAUCCUGCCCGCCUUGGGCGAAAAUGGUAUGUGGUUGGGAAGAAUGGACAGCCCGUUAAGCAAAUGGGAGCCUACAUGGUCAGAAGGGUUCAAAGGCAACACAAAGCCUACAUGAAUUCCUUAAAAACCCCUGCUACGUCGCAAGCCUCCAAAAAUCAAAAGUUGGAGAAAACAUCAUCUGGGGGGAGUAGUCAGCUCCGCUUGAGGAGUAAGAAAGAGGUGGAAAUGGCUAAUAGCAAGACGGAGGGCGAAGGAAACCAUGUGCCACAAAGCCUACACCCUGGGAAAUAUAGAAUCAUGAGGAGAACUCAAGAGGAUAUGGUGAUGGUGCCAACCCCCCGAUGGAAGCCAGAACAGCCUAUUUGUUUUGGAACUGUUUCACCUGAGAGAAAACAACCUUCUCUAUCAUCAGUGGAUCCCUUCGGGGAAGUUCCAAAGCAAACACCAUAUUCAGGUGUGAAUCAACUAGAGGGGGAACCAGAUGCGAUGGCGUGGUUGGAUGAGUUCAUGGACCAGAUUGGGAGCAAGAAAGAAGAGCUGCCGGAGCCCAGCAACUUUCAUAUAAACAUGGCGUAUGUGCUAUCCGCCAUGUUUGGUGCCCAACCAAAUCAGCCCGCCACCAUGGAAGGAGAUUAUGUGACAACUGAGCCAAUGAUGGCUCAUGUCAGCGUAAAGGUAGCUGAAGAAUGAGAAUCGGGGGAAGCUGAAUCAUCUGAAGCUCCCAAGGAUGGUCCUUCAAGGUUCUAUACAGACAAGAUGGUGUUCAGCCGCCCGAGUAUUUCACUUGCCAAUCAUCUGAAACCCAUCUACGUUACAGCCCAUGUGGAAGGAGUGCCUUUCAAAAGAGUUCUCAUUGAUGGAGGAGCGGUUGUUAACGUCUUACCAGCCAAACAAAUGAAACGGUUGGGGAGAGGUACAGAGGAUCUUAUUUCUACAGACCUCACUGCUUCUAGUUUCUCGGGCGCUAUCACCAAGACUCAUAGGAUACUGCCUUUGGAAGUAGAUUUGGGGUCUAAACAGAUCAUGUUGGCAUUCUUUGUGGUGGACUACACCUCCGCCUAUGGAGCCUUACUCGGAAGAGAUUGGAUCCAUCAAAGUUUUGCUAUACCCUCCACUCUACAUCAACAAGUGGCUGUUUAUCAUGAGGCAAGUGCAGAAGGGCCAGGCUUUUGGGAGAUGGUAGAGGCCGAAUCACGGCCAUUUCUUCCCACGGCCAAUGUAGCGGAAGCAAGUUUCUACAAUCCCAAUGUAGGAAUCUUGAAGUGUUCGGGAGCAGAUGAGAACGGCCGCCCUACCAAGGUGACGGCCCAAAAGCUUCUAGAACAAGGAAUGCUCCUUACUAGAGAAGAGUGGAACAGACCUUGUAUCGUCCCAACACCCCUACACCAUAAAUGACAAAACAAAAAAAGAAGGAUCAGGUAAUAGCAAUCAGAUCCCUGAUUAAACGACUGUUGGUGUAUGGGAAAGAAAGAAUACAAGAACAUGAGCUCUUAGACAGAGAAGAGCAGGAAUGGCAGGUAGGAGCUUCAACCAGCCAAGAUGAAAGCAAGGAGGAAUCUUGUCGAGAAGAAUUGGAAAGGGCCAUUCAAAUGGCCGAGUGCAUAUAUGACCUAGAUGGACCAGAUGACUUGCCCGAAAGCUCAGAGCUGGUCGAAUUUUUGUGUGUAGAACCUGAUAAACCACCACCAGAGGUCCAAGAUCCUUUGGAAGUUAUUGAGCUAGGAACAAAUGAGGAUCCAAGACCAAUUCAAAUCAGUGGUUUAUUGGAAAGCGAGGCUCGGGCAAAAAUUAUCUGUCUCUUGCAAGAAUUCAGAGAUUGCUUUGCGUGGCAUUACAAUGAGAUGCCAGGUUUAGAUGCAACCUUGGUGGAACACAGAAUGCCCAUCAAGGAAGGAUAUAAGCCGGUUAAGCAAGCACCACGAAGGAUGUCGAAUGAGAUAGAAGAGAAGGUCAAAGAAGAAAUUGAGAGGCUAGUAAAAGCCGGAUUUAUCAGGCCAGCCAAAUAUGUGGAAUGGUUAGCCAAUAUUGUACCUGUUUUAAAAGCUAUAACAAAAGCAGUACGAUGUUGUGUUGACUACAGAAAUAUUAAUGGCGCUACACCUAAAAAUGAGUAUCCCAUGCCCAUGGCAGAUCUAUCCAUAGAUGCAGUAGCAAAACACAAAGUCUUAUCUUUUAUGGAUGGAAAUGCCGGGUAUAAUUAGAUAAAGAUGGCUCAUGAGGAUAUACAUAAAACAGCUUUUAGAUGCCCUGGGCAUGUGGGGGCUUAUGAAUAUCUGGUCAUGCCAUUCGGGCUCAAGAAUGCUGGCGCAACCUACCAAAGGGCAAUGAAUGCCAUCUUUCAUGAUCUGAUUGGCCAUAAUAUGGAGGUGUAUAUUGAUGACAUCGUGGUGAAAUCCAAGACAGAAGAACAGCAUCUGAUAGACCUCAGGCAGGCGUUCACAAGAAUGAGGAUCCACAAAUUGAAGAUGAAUCCAAAGAAGUGUGCGUUUGGGGUGAGAACGGGCAACUUCUUGGGAUUCCUGGUUCAUCAAAGAGGUGUAGAAGUGGAUAAAAAUAAAGCGCGGGCAAUAAUGGAGUCGCCUUCACCCACCAACAAAGUGCAACUCCAGAGGCUGCUGGGUAAGAUUAAUUUCCUAAGAAGAUUCAUUGCCAAUCUAGCAGGCAAGAUCCAGCCGCUGACUCCUUUACUAAGACUGAAGGAUAAGGAGAAUUUUGAGUGGGGACCACUGCACCAAGAGGCUUUCGAUAGUAUCAAAACUUAUUUAUCCUCUCCGCCAGUGUUGGUACCACCUCAAAGGGGAAAACCCUUAAAGCUAUAUAUUUCCGCUUCAAAUAAAUCAAUCGGGAGUUUGCUAGCUCAAAAUAAUGAAGGAGGAAAAGAGCAGGCAGUUUACUACCUCAGUAGAAUUCUGACCGAGGUAGAAACGAGAUAUUCCCCGGUGGAGAGAUUGUGCUUAGCUUUGUAUUUCACUGCCAAUAAGCUGAGGCAUUACAUGUUACCUUGUCACGUGCACAUCAUUGCCAAAACAGAUGUGAUAAAGUACAUGUUGUCAAAGCCAAUGUUGACUAGGGGUGGGCACUUGGAACCGAAAACCGAAACCGAAACACGAAUCGAAUCAAACCGCACCAAAUGGUUUGGUUUUGCGGUUUUGAAAUGGUUUCGGUUUCAAAACCGAACCGCGGCACACAAAACGGUUUGGUUUCGGUUUUGGGUUUUCAAAACCGCACCGAAACCGAAACCGCACCAUAUAAUAAAUAAAUGUUAUAUAACUUAUAUUUUAAACUUUUCAACUAGGUUAUAACUUAUAGGUUUGUAUUAUGGCAAACUUAACCUUUCAAUUGGGUUGUAAAGUAUUGUGAUUGGUGAUCAAGUUCAAUUUUAGUAGAUGUGAUGCAUAAGGAUUUAAAGUUUAAACCCUUUGAUGCAUUGGAUGUUGUCUCAAUUUUAGUAGUUGUCAUUUGUUGCAGUUUUUGUACAAGUUUGGUACAAGUUAGCUGCACUUUUGGUGCUGUUUUGGUGCAGUUUUUUGUGCUGUUUUGGUGCUGUAUUUUUAUGCAGUUUUGCUGCAUUAUUUUUUGGUGCAAUUUUGUGCAGUUUUGGUGCAGUUUCGCUGCUGUUUUUUAUGCAGUUUUGCUGCAUUUUUUGGGUGCAGUUUUGGUGCAGUUUUUGGUACUGUUUUUGUGCUGUUUUUUAUGCAGUUUUGCUGCAAUUUUUUUUUUUUUGCAGUUUUGACUCUUUUUUGCUGCAAUUUUACUGCAUAUUCAUUAAUUAAUAUACGAAGAAAAUAAGACCGUCUUAUGCAUAAAUAGGUGUAUAUUUUAAAUUGUACAUUUUUUUUCUCAAAAACCAAACCGAAACCGUUUGAAACCGCACCGCACCGAACCGAACGGUUUGGUUUCAUUUCGGUUUUGGCUUUAAAACCGCACCGCACCGCACCGCACCGCAAAAUGUUUCGAUUUCGGUUGUGGUUUCACUCGAAACCGCACCAAACCGCACCGCGCCCACCCCUAAUGUUGACAGGAAGGAUUGGGAAGUGGAUUCUAGCAUUAUUUGAAUUCAGCUUUCAGUAUGUUCCCCAAAGGGCAGUCAAAGGCCAAGCAAUUGCUGACUUCUUGGCGGAGCAUUAAGAAUCUCAAAAUGAAAUAAUCAAUAUCCCGGGAACCCUGGAAGUUACGAGUGUUUGGAUUCCGCCAAGUCAAGGGAUCUCGGGUAAGGAGGAGUGGAUCCAGCAAGAGAUAAGAAGAGUGGCUGGCCUGUGGAUUACUCCUUGGAAGUUAUAUUUUGAUGGCUCUUACACUCAGAAGGCUGCAGGAGCUGGAAUUGUAAUUAUCAACCCUCAAGGAGUUCAUCAUUAUUACUCAUUUCUUCUAGAUUAUCAAGGGAAUACCAAUAACCGGGCAGAGUAUGAGGCCUUAAUAAUUGGUUUGGAAAUCUUGAUGGAUCUGGGGGCAACAGAGGUAGAGGUGUUUGGUGAUUCAGAAUUGGUAAUAAACCAACUAAAUGGGGAGUUCAAGUGCAGACAUAUUACCAUGGCCGGAUAUUACUUGGCAGCCACACAAUUGCUAAGUUAUUGGAGUUUUGAAAUAUCGGUUAGUCAUGUUCCCAGAGGAGCCAACCUAGCAGCCAACGAGAUGGCGCAAUUAGCUUCCGGCAUGCCAAUACAGGAAAGAAAAUAUGGGUUGGAUGUCGAGAUUCAAAGAAGAAAUCUUCCUUCUAUUCUGGAAAGAGGAUUCAGCCUGGAUGUAAUGGUUCAGGAAACUGAGAUAGAAGAUUAGAGAUCGCCCAUCAUCCAUCAUUUGAACGAUCCCUCUUCACCCACCAGCAAGAAGAAUAGACAGCAAGCAACUAAGUAUGUCUUAUGGGCGAAAGACCUACUAAGGAAGACUCCAGACGGGUUAUUAUUGAAAUGCUUAGGCUAAGAGGAAUCCAUGAGAGUGAUGGCCGAAGUACAUGAAACAGUAUGUGGAGCACAUCAGGCAGGGACAAAGAUGAGGUGGUUACUUAGGCGAUAUGGUUAUUUUUGGCCCGACAUGGAAAAAGAUUGCAAGUCCUAUGCCCGAGGGUGUGAAGAAUGUCAAAGGCAUGGUCCUCUCCAACAUGUACCUUCAGUACCUUUAAAUCUAGUGGUCAAGCCUUGGCCCUUCAGAGGAUGGGCAAUGGACUUUAUCGGGCAGAUCUACCCAGCUUCUAGCAAAGGGCACACCUUCAUAAUUAUAGCAACGGAUUACUUUACCAAAUGGGUAUAAGCCUCGGCAGUGAAGUCUAUAACCUUAGCUGCGGUCAAAAAUUUUAUUGAGACCAAGAUCCUGUAUAGAUUUGGGGUGCCCGAAACCAUAGUGACGGAUUGCGGGCCAUCUUUUAUUUCAAAAGAAGUUGAAGAAUUUGCAAGCAAAUACAAAAUAAAGAUGAUCCAGUCCAGUUCUUACUACCCGCAGUCAAAUGGCCAGGCAGAAUCCAACAAGAUUUUGGUAAACAUUAUCAAAAGAAUGGUAAUAGAUAGUCCGGAAAGGUGGCAUGAAAAGCUGGGGAAUACUUUGUGGGCAUACAGAACUUCAAAGAGGGCAGGAACAGGGACAACUCCUUAUGCUUUAACUUUUGGGCAAGAUACAGUGUUUCCCAUGGAGAUCAAUGUAAGUUCUAUCAGAAUUCAAAAUCAUUUUGGGUUACAUAGCAAAGAGUAUGUCGAAGCCAUGUGUCAAGGGAUUGAAGACUUAGACGUAGCCCAAAUUGAAGCCCUGAACCAGAUUCAGGAAGGAAAGAAAGUUGUUGCCCGAGCUUAUAACAAAAUGGUGAAAGUAAAGUCAUUCAAGGAAGGAGAUUUGGUGUGGAAGACGGUCCUUCCUUUGGGAGCUCAGCUUAGGGGCUUUGGAAAAUGGAGCCCGACAUGGGAAGGUCCUUUCAUGAUUAGUCAAGUUUUGGACAAAGGGGAAUAUUACUUGGCGGACCUCGAAGGGAAUUGGCAGAAACAUCCCAUUAAUGUUAAAUUCUUGAAAAAGUAUUGUCCUACAUUAUGGGAUAUUAGAGAUUGUUAUAUUGAAGAGGAUGCAAAAUAAAGUAGGUUUCAAGAUGUUAAAGUGCAGUGUACAUUCAUCAAUCAUUCAAGAAUGCAAAAAGACACAGGAUGGAUAAGAUCAUGUUUAUUUCAUUUCGACAAAUUGAUGAAAUUUACAAACAAAUUCAAUUUAAUUCCGAUGUGCUGCAUUCGACUCCUUCCAGGUGUAAUGGCGUCUCAGCUGGUUUUCCGAUGUCUUCAUGGAAAGAAUCCGAUCAGGUGAUCGGGUUGUGCGGCCAAGAUAAGCUUGGUAGAGGGUCCCCAGGCAGAAUCAUCAUCAUGUGUGAUGGUGAAGCCUGAUUUAUCAUGACGACAAGCAGGAAGGCAAGUCAUCAUGAGGAAACUGCCUGACCAAGGGUGUUGGGGAUAGCGGGGUGUUUGACCAAAGGUGUUGGGGAUAGUAGUUAUCUGAUGAAAACUCUUUUUCUCACGAAAAGGGAGUUUUAGGAAACCCCACUUCAAUCUUGAAGAACUCAUUUUUUCAGUUUUGGGAAGAAAACUAAGAAGGCAGAGGUAUUCAAGAUUGAUAAAAGCGAAGACUGCAGGAAGUUUGUUGGCUAGACAAAGGAAAAUUCAAGCCGGUUUUUAUAAAGACCUCAGAGGAUAACCCAAAGGUCGUGAGAAGAGCAAGAGACGCAGGAUCAUAGGCAUCCUAUCUAGGAAAACACGAGUUCCAAGAACAGGUAUACAAGCAUGCGGAUAUUCAAUCAAUACUGGCGCCUGGAAUUCCAGUCUGAAUAUUGAUUGAAGGGGGCACUGUUUGGGUUAAAACUUAAACUUUGGGCUACGAAGGGAGUUGGCCCAACAAAGAAGAGGAAAGCCCGGAGACCAGCCCAAAUCCAGAAGGCAGAAAUGGCCUUUCCCGACUAGGUGUAAAUCAUUUACACCACUUGCUCACCCACCCAAGGGUUAAGUAGUAUAGACCUGCCAGCUAAUCAGCCCAAAAGUACUUUACAGUGGCAGUCCAAGUAAAUAGCUGAUGAGUCACUAUCCUUCAAACCGCAUUCGGGCAAGAUUGUUGCUACAGGAGAUCGAGUCAAAGUGUCUAUAAAAGAGGAGAGAGGAAUCAAAGUUAAAGACACUCAAACAACUAAACAAAUAUAAGCACAAACUCUGCUCAAAACCAGAUUUGCCUUCAAAACGAAGCUGUAGUCAGCCCAAGCCUUUAUCCUUCUCGGGAUAAACCUUUGUAAUAGCUCUGCUACCUGGUCAAGAACCCGCCGUAGUAUCGAUUUCUUUUGUAAACUCAUCUCCCUACCCCUUUUCUAAAAACUCUCAACCCCCUUGAUAAACCACAAAGAUAGGAAGUUGCAAGACGAUCAACCUUGCCCGACCCUCUUUGUUUUUGUCUUUUCAUUCAUUAGCCUAGCAAUAUGUUGUAUACUACAAGUUGUAUUCAAGUUAUUUCUAGUAAUAUGGCUAUUAAAAGAUUCUCUCAGCACUUGAAUCCGAUUUGAACAUGUCUUCACAGUUCAAACCAGAUCUAAGUUCUAAACCCUCGGGCAUGUAAGAUUUGAUCAUUCAAAAGUCCUUGGCCUCAAGGCAUAAAAAAGAACCUUAUGUGGACUUAACCCAUCCACGACAAGCUUUGAUAAACAAGAAGUCCGAAGUUACUUGGGGCGCAAGUAAUCGAUCUAUCACCUAGUUUUAUUUCUAUUAUAUUAUGAUUACCAUAGAACGUUGAGUAUAGAAUGAAUUCUGAUAGGAAGCCUCAAUGCCUAUCUCUAAGGCCCCACAAAGGCACCUAUUUGGAUUCAUUUUGUCCUUCGGGCUAGAACGAUAAGUAUAGAAGGAAUUCUGAUGGGAAGCCUCAAGGCCUAUCUAAGGCCCCACAAAGGCACCUAUUUGAGUUCAUUCUAUCCUUCGAGUUCAGGUAAUCAGAAGUAUAAUGGUUAUAAGAUUUAUAUAACCAAUGAAACGAACCAUAUGUUUAUAUUCAAAUACUAAGUUAGUUAUCAACAGGAAGCCUCAAGGCCUACACCUAAGGCCCUACAAAGGCACCUGUCAUAACUAAAAUGGUCUCUUGGGUAUAUAUACAAUUAAAAUUCAACAUCCGUUUUACAUCUGCCAUGCCGAAGAUGGCAGUGCCACGCCUGAGCACUUAAAAGUUAAUCUUGAUUGUGAGCCUCAAGGCCUACACCUAAAGCCCUACAAAGGCACCUUUCAAAGUUAAUUUUGUCCUUCUCUUUCAGCCUUGCCCGACAGGCCUUGCCCGACAAGUCCGCCAGUGAAGCAGAAGCCUGAUAGAAAAGUAUCAAUCGGCGUCAACCUCUCGGGGAGCUGUGUGCUCGUCGGCCAGAAAAUAUCCCCGACGGAAAUUCCUGCCACGAACAGACUACAAGCUGAAGAAAGGAGACGAAAUAGGAACUGCCCUACUAGAAGCAAUCCAGAAAUCAAGGCUUUCGGUGAUCAUUUUCUCCAAAAACUAUGCGUCUUCCACAUGGUGUUUGAUUGAACUUAUGCAUGUACUCAAAUGCAAAAAGAAAUAUGGUCAAUGGUUGUACUUAUUUUUUACGACAUCAAUCCAUCAGAUGUGCGAAAACAAAAGGGGAGUUAUGCAGAUGCAUUUGCUGAACUGGAAAAAGGGGACAGUAUGGGCAAGGUGCGCAAGUGGAGGAAAGCUUUAAGGACUGCAGCCAAUUUUUCUGGGUUUGAUAAUUUAAACAAAAAAGGGUAAGUAACUAUGGGCAUGUUUGGUACUCUACUUGAAUCUAACUUUUUAAACUAAAAAACAAUUUUCAAAUUUUAGGUCUUAAAAACUUAUUUGGUAGGACUAUUUUAAAAAACUGAACGCAAGACUAACUAAAAAAUAUAAUAUAUUCUCUAAAAAUAUAAAAUGUGAGUUUUUAGAGUUUUUAAAUUUAAACUUAAUCCUUUCUUUUCUCUCCCUCCUCCCCUCACUCCAAAUCUCUCUCUCUCUUUCUCUCUCUUCUUCUUCUUUCUCUCUCCUCUUUUUUUAUUUUUUUAUUUUUUUUAUAAUUUUUUUCCGUCUCUUCUCCAAUCCGCUCUUCAUUUUUUCGAUUCUUUCUCUCUCAUGUUCCUCUCUAUCUCGUCUAAUCCUCUCUCUUCUUUCUCUUUCCUUCAAUCAUCUCUCUUUCUUUCUUCCUCUUUCCUCUUUCUCUCUCUUGCGACCCCCUCUUUUUAGAUUUUUUUGUCUAGUUGUAAGAUUUAGAAAUUUUAAAUCGCAAACCAAUUAAAAUUUUUAGUCUUAAAAAAAUUAUUUUCAAGAAAUGUUCUUAAAAAAUGUUUUAAGAAAUGAUAAAAAAUUUCAAAUAGGAAACCAAACAGACCCUUUGUAACUUGUAUCAAUUUUUACUUGUGACUAUUUCUUUUCAAAUUUUUAUUUUUAGUUUUUAUAAGAAACGAUAUUCAUUAUAUAGACCAUCUCUAAUUCUUGGGUUAAAACUUGUUUGAGGAUUGCAACCAAUCUUUCUGGGUUUGAUUCUUCAAACAAAAAAGGUAUCAUUUGAAUUGCAUACUCUUUGCCGUCGAAAAUCCAGAAAUCCUUGGCCUUCAGAGUCAAAAACACACAAAUUCCUGAAAUUCCAACCCCUAAAUUCCUCACGCGGCCCCAAAAUUCCGACCCCUGAAACUCCGGCACUCCUUCCUCCCCCUCUUCCUACGAAGAUUAUUGCACGCCCUUCAUGCAAAAGAAAACCCACAGAUAUUUCACCGCAACUGUUCAGUUUGGCCAAAUCAGCAGCGGAUCAUGCCUGCACCAUGCCUGCAUUUGUUCAGUUUUACCAAACACCAACGGCUUUAUUUUACAUCUUUUUACUCUCACGGCACAACAGAAGCAGCUUUUAAAAAAAAAAAAAAAAAAAGCCUAACAAUACCAAACUAGCAUUUAAACAAUCCUUAUAGAUAGUGAAGGCAUUACUUACUAUAUAUUGCUUCUCAUUCAUACUAAUAUACUAAUAUUUUGCAAGACUGAUGCCUAUUUCAUUGAGGAAGUAGUGGAAGAUAUUUCAUCGAAAUUGAAAUGUAAAACAUCAUAUGAUUUAAAGGGCAUGUUUGGAAAGUAAAGCCGCAUUGAGCAAGUUGAAUCCUUAUUAAGCAUUAAUAAUUGGCAAGGUGUUUGCACUUUAGGCAUUUGGGGUAUGGGUGGCAUUGGAAAGACCGCCCUUGCUAAGCCUGUGUUCAAGAGACUCUCUUCUAACUUCGAAGCUUCUUGUCUUCCUAACAACGUUAGGGAGAAAUCAGAGCAAAAGAUGGAGUUGAUCAAUUGCAAAAAGUACUUCUUAGAGAAAUCUUAAAGGAAGAAAAUCUCUCCACGGAUUCGACUUUUGUUCAAGAAAGGCUCAGCCGUACAAAGGCUCUCAUUGUUCUUGAUGAUGUUAGUGACUCAAGGCAAAUAAAAGAUCUAGCUGGAGAUAAUCUUCGCUACGGAAAUGGAAGUAGAAUCAUCGCAACAAGUAGAGAAUGGAGCGUACUCAUGAAAGCUGUUAGUGAUGAUAUAUAUAUAUAUAAGGUAAAUCUCUCUUUACUACCCUCAUGUUUUGUGAUUUUCAACAUUUAGUACAUAAAUUUUUUUUCAUCGCAGAGUCAUACCUAAAGUGUUAAUUUUGGGACAGUCUCAUACAUCCGUUAAUCAAACUGUUAAGUUUGCCGUUAACUGAUAACGUGGCGCUUAUGUAGAUAAUGAUUGAACGCCACGAGUCAUUAAGGGGUCCCCCGCACCCUUUCCCUCCCUCAUCCCCGCACCCUCUCCCUCCCUUCUCUCUUCUGCAACCUGCACCACCCUCCCUUCUCUCCUCAUUCCUCCCUUAUCCCUCCAUUCUCUCAUCUGCACCACAACCUACCAUGUCGCGGUCCUCGAUCUCACCAAGUUUCCAUCUUUCAAUUCUCUUCAAGCUAAAGUUUAAUCAUUUUUUUCACACCACCAAGACCAAAAAUUCACCAACAAAUUUAUCCCACCAAACAAAUCAAACCCAACAAAAAACAAAUCCAAAAGACCAAAAAAUAAUUCAAGAAAAAGUAAAAUAAAACCCAACCUGAUCGAGUACAACUUUGAGAAAAUGGCGCGCUACAAAAGAAAAAAGCAUCGGGUUGGAUCUGGAUGCCGUCGACAUCAAUCUCAAGAGCAAACAAAAGAAAAGCACAUGGGUCAAUAUACGCCCAACCUUUUCAAUUACGCUACAAAAGAAACCCUUUGGAAGUGUUGUGACGGCGAGAAAGAGAGGACAUCAACAGGAACCAUGUUGGGUUGGAUCUGGAUGCCGUCAACAUCGAUCUCAAGAGUGGCGAUCUAGUGAACUCGUGGAUCGAGUAUGAUGGGUCGAGUCAGGUCAAUAGCGUCUCGGUUUUGUACUCGAAUCUGAAACCCAAAGACCCGGGUUGCAGAAGAGAGAAUGGAGGGAGAAGGUGCGGGGGAUGAGGGAGGGAGAGGGUGCAAGGGGAUGAUGCUGAAGAGAGAAGGGAGGGAUAGGGUGUGGGGGAUGAAGGAGGGAGAGGGAGGGAGGGAGAUGGUGCGGGGAUGAGGGAGAGAGAAGAUGGUUUUGUUGUUUUUUUAUUUUUUUGAACCCGUUCUGAAAAAAGAAAAAAAAAAUCCACGUGGACCCUUAAUGACACGUACCCAGUCAUUGUCCACAUAAGCGUCAUGUCAUCAGUUAACGGCAGACUUAACAGUUUGACUAACGGAUGUAUGAAACUGUCCCAAAAUUAACACUUUAGGUAUGACUCUGGGACGAAAAAAACUUGAUGUACUAAAUGUUGAAAACCACAAAACAUGAAGGUAGUAAACAGAGACUUACCCAUAUAUAUAUAUAUAUGAGGUUAAGAAAAUAAAAACUGAUGGCGCUCUUCAACUCUUUCAAUUUCAUGCUUUCAAGGAUAACUCUCCUAGAGAAGAAUAUACAGAGUUGUCGGCAAGGGCGGUAAAAUAUGCUGGAGGCAUUCCACUGGCUCUUGAAGUUUUGGGUUCCGUAUUGUUUCCAUGUGAGAGCAAAGACGAGUGGGAAGAUGUAUUGAGCACACUGUGAGAUUAUCCCAAUGAAGAAAUUCAAAAUACGUUCAAAGUAAGCUAUAAUAGAUUAGGAAGAAAUGCACAGGAGGUAUUUCUUGAUAUAGCAUGCUUUUAAUAAAGGGAAGCGUAUUGAGGAUGUAAAGGAGAUGGUAGACUUUGGCCAAUUGCAUGGCGGUUCAUCUGCGGCAGAUGGAAUUAGAGUUCUCUGUGAUAGGUCUCUCAUAUCGAUUGAUUCGGAAGGGGAAACCAUAGAUAUGCAUGAUUUGGUACAAGAAACGGGUCAUGCAAUUGUUCGCGAACAAUGUAUUAAAGAGCCCGGAAGACGCAGUAGGCUAUUCAUUUGAUGAGGAUGUCUAUCAUGUAUUGAAAAAUAAUACAAUAAGAACCGCAAGUGUAUUCCCAAUAUUUUUUAACAAUAAAGAAAAGAAAUAGAUCAAUAAAAUACCGUGUACUUCCUAUAAAUUUACUUUGUUAAAUAACUCAUUUCAAAAAUAAGUCAUACUCCUACAAAUGUUGUUUUGAUUAAAUUUUGAUGUGUUAGUGUGUUCACAUUUGUACUUUGAUGUUGGUUGUCAGGGAACUAAAAAGGUUCAAGCCAUAUUCUUUGAGAUUGGAGAGCAAAACUUGGGUCAUGCAGACUUCACAAAGAUGUAUAAUAUGAGAUUGCUCAGUGUUAGUGAUCUGCGGUCAUUUUGGGAAAUUAACACUCUCUUUCUCUUCCCAAUUCUCUUCGUUAUCUUUAUGGAAGGGAUAUCCUUUGAAAUAUUUGCCUCCAGAAUUCUCUUGAAAAUCUUGUUGAGCUUCAUAUGCCCUACAGCAAAGUCACGCAGCUUUGGAAUGGAUACCAGGUAUAUGUGCUUAUUAGAGUUUUUGUGUAAGAUGUAGUGUAGAAACUUAUUUAGACUAAAUUGUUAAUUCUCAUCUUUAAUUUGUUACAGAAUCCUGUGAACUUAAAAGCGAUCCUGUGAACCAAGGAAGAAAAUGCCAAUAAUAUCAACGAUAUUUCGCCGAUAUUAUCGGUUUUUCACGGUAACGAUAUUUUAAUAGGUAUCCAAUUAGUUUUCGUCUAAAUAUCGCGAUAUUAUCUAUAUUAUCGAUAAUAUCGCGAUAUUUCCGAAACUAUCGCUAUAUUUUCGAUAAUAUCGUGAGAUCAAAACCCAAUAUUUAAAAAACGCUGAGAAGCCUCAACAGAUAACUACACUUGAUCUUGGCCAAAAGGGUCGAGCAAGGCAUGCUUUCCUCAGCUUGGGAAUGUGGCUUUUAUAGGCAUGUGUGCUUGCUCACUGCCCUUGCGUGGGCGAUGUGAGACUACAGAGCUUGGGAAUGUGGCUUUUAUAAGCCUGUUUGCUUGCUCACUGCCCUUGCGUGGGCGAUGUGGGAUUCACUGGCGGAGGGAGUAAAGGUCCUGGCUUUCUAAAACAAAUACAUAUAUUAGGGAAUUGUGCAUCUUUCUAUUGCUUGCUUUCUAAAACAAAUAUAUAUAUAUAUAUGGGAAUUAUGCAUCUUUCUAUUGCUUCAAGUCCUGCUUUCCAAGUUUCAAGCAUAAACCCAUCUCCCAAUUAGCUUUAAUAUUUUAUCUAGCUAUCUCCUUAACACAAAUUAAUAGCAUUUAAAAUCAAAGCAAUAUUUCGCCUUUCUUUGAAUAGAAAACAUUCAAUUUUAAUUAUGAAAAUUAAAAAAAAAUUCCCCUUUUCUUUUUGAAAUCUCAUACAUUUUAUAAUCCUAAAUUUGAAAUCUAUUCAACAAAUAAGUUUUAAAUUUCUUUGUUUCUCUAUCGUUUCUUCUCUAUUCUACAUAUUACAUGAGAGUUAUGGUUCGUAAAGUUUUUAUUUCUCUAUUCUACAUAAUAGUAUAGGCAACGGGAUUAUAAUAAAACGAUUUUAAAAUAUAAAAACUCGUCAAGAACAAUUAUAAUUUUUGUGUGUAUGUAAUAUUAUAUGUGCAUAUGUUGUUUUGAAUAUUUGAUUUUGAGAUAUAUAUUAGCCUUGUAAAUACCAUCCGCUUAAAAAAAUUAAAAAAAAACCUUUAUGAGAGGCCCCUCCUCACCAAAAAUUCUAGCCCCGCCAAUGGUGGGAUUACAGAAACCAAAACGUUUUGCUGCGACUUGCGAAGGCUGGUACAUGUGAACUUGUGACUCCAACUAGGUAAGACUUAAGAGCCAGAUCUAAUUUGGGGCCUUCUAUCCUAUAUUUGUGGACAACGAUCAAAUGCUAAAGAUUAAACAAACAUAAUAUGUUCUACUGCUUAGCAAAAAAAGCUACAAACCCUUUGCUUAUCAACAAAAAAAGACAAGUCCUUGCACUAGAUUUCAAAUUACGUUGAGUAGCAACCUGAUAUAUGUAUUCGGACGAAUUAUAAAACAAUUGACACACUCCUAGUUUCCAAAAUUCAAUUCUUUUACUUUAUAUAAACUUGAAAAUACAUCAUCGGCAUCCAAAUUAAAGUUUAGUCUUAUUCAACGUAUUGAUUUUCAAUCGUUAAUUGAUAUAGUAUAAUUUGGAACUUCAACGCAUAGACGCAUGCUUAUAUGUAAGAAAUUUAAAGUGUCAAAUUCGGCACAUUAUUCUUCAUCAUUUUAUUCACUUCCUUUUUUUUUUAAUAUCCUAAAUAAAACCUCCCAAUAUUGUACUAAUUAAUUAAAUAUAAAUGAUUAUGGUGUGUUUAAACUUCUUUCAUUAAUUACUACAUAUUUUCUACACUCACAAUGUUUGCCAGCUCGCUAUAUAAUCAACUUAAAUCAGUUAAACCCAUCAUGCAAUGCAUUUCCUUCCAAUUUUUUGUGAUAAACUAAUAGAUAAUUGACUAAAUAAACAUCCUGCAAAGUUUCAUUAAAAAUUUCCAAGUUUUUCUUACAAUUUCCGUGGUUUCCAUGUAAUUUUUAUCGAUAUCAAUAUUAUCCCGAUAUUUCCAUCGAUAUUUCCGUGUUUUCGGACUACCGAUAUUUCCGAUAUUACCGAUAUUUUCUUCCUUGCUGUGAACUUAAAAGCGAUCAGACUUAGUAAAUGCAAACAUCUAACUGCACUUCCAAACCUCACAGGAAGUCCAAAUAUCGUGCACAUAGAUCUUUACGCAUGUGAGAGUUUGGUUGAAAUUCCUUUGAAUUUUAAAGAUCUUGACAAGCUUACUUGUCUUGAUCUUUCAUGGUGCGUGAGUCUGGAGUAUCUUCCAAAGAUGCCAAGCAAUAUUGAAUUUUUAAGUUUAAAGAACAGUGGCAUAAAGGAGUUGCCGUCAUCAGUUUGGUCUCAUGAAAAAAUUUCUUCCUUUGGAUAUUAGAUAUGUGUGUGUUUAGUAACAUGAUGUGAAUCACUGUUGCAGAAAGAGUUUUCUGAGCCCUUGGUUACCAUUGUAUGUCCGGGAGAAGAAAUUCCAAAAUGGUUUGUGCAUCAAAAUAAAGGGGAUUCAAUAAAUGUCAGGCUUCCUACAAAUUGGUUUCGUGAAGGUUUCUUGGGUUUCGCGCUCUCUUUUGUUGCAUACAAAAGAUUCAUUUUUAAGCAGGGUCUGCAGUUUAGAUGCAAGUACAAUUUCAAAACGGAAGAGGGGGGAAUUCAUGAAAUCAAUUGUUCUUUCAGAUGUCCAUAUCGAGUUGAACAUUGCAUAUUCUAUGGACGGCACGUGUUCGUAUUGUAUAAAGACCUUGAAUAUGAAAAGGGAGCAAAAUGGUCCUCUGCAUUUUACAACCGUGUCACUGAAGUCUCUGGUUACUUCUGUGAAGCGUAUACAACCUGGGGGUUGAUGAGACCUCUAUUCUGUGAGGUGACAAGGCGUAGGAUAGGCCUGUUGUAUGCCGAAGACGCUGAGAAAUUAAAAGUUGAUGUCAUGUCAUGACAAGAACAAGAUGAGCCUGUAGCAAGUGGGAGUGGUGAUCCUGAAGCCAGUGAAAGCGAUGAGUAUGAGGAAGCAAGUGGAAGCGAAGACUCUGAGAGAGAACGUGGAAGCGACGAGGAAGCAAGCAAUGAGUCUGAGGAAGCAAGUGGAAGAGAUGAGUAUGAGCAAGCAAGUGGAAGUGACAAGUCAAAUGCAAGUGGAAGUGACGAGUCUAUUGCUAGUUCAAGCCGCUCCGAAACUUCAAUCUACAAUAACAACAACAACAAAGCAUUUUCCCAUUAAGUGGGGUCGGCUAUAUGAAUCCUAGAACGCCAUUGCGCUCGGUUCUGUGUCAUGUCCUCCGUUAGAUCCAAGUACUCUUAAGUCUUUUCUUAGAGUCUCUUCCAAAGUUUUCCUAGGUCUUCCUCUACCCCUUCGCUCAUGGACCUCUGUCCUGUAGUCACAUCUUCUAACCGGAGCAUCAGUUGGCCUUCUUUGCACAUGUCCAAACCACCGUAACCGAUUUUCUCUCAUCUUUCCUUCAAUUUCGACCACUCCUACUUUACCUCGAAUAUCCUUAUUCCUAAUCUUAUCCUUUCUUGUGUGCCCACACAUCCAACGAAGCAUCCUCAUCUCCACUACACUCAUUUUAUGUACGUGUUGAUGCUUCACCGCCCAACAUUCUGUGCCAUACAGCAUUGCCGGCCUUAUUGUUGUCCUAUAAAAUUUUCCCUUGAGCUUCAGUGGAACGACGGUCACACAACACGCUGGAUGCACUCUUCCACUUCAUCCAUCCAGCUUGUAUUCUAUGGUUGAGGUCUUCAUCUAAUUCUUCGUUCUUUUGCAAAAUAGAUCCUAGGUAGCGAAAGCAGUCGCUCUUUGGUACUUCCUGAUCUCCGAUCUUCACCCUUAACUCAUUUUGGCCUUCAUUUGCACUUAACUUGCACUCCAUAUAUUUUGUCUUUGAUCGGCUUAGGUGAAGACCUUUAGAUUCCAACACUUCUCUCCAAAGGUUAAGCUUCGCAUUUACCCCUUUCUAAGUUUCAUCUAUUAACACUAUAUCGUCUUCAAAAAGCAUGCACCAAGGAAUAUCAUCUUGAAUAUGUCCCGUUAACUCAUCCAUUACCAAUGCAAAAAGGUAAGGACUUAAGGAUCUUGAUGUAACCCAACAGUUAUGGGGAAGCUUUUGGUUUGUCCUUCAUGUGUUCUUACAACAAUCUUUGCUCCAUCAUACAUAUCUUUUAUAGUUUGGAUAUAUGCUACUUGUACUCCUUUCUUCUCUAAAAUCCUCCAAAGAAUGUCUCUUGAGACCUUAUCAUACGCUUUUUCCAAAUCUAUAAAGACCAUGUGUAAAUCAUUUUUCCUAUCUCUAUAUCUUUCCAUCAAUCUUCGUAAGAGAUAGAUUGCCUCCAUGGUUGAGCGCCCUGGCAUGAACUCAAAUUGAUUGUCCAAAACCCUUGUCUCUUGCCUCAAUCUAUGCUCAAUGACUCUCUCCCAGAGCUUCAUUGUAUUACUCAUUAGCUUAAUACCCUUAUAGUUCAUGCAAUUUUGUACGUCGCCCUUAUUCUUGUACAUAGGCACCAAAGUGCUCUUUCGCCACUCAUUUGGCAUCUUCUUCGUUUUCAAAAUCCUAUUGAAAAAGGUCUGUGAGCCAUGCUAUACCCGUCUCUCCCAAGAUUUUCCACACUUCGAUUGGUAUAUCAUUUGGGCCCACUGCUUUUCUAUGCUUCAUCUUUUUCAAAGCUACAACCACUUCUUCCUUCCUGAUUCGGCAGUAAAAUGAGUAGUUUCUACACUCUUCUAAGUUACUCAACUCCCCCAAAGAAGUAUUCCUUUCAUGUCCUUCAUUGAAAAGAUUAUGAAAAUAACCUCUCCAUCUAUCUUUGACCACGUUCUUUGUAGCAAGAACUUUUCCAUCCUUAUCCUUGAUGCACCUCACUUGGUUUAGGUCCCUUGUCUUCUUUUCCCUUGCUCUAGCUAGUUUAUAGAUAUCCAACUCUCAUUAUUUGGUAUCUAGUCGCUUAUACAUAUCGUCAUAAGUCGCUAUCUUAGCUUCUCUCACAGCUUUCUUCGCCUCCUGCUUCGCUAGUCUAUACCUUUCACCAUUUUCAUCGGUCUUAUCCUUGUAUAGGGCUUUACAACAUUGCUUCUUAGCCUUCACCUUUGUUUGUACCUCCUCAUUCCACCACCAAGAUUCCUUUUUUUUUUUAGAAGAACCACCAAGAUUCCUUUUGGCGUAGAGCAAAGCCCUUUAACUCUCAUAAUACCUCUUUUGCUACUUUUCGGAUACAACUAGCCAUGGAAUCCCACAUUUGGCUAGCUUCCCUCUCUCUAUCCCACACGCCUUGGGUGAUUACUUUCUCUUUGAAAAUUGCUUGUUUUUCUCCUUUUAGAUUCCACCAUAUAGUCCUUGGGCACUUCCAGAUCUUGUUAUUUUUUCUCUCUCCUAAACUUCAAUUUGAAAAAAAAAAAUUAAAGAUAAAAAAUCGAGUUCAUCCAAUCUUCAACCACAAUUCCACCAUACAAUAUAAGGUACGUAGUUGAAAUUGACAAUUGAAAUUCUAUGCAAAUACUAGCAAUUGCACUCGCAUGAUGUCGCAAGUUUUAAAACAUGUGAAAUAUACUAAAAAUUGUCUACCAUCGAUCUCAAAAUCUAUUUACAUCCUAAUGUUCAACAAGAAACAAAAUAUAGGUAUAGGAUAUACUACAUAGUAAUGCCCGUGCGUUGCUGCAGGAUUAGAAUUAGACCUUCCAUAUUAGCAUCUUAGUAUAAAUCUUCGUAUAAAACAAAGAUCAAUCUCAUGCACUAAAAACUAAUGUGAUUAGUGGCCAUAGAUGCAAACACAAUAACGCUGAAACCCCUUAUAAAGUUACAUAUGCAUCUAACAUUUUUAAUCUAAAAGUCUAGAAAUCAUAAGAAAAACAAAUGUUGAGCCGACAGUAAUCUCAGACAGCAAUCUCUAACCAAAAUUUGACCAUAAAAAUGUAAAUCCAUCUCUGAAUCAGUAUCAAUCUUCUUCCUCAACAAAAAGUUUCAGUUUUACUUGCAAAACACACACAACCAUCUCGUCAUUUGCAUCUGAAACCACAAUUUUCUACUAUAUCACAACACAAUGGCAGCAACCCCAAGUUUGUGUGACAGAAGAUUAAUGCUAUUUGUGUUGACAAUGCUAGGUACAUUUUCAUUUAUGAAAUAUUUUAUUGAUACAGUUUAUACGGAAAAGAAGAUAUGAAAGGAAAAAGAUUAUAAUCUUCCCAAUAUUUCAGCUGAGAGGUUGGGAUAAAAUUUAAAAAAUAACACAAACCAACCAUUACUGUUAUGCUUCUUGCUGUAGUCAAGUUUCAUGAUUCUAAAUAAAACCAGAGGAACAUAUAAACCCAAAAAGAAUAGGGUAAAAAUAUAUUGUUUGAGUCGACUGCAUUUUUGAAUACUGAAAGUAAGAAUAUAGAGGAGUUUCAGUAUAGAAAAUUUAAAAUAUACCUAGUAUUGUCAUGUGCUCAUCUGAGAGGGAAUUUUGUGACCGCUCAAUUUUAAGUCUAGCCUCUCUUUCCUAAUGAGAGAUUCUACUGCAGCCUGAUAGACAUAUUCAAACAUUUAAUAAUCUACAGAAAUUAACUAAACUCAGCCACAUUGAAUAUCAAACCCACCUACUUACCAUCUUAUCCAACUCUUAUUUCGUAAAUUUUUCUGGUACAGAAGCAUAGUUUAUCCUGACCUCUGCAAUAAAAUAUAUCAAUUCAUCUUCCUUGCUUUUCAAUAAGAUCCCUACAAUCAAACAAACAUAAUUACUCCAGUAAAUACCUUCCGUUUAAAAUGCAAAGAUAUAACAUAAAGGAAAGUGAGUAAUUCAAAAAUCAAACUGUUAAAACAACAGACUGAUACUGUGAUACACUUAACACGCCAAUUUAUAUACUAUAUAACAAUACUAAAUCAAGUAAUUUAUAAAGAUUAAAAAUGGAUUGCAAAAAGCAGAAAUCUUAUUUGACAUGUAUUAAAAUGAUACACAAAUUCUUAGCCAAUCAGCAUGAAAAGGAUAUAGAAAACUAAUUUAUUAAAAGAGAGUUUUUAAUCCUUACUAUAACUAAAAUAACUAUGUUAUUUCAUUAUCAAAUAGGAUUCAUACGUGUGAUGAGGGUUAAGAAAAUCACUGAUUAAAGAAUCUGCAAGAAAUCAUCAAAUUGGACUCGAACUUACCAAUUUUUUAUUCAAAUAAACUAAGAAAAGGAGUUAGAAUCAAACUAACCUAAACUGCAUCUUGUUUUUGCCUUCGUUAACAACAUACCGUUCGCUCUGUACACACCAAAAAACAGUAAACACCUCAUUCAUUACUAACAGCCAUUUCAAUCAAUUAAUUAUUUAGAUAAAUUCUUCAACGAUUCCGAAGCGCAGACAAAUUGCAUGAGAAAUUGAGAUUAUAUGCAAUUGUAUGUCAAAUAACCUGAAAAUACCAUAUAUCCAAUAUUAAGUGCAUACACCUAAAAACUAAUCUUUAUAUGUACUUUAAGAUAAUACAGAUCAAUGUAAUUUAAAACAUUGAAAACAUAAAAGACUCACGAUGCAGAAAAUUUUAUUUCCAUUAUUUUCAAAUAACUUUUCACCCCACAACACUGUAGUUUAAUCUCCAUCUUUAAGGGUCAUAAAAAAUUAAAGCAGUCAGUACAGCACACUCACACCAGAUAUGCUUUCUCAAAAAAACCAAAGAGAGAACCACAAUGGGCUGGUCAACUAUCCAAUUUUUACUUGAUCCAACAUUUUACAUCCAUUCAGUCCCCAACCACGGGGUUGAUUCCAUUUCAACCCUCUCAUUCAUUCUCUCUGUUUACAUCUCCAACGCACACUCAUACAUAUCAAGAGAACAGAUACGAUUCAUAAAUCUGGGUCUAUAGCUCAUGAAUACAAAUCUCAUUGAACCAACCCCAUUCUCCAACUAAACAUAAAAUUGUUUCAUGACCAAUGUCAUUAACUUAUUUUUGGAUAAAUGGCAAGGUACCCAAGAACUACCCAAUGUCAUUAACCCAAUACGAAUUUUGAUUUCGGCGGACUCAAAUAGCGCACACAAUAACUAAACCCAAAAAUACAUCAAAACACCAGGCAUAAAGAAAAGGCACACCACGCGUACAAUAGCUCAAAGAUUUAUAGUGAGUCUGUUCAACAAUGAGAAAAUUUACCAGAAAUUUCAAAUCUUUUGGGGGUUUAAAGUAAUUAUCAGAGAGACGAAACCAAAAACCAAAAUUAGGGCCCUUUUUUUUCAAAACCACAACAGCUCCGAUCUGAGAAAUACAGUGGAAUUUCUGGAAAAAAAAAAAAAGGAGUGAGGAAAGCCUAAAAUCCCCAAGAACCCUAAUUUAUAAACCCCCAAACAAACCGUAAUAAAAGAAAUUCGAGGAAUUCAACAUACCUUAAUCGGAGCGAGGACGCUUUCCGACGGCUGAAUUCAUCGACGACGGAGGCGGUUGUUGACCGUCGCUGUACCUCCAGUGCGCGUCCGCCAUUAUGAGGGUUGUCGACCGGCACAACUUGUUUGUGGGCUUCACAGCGGGAGAUAUGGGGAGCGAAGAGAGAGGAGAGCAGAGGAACAACGCAGAGAAGAGAAGGAGGAGUGAGCGAUGAGAGGAAGGAGAGCGCAGACCAACACGCGAUGGCUUUGUUGGUGGAAACAUGAAGACUGAAUUGCCCCUAUCCCUAUGUCCCGAUCCGAUGGUUUUUGUUGUAAAUAAAGUAAAAUCGAAGGGCAAACUUGUAAUCUAGCUAAGCUAUAGCCAAUUCCCUCCCACUUUAAAAUAGACUACAAAAAUUAUGCUCGCUCUAUGGCAGAUUUUCAAACUAUAAUCGACAAUAGCUAUGGAUGAUAUUUACAGAAAAGUACACUUAAAAGGCAGAGCAACACAAUCGCAUUCUCAAACGCAGCAAUCUAGAUAACACACAUUUUACUUGAGUAAUUCCCAUAAAACCACAAAUUGACACAUUCAUCCCCAAAUAAUUGAAAAACCAAGACAUGGGUGAAUCGACAUGGUAAAAUAUGCAAUUCAGUUUGCAUUUACGUUUUAUUAAGUUGACAUUAAAAGCCAACAUACAAUCACAAUGGCGAAUUCGAAAGUUUCUGUUAACAAAACUACAUUUCAGGCGUAACCAAAUUGAAUUACAGAGAAAAUUUGCAGAUCCUUACGUCAUUCUCCAAAGCCAACUUUCUACCUAAGUUUGCAGUCUGCGGAAUAGAAAACCACCCAAUUGUCAAUACCUUUAGAAAUUUCAGCAAUGAUUUCGUCGAAGAAAAGAUUCCCCUUCUUCUUAGAAUCUCUAAUAAAUUCAUUAGCAAUUCUUAGACUUUCAAAUAUAAGCGGAUGGACCUACACAGAGAGAAAAAACUAAAAUUUACAGCAAGAUGAAAGCUUUUUCAAACUCGAGGACCAAAUCUAAUGAAAUUUUAGUAAAAUGAACAAAGCUACACCCAUAAAAAUGAGAUUUUAGAAAUAUUUCAAAUAUAUUCAAACCAAACAGAUGUGGAAUCUUUUGCAUCCCUGAGAAUUCUGGAUUGGGGUCUUAUGGAGAUGAAUAUAUAAGCAAUGUCUAUAGGGAUUUUAAUUUGGUACUUUUUCUUUUAUUCUUGAACAUAUGCUAUUGAGAAAUAAAUAAAUAAAUGUAGGCUGAAUGGUUGAUUGCUAUUGAGAAAAGAAAACACCUUGACAAAGUGGUAGCAAUCUUAUCGUGUGUGUUAAGCUUUUAUGAUUAUUGGUAGCAAUCAUGAGCUCUAUGUGUUAUAUAAUUAUGUUUGGUCUUUGAUCAAAGGUGUUUAAUUAUUUUGUAGGUACAAUUUUGCAGCACUACCACAUUCAUGACCUUACCAUACGAUCCUACUUUCUUGGGGCUCAUUUGACAUCUAGGACUCGGUAGACCCAAACAGUGUUGAAUAAAGAAAUGAAUGUGCACUUGCAUAUUCUGUCACUAGCUAGUGUUGUUAGUUUACAUGUUCUUUUGUUGUGUUGUGUGGAUUUGCAGGUUAUGAACUAUAUAUAGAUACAUCAUAGCUAUAAUCUAUGCCAAGAACAUUUGCAUAUUGCGACUUGUCCCUUUUUUUUUUUUUGGAAACUCGACUUGUCGGUUUUUUUAGGUAAUGGAUACGGCUGCUUCUUUUCUAUUGCUAUUCUCACUGAGGAAAAGUACGAUAUGCGUUUCUUAGCUAUAAUCUUCGUGAUGCUUUGCACCAGAAGAAAAUUGAAACCCACAUAUUUGAGACAAGCAAUAAUAUCUACAUAGAUGACACAUGCCCUUCUAGAUGCCAUCAGGCUAAUUCCAACCCUAGCUUAUAAUCUAAAUUUCCACUUCUAUUCUCCCCCCAAACCCAACCCAACCCAAGUUAAAAGUGUGGCCUAAAACCUAAAACUCAAAUGAAUGCCAAAUACCGGCCCCUUUUUAGGCCAGAAAUUAGUGUGGGCCCCAUUAGUGAGAGUGAAAACUGAGUUGUGAAGCCCACAUGCCCAAAACAACUCGCCCAACGAGCCCAACGCUCUAGGUCGAAUCCUAGCGAGACCCCACCCAAUGGGCUUGUCCCUCGUGUGUCAGGGCGUGUUUUUGGCCUAACGGCUACUUUUGGUGAUCCAACGGCCAUAUUUAAAUGGCCUAGAUUCAAACUUUUAUUUUAGUUUUAUAUUUAUAUAUUUAUUGAAUCUAACAGCUGAGAUUGAAUAUAAUCAAAUCUAACGGUCCAAAUUUAAAUCCAACGGCUAAAAUAAUUAAAAAAAUUAUGUAACUCAAAAUUCACCAAAAAACUCUAUAAAUACCUAUGUAUUUGUUCAAACAUCCACACAAAACUCACUUUUCUCCUACAAUUCUUCCAAUUUUUCUUUCUACCAUUUCUUCCCAUUUCCAAAUUUUUCAAGAUGGCAAAAGAGCAUAUUAUAGGUCGUAAUUGGACCUGUGAGGAAGAUGUUACUUUAUGCUUGGCAUGAGUUUCUAUUAGCAAAGAUGGUGUCGUUGGCACGAAUCAAAAUAAAAAGGUUUUGUGGGGUAAAAUCAUUGAUAAGUUCCAUGAAAACUCCAACGCUAGCCGAAGGGAAGGUGGUGGUGUUUACGAUAGGUGGAAGGUUAUCAACAAAGCGUGCCCUUUAUGGAAGGGAAGCUUGGAGAGAGCCGUGGUUGACAUGACUAGUGGAAGGAGAGCCGCAUAAAUUGUGAGUUUCUUUGUUGAUAUUUUAUUUGUCAUGUACAUAAUAUUAUUUUGCAACUAAUUGUUUUUAUGUAGUUUUUGCAUAGGGUGACAAAGCAAUGACAAUUUACAAGACAAGAGUAACACCAAAAAAUCAACCUUUUUAAGUUGCAUCAUGCUUGGGACGUCCUCAAGGAUUGUCCAAGGUGGUGAACCGAUGCGGACUAACAAUGGGGAAGAUUAUUUCAACGUGAAGCCGCACCGAUAAAUGAUUUCAAUGAAGGUGUCGAUGAAUUGACCCCAACUUCUUCUUCUGCAAGGCCCUAGGGAAGAGAUAAGCAAAAGGAAGCAAAGAGAAAAUGAAAGUCCCAAGAUCCGAUUAGUGCACAAAUUGCUACUGGAUUUGCAAGAUUGACCGAAAAUCCAUGUGUCGUAAGACGCCACAGCCUCAAGCAUAAUGGUUGGCUUAUUGUGACGGCCAUGCUUGAAUUGGCCAGCCCAAAUAGUAAGACAAUUCUUCCAUUCCCAAUGCAUACAAUCGAGACUUCAUAUCAUGCUAGGGAAGCCUCUUUGUCUGCCUUGCGUAGAAGCCUAUUCAAAUAUUCACGAUUUGGCUUGCAGAGGUAUGUGGCUCCAUAUAUAGCUUUAAUUACCUUACAAAAGCGCUUGAGGUUCUCAAUAGAAGUACUUUCCGUGAGUUGACAAUAUUUGUCAGUUGAGUCUACAAAGCACCUAUUAGCUACCAUCCGAAUUGCAGAUGUGAGCUUCUGAUGAGGUGAUAGACUUUGUCGGCCUACAACAUCUAUCUUCCUUCCAAAGUAGUGGCCAUGAUUGACAAUUGCGUUCAAGAUGCUUUCAAAAAGCUCUCUCCUCAACCGAAACCGCCUCCGAAAAUCAUGAGAAGGAUAUCUCGGACAUUCGAUGAAAUAAUCUUUCAUCAUCCGGUCAUGACACUCUUCUCUAUCACGCUACACAAAUGAACGCCACGUGACAGAACCACAAUAGCCAAAUUCGACAUAGUGCUCAUAGUGCAUAAGCGAGUUUGCAAAUUCGACUUCUUCGUUGUUCAUUUCUGCAUCCGCAUUUGCAAGGCUUGCUUGGUAUUGUGACAUCUGCAUUGCCCAGCUACGUCUUCUUCUAUCACCGAUUAAUGAGAUAUUGAUGAUGUUGAGGAAACAAAAACACUUUGAAGGUUGGAAGAUUGGUGAAUAUGUUGUGUGAUGGUUAGAUAUUCAACCUAUGCUUAUAUAGAGGAUGAUUAAAUGUUUCCGUUUCAUGUGUGUAAGUCUCUGUUUCAUGCGUUUCAUGUGUUUUGUAUGUAUUUGGUAUGUGUUUCAUGUGUUUCAUAUGUGUCAUGUGUUUCAUAUGUUUGAUUUCGUGUGUGUCAUGUGUUUCACAUAUUUUGUGUGUUAUACAUCUCUAUCAUGUGUUUUGUAUGUGCUUCAUAUGUGUUUUAUGUGUCUUGUAUGUUUCAUGUAUUUUGUGUUUAUACAUCUCUAUCAUGAUUUUCAUAUUCUUCUAUAGUGUUUCAUGAGUUUCAUUCAAGAGGGCCAAACUUAUAUGAUAGAUGUGGAAGAAAGCAGAAAUGAGCAGGAUCUAAACAGUACAAAGGAUCAGUAAGAAAAAAAAUCAACCAUUUUUUUUUUUUUUUGUUUUAGAUUGAUCUAUACCAAUUAUGAAGAAAAAUAAUUAUGAGAAUUUUAAAUAUAAAAGAAUGAUGAAAAAUUAUAUUUAAGACGUGACACGUGGUGAGUUUUGAGUGAAUUGUAGUAUCAUUCAACAAAAUUCAAUGACAAACUAAACCCUACACAAAAUUUUCUCGUACAGGGGAACCGGCAAUCAUUCAUAAAAAUUAUUUUUCUUUUUUAACCAUAUAACAUGUUGGAGCAUUAAAUACUUGUUUUCUGUUAAUUUGUUUGACUUUGUUCUUUCUUACUUUUUCCACCGUCAUCUUUCGCACCGCUCCAUUCACAGCCAUCAAAUCCAGUAACCACCAUUGUUAUAUGAUGCCUCUCUCUCUCUCACCACCACCACGACCAAUCUAUCCCACCGUCACAUCUACCAUCAGCAUAGCAUCACCAACCGACACACCCCAACCACUCAACAAUAUAAUGGACGAACCCAAAAACCACCAAAUCCACCAUGAAUUUGACACUCCCCAAUCCCGAUAUUCCCUGAAUACCAUGAUAGGCACGUGUUGGCCGACCCCUGAGGGUGACGAAAGCCAUUUAUUGAGUGCAAAAGCUUAAAACAAGGGAUAGAUAAAACUUAUAAAUUUAAAAUAUAAUGAAUAUGCAUUUCAAGAACAUAUUCAGAACACACAACUCAACUAGAAUGCUUAAAUAAUUAAUAUAAAAUUGAAUAAACAAAGGAGUGGGUCCUACACCAAGAGGACAUGAAGAUGUUGAUGCGGAAGUGUCUUGACGCAAGGAUUGUAUGCCUCGAUUCUAAGUCCUGAAGGGGGCGCAAAACAAACAUGAGUGGACCAAGUUGAUAUAUAUAUAUAUAUAUAUAUAUAUAUAUAUAUAUAUAUAUAUAUAUAUAUAAUAAAACAGUUAUCAACAUACUAACCCCCAAGUUUUAUGAAAGCACAUAUAUAUAUAUAUAUAUAUCAUGAUAAACAUAGGUUUUCCAAAACCUAGCAUGCCGUGCAAUGUCUCAAAUCAUAACUUGUAUAUAUAAUAAUCACUAGUGAAUGUUCAAUAACCCCCAAGCCCAUGCCGGCUCCCCGUCUCUGAGCAAACAGUCAAAGAAAAUUACCCCCCAAGCCCCAUGCCGGUUCCCUAUCCCUGUUCUAAUAGCCAAAGGAAAAACACUUCAGGCCCUAUUCCAACACCAUAACCGUCACCCGGAACAGACCGGAAUCUAUCCCUUCGUCCCGUAGCGGAAUAAGGACCACUAGGUAAGUACAAAACCAUUGAAUAUAUAUAGGGUUGGAAAAAAUACCAAAAAUCCCAAACUGAACCGAAAAAUUCCCGAAACCGAACCGAAAAAUUCCCAAACCGAAAGUCCCGAAAAUUUCGGUACCCAAUACCGAACCGAUCCUGAAAUUUUGGUACGGGAAUCGAUCUCAAGUUUUCGGGAUUUCGGUAAUCCCGAACCGAACCGAAAUAUAUAUAUAUUAUUUAAUUUUUAAAUAUAUAUUUAGAAUUUUAAUAGCUGUUAGAUUUGGUAAGAUUUAAUCUCAACCGUUGAAUCUCAUCAAACCCACUGAAGAACAUAAACUAACUACUCUGUCACCUGAGUCACGAAUCACCUCAGUGAUCUUUGAUCUCUCUUUGAGUCUCUAUCGACUUCUCAUCCCUCACAGACAGUGGAGGAGCCUUUCUCUUUCGACGUCGACUGACUAUGCACCGAUUCUCUUCUCCCUAGAUCAGGUAAAUUUUAGAAUUAAUUUAGGGUUUGAAAUUCAAUUAGGGUUGGAAUUCUAGAUUAGGGUUUGUGAAAUUUAAUUUAGGGUUGGAAUUCUAGAUUAGGGUUUAGGGUUGAAAUUUAAUUUAGGGCUUGAAAUUUAAGGGUUGCAAUUUAGAUAUGACUCUUCUUCUAAAUCAUGGUGGCAGGAUAGCAGAGGGAAGGAGGUGGACCUCAACGUUUACAAAGGGAAGGUUGUCCUCGUUGUCAACGUUGGUUCCAAAUGGUUCUUCUUCUUCUUCAUCCCUUUUUCCUUUUCUUUUUCUUUUGUUUUUAUUUUCUGGUUUAAUUUCAAUUGAUUAAUUCUUGUAUUUUUGUUCUUUAGUGGGCUUACUGAUACGAAUUAUACCCAAUUAACUGAGCUUUACAACAAAUACAAGGAGAAAGGUUAAUUUUUUUUCCCUCUUUAAUUACUUUUUCCACCGCUAUAGCUCUAUAUGUAUGAACUUGUUAUUUGCUAAAUGUUAUGAUUCCAUUUUAAUUUCCAACUUUGGUGCGAAAUCUGUGUCUCAAAAUUGUUGGGAUAAUCAUUUUAGAAUUGAGAUUUGGGAUGAAGCUUUAAUCUUGAAUGAGGUUCUGGGAAAUAUUUCUGUUUUGUAAACCAAAUCCAAAUGUUAUAUUUUGUUUGUAUUUCUAGUUUCAAGUCCUUGUAGAAAUCUUUGCAUUGAAAUUGUUCGUGUGAAUAGAUAUGCCUCUUUAAUUGUGUUUCCUCUUUAUAAAUAUAUAUAUGAACAAACCCACAUCUAUUCUACACAGUGCACAGUGCACAGACCCAUUAUUAUAGCCCAAAAGCCCAAAUGCCCAGAUGCACAAAUGCCCAAAAGCCCAAAAUUAUUUCGGGAUUCCCGAUUUGUCCUGAAAUCCGGAAACUAUUUUGGGAUUCCUGAAAAUUUGGUUUGGGAUCGGUCUUGAAAUUAGGAAUCCCGAAAAUUUCGGUUUGGGAAUCGGGACAAGGGUUUCGGUUCGGUAUCCCAUACCGAACCAGCCCUACAUAUAUAUAUAUAUUGAAAAACAACUUCAUAGUAUAAAGUCAUCCAUCAUCUAUACUAUAAAGAGGUGUUCUAAACGUGUUCUAAAUAUUAUAUCGUCAUCUAUCAAAUAUUCUAUAAGAACACGGGUUAUAGGAAAAAUAGUAAUAAUUCAAACUAGCCUCAAUAAGCAUUUUAUCUCACAAAACGUUUCAUAAAACGUAAUCAUCAAAUCAUGCUUUUCAUGUAUGCAUUUCUACUAUUAAAACAUGCAUUUUUAGAAGGGGUCCACUCACAGAUACUUCGCCGCUGAGAGCCACGCAAAGUAGCGGAGACAGAACACCAUAAUAAAUUGCCCCUAAGCACAUAAAGGGUCCAAUUAAUAAAACUAUAUUAUAACAAUUGAAUUUGGGAAUACGAACUUCGGAAACGGAUUCAAGACGUCGAAUUACCCUAAGAAGGGUCCCAGUUAAAUUUCAUAAAAGUCAAUAUUCCCUAACAGAAUAUUCCCCAUAAAGGGGUUGGACCAGCUAGGGUUUAGGGUUUAGUAAGGACUUGGGCUAGGGUUAAAGGUUAAGUUAAUGGGUUAGGGCUUAAAGGGGUAAUGGGUUGGGCCGGUUAGGGUUUAAGGUUUAAAGGGAUUUGGGUUAGGGUUAUAGAAUUAAUGGGCUAAAGGGUUUCGGGUUGGCCACAAGGGCUGGUUCUAAGGGUUUGGGCUGAAGGGUUUUAGGGUUAAUGGGUUGGGGUUUCACGUGCCUUAGGCCCUUUUUGUACGACCCAAAUAGGCCUCAACUCACUAGGUCUUUGGGCUAGAAAGCCCAGCCCAAAUUCAAAACAUGGGUCGCCGAACCCAAAGGAAGAAGAAGGCCGGAUUUCAGCUGAAAUUUUAGACAAAAUUUAAACAUUCAUAACUUUGUCAAUACUCAAUGAAAUUGAGUAAAACAAAAAAUGAAAGUUGUAGUUCUCGACGAGACAAAGAUAAUGGUACCUCGCACGACAUCUAACUCGCCAUGGUUUGGCCGGAAAACGCCUCGAAAGCCUCAGAGGUCGUCAGAAACUGGGUAAGAUUCAAAUGGAUAUAACUUCUUCAUUACUCAACGAAAUAGGGUGAUUCAAAAAGGAAAGUUGUAGUUCUCAGCGAGACAAAGAGAUUGAUACCUUGCACGCUGACCAAAUCGAUGUGGUUUGGCUGGAAAUUGGCUCGAAAGCCGUUGGUUUCUCGUCGGAAACUAGAUUUGAGUUUCCAGGGACAUUUCCUGCACCAAACGUCUCAGAAAAACUAGAAAUACUACCCAAAGUAUGAUCCAAGAAGUUUUAGGUGAUUCUCAGGACUUACCAUCAUCAGAAAUCCAAAAACUCGCCAGAGAAGGAGAUGCACAAUGGCAACGCCACGACACCACGAGAACGGGGAGGUUUUGGGUGUGCUCCAACCUUGCUCCAAGUUUCGUGGAUCACAUUGGAAGGUUUAGGUGGGGGUGGAUGAAGUGGUGACUGUCAAUGGGUGCGCGUGUGUGCUGAUUCUAGGGGAGGGAAGGAGAGAGUUGCACAGAAAGUGAGAGAAAUGACUCACGAGUCCAAAGGAAAAAAAGAAGAAAGGAGGACAGGUAGGGGAGACCAAAAAGGAAAGAGGGUUCCACGGGCACACACAUUAAGACCCAAAAAUAAUUUUUUAAAUAAAAACUCAAAACUAUUUUUAAAAAGGGUUUUUAUCACAAAUGGUAUCUGAAAUUGACCAAUCCAAUCAAAAUGGUCCUUGAAAUUGAAAAUCAAUCAAUGUAGUCCUUGCAAAUCAAUGUAGUCCUUCCGUCAUAAUUCAGUUAAAAUUUUUAAGUGCUAAGGUAGCACAUAAAUGGGUCCCACAAAUUUAAUUAAAUAUUAUUAUGUGAAUAAAAAAUAUUUAAAUAAUAAAAACAAUUGUUAUUUUUUAUAAUUAAAAUAUUAAAAAAAAAGAAGAAGAAGGAGAUGAUCGGACACUGUACAUCAUCUUUUUCCCCUCCUAUUCACAGAAAUGAUGAAAUUGGAAGGAGAAAUCCCAAGCUCCUAGUCUGACCAUCUGCGUUCGCUUUCGAAGCCAUUUUACACCUGAAAUAAUUCCCACACUAACUAAUUGCCACAAAAAACGAAAUCCAAAAAAAAAAAAAAAAAACUCUCUAAUUACAAUAAAAAGCACAAAACUUGAGUUUUUUGUUUCCCAAAUGAGAUCCAACAAAGAUUAGAGCUUUACUGUGCUGAGGUUCAGAUUAAAUUUAUCAAACACCAAAGAUCAAUCUCUAAUUAACGCAAAAGGAAAAAGUGAGCAAAGGGUCGACAUCUAUCCAACGUAUCAGAGGAAAAAGAAGGGGAAAAAGCAAAAGAAAAAAGAGAAAAUCUUCACUUUUUUUCAAGAUUCGAAUGAUGAGGGUGAGAAAUUGAUAUUAUCAGAGAGAGAGAGAGAGAGAGAGAGUGGAGGUGGAGGAUUCACUAGUGGCGAUGGAGACGCGACCCAAAGCCUUUGAAAAAACCUCAAAGAGCUUUAAAAUCUGGUGACUUAGGGCGAUGAGAUCCUUUUCUGAAUUGUGGAUUUAUGAGUUUGUUGUGACUUUCAUAUGGGAAACUGGAUUUUGUCCUUCCAAUUUCAUCAUUUCUGUGAAUAUUUCUAUGAAAAGGAGGGUUCAAUCAUCUCCUUAUUCUCUUUUUUUUAUUAAAAUUUUAAUUAUAAAAAGUAACAAUUGUUUUUUAUUAUUUAAAUAUUUUUUAUUCACAUAAUAAUAUUUAAUUAAAUUUGCGGGAUCCAUUUAUGUGCCACAUCAGCACUUAACAAAAAUUUUAACGGAAUUGUGACGGAAGAACUACAUUGAUUUGCAACAACCAUUUUCAGAGACUACAUUGAUUGAUUUUCAAUUUCAUCUUGAUUGGGUGAGUCAAUUUCAGGAACCAUUUGUGAUAAAAACCCUUUUAAAAAUCGGGGGUUGGGUGUAACAGAAUUAAUGACCUCAACAUCUAGGAGAAAACCCUGUUGGAGCUGUUUUAUAUGGAAAGACUUCUCUGAUUUUAGAAUUUAAGAUCCAAAUUUUUAGUUUUAUUAUAUCAUUAAAUUAGGGAAAAUUGAAAGAGAGCAUUUUUCUUCCACGACACAAGAUAUGGUAAGUUUCGAUGGAAUCGGAGGUUGUUGAGGCCGUUCGUGGUGAAAGAAUCAAGAUGUUGAGUUCGAGAAUAACGAAAAAAGAGGACGUGUCAUUUGGUUUUAACCUUGGGCUUGGUGUUAGCAAAGGGUUAAAAUAGAAAAUAAACGUACACCUAAAUUAUAUUCGGAUUUUUAAGUGAUAUUUGAAAGAAAAUUUUAAUGUUGUAGUAUUAUCAAAUACUUGUUAGGUGAUUAGUCUCUGUCUCUGCAAAUUUUUAAUUUUUGUCCUCAGCUGGUGUGUUUGUAACUUUAUGCACUUACUCAACAAGAACUAGUACAAUUUCAAUUUUUCUGUACUAAAUCUGAUCUAGUCUCAAAUGCAAGAAUAGUUCAGAUUCUCUUUCUGCUCUCUGUAAUAAAAUACUCUCGCUUCGAUUGCUUCAUUCUCUUCUCUAACAGAUAGAGGGAUGGAGCUGAUUGGGUUCAUUCAAGUUUUCAACAUCGUCAUCAUCGCCAUUGGGACUCUGUUGUACAUGUGCUGCAGAUCAUUGACAUUUUCUUCCUCGACUUCUUCUUCUUCUGGUGCAGCUGACGUUGAUGCUGCUGUUGAUGAUGAUAACAACGAUGAUGUUGAUAUGCCUCCUCUUCGAGAAAAGUAUGAUGUGUUUAUUAGUUUCAGAGUGCUUUGGACAAAAUUUUCAUUUAAUUAAGCACAUUUGAAAGAAAAUUUUAAAGUAGUAGCAUUAUCAAAUACUUGUUAGGUGACUAAUCCUUAUCUCUCCAAUUUUAUUUUUAUUUUUGUCCUCCCUGGCGAGUUUGUAACUUUGUGCAUAUACUCAAUAAGUAGUAGACCUUGCAUUUGUGUCGUGUUUUUUGUGGUCAUAUCUUUUUCAUGACAUACUUGAUAUCUUAAUGGGUCGUGUUAUAUAACACCUGUGAAAAUGAACGGAUAUAUGACCCAAACCAAACUCGACCCCUUAAUAUUAACAAGUAAUAUGACUCAACUCGUUAGCCGUUAAAGAAAAUAUAUUAAAAAUCAAUAAAUAAUCAAAUGAAAAACAUAAUACUAAAUUAGUAUCUACAUACCACAUUGUGACAUAAAUAUUACUUCAAUACAUAAAACACAUUUGUCUUUCAAGUAUUACAUAUCUGAAAAUAAGAGUUUUUUAAUUAAUGUAAAAGUGUGAAAAAUAUACAAAUGUUGAUAAUGAUAAGCUUUACAACUUUUUGUGAAGAAGUCAACUAUGGAAUUCGCCACUAUAAUCUCAUAAAUCAUAGAUUUAAAUUUAACCAUUGAUUGCCGUUUAGAUUUCCAUUCCAGUCUUCUCACCGAAAUUCAUUUUUUCAUAUUUUCUUUUUUGGAAACAUGAUCAUUUUGCGGAUAUAGGAAGAUGAGCAGUUCGGAUCGUUAAUAUCACAUUCAGAUUUAUAACGUUAGUGAAAUUCAUUGCUCGGAGUUUAUAAAGUUUCUAGAAACUAUAUUAUAUCGACUCAUAUUUCAGUUAAUGGUAAACACGGGAACGUGAUAUCAAAGACUCAAACCGUUUAUUUUUCUGCAUCCUCUAAAAGAUCACGUUUUUACAAAUAAUAAUAAUAAUAAUCUUAAAAAAGAAGUCCAGUGAAAAGAAUAAAAUGUAAACGAUAAUUGAUGGUUAAAUAUAACUCUAAGGUUUAUGGAUUAUGAUGUUGGAUUUCGAAGUUGACCCUUUUACAAAAGUUGUAAAGCUUGUCGACUGAUUUAAUAUUUCUUUUUACAUUUUGUUUCUCCACUGAAAGUGCUUUAGCGAUUUCGUCUUUUUAUUUAUUUUUAUUUCGUCUAAUCUUUAAUAAUUUUUCUAGAUGGCCGUUUGUACGUAUAUUUUAUUAAAAUGAGCUUUAACGAAAAACUUUUGAUACUGUUUACUUUAAUGAAAAACUGCAUUUUUACUCUAAAAAGUCAAUCUUGGUACUAUUCACUUACAACACUUUUUUGUGAUCUUCGUUAAAAUUCAAAGUUUUCAAACCAUUUUCAUUAGUUUUCCUUUUAUUAAAAGAUGCCUUACCGAGAGUGCUUUGGACAAAUUUCUAUUAAGCAUAUUUAACAGAAAAUUUUAAAGUAGCACCAUUAUCAAAAAAUUUUUAGGUGACUAAUCCCUAUCUCUCCAAAUUUUUAAUUUUUGUCCUCACUGUCGUGUUUGUAACUUAGUGCACAUACUCGAUAAAAACUAGGAAACUUCAUCGCAUCAGGAGGAGGUGGGAUUCAUUAUUAAUUUCACCUUUCUAUAUUCCUCAACUAGGGAUAUAUUAUAACCUUUUCUUCCGUUUGAAUGCACACAAUUUCUAUGCUGAAUGUGCUGGACCGUUGUUUGUACAUAUAUUUUAUUGAAACAUGACUUACAAAGAGUGCUUUGGACAUAAUUUUCUUUUAAUUAAGCAUAUUUAAAAGAAAAUUUUAAAGUAGUAGCAUUAUCAAAUACUUGUUAGGUGACUAGUCCUUGUCUCUCCAAAUUUUUAAUUUUUGUCCUCCUGGAGUGUUUGUAACUUUGUGCAGACUCGAUAAGAAGUAGUACAAUUUCAAUUUUUGUGUACUAAAAUCUGAUCUAGUCUCAAGUGCAAUUAUAGUUCAGAUUCGCUCUCUGCUCUCCGUAAUCAAAUACUCGCUUUGAUCACUUCAUUCUCUUCUCUGAGGGAUAGAGAGAUGGAGUUGAUUGGGUUCAUUCAAGUUUUCAACAUCAUCGUCAUCGCCAUCGGGACUCUGUUGUACAUGCGCUGCAGAUCAUUAACAUUUGGUUCCUCGACUUCUUCUUCUAAUGCUACUGAUGUUGAUACUGUUAAUGUUGGUGUUGCUGAUGUUGCUGAUGCUGAUGUUGUUGGUGCUACUGCAGUUGCUGCUGCUGAGGCUACUGCAGUUGCUGCUGCUGAGGCUGCUGAUGUUGCUUCUAAUGUUGUUGUUGUUGAUGUUGUUGAUGAUAAUGAUGGUGAUGUUGAUAUCCCCAUUAUUCGAGAUAAGUAUGAUGUGUUUAUUAGUUUCAGAGGCGAGGACACCCGCAAAAAUUUUACCAGCCAUCUUCAUACUGCCUUACUUCGCUAUAAAAUCGAAGCCUACAUAGACUACAGGCUGAAGAUAGGAGACGAAAUAGGACGCACCCUACUAGAAGCAAUCGAGAAAUCAAGACUUUCGGUGAUCAUUUUCUCCAAAAACUAUGCGUAUUCCACAUGGUGUUUGAUUGAACUUGUGCAUAUACUCAAAUGCAGAAAUAAAUAUAAACAGAUGGUUGUGCCCAUUUUUUACGACAUCAAUCCAUCAGAUGUGCGAAAACAAGAGGGGAGUUAUAAAGAUGCAUUUGCUGGACUUGAAAAACGUUUCCAGGACAGUAUGGAUAAGGUGAUCGAGUGGAAAGCUGCUUUGGUGGAAGCAACCGGUCUAUGUGGGGCAGAUUAUUCAAACACAAAGGGGUAAGUAACAUUAUGUUGGACGAAGGAAUUAAACUUAAAUUUUGACAAAAAUCAGAAUUUAUAAAUUGACAUGUAUUAAUUUCCUUGUUUGGAUUCAUAAAUAUAGAAACUUAUAAUUUUCGCAUGGAAAAAAAGCUUAGGAUUUGGAACCUCUAAUUCUCAAGUUUAAAGAGUAUCAUUUUCCAAUUUCUAUGAAUAAGAGUUUAAAAAUAACAAAUACCGUAUUAAAUUACGUUGUCCUUAACUUUGUAACUUGUACCAAUUUCUACUUGUGACUAUUUCUUUUCAAGAAACAAUAUUCAUUAUAUAGACUUCAACAAUCUGAUUUAGGUAAGGUUUGGUACUUCCAUAUCUAAUUAUUGGGUUAAAAUUAAAAAAAAAUUAUAUCAAAAAAUUUAGGUUCUAACUUAAAAAUAAUUUUUCUCUUCCAAUCCUUCUAGAUUAAAUUUUUUAUCCGAGAUUAUUAAAAAAUAAAUUUAAGGUAAUUGUUUUUUAAAUCAACUUUAAAAAACAAUUAUGCAUAAUUAUUAUAAUUUAAUUUUAUGAACAUUUUAAUCUAAAAAUAUUUAGAUUCUAAUUAAUAUUGAAAAUCACUAAACCAACCUCUAAUCGUGCCUUUUCACUCACGGAGAAAGCUCUUACACAACUGAGCAUACACAUUUUGCCAAUUCCUAACAACUUUAACUAAUUAGCUAUUAAGUACUAAUUAAACCCCUAAUUAAGAAGUAAUGUUAUUCAUACCAUGUUUUUAUAUCAUAUUUCUAUAUCAUUUUAGAUGGCAUCUGACAUGGACAACUACAUCAUUUGAAAAAUUUGCAAAACCCAAGGAAAUGAAGGAGAAAGACUCAUCGUAUACCACAAUCAUCAUUUAAUUAACUGAUUUUUUUUUAAUUAUUAGUUUAUUAAAUAAUUAACAAAAUUAAAAAAUCUGAGUAAUUCAAAUAAUGUGGCUGUCACAUCAAAUACUACUUAAGAUGAUAUAAAAAUGUGGUAUAAAAACAUGGUAGGAAUAUUAUUACUCCUAAUUAAGUGAUUAAGCUGCUUGCUUAUUACAAUCAUAUCAAGACCUGAAAUUCCAACCCCCGAAUUCCUCGCGCGGCCCUGAAAUUUCGACCCCUGAAAUUCUUCCACUCAUUCCUCUCCCUCUCCCUGCAAAGAUUAUUGCACGCCUUCCUGCAAAAAAAAAAAAAAAAAAAAAAAAAACCCACAUAUAUUUCGCCCAAAUUCUUCAGAAUUACACCAAAAUUUCACUGCACCUGUUCAGUUCGGCCAGAUGCGCAUCGGACCAUGCCUGCACCACCCCCUCCUUUCUCUCUCCCUCUCCCUGCGAAUAUUGUUGCACGACCCAUAAACUUUCUGGCAGAGGCUGAGCACCUUCAGCGGCGUGUGCGUGUACCGGAACUGUAGCGUACCAGAGGGGCAGAGAUUGAGUGGGCCAAGUUGGGGAUUGGGGUUAGGGUUUGGAGAGACACAGAAAAUGGGGUGUUUGGUCGUCGAGAAAGUGUGGAGAUUUUGACCGCGAAAAUUGUGAAAUAUACAAGAUAAAAAUUAUUAAAUAGUCAGCAAUUAAAGAUUAGGUUCUCUAUAUUAGUAUAUUACAAAAUGUUGAAUAAACCCUCACAUUAAAAUUUAAUAUUAAAUUAUUUAUUUACCAUACUAUGCAAUGAAAAUUUUGACUUUAUUAGGUUAAAAAAAAUCUAAAUAUACCCCAAAUCAUUUUUAACAUAUUAUUUAUCUUCUUUAACUAUAAAAAUCCUUUCGACCCUGCAUUGUUGAACAAAAUUCAAACUGAUGAAACUACAAACAUGUUAAUUGAGAAAAAAAAAUUGUGACGAAUGAAACACGAAAUCGAUUUUUUGGAAGCUUCAAAUGAUGUAAGACUUCAUAUUUUUUAUUGUUUUAGUGAUUUUGACGAUAUCGAUAAUUAUUUAAUCUUGUUUUGUUGCGUUAUUCAAAUUUCUAUGUUCGUAUUCAUCUUUUAGGAAUCACAGAUAUUACACGAAGAAUUAAACACCUAAAAUUACCACCAAAUAUUAAAAAUAGACGACAUGAGUUUUAAUGGUGGAAUUGAAAACAAUCCAUAUAUGUUUUAAAUCCCAGGCGGCAUCUUUUGUCAAAAUUUCAAUCAGCAUUUUUUGUCCAAAUUAAAAGCUUUAUAAAAUUUGAGAAAUGUGGAGUGUAUAGAAAAUAUGGGGUGCAUGUAAGAAAUGUAAGGUCUAUAUUGAGAAUGUGAGGUGUGAGGGUGUUAUGGGAAAGUAUGUGAGGUGUAUUAAGAUAAGAGUGAUGAUAUUCCCACCCCGGUGUCUUAUUUCCUCACCCACCAUUUAAUGAAAAUGUUAAUAACAUAUUUAUCCUUUUAAAAGAAGACUCUUAAAUCCCUAUUUAAUUCAGUAUUAUAAUAAUAAAUAAAUAAUGGUGGGUGGGGUGUGAUAUCUUUGGUGGAAAGAGGUUGGGAAAGAUUUGGGUUAGAAUCGACGAAAAGGUUGGAGGAAGGAAUGGGCGUGUGCUAGAUGAGGGCAAGAAACUUCAAUAGAGAAAAAGGAGAAUUGGGUGUGAAAUCUACGGUUUUGACAAAAAAAGGAGGAAGAAGAGUGGUUUGGGGAUCCAGGGUUUUUGCGGCAUUAGGUGUGAAGGAGAUGAUGAAUGUCUAGGUCUUAGGUCUUGCAUUUUCUUUCAUUUUUUAUAUUUUUAUUUAUUUAUUUAUAAUAUUAUUUAAAGAUAUAUUAGAGUUAUUUAAAAACAAAAAUAUUAUGGUUAUUUUGGGAAUAAUGGUAGGUGGGGAAAUAACAUUUUACUUUUUUAAUUUUCUAUGGUGGGUGGGAUUAUCAUGUGGAUGGGAAAAUAGGACACUGGGGUGGGUCUAGUAGCACUCUAAGAUAAUUAUUCAUUGAAAAAUGGGGUGUAUUAAGUAUGUGAGGUUUAUUUAACAAUUUGUGGAGUGUUAAUAUAAUAAGCCUAAAGAUUAUAAAUAAAAAAUAAAAAAAAUUAUUAUUAUACAACUAUUUAUUCUUAUAUAAAAGUACAACAAAAACACAACAAUACCAAACUAGCUUUUAAAGAAACCUUACAGACUAGUGAAGCAUUGCUUACUAUAGAUUGCUUGUCAUUCAUAAUCAUAUUUUGCAGGACGGAUGCCGAUUUCAUUGAGAAAGUUGUGGAAGAUAUUUCAACGAAAUUGAAACGUGAAAUCUCAGAUGAUUUAACCGGCCUAAUUGGAAUUGAAAGCCGCAUCAAAGAAGUUGAAUCGCUAUUAAGCAUUAAUGAUUGGAAAGGUGUUUGCACUGUAGGCAUUUGGGGCAUGGGUGGUGUUGGAAAGACCACCCUUGCUAAUGCUGUGUUCAAGAGACUCUUUUUUAACUUCGAAUCUUGUUGUCUUCUUAAAAAUGUUAGGGAGAAAUCAGAGCAAACAGAUGGAAUCGAUCAAUUGAAGAAAACAUUUCUUAAGGAGAUCUUAAAGGAAGAAAAUCCCUUCAUAGAUUCGACUUCUGUUCAACAAAAGCUCAGGCGUACAAAGGUUCUCAUUGUUUUUGAUGAUGUCACUGAUUCAAAGCAAAUAAAAGAUGUAGUUGGACCUAGUCCUCGCUACGGCGAUGGAAGUAAAAUCAUCGUAACAAGUAGAACGGAGCGUACUCAGGAAAGCUGUUGGAGAUAACAAACAUAUCUAUCAGCUUGAGAAAUUAAAAACUGAUGACGCUCUUCGGCUCUUUCAAUUUCAUGCUCUCAAUGAUAACUCUCCUAGAGAAGAAUAUACAGACUUGUCAGCACGGGUGGUAGAAUAUGCUGGAGGCAUUCCACUGGCUCUUGAAAUUUUGGGUUCCUUAUUCUUUGAAUGUGAGAGCAAAGACGAGUGGGAAAAUGCAUUGAGCACACUGAGAAAUAAUCCCAAUGAAAAAAUUCAAAAUACGUUCAGAGUAAGCUAUGAUCGAUUAGGAAGAAAUGCGCAGGAGGUAUUUCUUGAUAUAGCAUGCUUUCAUAAAGGGGAUCAUAUUGAGGAUGUAAAAAAGAUAGUAGGCUUUGGCCAAAUGCAUGGUGGUUUAUGUGCGACAGAUGGAAUUAGAGUUCUCCGUGAUAGGUCUCUCAUAUCGAUUGAUUCGGAACGGGAAACCAUAGAUAUGCAUGAUUUGGUACAAGAAAUGGGUUGGGAAAUUGUUCGCGAACAAUGUGUUGAAGAGCCCGGAAGACGCAGUCGGCUAUUCAUUGAGGAGGAUGUUUAUCAUGUGUUGAAAAAUAACACGGUAAGAGCCACAAUUGCAUUCACAAUUUUUUUUAAAUAAUAAAGAAAAGAAAUAGAUCAAUAAAAUACUGUGUACUUCCUAUGAGAAGACAGCUAGAGAAAACUCAUGUACAAAAAAAAGAAAAGAAAAAAAAAGUCAUAUUCCUACAAAUGUAGUUAAGAUUAAAUUUUGUUGUGCGUUAGUGUGUUCACAUUUGUACUUUGCUGUUGGUUGUCAGGGAACUGAAAAGGUUCAAGCCAUAUUCUUUAACGGAGAGCAAAUCUUGGAUCGUGCAGACUUCAAAAGAAUGUAUAAUAUGAGAUUGCUCGGUGUUGGUUCUUGGGGGUGGGGGGGCAAAAUAUUAAACAGUAAAACUCUCUUUCUUCUUCCCAAUUCUCUUCGUUAUCUUUUCUGGGUGGCAUAUCCUUUGAAAUCUUUGCCCCCAGAAUUUUCUCUUGAAAAUCUUGUUGAGCUUCAUAUGCCCGAUAGCGAAGUCACGCAACUUUGGGAUGGAGGCCAGGUAUAUGUUAUUGUUAUAGUUUUUUUUUUUUUUUUGUCUAAGAUGUAGUGUAGAAACUUAUUUAGAUUAAGUUGUUAAUUCUUACAUUUUCUCUUUAAUUUGUUACAGAAUCCUGGGAACUUAAAAGUGAUCCAACUUUGUAACUGCAAACAUCUAACUGCACUUCCAAAUCUCUUGGGGAGUCCAAAUAUCGAGCACAUGGAUCUUUUUGGAUGUGAAAGUUUGGUUGAAAUUCCUCAGUAUUUUAAAAAUCUUGACAAACUCACUUAUCUUGAUCUUUCAAGGUGCUGCUGUCUCAAGCAUCUUCCAGAGAUGCCAGACAAUAUUGAAUUCUUAAAAUUACAAGGCAGUGGCAUAAAGGAGUUGCCGUCAUCAGUUUGGUCUCAUGAAAAAAUUUCUUCCUUGGAUAUUACAAAUUGAAGAACUUAAGGAACUUCCAAGCAACACUUGCAAGCUGAAAGUCUCUGGUGCUUUUAGUCUAUAUGGCUGCUGCUCUCUUGAAAAGGUUUGGGAGCUUCCCAGGGGUAUUGGUGAAUUAGAUUUUUCAAGAACAAAAAUAGAAGUAUUGCCCAUGUCAUCAAUGGAGCGUCUCUUUUGUCUCACCAAACUUAAACUAAAGAAUUGCACAAAUCUUGUGAGCCUCCCACGGAGCAUUUGUAAGUUGAAAUCUCUUGAGGAACUUGAUCUCACUGAUUGCUAUGAACUUAAAGUUGUCCCAAGUUGCAUCUACAAAUUAACAAAUAUCAAAACGCUCAGCUUUAAUUACUGUUGGAAACUCCGAAAUUUUCCUCAGCCGACUGGCUCAGUUGGUUUUCCCUCUCUUGAAAUACUAAAUCUCAAAGACAGCGGUAUAUUAGAAAUCCCUGAGGGCGUCAUUUGUUCAACCUCAUUACGGGAUCUUAAUCUGAGCAGAACCAAAAUUCGGAGCAUACCCUCAAGCAUUAAACAAGCUGCUCAGCUGUCUUGCCUGUGCUUAAUCAAGUGCGAGAAACUUCGAUCUUUACCAGAGCUCCCAAUGCCCAGUCGUCUUCAAGCAAAUGGCUGCAAGUCACUGAAGACAGUGUCGAGUUCAAGGACAGCAAUUACACAAUGUUGGAAUAGAUAUGAAUUGCUUCGAGAGCAACUUAACUUUUCUAAUUGCGGAAGGUUGGGUUAUGAUGCAAGGAGCAACAUAAUGGUUGAUGCACAGCUUAGAAUCAUGCGAGUGGCAACUGCGUCUUCAAAGUUAGAGGAGGAAGAUUACGUAUGUUUCUCAACUGCAGACGAAGAUUACUUAUCUCUCUAUCGCUCUGUCUAUAUCAAAAUGGAAGAUUACGUAUGUUUCUCAACUGCAUCUUCAAAUUUAAAAGAAGAGUGUGCCUCUCUCUCUCUCUCUCCCUCUCCCUCUCCCCCCCCUUCUCUCUCUCUCUCUCUCUCUCUCUCUCUCUCUCUCUCUCUCUCUGUUAAGUAACAAGAUGUCAAUAAAUGUUGCAGGAAAAGUACUCUGGGCCCUUAGUUACCAUUGUAUGUCCGGGAGAUGAAAUUCCAAAUUGGUUCGUACAUCAAAAUGAGGGGGCUUCAAUAAAUGUCAGGCUUCCUGCAAAUUGGUUUCGUGAAGGUUUCUUGGGUUUCGCUCUCUCUGUUGUUGCAUCCCAACUCUUUGCUUCAGAUGUGAAGUUUGAAUGCAAGUACAAUUUCAAAACUGGAGAGGGGGAAAGUCAUGAAAUCAAUUGUUAUUUCAAUUUAGAAAUUAACGAUGAAGGAAUUUGUCAUUACUCAUAUCUACAACAUGUGUUCGUACUGUAUAAAGACCUUGAAUAUGAAGAGAGAACAAAAUGGUCCUCUGCUUUUUACGACUGCGUCACUGAGGUCUCUGUUCACUUCUGGCAAGAAAAGGGAUUCAAGACAGUGGAAAAGUGUGGCAUGUGCCUGUUGUAUGCUGAAGAUGCUGAGAAAUUAAAAUGUGAUGUCAUGUCGCGACAAGAACAAGAUGAGCAUGCAGCAAGUGGGAGUGGUGAUCCUGAAGCCAGUGGAAGCAAUGAAUCUGAGGAAGCAAGUGGAAGCGAUGAUUCUGAGGGUGAAAGUGGAAGCGACAAGGAAGCAAAACAAAACGAAGAGUCUGGGGAAGCAAGUGGAAGAGAUGAGUCUGGGCAAGCAAGUGGAAGUAACGAGCCAGAUGCAAGUCGAAGUGAUUAGUCUGUUGUUAGUUUAGGGCUCUCCUAAACUUCAAUGUAAAAAAUAAUUUAACAAUAAAAAAUUGAGUAGUUCAUCCAGUAUUCAACCACAAUUCUAUGUUAAACGUGUGAAAUAUAUUAAAAUUGUCUACAUCUAUCUCAAAAUCUAUUUACAUCCUAAUUAAGGAAAGAGUAAGAGAUGAGAAAUUUCAUACCGACUAGCAGUCCUUGUUUAAGAAAUAUAAAGUAUUCAUUGAGCUCUACAAAUAUAACUAAUACCUGCGCCAUAAUAGACCACCUAUCAAUUAAGAUUGUUAUACAAACCAAAGAAUUCAGUUGAUUCAAAAAUCGAAAGCCCAUAACAAAAUUUAUCUAAUAUAUUAAGACAAAAACAAAACCCAAACAGAUACCUUCUAGCAUUUCCUUUAGAGAAAAUUUUCUCAAAAGAGAAAACAAUAAAAUCAUUGACAAAUAGAUACAACAAAGAUAAAAUUCAUUGGAACUCCUGUUGAAAAAAAUAAUAAGCAACAUUUACGGAAGAAAAAUUCAACGAUAUUGAGAAAAUUACUUAACCUUCUUUGUCAUUGAUAAUUAUAUUGACAAAAUUUGAUAUAGAAUCAACGAUAUUGAGAAAAGAGAAAAGUGCAAGGCCUUUGAGCUUGUUUUUAAUUUCCUCAUAAACAUACGAACAUAAAGAAAGAAAAAAAUGAGUGCAAAUAAAACAUUUUGAAAUACGAUUUUCUUUGAUCAUAUUCACAUCUUUCAUUUUAAGAACUUACCUCUGAAAAUGCCAAUCUAUCAGCAACAUCAUUUGUGCACUCAAAAAGCCUUAUUACCUGAAAGCAAAAGGCACUUUUAAAAACCCUGGACCUUGGUUAUAAUGAAGGUGAGGCACAGUAGGAGCUGGCCUUAAGUUCAGUUGCAGAGUAUAAAAAUUUGAGGAAGAAAGAACAAUGAAGGGCCUCUGGUGGUAAACAUUCUCGCUCACCUCUUGGGUUGUCCAAGCGCAAGCGCCAGCAAAUGCGAGAAGCUUCCCAUUGACUUUCUCAUUUCUUAAACCUAUAAAGGUCAGAGGAGCCACAUCCUAAUACCAAAAAUAAAAAGUGUUCAGAAACCAUAACGAGAGGUAAACAAAAAGAAAGUAGCUCUAAAAUCAACCAGGGAAACGGUCAAAGCAUGAUUAAACUGGGUGUCCAUGUAUGCAAUUCUUGUGGGGGCAUCUGUUCCCCAUACUGAUUUCUCUUCUAAUAUAGGCACUGCAAUACUGCAUACCGUCCAAUAAUUCCCUGAGAAUAAAACGUAAAGAUAAGCCCUUUCACUUAGUAGCUAGUACAAACAUCAAAAUAGAUAUUCCAUCUCACAACGAAACACAAGAAACUGUAAUGAGAGAAGGAUAUCUAGCAUACAUAAUUAUUGAUUGUUUUAUGAAAUCAUGUCCUUGGAAAGAUUCCUUUCCGAACAUAUGAUCAUUCUCCACGCAUAUGCAUACCUCUUCAGGGUGUGUGUGUGCUUAGAUGCAUGCCUGUGUUUUGAAUGAUUUUUACACGUGCAACUUCUUAUAACUCUGACUGGUUUAAUUGUUGUUUCUGAUAAAGAAAGUAAAUGGGGGUUGGAGGAGUGCUAUAUGAGAAUAAGAAUAAUAAGAAGAUACGGAAAUUAAUUUGAAACAUCAAGCUGACAGUGAAGCACAAAUCUGGAUAUGCAAGUAACAAUAUAGUAAGAGAGGAAGUUUAAGUUUAAGUGAAACCUAUUUUUUAUUUGAACAAGGAAUAACAUAAAGCCCGAUACUGUAAAGCAAGCAGGAAGCUAAAAUUAGACAACGAACAAACAGUAGCACUCCAAUGUCUUAUAAAAUUUAUAAAAAUUUAUAAGAGUUAGUGAAUUGGAAUUACAUUGACAACAGUAGCACGCCAAUCUCUUAGAAAAUCGGCAGGAGUUGGUCUCAGCCUAACCAAGCACCUAACAUCAUGUCCCUCAUCAAGUGCUCUCCUCACAAUCUGCCUCCCCAGAGUCUCGGUGGCGCCGACAACCAGUAUGCUGGAGGGUCUGACGGGUGUCCCCCGAGCAAGAUUCACAGCCCCAGCUCCCGCCCUGGCCGUACAUUUCAUGAAACGCCACGUAUUGGUCCCUGCACACACAAAUCAAAAAUUGAAAAUUCAGUUCUUUUCAAAUUUGAAUAUAAAUAAUGGGUUCUUUUCAAGUUUGUAAACAAAAAUAUGGGUUUUUUUGCGAUUUGUGAAUAAAAGUGGAAAAAUGAAAGCUUUCCUGUUGAAGGGAGGAGACGAAUGAGUGGCGGUAGAGGUGGAAGGAGAUGACGAAGGAAAGAGAUGGUCUGGAGCUAAAGUCCGGCACCAUGAGAGUGAUGCUUGGAACUAUGGCGUUUCGGAGUCACGGUGAUGGAGGGUAGGAUGCCUCCAAGCCAUUGCCAUUUUCAAAGCUUUCUCUCUAUCUGUCACCGUAUGGAGUCUGGAAGGACUCUUUCAUUUUACAGAGAGAGAGGAGGGGGGGGGGAUGGAACGAACGGGAAAUGGAUUCUCUCCUAAGCAUCUGCUCAGGAUCCUACUGACCCAUACACAAGGGUCGUUGGAUUUUCAUCCAACGGUUACAAACAGAAGAACUCUUUUAAGCGACUGACCCAUACACAAGGGUUGUUAGAUUUUCAAUCAACAUGUGUUGGUCAGUAGGAUCCUGAGUAGAUGCUCAGGAGAGAAUCUUUCCAAACGAUUGAGCUCAGUGUUGCCAGGUCAUUCUCCAAGUGGACAGAUUUUCUGCCACUUGUCGCUGCUCAUUUCUGUCAUACGACCCGACCCGGCCCUGGCAUAUUCAAGGCCACUUUGGGCCGAUUUCCAAACGAAGCCCAAUUAGUCGAGACAAAGGAAGGAUGUGAAAAUUUGAAGAAAACGAUUCUUUACAAGAGUUGAGUUGAUUUGAUCAAAUUUAAAUUCCUUGCAUUGCAAAUGGUUGUCCAUUGAGCAAGUUGAAUCGUUAUUAAGCAUUAAUGAUUGGAAAGGUAUUUGCACCGGUGGUAUUGGAAAGACCACCAUCCACGGCCAUAUAUAAUCAAACAUAAAUCGCAUAUAUGUAGGUGUAGGCAUGGUAUUAAAUAUCGAUAAUAUCGGCGAUAUUUCGCCGAUAUUAUCGUUUUUCAGAGGCUCCGAUAUUUUCCCACAUAUCCGUCUCAUUAUCGUCAAAAUAUCGCGAUAUUUUCGAUAUUAUCGAAAGUCAUCGUGGAUCCGUCGUCGGAAAGGCAGUCGAGGCUGCGUCGUCCCCCCAGCUGCCGAGAUCUCUCUGCAAUCCAUGCUCAAACCCAAUAUCUGCGCCUCAACGACGCCGAUUCCCCCGCCGUUGUCGAAGUCGCGGCGAAAGAGCUCGCAGAACGGAUUGAAGUAGCUCUUGGGUUGAAGCAGGCGUAGAUCCACAACUCCAGAACGGAUCGAGCUCGCAGUUGUAAAUCCACAACUCGUGGUCUGUCCCCACGGCGAAGCGGGCGUGGUCUUGGGUUGAAGCAGACGUGGAACAAAGACGGAGGCGAGCGCGGCGCCAGCGGGGUAGUCUCCGGUGGGAGGAGGAGAAUGGGUGGUUGUUGUGGAGGUUGAGGUUGGGGUUUGGGGGCGAUUGGGGGUCGUGGUGGUCGUCGCUGAAGUCAACGACAGAGGUGGGGUUGUUUUCGGUGGGAUCGGUGAGGAAGGCGGAGAAGGAUCAAGAGAACUCAGAGUUCUUGGGUUCGCCGACGAGGCGGAAUACGCGGACGAGGAGGAAGGCAAGGGAGGAGGAGAAUGCCAUGUGGAAGAAGGAUCGAGAAAGGUCUAUGUGCGUGUGUAUGGGAGAAGGGAGAAGAGAGAAGGAUCGAGAAUUCGAGAGAUCUAUUGAUCUGUGUGUGUGUUUGUGGGAGAAGGGAGAGGGAGAAUAGAGAAGGAUCUAGAGACAAGUCGUGUGUGCGUGUGUGGUGUGCGUGUGUGGUGGCGUGUGUGAUCCCUCUGUGUGUGUGUGUGUGUGUCGGUGGCGUGUGUGUGUAGGUGGUGUGUGACGGUGUGAGAAAAGAAAAGCAUGGUAAAUAAUUCAACUUUUACAUCUUUUAGGAAUGGUACAAUGUAUAAAGUGUAAAAUAUUGUACUAAUUCAUUAUAUAUAAAUGAUUAUGGUGUGUUUAAACGUUUUUCAUUAAUUACUACAUAUUUUCUACACUCACAAUGUUUGCCAGCUCGCUAUAUAAUCAACUUGAUAAUGUUAAAUCCAUCAUGCAAUGCAUUUCCUUCUAAUUUUUUAUGAUAAACUAAUAGAUAAUUGACUAAAUAAACAUCCUGCAAAAUUUCAAUAAAAAUUUCCAAGUUUUUCUUACAAUUUCCGUGGUUUCCAUGUAAUUUUUAUCGAUAUCGAUAUUAUCCCGAUAUUUCCAUCGAUAUUUCCGAUAUUUUCUUCCUUGUGUGUAGGUAGCGUUGUGUUUAUGGAUUUUAUUCAAUAUGGGAAUCGCAAAAGCAUGAGUUUUCCCCCUUCCAAUUUGAGCGCAAUUGAUCAUAUCCCGCUCUUGUAUUGCUGGUUCCACACACAGCCUCUAUACCCAAAAUCCACCCCCCCCCCCCCCAAAAAAAAUUAAUACGUAGUCCUUAUACAAAAUCAACCAACAAAUGAAAAAGAAAAAAACCAUUUUUUUCAAUCAUUUUCUCAUCAACCAAAUGGAGCACAGAUUGGGAAAUGAUUAAUCACCAGCAUGGGGAACAACUUGCUGAUACCAUUCAUGACCACAGCCUGCACAAUCUCAAAGUUCCUCAUAAUUCAUUUUUCUUUUACAAUUUACUGGACAAAUGCAGAAUUUGAAUGAAUUGUUGUCAUUAGAUUAUCUUCAAAGGAAAUGUCAAAUUAUAAAAGUUAAAUUACAAUUGAUGCUUGAUGUGGCAAUCUAAAGUCUUAUAUCAAAUUUUGUGUUUUUCCAACCGAAUUGUCAUAUAUUAUUUUAUUAUUUAAAUAGAGCUUUAAAUGGUUGUAAUUUAAAAAAAAAUGUUGAAAUAAAAUUUUUAUUAGCUGAAAUGUUAGUGGAAUAAGGGACCCACCAUUAAUAUGAAUUAAAAAUAAAUUUAACAUUAAUGUCAAAUUUGACUCCAAAUUACAAAGCAUUCAAAUCUAGUAAGCAAAUAACACUUCGGUUGGAGAGACUUUUGAUGUCAAAUAUGCACAGUGGCAUUCCACCUAGGAUUUUGACAUCUCCUUUGGAGAUGCUCUAACAUAAACAAAUGCAAAAUUUGGAUGUUGUAACUCCAAUGGAAGAUCAGGCUACAAAUUCAAAACAUAAAAACGCAAAUUAAACACAAAAUUCAAAAUUAGCAAUGCAAAAAUCCAAAUUAAACACAAAAUUAAAUUGCUUUAAGAGACAUAAGCUUAGGAACACAAAAACCUGAAACUUUUCGAAAGUGCAUAAAGAGAGAGAAAAUACAACUUGGAGUAAAGUUCGGAAUUUUACCAAAGGGGUUUCUGAGGAGGCAUAAAGAGGAGGAGAUCGGCAAGAGAGAACUUGAGAGCGGUGGUGGUUUAGUUUUAUAAAAACUUUCAAAUACAUCCAAAAUAUCACUUAAAUAGACACAAAUACACUUAAACUUUAAAACCAAAUAAAUUAAAAAACCAAAACCCUAUUAGAUGAAAAUUUAUGGCGGCAAAACCUAAGAAAUGGUGGAGACGUAAUGAAGGCAUCGGCUAUUGGUGGAGACUUGUAUAGCCCUAAACAAAGGUGAGUGUAGAUGGUUGAUUUUUUGCAUUUUUCCUCAUCUACAUUUUCUCUUUGCUUUUAUAGUUUUUUUUCCUUUGAUUGAAUAUUUAUUGAAAAACGAAUUGUCAAUCUUUGUAACGUUAUUUAUCUCAAUCCUUUGAAUUAUAUGUGAUUCAUAUUUAGUUUUCCGCACUUUUUUAAUUAUAAAUGGUGUUGUCCGUGUUCAGAUUCUGUUUUGAAGGUUAUUAUUGACUAUGUAGUGAAUCAAGAGACUGUUGUUCUUAGAAAGCGCAAAAAGCAUAAUUUUUUUUUUCAAAUGAUAGAAUUUUGUUAGAUUAGCUACUGACAGGAUUUGAAUUCACGUCAUCAUGCAAGGGCUCAACACCUUUGCACCACUGUUGUAAAGGGCCACUUGCAAAAAGCAUAAUUUUAAGGUUUACAGAUUAAAACUUCUUAUUAGAAAAAUUAGGUUCCUUGUGUGAAUGGAAGAUUGACAAAUCUAAUAGCAUUUGCCAAUCAGUUAGAGACAAAGCUAAUAAAAAUUCUUUUGGUGCAUAUUAGAAAAAUUAGGUUUAAGAAAUAGAAAGUUUUCGUUCUUUGUGUUUUUAUUCUUCUUAUCUUGGUUUGGAAAUUAUCAAUUAAUUGUACUAAUAAUCUGGGCAAUAUUAAAUUAAUUUUUUUCAAUGCGUAUGUCACUUUUUUCUUUUCUUAUUGUUAUGCUCUUCCAGGAAGAUGUCUAGUUUGACAAUUUUAGUGAACUAUGGUAGGAGGUGGGCUGACAAAAUUGCAAAACAAAAGAUUAAUUGUUUCAGAUAAAAUUACAUUUGCGGAGCUUCAGAAGAAAGUACAUGGUAUUGUGAAUGUGGACCCAGACGAGUAUGAGAUAAGUAUGAAAGUCAUAUAUAACACAACAGAAACUACAUAGCAUGCAUAUAUAGUUGAUGAUGAUGUCGUGAGGGCAUUUAUCUUUGAAAACCUUUCGAGGUCUUGGAAGAUUUCAUUGUGUGUUACAUUAAAGCAGAAAGUAUUUUCUUUCGAAGACUGUAAAACUAAGAGACCCCGUGGUGAGUCUGAAGGAAGCGGAAGUGAUACUUUUAGCUCUUAUGAGGAAGAAGAUGACCCUUCUUCAGAGAAUUCAAAAGAAAUCAAAACUGGAGGUGCAAGAAGAAGAUGAUCCUUCUUCAGAGAAUUCAAAAGAAAUCAAAACUGGAGGUGCAAGAUCAACUAUGUUCAUAGAGAAAAAAAACUUGUGGUAAUUGAGUUUCUAUGUUUUCUAACAAAGGUUUAGGGUUUAGCCAAUGCUCUUGCUAGCUUGGGGUCUCUCAUGUGGUUGUUUUUCUUAUUUUAUGCAUGCUGCCUCCCAUGUACCUGGAGGUGCAAAAUCAACCAUGUUUAUAAAGAGUAAAUUAUAUGGUCUCUCUCUCGUAGAUGUACACUCUAUUCUUAUGGCUCAUUUCGUGAGUAUUAUACAUUGGAAUCAGUUGAAUUGCAAAAUUGAUAUAAGUCAAGGUAUGAGGGAAGACCGAGAGUCCAUGACAAAUAAUUUUUCAUUUGAAGGGGGUUUAGAAGGGAUUAACCAUGAAGGAAAUUAUCCCUCUGUUGACCCUAAAAACUACAAAAUCUACAUAGCGUGCAGGCCAAAUAAUUAAUAAACAAACUACGUCCUUCGGUUGUGUACGGGGCGUGCCAACUCGUCGGGCGAGUUUGACCGGGGAGUAAAAUAUGUUGAUGAGGCGUUUGAGCGCACUAUUGACUUCUUGAUCUCGCGACUGCAACCGAGAAAGGAUUACGUCUCGGACUUCAGGUUUUAGAGCAUGAAGACAAGGUUGCUAUUUCUGCGAAGUUCACAAAUUGCCGACUGCGGGUUCAAUCUCAGUAAUUAUAUUCGUGAGAGUAUAAGUACGCCGAACUAGCACCAGACUUUACGAACACAAAUACUCGAAAGAAAUAAAUGUCUUGAUGGUAAAUGUGGUUCGACUGUCAGAAUGCUGAACUCUAAAAUGUACCUGCGAAUAUCCAAUCAUAAAGUAAAAUUCGGCUUUCAUUGUGCCGAGCUUAGUAACUUGGUAACACCUCACUUCGUCGAGAAAGCUGAUGAGAUGACGUCUACCAACAAGGACUUGAAAAUCCUUGUCGACCUAGACUUGGAUAAUAAUCAGUUGGCCUUGAAGCAGUGAUGUUUAUCCAAACUGAAAGUGCCCCUUAGUCGGCUGAUUCUACGGCUCUAGUGUUAUUUAUCCAAACUGAAGAUGUCGCCGGUUGCCUUCACAGUGUUCUCUAUCCAAAUUGAAGAUAUGUUGGCAAGAAGAAAGGGGAAGAUGAUAAAAUCUCAAGGUUGCUGAGAAGCUUUGCGCACGGUAAUUUAUGUGUUGAUUUGAAUGGGCCUUGAAUGAUGCACUCCCUUCUCUAUUUAUAGUAGCGAAUCCCUUUCAUGGCCAAACUAGAAAUGUACUCGGAUUAGAAUUCCUCAACCCAAUCUAAUUAGGUUUCGGCCAAUCCUAGCUUCAAUAGGACUUUGAACCAAGCUCCAUAACGAACCAGAUGCAUCCCAUUCUCCUUGUUGCACUAGGGUUCGACUACCUCACCGUUAUUUAAACCAAUCAUUCACGCAAUAGGAUUCGGCCAACCUUGACUGGAUGGUCCAUAACAAGAUUCUAAACGAAUGCUACUGGGCCGAGAAUGACUCUAAGGUCGGCCCAAAAUAUCAUUUUUGGCCUAAACACCCUCCUAAUCCUAGCAUUUUGUCAGGAUUGAAAGAGAUAAAUAAAAAAUCGUGAUUUUUUUCUUCAAACACUUUUUUGUGUGCGUGGAAAUUAUUUAGGGCUUGUUUGACAAAUGAUUUUAAACGACUGAAAGCGCUUUUGGAUAAAACGUUUUGAAACCAAACCUUAGAAAAAAAAUACAAGUUAAUUCUAGAAAAGCAUUUGAAGUGUUUCCAACAAGAAGCACAUUAUUACUCGAUAUCGAUUCCCUGUUAGAUAUCUAGUAUGCAUGUUGUCCAAAUUUUCAUCAUAUAAAAUGUAAACUCUCCUUAUCACUCGUUUCGUGCGUAUGAUACAUUGGAAUCGGUUGAAUUGCAGAAUUCAUAUAAUUCCAGGUAUGAGGGAAGACUGAGAGCCGGAGACAAAUAAUUCUCAUUUGUAGGGGAUUACAAGGGAUUGGCCAUGAAAGGAAUUAACCCCUCCUAAUCUUAGCAUUUUGUGGGGAUUGAAAGAGAUAAGCAGCAAAUCGUUAUUUUUUCAAGACACUCCCUUUUUGGUGUGGAUGGAAGUUAUUUAGGGCUCGUUUGACAUGAGUUUUUAAACAAUUGAAAACGCUUUUUAAUACAAUGAUUUUGAAAUCAAACUUUAGUAAAAAUACAAGUUAAUUCUAGAAAAGUAUUUGAAGUGCUUCCAACAAGAAGCAUAUAACUAGUGCUUUUAGAAUUCAAAAAUAUUUUCUCUAAAAAUGCUUUCAGUCAUUUAAAAACACUUGCCAAAUGAGCCAUUACACAUCACAUUUCGGAAACUACUUCCAAAAUAACAAAUAUAGGCCAAGAAAACAAUUAGAGUAAAAAAUAAAUUUAUAAAGUUGAUAAGAAAUACUAAAUUAGAAUUUCUUUGAGCCCUCAAUCUCUGAGUGGAGGGGGCUUCCAAACUUUGAACGACGACGUAAUUAAGUUGUGAUGGUGAUGCAUGAUGAUGAGGAUGGAGUUUGGCUACAUGUCGCAACUCUUAUCACUAUACCAUUUAGUAUUACAAUUUAAAAUACAACUUCAUUUGUAAAUAAAAAAGAUCUUACUUUAAUUAAAUUAAAUUUGAAUUAUAUUAUUACUAAUUCAUUAUAAGAUUAAAAUCACAAUUUCCGUAGAUAAUAUUGUCUCUUCUAAAAAAAAAAAAACAAAACUCUUUUCAUUAUAUCAUUUUAGUUGGGACCCGACCCGACCCGCCCGACCCGUCCCAUUCCAGUUAUGGGUUGUUUGGUGUAGAAUGGGUGAGCAAGCCAUACAAGACAUUUGGUUCCAAGUUUGGUCAAAUCUCUGCAUACAUUUCCUCUUCCCGGAAAGUGGAAAUUAAGGUAAUCCCUCUGCAACUUUCAACUUCUUAAUAAUUUCCUGAGGCUGAGGUGCAGUUCAUCCUUCCUUAAUUACAUUUGUCUCUUACUUAGCAUUUAAUCUCUCUGCAAUUUGUAACUUUUUAUUUACGCUCCGACAGUUCUGUAUGACAACACAAUCUCUUGUUGUAUCUUUAAUAUAGUAAAAAAGAUGGUAAAUUUCUGGUUUAAGAUCCGGAGAGGAUCUUCGUUGUAAUUUAUUUCGGUUAUUGAAAAGAAAAAAUGGUAAAAUCAAUAUGUAUUAUGUAUGAAUUUGGCAAAAAUGAGCUUGGUUAUGGUGAAAGUAUGAUGCUUUGACUUGUGGGUUUGCAGUUUAUGAAUGAUAUGGCUGAUUCUUCUUCUGCUUCGGAUAUCAUCUAUCAAGAAAAAUAUGAUGUGUUUCUUAGUUUCAGAGGUGUUGACACCCGCGAUACUUUCACCAGCCAUCUCUAUUCCGCUUUAGUUCGGAAGAAAAUUGAGACCUACAUUGAUUACAAGCUUGAGAGUGGUGAUAAAAUUGCACCUAACCUUCUAGAAGCAAUCGAAAAAUCAAAGCUUUCGGUCAUCAUUUUCUCGAAAAACUAUGCUUCUUCCACAUGGUGUUUGGAGGAACUUGCGCAUAUACUAGAAUGCAAGGAUAGAUACGGACAGAUUGUUGUACCCAUUUUUUACGGCAUAGAUCCAUCCCAUGUACGAAAACAGCAGGGGAGUUAUGGAGAUGCAUUUGCUCAACUUGAACAACGUUUCAAGGACAGUAUGGACAAGGUGCUCAAGUGGAGGGCUGCUUUGACGGAUGCAGCCGAUAUCUCUGGGUUUGAUGCCUCAAACAAAACAGGGUAACUAACUAUCUAACUUGUAUCAAUUUCUACUACAAUAAUUGUUAAGGCAUACUAAAUACAUACUGUUUGUGCUGCACAAUCAUAUUUUCCAGGACAGAGGCCGAUUUUGUUGAGAAAGUUGCCCAAGAUGUUUUGAGCAAAUUGAACCACAAAUCGUCAAGCAACUUAAAGGGCCUGGUCGGAAUUGAAAUCCAAAUUGAGCAAAUUGAAUCAUUAUUAUGCAUUGAUUCACCAGAUGUUUGCACUGUGGGUAUUUGGGGAAUGGGUGGUAUUGGCAAGACUACCCUUGCUGAAGCUGUUUUUCACCGACUCACUUCUAAAUUUGAGGCUUCAUGUUUUCUUCCAAAUGUGAGGGAGGAGUCAGAAAGACAUGGACUAAAGCACUUGCGGAAUGUACUUCUUCGUGAGAUACUAAACGAAAAAGAUCUAAAUAUUGACACUCCAUCUAUAGGACGAAGUUUUGUUCGAGAAAGGCUCAGCCGUACAAAGGUACUCAUUGUUCUUGACGAUGUGAAUGAUUCAAGCCAAUUGGAACUUCUAGUUGGUGAUGAUAUUCAGUUUGGUUGCGGAAGUCGAAUCAUUAUAACAACUAGAGACAGACGACUACUUAAGAAAAUGGCUGAUGCUGACAAGAUAUUCAAGGUUGAGGGAUUAAGGUGUGAUGAAGCUCUUCAGCUCUUUCAUUUGCACGCUUUCAAAAAUGACUCUAUGGGGUCAUAUUAUACAGAGUUGUCAAGAAUGGUGGUCGAUUAUGCCGGAGGCAUACCACUAGCUCUUAUAAUUUUGGGCUCCUUAUUCCUUCACUGUGAGAGCAAACAAGACUGGGAAGAUCAAUUGAACGAGUUGAAAAAGUUUCCCAACCGUAAAAUUCAGAAUGUGUUGAGACUAAGUUACGAUGGAUUAGAAAAAAAUGCAAAGGAGAUAUUUCUUGAUAUAGCAUGUUUUUACAAAGGGAUGGAUAUACGUCUUGCAAAAGAAAUGUUAGAUAUUCGUGGUUUUUUUGCAGGAGGUAUUAAAGUUCUCGUUGAUAAGUCUCUCAUUUCAAUUUCAGAGAUGAACUGCCUAGAAAUGCAUGAUUUACUACAAGAAAUGGGACUGGAAAUGGUUCGUGAGCAGUGUAUUGAGGAGCCCGGAAAACGCAGUAGGUUAUUCAUUAAGGAGGAUGUCUCUCAUGUGUUGAAGAAUAAUACAGUAAGAGCCAAAUGCAUUCAUUUUCUUUUUCUAUAAAAAAAAAAAAGAAAAAAAAAUCUUGAAUUCUAUGAAAGACACCAAGAAGUAACUCAUUUAUGAUUAAAAAAAAAAUCAGAAUAUUUUGUUGUCUACUGCAUCCUCGUUUAUACUUCUGGUCUUUUGUUUGUCAGGGAACUGCAACAGUUGAAUGCAUAUUCUUUAAUAUGUCUAAGAUUAAAGAGCUACACUUGAAUCCCGCAGCCUUCAAAAAGAUGUAUAAUCUGAGAGUGCUGGAGAUCUAUAAUUCUUCUAGCUUGGACAAUAAGUGCAGCAAAUUGUACGUUCCUGAAGGUCUUCAGUCUCUUCCCGAUACGCUUAGUUAUCUUCACUGGGAGGGAUACCCUUUGAAAUAUUUUCCAUCAAAAUUUUCUCCUCAAAAUCUCGUUAACAUUCAAAUGGCCCACAGUCAAGUCGAACAGCUUUGGAGUAAAGGCCAGGUAUAUUCUUAUUUUAGUUCUUGUCAAAAACUUAGUGUGGAAUUAUCUGGCUUUGUUAUGCAUUCUUGUCAUUCCUCUUUUCUUUCUACAGAAACUUGCGAAUUUAAAAGUGAUCGAUUUUAGCUUCUCCAAACACCUGACUGAAAUUCCAGAUCUCUCCCUGAGUCGCAAAAUUGAACAUAUAAAUCUUGGUUGCUGUAAAAGUUUGGUUGAAAUUCCUUCGUAUUUUCAAUAUCUUGACAAACUUAGUUUUCUUGGGCUGAGAGGAUGCUCGAAUCUCAAAUAUCUUCCGGAGUUGCCAAUCAGCAUUAAAACCUUAUAUUUGUCAGAGACUGCAAUAAAGGAAUUGCCUUCAUCAGUUUGGUCAAACGAAAAUCUUUCUCACCUGGAUAUCGAAUUUUGUAAAGAUCUUGAGAAUCUUCCAAGCUGCAGUUGCAAGCUGAAAUUCCCCUUUCGGUUUAGUAUAGAGGGCUGCUCAUCACUUCGCAAGGUUUGGGAACUUCCUAGGGAUAUACAAGAGUUAUUUUUGAAUGGGACAGCAAUAGAAACAUUGCCUUCAUCAAUUGAGUGUCUCUUUGGUCUUACUGAAAUUGGACUGAAAGAUUGCAAAAGUCUCGUCAGUCUCCCUACGAGCAUAUGUAAGUUGAAAUGUCUUGAGGGACUUGAUCUCACUGGUUGCUCUAAAUUUGAAUGCUUCCCAGAAAUUUUGGAGCCUAUGGAACAUCUGAAGUUUCUUUCAUUAAAGGGAACAGCAGUUAAAGAGCUACCUUCAUCAAUCGAAUUUCUCUCUCAUCUCCUAAUCAUUGACUUGAAAAAUUGCCAAAGAUUCAUGAGUCUCCCGAAGAGCAUUUGUAAGUUGAAAUCCCUUUGGAAGCUUAACCUGAAAGAGUGCUGUAGAUUCAACUGUUUCCCUGAAAUCUUGGAGCCUAUGGAACGUCUAGAGUUUCUUAGUUUAAGAAGGACAGCAGUUAAAGAGCUGCCCUCAUCAAUCGAAAAUCUAAUUGGGCUUGAAACAUUAGAUCUCCGUCUGUGCAAGAAGCUUGAGUUUGUCCCAAGCAGCAUCUACAAUUUAAACUGUCUUAGAACUCUCAGUUUUGAUGGCUGUUCUAAACUUAAAAAAUUGCCUUCAUCCUCAUUUGGCUUUAACGAUUUGGAAGAAGCAACUCUCAGUUAUUCCGGUAUAUUAGAAAUCCCUGAUCGCCUCGUUUGCUUAACCUCAUUACGAGGAUUAGAUCUAAGAGGAACCAUGGUUAAGUGGAUACCAGCAAGCAUCAAACAAGCUUCUCGGCUGUCUUGCCUGUUGUUAAAUAAUUGCAAAAGCCUUCAAUCUUUACCCGAGCUCCCAGGGGUACGUUGGCUGGAAGCACAUGGUUGCACUUCUCUGGGGAAAGUGUCAAGUUUAAGGACUCAACUUGUACAAGGUCGUGAUGAUUAUGAACAUGGAGUUUAUGGUAGGAUCCCCGAGAAACUUAUAUUUUCUGGUUGCUUGAAAUUGGAUGAGAAUGCGCGGAACAGCAUAAUGGACGACGCACAUCUUCGAAUUUUGCGAAUGGCGGCGUCACACAAUGUGGAAUCGUUGGAUGGAAAUUCUUUAGUUACCAUUGUAUGUCCAGGAAAUGAAAUUCCUAAUUGGUUCGGAGCUCAAAAUGAGGGAUCUUCGAUAAAUAUCAGUCUUCCUCCAAAUUGUUUUGGGUCAGACUUCUUGGGCUUCGUUUUCUCUCUUCUUGUUGAUUUUGACAACUAUAUGUUGAACAAGGAUUGGAGUUCGGAUGUAAAUCCACACUCAAAGGGAAUAGUGGUAAAAGCCAUGAAUUUAGCUGUCGUUUGUGUGAUCGACUGUGGGGUGAAACCCAAGGUGAAGAAAGCAACGGCUACAAUUUCAAUUCGGACCACGUGUUUGUGUGGUAUAAUACAUUUGACCUUGUGGGGGGAGCACAAUGCUCUACUGCUCUUCACAAUGGUGUCACUGAGGCAUCUGUUGAGUUCUACCCCAAAGAUCAUCAUGACAGACCACUUAACUCAUACACAGUGAAGGUAAAAAGGUGUGGUGUCCGCCUGUUGUAUGCUGAAGAUACUAAGUAAUCUGAUGUCGCGUGACGGAGCUAAGAGUAGCGGAAGAUACUAAAAGUCUGAGAAGUUGUGAUGAGUCUGAAGCAAGCGGAAGUGAUACUUUGAGUCCUUGUAAGAAACAAGGGGAUGACCAGUACCCGAAAGGGAACAAAACUCGAGGUGCAAGAUCAACUAUGCUCGAUUGUAGAGAAAAAACUAUUGUAGACUUGGUAGUCUAAUUUAAAAACUGUGGUAGUCUUUCUUGUUUUGUGCUUUCUGCUCUCCCAUGUACUGAAAGAAAUAAAACAAAUCAUUCCCGUCCGAAAUUCGAUUGUAAUGCGAUUUAAGAUACGUAUUCUACAUCAAACAUUUCAUGAAAUUAGUUGAAAUACCAAAUAGCGUAUAAAUUGGAUUUUUUUUUUCUCCAUUGAAAAAGUACGGUCUUCUUCUAUAGAGCACACGUCAAGCUGGAAGACUGAGAAUUUUGCGAAGAGAAAAACAAUGAGCAAAAUGUUCGAAAACCGUGCGAAAGGGCCUCGUUAUGUUGUCAUGAUAAUUUUAAAUUUGUGCAGUUUUGUUGAGUUGCCACCAGAUAGUCAGAGUUGGAUGGCUUGAAUUCCUUGGAAGUUUCCUUUCUAUUUUUUUAAUUUUAGUUUUAAGUUUAAUUAUUUUUGGUUGUUAACGUCUGGUGAUUUUCCUACAUUGUUCUUGUGCAAAUAGUCACUACAAAUGUUAAAACAUAAAGGGAUCUCUGCAACUGUUUUCUAGCUCUCAUGCUUAAUUUCGUCGUGAUCAGUGCAACGUCUUCUUAAUUAGGUUGUUUUGGUCGUAAUAUUUUGCAACUUCUAUCUUGGUCUGGACUCCGGAGGUAAUCCAACUGAAUUUUGCUGUUGCAUAAAUUAUCUGUCGAAAGAUCACUCAUUUCUUAUUCAUAUACAGCCAAUUUGCAUGUUUUGACUUGUAGGUGUGCAGGUUGUGGAUAGGGAGGUAUGGCUUCAUCUUCUUCUUCUUCUCCUCCUUCUGGACCCUCUCGUCGCGAGAAGUAUGAUGUAUUUAUUAGUUUCAGAGGUGAGGACUGUUUGUGUUAAAACUUAAACUUUGGGCUAAGAAGGCAGUUGGCCCAAAUAGAGAAAGAAAAGCCCGAAGCUCAGCCCAAAACCCAGAAGGCAGAGAAGGCCUUUCCCGACUAGAUGCAGAUCAUUGGCACCACUUGCUCACCUACCCAAGGGCCAAGUGGUAUAGACCAGCCAGCUAAUCAGCCCAAAAAGUACUUUAUAAUGGCAGUACAAGUCAAUAGCUGAUGAGUCACUAUCCUUCAAACUGCAUUCGGGCAAGAUUAUUGCUACAGGAGGCCAAGCCAAGGUGUCUAUAAAAGGAGAAAGAGAAGUCAGAAUCAAGGACACUCAAACAAACAAAUACAAGCACAAACUCUGCUCAAAGCCAGAUUUGCCUUCAAAACGAAGCUGUAGUCAGCCCAAGCCUUCAUCCCCUUCGGGAUAAACCCUUUGUAAUAGCUCUGCUACCCUGUUAAACUCUUGCUGUAGUAUCGAUCUCUUUUCUGUAAAAUCACCUCCCAACCCUUUUUCUAAGUUUUCAAACCUUCUGAUAAACCACAAAGAUAGGAAGUUGCAAGACGAUCAGCCUUGCCUGACAAGUUGUAUCCAAGUUAUUUCUAGUAAUAUGGCUAUUAAAAGACUCUUUCAGCAUUUGAAUCCGAUUUGAAUGUCUUCACAGUUCAAGCCAGAUCCAAGUUCUAAGCCUUCGGGUAUAAGAUUUGAUCAUUCUAAAAAGUCCUUGGCCUCAAGGCAUAAAAAAGAACCUGAUGUGGACUUAACUCAUCCACUACAAGCUUUGAUAACAAGAAGUCCGAAGUUAAUUGGGGCGCAAGUAAUCGACCUGUCAUUUAGUUUUAUUGCUGUUAUAUUAUGAUUACCAUAUAGCGUUCGAGUACGGGAUGAGUUCUGAUGGGAAGCCUCAAGGCCUAUUCAAGGCCCCACAAAGGCACCUAUUUGGAUUCACCCUAUUUCUCGGGCAAGAACAUUGAGUAUAGAAGGGGUUCUCAUGGGAAGCCUCAAGACCUAUUCAAGGCCCCACAAAGGCACCUAUUUGGAUUCAUUCUGCUCUUUGAGCUCAGGUAAUCAGAAGUAUGAUGGUUAUAAGACCCAUAUAACCCACAAAAGGAAUCUUAUGUGUUCGAGUACUAAGUUAGUUAUUUAUGGGAAGCCUCAAGGCCUACACCUAAGGCCCAACAAAGGCACCUGUCAAUAACUAACAUAGUUUCGCGAAUAUAUAUAAUUAAACUCAAACAUCCGUUCUACAUCUGCCAUGCUGAAGAUGGCAGUGGGACGCCUGAGCACUUAAAGGUUAAUCCUGAUUGUGAGCCUCAAGGCCUACACCUAAGGCCUCACAAAGGCACCUUUCAAAGUUAACUCUGUCCUUCUCUUUCAGCCUUGCCCGACAAGCCCACCAGUAAAGCAGAAGCUCGACAGAAAGCAUCAACCGGCGCCAACCUCUCGGGGAGCUGUGUGCUCGUCGGACAGGAAGCAUCCCCCACUGAAAUUCCCGCCACGAACAUAGUUUUGGCACGCCCAGUGGGAUUUAUCAUUGAUCAAAGCAAUAUGUCAAAGGGAUCAGAAGAUUUUCAAACUGCUUUAUUGCACAUGCUACAAAAACUGGAGAACACAUCCGCAGGCUCCAAAAAAGAAGAUGAUCCGGUUUUAAGACCACCUAUUCCUACGUCUUUACCUCCCUUCGAGGAGAAAGAUGAUGGGGAGAAUAAGGGAUUUGAAACCAACCAACUAGAAGAAGCUGCCUUGACGGAUAAACAUACGGAUCCCUUCUCAAAGGCCCCUAUAAAUAUGAUCAGUAUGGCCUGGGCAGAGAAGAGGAAAGAGAAGGUCACAAGAGAAGAAGAAAGAAGACUGGUUGACAAACCCAUAAAGGGGUGGUUAACUUGUCUGAAUAUCCAAGAGCUGCAUAUUCAAAGGAAGGGUGAUGUGCAGUAAGUGCCAUUGCGAGUGUGAACUCGAAAUACCGCCCACGGGAGCUUUCAUAGAUCAUGAACUAAUCAGGAGGAAUGAAGAACAAAAGAGAAAAGAGGCACAAGAGAAAGCUUGGUGGACUGCAGGAAGGGAUACCUCCCGAAGUGUCUUUCAACGGUUAGGAGGUGAUUCCCAACCAAGGGCUUUAUCAGAAAUAUUUCGUAACCAUAAAGUUUCUGAGGAAGCAGAGGAUAAAGAUGCCAAGAAACCGAAAGAAAGAAGUACAGGGCACUCUCAGUACAGCCAUAUGGGAAGAGAGGUCAAGAGGAAUGACAGGAUAACAAACCCUGUUACAAAGGAUAAUCCUGCCCGCCUCGGGCGAAAAUGGUAUGUGGUCGGGAAGAAUGGACAGCCCGUUAAGAAGAUGGGAGCCUUCAUGGUCAGAAGAGUUCAGAAGCAACACAAAGCCUACAUGAAUUCCUUGAAAUCCCCAGCAACAUCGGAAGCAUCCAAAAAUCAAAAGUUGAAGAAAACAUCAUCUAGGGGGAGUAGUCAGCUUCACUGGAGAAGUAAGAAGGAGAUGGAAAAGGCUAACAGCAAGACUGAAGGCGAAGGAAACCAUGUGCCACAAAGCCUACACCCUGGAAAAUAUAGAAUCUUGAGGAGAGCCCAAGAAUAUGGUUAUGGUGCCAACUCCCGGAUGGAAGACGGAACAGCCUAUCUGUUUUGGCACAGUCUCACCUGAAAGAAAACAACCUUCUCUAUCACUAGAGGAUCCCCUCGGGGAAGUUCCAAAACAAACACCAUGUUCAGGUGUGAAUCAACUGAAGGGGGCACCAGAACCACUGCUUCCACCAGAUGCUAUGGCGUGGUUGGAUGAGUUCAUGGACCAAAUUGGGAGCAAAAAAGAAGAACUGCCAGAGCCUAGCAACUUUCAUGUAAACAUGGCGUAUGUGCUGUUUGCCAUGUUUGUUGCCCAACCAAAUCAACCCGCCGCCAUGGAAGGAGGUUAUGUAAUAACUGAGCCGAUGAUGGCUCAUGUCAGUGUAGAGGCAGCGGAAGAAGGAGAGUUGGGAAAUACUGCAUCAUCUGCAGCAUUCAAAGAAGGUCCUUUAAGGAUCUAUACAGACAAAAUGGUGUUAAACCGCCCGAACAUUUCACUUGCCAAUCAUCUGAAGCCCAUAUAUGUAACAGCUCAUUUGGAGGGGGUGCCCUUCAAAAGGAUUUUGAUUGAUGGAGGGGCAGCUGUUAAUGUACUACCAGCCAAGCAGAUGAAAAAGUUGGGAAGAGGCAUAGAGGAUCUUAUUCCUACAGACCUCACAGUUUCUAGUUUCUUGGGCGCUAUCACCAAGACUCUUGGGAUAUUGCCUUUAGAAGUAGAUCUAGGGUCUAAACAGAUUAUGCUGGCGUUCUUUGUAGUGGACUGCACCUCCACCUACAUAGCCUUACUUGGAAGAGAUUGGAUCCACCAAAGUCUUGUUAUACCCUCCACCCUACAUCAACAAGUGGCUGUGUAUCAUGAGGCAAGCGCAGAAGGGCCAGGCUUUUGGGAGAUGGUAGAGGCCGAAUCACGGCCAUUUCUUCCCACAGCCAAUGUAGCGGAAGCAAGUUUCUACAAUCCCAACGUAGGAAUUUUGAAAUGUUUAGGAGCAGAUGAGAACGGCCGCCCUACCAAGGUGACAGCCCAAAAGCUUCUAGAACAAGGGAUGCUCCUUAAUAGAGAGGAGUGCGAUAGACCUUGUAUCGUCCCAACACCCUUACACCAUCAAUGAUAGAACAAAAAAGGAAAGAUCAGGUAAUGGCAGUCAGAUCCCUGAUUAAACGACUGUUGGUGUAUGGGAAAGAAAGAAGACAAGAAAAUGAGCUCUUAGACAGAGAAGAGCAGGAAUGGCAGGUAGGAGCUUCAACCAGCCAGGAUGAAAGCAACGAGGAAUCUUGUCAAAAAGAAUUGGAAAGGGCCAUUCAAAUGGCCGAAUGUAUAUAUGACCUAGAUGAGCCAGACGACUUCCCCGAGAGCCCGGAGCUAGUCGAAUUUUUGUGUGCAGAACCUGAUAAGCCGCCACCAGAAGUCCAAGAUCCUCUGGAGGUUAUUGAGCUAGGAACAAAUGAGGAUCUGAGACCAAUACAAAUCAGUGGUUUAUUGGAGAGAGAAGAUCGGGCACAAAUUAUCUGUCUCUUGCAAGAAUUCAGAGAUUGUUUUACUUAGCAUUACACUGAGAUGCCGGGUUUAGAUGCAACCUUGGUGGAACACAGAAUGCCCAUCAAGGAAGGAUAUAAGCCGGUUAAGCAAGCACCACGAAGGAUGUCGAAGGAGAUAGAAGAGAAAGUCAAAGAAGAGAUUGAGAGGCUCGUAAAAGCCGGAUUUAUCAGGCCAGCCAAAUAUGUGGAGUGGUUAGCCAACAUUGUACCCGUCUUAAAAGUUGUGACAAAAGCAGUACGAUGUUGUGUUGAUUACAGAAAUAUUAAUGGCGCUACACAUAAAGACGAGUAUCAUAUGCCUAUGGCAGAUAUUUCCAUAGAUGCAGUAGUAAAACACAAAGUCUUAUCUUUUAUGGAUGGAAAUGUCGGGUAUAAUCAGAUAAAGAUGGCCUCGGAAGAUAUACAUAAAACAGCUUUUUGGUGCCCUGGGCAUGUGGGGGCAUAUGAAUAUCUGGUCAUGCCCUUCGGGCUCAAGAAUGCCGGUGCAACCUACCAAAGGGCGAUGAAUGCCAUCUUUCAUGAUCUGAUUAGCCAUAAUAUGGAGGUAUAUAUUGAUGAUAUCGUGGUAAAAUCCAAGACGGAAGAGCAGCAUCUGAUAGACCUCAAGCAGGCAUUAACAAGAAUGAGGACCCAUAGAUUGAAGAUGAAUCCAAAGAAAUGUGCGUUUGGAGUAAGAGCGGGAAAUUUCUUAGGAUUCCUGGUUCAUCAAAGAGGGUUAGAAGUGGACAAGAAUAAAGCACGAGCAACAAUGGAUUCGCCUUCACCCACCAACAAAGUGCAACUCCAAAGGCUGCUGGGCAAAAUUAAUUUCUUAAAAAGAUUCAUUGCCAAUCUGGCGGGCAAGAUCCAGCCUCUGACUCAUUUAUUAAGACUGAAGGAUAAGGAGAAUUUCGAGUGGGGACCACCGCACCAAGAGGCUUUCGAUGGUAUCAAAGCUUAUUUGACUUCUCCGCCAAUGUUGGUACCACCUCGGAUGGGAAAACCCUUAAAGCUAUAUAUCUCCGCUUCAGAUAAAUCAAUUGGGAGUUUGCUGGCUCAGAAUAAUGAAGGCGGGAAAGAGCAGGCAGUUUACUACCUCAGUAGAAUUAUGACCGAGGUAGAAACAAGGUAUUCCCCAGUAGAGAGAUUGUGCUUAGUUCUGUAUUUUACUACCAAUAAACUGAGGCAUUACAUGUUACCUUGUCACGUGCACAUCAUUGCCAAGACAGAUGUGAUAAAGUACAUGUUGUCAAAGCUAAUGUUAGCAGGAAGGAUUGGGAAGUGGAUCCUAACAUUAUCAAAAUUCAGCUUCCAGUAUGUCCCCCAAAGGGCAGUAAAAGGCCAAGCAAUUGCUGACUUCUUGACGGAGCAUCAAGAAUCUCGAAAUGAGAUAAUUAAUAUACCAGGAACUCUGGAAGUUACUAAUGUUUGGAUCCCGCUAGGCAAAGGGAUCUCGGGCAAAGAGGAGUGGAUCCAGCAGAAGAUAAGAAGAGUGGCUGGUUUGUGGAUUACUCUUUGGAAGCUGUAUUUCGAUGACUCUUAUACUCAGAAGGCUUCAGGAGCUGGGAUUGUGAUUAUCAACCCUCAAGGGAUUUAUCAUUAUUACUCAUUUCUCUUGGAUUAUCAAGGGAAUACCAACAAUCGGGCAGAGUAUGAGGCCUUAAUAAUUGGUUUGGAAAUCUUGAUGGAUCUGGGGGCAAUGGAAGUUGAGGUGUUUGGUGACUCAGAAUUGGUAAUAAACCAGCUAAAUGGGGAGUUUAAGUGCCGACAUAUCACCAUGGCCGGAUAUUAUUUGGCGGCCACACAAUUGCUGAGUUAUUGGGAUUCUGAGAUAUCGGUGAGUCAUGUCACAAGGGGAGCCAACCUAGCAGCUAAUGAGAUGGCACAAUUGGCCUCAGGCAUGCCAGUACAGGAGAGAAGAUUUGGGUUGGAUGUCGAGAUUCAAACGAGAAAUCUUCAUUCUAUCCUGGAAAGGGGAUUCAGCCUGGAUGUAAUGGUUCAGGAGACUGAGAUAGAAGAUUGGAGAUCGCCCAUUAUCCAUCAUUUGAAGGAUCCCUCUUCAUCUACCAGCAAGAAGAACCAACAGCAAGCAACUAAGUAUGGUUUAUGGGCGAAAGACCUACUAAGGAAGACUCCAGAUGGGUUAUUAUUGAAAUGCUUAGGCCAAGAGGAAUCCAUGAGAGUGAUGGCCGAAGUGCAUGAAGGAGUAUGUGGAGCACAUCAGGCAGGGACAAAGAUGAGGUGGUUGCUAAGGCGAUAUGGUUAUUUUUGGCCCAACAUGGAAAAAGACUGCAAGUCCUAUGCCCGAGGGUGUGAGGAAUGUCAAAGGCACGGUCCUCUCCAACAUGUACCCUCUGUACCUUUAAAUCCAGUAGUCAAGCCCUGGCCUUUCAGAUGAUGGGCAAUGGACUUCAUCGGGCAGAUUUACCCGGCUUCUAGCAAGGGGCAUACUUUCAUCAUUGUAGCAACGGAUUACUUUACCAAAUGGGUGGAAGCCUCGGCUGUAAAAUCCAUAACCUCAGCUGCGGUAAAAAAAUUUAUUGAAACCAAGAUUCUGCAUAGAUUUGGGGUGCCCGAAACCAUUGUGACGGAUCGAGGGCCAUCUUUUAUUUCAAAGGAAGUUGAAGAAUUUGCAAGCAAAUACAAAAUAAAGAUGAUCCAGUCUAGUCCUUACUACCCGCAGUCAAAUGGCCAGGCAGAAUCCAGCAACAAGAUUUUGGUAAACAUUAUUAAAAGAAUGGUGAUUGAGAAUCCGAAAAAGUGGCAUGAAAGGCUGGGAAAUACUUUGUGGGCAUACAGAACUUCCAAAAGGGCAGGGACAGGGACAACUCAUUAUGCUCUAACUUUUGGGCAAGAUGCAGUACUUCCCAUGGAGAUCAACGUAAGUUCUGUCAGAAUUCAAAAUUAGUUUGGAUUACACAGCGAGGAAUACAUCGAAGCCAUGUGUCAAGGGAUUGAAGACUUAGAUGUAGCUCGAAUUGAAGCCUUGAACCAGAUUCAGGAAGGAAAGAGAGCUGUUGCCCAAUCAUAUAACAAAAGGGUGAAAGCAAAAUCUUUUAAGGAAGGGGAUUUGGUGUGGAAGACAGUCCUUCCUCUAGGAGCCCAGCUUAGGGGCUUUGGAAAGUGGAGUCCGACAUGGGAAGGUCCUUUCAUAAUUAGUCAAGUAUUAAACAAAGGGGGAUACUACUUGGCGGACCUCGAAGGGAAUUGGCAGAAACAUCCCAUUAAUGUUAAAUUCUUGAAAAAGUAUUGUCCUACAUUAUGGGAUGUUAAGGAUUGUUACAUUGAGGAGAAUGCAAAGUAAAGCAGGUGCCGGGAUGCUAAAGUACAGUGUAUAUUCAUCAAGUCAUUCAAGAAGGCAGAAAGACACAAGAUUGUUAAGAUAAUGUUUAUUUCAUUUUUAACAAACUGAUGAAACGUACAACAAAUUCAAUUCAAUUCCGAUGUGCUACGUACGACUCAUUCCAGGUGCAAUAACGUUUCAACUGGUUUUCUGGUAUCUUCAUGGAUUGAAUCCGAUCAGGUGAUCGGGUUAUGCGGCCAAGACGCGCCUGGUAGAGGAUCCUCAGACAGAGUCGUCACCAUGUAUGAUGGUGAAGCCUGACUUAUCAUGGCGACGAGCGGGAAGGCAAGUCUUCAUGAGGGAACCUGACCAAGGGUGUUGGAGAUAGCGGGGUGCCUCACCAAGGGUGUUGGAGAUUGUGUUUUUCUGAUGAAAAUUCUUUUUCUCACGAAAAUGGAGUUUUAGGAAAACCCACUUGAAUCUUGAAGAACUCAUAUCUCAGUCUGAAUAUUGAUUGAAGCAAAGGCUGGAGGAGGUUUGUUGGCUGAGCAAAAAGCAAAAUCAAGCCUGAAUUUAUAGAAACCUCAUAGGGUAACCCAAAGGUCAUGAGAAGAACAAGAGACGCAUGGUCGUAGACCUCUUCUCUAGAAAAACACAAGUUCCAAGAGUGGAUAUACAAGCAUGCGGAUAUGCAAUCAAUAUUGGCGCUUGGAAUUCCAGUCUGAAAAUUGAUUGAAGGGGGCACUGUUUGGGUUAAAACUUAAACUUUGGACUUAGAAGGGAGUUGGCCCAAAUAGAGAAAGAAAAGCCUGAAGCUCAGCCCAAACCCAGAAGGUAGAUAAGGUCUUUCCCGACUAGAUGCAGAUCAUUGGCACCACUUGCUCACCUACCCAAGGGCCAAGUGGUAUAGACCAGCUAGCUAAUCAGCCCAAAAAGUACUUUAUAAUGGCAGUACAAGUAAAUAGCUGAUGAGUCACUAUCCUUCAAACUGCAUUCGGGCAAGAUUAUUGCUACAGGAGGCCAAGCCAAGGUGUCUAUAAAAGGAGAAAGAGAAGUCAGAAUCAAGGACACUCAAACAAACAAAUACAAGCACAAACUCUGCUCAAAGCCAGAUUUGCCUUCAAAACAAAGCUGUAGUCAACCCAAGCCUUCAUCCCCUUCGGGAUAAACCCUUUGUAAUAGCUCUGCUACCCUGUUCAACUCUUGUUGUAGUAUCGAUCUCUUUUCUGUAAAAUCACCUCCCAACCCUUUUUCUAAGCUUUCAAACCUUCUGAUAAACCAUAAAGAUAGGAAGUUGUAAGACGAUCAGCCUUGCCCGACAAGGUUAAACCUUGCCUGACCCUCUUUGUUUUUGUCUUUUCAUUCAUUAGCCUAGCAAUAUGGUGUAUACUACAAGUUGUAUCCAAGUUAUUUCUAGUAAUAUAGCUAUUAAAAGACUCUUUUAGCACUUGAAUCUGAUUUGAAUAUGCCUUCACAGUUCAAGUCAGAUCUAAGUUCUAAGCCUUCGGGCAUAUAAGAUUUGAUCAUUCUAAAGGCAUAAAAAAGAACCUGAUGUGGACUUAACCCAUCCACUACAAGCUUUGAUAACAAGAAGUCCGAAGUUACUUGGGGCGCAAGUAAUCGACCUGUCACUUAGUUUUAUUGUUGUUAUAUUAUGAUUACCAUAUAGCGUUCGAGUACGGGAUGAGUUCUGAUGGGAAGCCUCAAGGCCUAUUCAAGGUCCCACAAAGGCACCUAUUUGGAUUCACCCUAUUUCUCGGGCAAGAACAUUAAGUAUAGAAGGGGUUCUGAUGGGAAGCCUCAAGGCCUAUUCAAGGCCCCACAAAGGAACCUAUUUGGAUUCAUUCUGCUCUUUGAGCUCAGGUAAUCAGAAGUAUGAUGGUUAUAAGACCCAUAUAACCCACAAAAGGAACAUUAUGUGUUCGAGUACUAAGUUAGUUAUUUAUGGGAAGCCUCAAGGCCUACACCUAAGGCCCCACAAAGGCACCUGUCAAUAACUAACAUAGUUUCGCGAAUAUAUAUAAUUAAACUCAAACAUCCGUUCUACAUUUGCCAUGCUGAAGAUGGCAGUGGCACGCCUGAGCACUUAAAGGUUAAUCUUGAUUGUGAGCCUCAAGGCCUACACAUAAGGCCUCACAAAUGCAUCUUUCAAAGUUAACUCUGUCCUUCUCUUUCAGCCUUGCCCGAUAAGCCUUGCCCGACAAGCCUGCCAGUAAAGCAGGAGCCCGACAGAAAGCAUCAACCGGCGCCAACCUCACGGGGAGCUGUGUGCUCGUCGGACAGAAAGCAUCCCCCACGGAAAUUCCCGCCACGAACAAGGACACCCUCCUUUAUCAGCCAUCUUCAUGAUCUCAGAGGAACCAUGGUUAAGUGGAUACCAGCAAGCAUCAAACAAGCUCUCGGUUGUCUUGCCUAUUGUUAAAUAAUUGCAAAAGCCUUCAAUCUUUACCCAAGCUCCCAGGGGUACGUUGGCUGGAAGCACAUGGUUGCACUUCUCUGGAGAAAGUGUCAAGUUUAAGGACUCAACUUGUAUAAGGUUGUGAUGAUUACGAACAUGGAGUUUAUGGAAGGAUCCCCGAGAAACUUAUAUUUUCUGGUUGCUUGAAAUUGGAUGAGAAUGCCUGGAACGGCAUAAUGGAUGACGCACAUCUUCAAAUUAUGCGAAUGGCGGCUUCACACAAUGUGGAAUCGUUGGAUGGAAAUUCUUUAGUUACCAUUGUAUGUCCGGGAAGUGAAAUCCCUAAUUGGUUCGGAGCUCAAAAUGAGGGAUCUUCGAUAAAUAUCAGUCUUCCUCCAAAUUGUUUUGGGUCAGACUUCUUUGGUUGUUUUCUCUCUUCUUGUUGAAUUAAUUUGACAACUAUAAUGUUGAACAAGGAUUGGAGUUCGGAUGUAAAUCCACACACAAAGGGAAUAGUGGUAAAGGCCAUGAAUUUAGCUGUCGUUUGUGUGAUCGACUGUGGGGUGAAACCCAAGAUGAAGAAAGCAACGGCUACAAUUUCAAUUCGGACCACAUGUUUGUGUGGUAUAAUACAUUUGACCUUGUUGGGGGAGCACAAUGCUCUACUGCUCUUCACAAUGGUGUCACUGAGGCAUCUGUUGAGUUCUACUCAAUAGAUCAUCAUGACAUACCACUUAACUCAUACACAAAAAAGGUCGUAUCCAGUGCACAAGGCUCCCGCUUUACGCAGGGUCUGGGAGAGGUGAAUGUCGGCUAGCCUUACCCCCAUUUAUGGAGAGGCUGCUCCCAAGUCUCGAACCCGAGACCUACCGCUCAUGGGCGAAGGCACUUAACUCAUACACAAUGAAGAUAAAAAGGUGUGGAGUCUGCCUGUUGUAUGCCGAUGAUACUAAGUAAUCUGAUGCCGCGUGACGGAGCUAAGAGUAGCAGAAGAUACUAAAAGUCUGAGAAGUUGCGAUGAGUCUGAAGCAAGCGGAAGUGAUACUUUGAGCCCUUAUAAGAAACAAGGGGAUGAACAAGUACCUGAAAGAGAACAUAACUCGAGGUGCAAGAUCAACCAUGCUCGAUGGUAGAGAAAAACUACUGUAGACUUGGGAGUCUAAUUUAAAAACUGUGGUAAGUCUUUCUCGUUUUAUGCCUUCUGCCCUCCCAUAUACCAAAGGAAAUAAAACAAAUCAAUUCCAUCCGAAAUUCGAUUGUAAUACGAUUUAAUGUACGUAUUCUACAUCAAACAUUUCACGAAAUUAGUUGAAAUACCAAAUAGUGUAUUAAUUGGAUUUUUUUUUUCUCCAUUGAAAAAGUAUGGUCUUCUAUAGAGCACAAGUCAUGGAAGACUUAGAAGUUUCACAAUUCACACUUCAAUUCAAUUUGUUUAUUAUUUGUUAAAAAAAGAUGAUCAUGGGUUACAUCUCCUUUUGAAUUCUUUUUUACAUUUUUUCACAUAUGAUGCCUAUGGAGAGAUUGGGGAAAAGGAAGGAGAAAAACAAGAGCAAAAUGUUCGAAAACCGCGUGAAAGAGUUAUGUUGUCAUGAUAAUUUUAAAUUUGUGCAGUUUUGUUGAGUUGCCACCAGAUAGUCAGAGUUGCAUGGCUUGAAUUCCUUGGAAGUUUCUAUUUUUUUAAUUUUAGUUUUAAGUUUAAUUUUUUUGGUUGUUAACGUCUGGUGAUUUUCCUACAUUGUUCUUGUGCAAAUAGUCACUAGAAUUGUUAAAACAUAAAGGGAUCUCUGCAACUGCUUUCUAGCUCUCAUGCUUAAUUUCGUCGUGAUCAGUGCAACGCCUUCUUAAUUAGGUUGUUUUGGUCGUAAUAUUUGGCAACUUCUAUCUUGGUCUGGACUCCGGAGGUAAUCCAACUGACUUUUUCUGUUGCAUAAAUUAUCUGUCGAAAGAUCACUCAUUUCUUAUUCAUAUACAGCCAAUUUGCAUAUUUUGACUUGUAGGUGUGCAGGUUGUGGAUAGGGAGAUAUGGCUUCAUCUUCUUCUUCUCCUCCUUUAUCUAGACCCUCUCCUCCCGAGAAGUAUGAUGUGUUUAUUAGUUUCAGAGGUGAGGACACCCGCCUUAGUUUUAGAGUUCUCAUUGACAAGUCUCUCAUAUCAAUUUAUUCAACCCGGGAAACCAUAGAGAUGCAUGAUUUGCUUCAGGAAAUGGGUUGGGCAAUUGUUUGUGAACAAUGCGUUGAAGAGCCUGGAAAACGUAAGAGGUUGUUCAAUGCUAAGGAUGUCUAUCAUGUAUUGAAAAAUAAUAUGGUAUAAGCCAAAUGGAUUAACUUUACAGAAUGUCAUUAACUUUCUAUUAGAAACUCAUUUAUAAUAAGUUAAAUUCUUAUAAAUGUAAUUCUGGUUAACUUUUGUUGUGUAUUGUAUUCAAAUUUAUAAUUUGCUCUUGAUUGACAGGGAACUUCAGCUGUUGAAGCCGUUUUCUUUAACAUAUCUGAGAUUGAAGAACAACACUUGAAUCAUGCAGAUUUCAAAAAAUGAAACAACCGAAGUUGCUAAAUGUUGAUAAUUCUAGCUGUGGCCAAUUAAACUUUUCUCUAGAUCUUCCCAAUUCUCUUUGUUAUCUUUACUGCUGUGGAUUUCCUUUCAAAUCUUUGCCGUCAAAAUUUUCUCCAGAAAAUCUUGUUGAGCUUCGAAUGCCCCACAUCCUAGUUGAUCAACUUUGGAAGAAAGGCCAGUUACAUUUGCUUAUUUUACUUCUUAUAACAUGCAGGGCAGAAUGUUGUUCAAUCUAAAGUAUUAAUUCUUACUAUUUCUCUUUCAUUUGUAACAGAAUCUUAUGAGCUUAAAAGUGCUUGAUCUUAGUUACUCUAGCAAUUUGACUGAAUUUCCAAAUAUCUCUCGGUGUUUGAAGAUUGAGUAUAUAAAUCUUUUUGGUUGUACAAGUUUGGUUGAAAUUCCUUCGUAUUUUCAAUUUCUAGACAAGCUUACUGAUGUUCAACUUGGAUGGUGCAAGAGUCUCAAUUAUCUCCCAGAGAUGCCAAGCAAUAUCGAAUUCUUAAGUUUACAAGGCUCUGGUAUAAAGGAGUUGCCAUUAUCAGUUUGGUCUAAUGAAAGAAUUUCAGAGGUUAAUAGUGAGGAUUGUAAAGAACUUGAGAAACUUCCAAGCAGCACUUGUAAUCUGAAAGUCUCCGGUACUUUUAGUCUAGAUCACUGCUUAUCUCUUGGCGAGUUUUCCGAGCUUCCCAAGGAUAUAAGUGUGUUAGAUUUGGCUAGGACAUCAACAAAAUUAUUGCCUAUAUCAUCAAUGGCGCACCUCUUUAGUCUCACUACAGUUAAACUAAAGGAUUGCCAAAAGCUUGAGAGUCUCCCAAUUGGCAUUUGCAAGUUGAAAUCUCUUAAGGAACUCGAUCUCACUGGUUGCUCUAGAUUUGAAUACUUCCCAGUCAUCUUGGAUCCAAAGGAACAUUUGGAUUUUCUUAGUUUAGAAGAAACAGCUAUUAAAGAGCUACACUCAACAAUCGAGUUUCUCCCUGUUCUCAAAACAUUUCAAUUAAAAGGUUGCAAAAGGCUUGAAAGUCUCCCAAUGAGCAUUUGUAAGUUGAAAUGUCUUGAGGGACUUGAUCUCUCUGGUUGCUCUAGAUUCAAAUACUUCCCAGAAAUAUUGGAGCCAAUGGAACAUAUGGAGUUUCUUUGUUUCAAAGGGACUGCGGUUAAAAAGCUUCCUUGUUCGAUUGAUAAUCUAAUUGGGCUUCAAACAUUUGAUCUCCAUCUUUGCGGGAACUUUGAGGUUGUCCCAAGCAGCAUCUACAAUUUAAAAAAUCUUGUAACUCUCAACUUUUAUGCUUGUCAGAAACUCAAAGAAUUACCUUUCGGCACUGUCAGUUUGAUCUCUUCGGAAGUACUAAACCUCGGUCGCAGCGGUAUAUCAGAAAUCCCUGAUAGUCUCGUUUGCUCAGCUUCAUUGAAAGAUGUAAAUCUGAGUGAAACCCUGAUUAGGAGCAUACCUGCAUGCAUCAAAGAAGCACCUCGUCUGUCUCGCCUGUGGUUAACCAAUUGCAAGAUGCUUCAGUCUUUACCAGAGCUCCCAGUGCUAGUAUAUCUUGAAGCAGAAGGUUGCACAUCACUAAAGACAAUGUCAAGUUCAAGGACAACACUCACGCAAGGUUGGGAUAAAUUUUGUCAAGAAAUAAUCAACUUUUUUGACUGCAUAAAUUUAGAGCACAAUGCAAGGAGCAACAUAAUGGCUGAUGCACAACUUAGAAUUUUGCGAGUCGCAAGUGCGUCACGGAAGUUAAGAGAAGAAAAAUAUGAUGUAUGUCUCUCUCUCCCCUCUGUUGCUACUUUUCACUGAUCUAAAAUAUACAAUGUCUUUUUUCACUGAUCUAAAAUAUAUAGUCCAAUUGUCCACCAAUGUUACAGGAAAACUCUUCUCGGCCUUUGGUUACUAUUGGAUGUCCGGGGCAUGAAUCAAAAUGACAGACCUUCAAUAAUAAUCAACCUUCCCCCGAACUGGUUUCGUAAUGGUAUAUUGGGUUUUGCUCUAUCUAUGGUGUGGAGUUCGGAAGUAAGUACAAAUUCAUAACUAAGAAUGGUGAAAGUCAUGAAAUGAUCAGGUGUCCUUUCUAUUUAGGAUGGUACGACUCCAAUUUAAAUCCACAUCACGUGUUUGUGACCAACAAUGCCUUUGAACUUGAAGAAGAUGCUAAAUACUCCACUAAUUUUUACAAACUUGUUACGGAGGCCUCUGUUCAUUUCUGGCCAAUGAGUAUUUCCGGCCAACCCACUUCCUAUUUGAAGGUGGAGAAGUAUGGUAUCAGCCUGUUGUAUGCCGAAGAUGCCGUGAAAUGAAAACUGAUGUCAUGAUUAUGGAAAGUAAAAGUAGAAGAAGAUACGAGACAUGACGAGUCUGAUCCGAGUGAGAUACUCCAAUUAACUCAUCAAAUGUAUCAAUAUAGAUUUCCUUGAUUCUCAAGCAUAUUGUACUUCCAUGCUAAUCCGAGCGAGAGAAAAUUAUUUAUUUUCUCCCAAUUGACUUGCUAUCUAAUCCAAGUGAGAGAAAAUUAUUUAUUUUCUUUUAGGCCUAUUUCGUUUAGCCCAUAUGAAAUCCGAAACCCUAUUUAUCGGGACUUGGCCUUCAUUUUUCCUUUCGUAGCGCAACAUUUGGGCCUGGGUUAUGUUAACCCAUUUAAUUUAAUUUAAUAUCUUUAUACAUAUAUUCCCUUGUAUAUAUGUUUUCAUUUGUGGGAGUUAUGAACUCGAGGUUCAUAUUUUUAAUUCGAACCACAUUAUUGUUAGCUUAUUGUAAGGCUAAGUUCAGCUCAUCCCCUUUAGUAUAGAUAAUAUCGCUUGGUCAAAAAAAAAAAAACAAUUUUGCAUCUAAAGUAAUUUGAAGCAAUAAAUUAUAACUAUUUAAGAUGGCACAUAGAAGCUUAACUUGGUUGAUGAGAAAAGUUCAAAUGGUAGUUUGGUUCUAGGGUACAAAGAGCGUUGUCUUAAUAACCAUAGCUACAUUGAAGAGUACAAUGUGAAAUGCAUAGGACAGACAGACAGACUAAAACAUGAGUCCACCCACGUCCCACCCGGAGGUUAACAAUUCACCGUUCAAGUAGAAACAACAAAAACAAACUAAUGUGUCAGGAUUUUUGCAAAUUGCUACUUGGAGGUGGAACUUAAAGGUAUUAUUUAUGUUGUUUAUAUGGCUAGCUUUGGAUUGGGGUUUGCAUUCUCUUUGGAUUGAGAUUCUUCUUUGGUAAUGCAUUUUCUUUUUAAUGGAUCUUCUCAAGGUGCAUUACCGUUUGUCGGUUGAUUGGGCAAAUUGUUGCAUAUUCUCUCUCCCCAUCCAUAUUCUGUUUUCUCACAUUUAUUGCGAAUGAAAUCAAGUGGUGGAUUGUUUGGCAAACUAUGGUGUUGAUUAUGUUGGGGUUUAUUGGUGGAAUUAUUGUCCUCCGUGCCACAGUUAUCCACCUCUUCUCGGGGCCUCAGGCAUUUCAGCCUCUCCCUAGGCACAAGUCUAGCUUCCACGUCAGCAGUGGGUUUCAAACCCAAGACCUACAAUUUUUAAUUUGAAGGAAGCCUCGCAAUCCGACUUUUACCACUGGUCAUCUUUCUACUUCUUGUUAGGGUAUGGUUUCAUGUUCCCUCUAACUUUUUGUAUCUUUAUUUUUUUUUUCUUCUUCAAUAUAUUCACUUUAAUGUCUUUCUUUUUUUUAAGGAAAACUAAUGAAAAGUCCAAAAAAAACUUUAGUUUUAAUGAAAAAUGACAAAUAAAGGUGUAGUGAAUAGUAUUAGGGAAAGGUAAAAAUGUGGUUUUUCAUUAAAAGUGAACAGUACCGAGAGUGUUUUGUUAAAACUCGCAUUUUUUUAUGAUAGGUACGUUGGAGUGGAAGUGGCAUUGUUUUUUUAAUUUAAAAAAAAAAAGGAGUGCUGAGUAUGACAGGUUCUAGUAGAAGUUGAAUGCCUUCAAUCUAAUUAUGUUUGUAAACUUUUUGGGGAAAAUUAUGUUUCUAAUUUGCAUAUUGAAGAGCUAAUUAAUUUGCUGGGGCAAAUUUUCAUUACAAAAAUCCAAAUACAAAAGAUUGAAAUUUUGAGGGAGAAAGAAAUGAAGGAGAAGUAAAAGGCCAUUUGAUGUUCCAUGGCUAUCGUAGAGCAUGUACAACAACAAUAAAGACUUUUUUUUUAAGUGCGGUCAAUUAUAUUAAUUUUAAAACGUCAUUACGUUCGGUUUUGCAUUAAGUCUUCCAUUAGCUCUAACUACUUCAUGUCUUUUUUUUAAAGUCUAUUUCCAAGUUUUCUUAGAUCUUCCUUUACUCAUUUUGUUUGAAAUAAAAAAUUAGGGUAAAUGACAAAAAACUACCUCAACUAUUGGUCUGACGACACUUUAAUACCUCAUCUUUUAAAAAUGACAAUAUCAUACCUCAUCUUACGAAUUUGUGCCAAUGUCAGACCUCCAUCAGUUUUUCUGUUAAUUUCUCUGUUAACUGGAUUAAAAAAUAAUUAAAUAUAUUUUUAAUAAUUAAAUAUUAAAAAAUUAAAAAUUAAAAUAUUUUUUUAUAUUAAAUUGUGGGAUUCACCUCUCUCUCUCUCUCUCUCUCUUCUCUGCAUCCCCAAAAUCCCAAAGCCAAGAAACCUUUCCCACCCAUCCCCCCUAACCUUCCUCCACCAUCCUCUCUCUCUCUCGCCCCUCUCUCUUUUCUCUCUUCCUCUGGGCAACCUGCAUCCCCAAAAUCCAAAAACCCAGAAUCCCAUUACAAAUCUCAAAACCCAAAAUCCCAUCAAACCUCCAUUUCUUCCUUUUUUUCUGUAGCAGAACAGCUGCGAGAACUGCCGAAACAUCGACAUCGCGUUGCGGCGGGAGAAGCCGAUUUUUUCUAGGUAGUCAAUUCGAGACAAGAGUUUGUCUUCCAUGUUGCAGGAGAUGAGGGAGGUGUGUUUGUUAACUUGGGAAAUGUUGAUGCUCUGUAGGAUGUAGAGGGUGGGGCAAAGGUAGGUUUUGACGUUGCAGGCGAGGAGUUGGGGCGGCGAUUGAUGAUGCUGCGGAGAUCGGAGUCGUUGAUAUAGGCUUCGCGGAUGAGGAAUGCAGGGACUCGGACGAUUUCGGUGACGCGGGAGGAGAGGAUUUCGAGACACAUGCCGAUCAGGAGGCAGAAUUCUAGGGAGGUGAAGCUAAUGGAGGUGAGGAGGAAGUGGAUGGGUUUGAUGUGGGAGAGAUGGAAGAAAAGGAUGAGAGGGUGGUGGUUGAUUAGGAAGAAGAAGUCGAGGCCGAUGAAGUCGAGGUAGAGGACUUUUUCUUGGAAGUUGGAGUAGGGGUGUUGGUGGUUGGUGGGUGUUUAAGGGAGAUGGUGGUUUUGGCGGCGGAGAGGAUUGGGAAGUGGGGGGGUUUUCUUCGACGACGGAAAGCAGUGGGAAGAGUCAUGGUGAAAGGAAGAUGGGAUUGGAGUUUGGGAAUGAGAUUGGGAGUGGAGGAGAAAAGGGGUUGUUUGGUGGUGGCGAUGGAGGUGGGGAAGGGUUGCUCAGAGAGAGAGAGAAGAAAGAGAGAGAAGAGAGAGGCGAGAGAGAGAGAGAGGAGAGAGAGAGGGUGGUGGAGGAAGGUUGUGGGGACGGGCAGGAAAGGUUUAUGGGCUUUGGGAUUUUGGGGAUGCAGAGAAGAGAGAGAGGCGAGAGAAAAAGAUGAGAGAGAAAGGUGGAUCCCAUAAUUUAAUAUAAAAAAAUAAUUUUAUUUUUAAUUUUUUAAUAUUUGAUUAUUAAAAAUAUAUUUAAUUAUUUUUUAAUCCAGUUAACAGAGAAAUUAACAGAAAAACUGAGGGAGGUUUGACAUUGGCACAAAUUCGUAAGAUGAGGUAUAACAUUGUCAUUUUUAAAAGAUGAGGUAUGAUAAUGUCGUUCGACUCAUAGUUGAGGUAGUUUUGUGUAAUUUACCCAAAAAAUAUAUAUAGAUACAAGGUGUAUGGAGCAAGAAAUUAGAGAAAACUAAAGACAAAGUUGAAUUAUGUCUUCUUUUCGUUGAUAGAACAAAUCAUUAUUGAUUAUUUUUUUUUUGGUGAAAAAUUAGGUUUAUAAUUUCCAUAUUAAUCUUGGACAGACAAAAUUUACAGAGGCAAAUAUCAUAUAUAAAGUUAAAAUGGAGCUCUCAAUGAUGCCAAAGUGGAUGAUUUCGGCCACUUCUAUCGCCACCAAUUUUGCUCACAUCAGACUAGCCGCUAACCCGACCCGACCAACUUGAAUUCAAGUUAUGGACUUAAUCCCAAUGUUGGAGACAGGGGACUCUGGAGUUUGGAGUCUUGGACUGUUUUUUUUUUUUAGAAAAAUACUUGAAGCUUCUGCUGCCGACAUGUUGGAACUUAAGUAAGAAAGAGAAAGUAGUUAUUCUAGACCCGAUUCCACAUAGUAUGUCCAGAGUUCUAUUCCUGACCUUAAUGAAUCACACGAUGGUAGCAAAGAAAGGCUAAAAUACCUUUGUGAGUCUUCUUGGCUCCUGAAAAUAGUGGACUACUAUGCUAAAAAGGAGACAGAGAAAGUAGUUCAAUGGGGUAGGUCAUAUAGGACCUCCCUAAUACUCUUUCACUGUUGGGUUUUGUAGUUUCGGUAACUUGAUAGUCAACUGCUAAAGCAUGAUCAAAUCUAUGCAUGCAAUUGCUCCAAGGUAGUCUUUAUGGUAGCAACUUCUAUCUCAAUUGCUUAAUUAGAACCUGAUGCUUGCUUAUUAGCACCUUACUCUCUUUUGAAUUAUAUUGUUUCUCACUUUGCAAUUCAUCUCUCUGCAACUUACCUAUCUUGAAACUGCUAAUUUGGUAUCUGUAAUAUUCCUGACAUGAAAAUUUGAAAAUGUGAUCUUGCCAAAAUCACACUGGUUAUAUUGGUUGGUGCAUGAUUGCUUCAUUUACAUUUAUGUCUCAUUUGGUGUUUAGGAUUGGAUUGGAAUUUAUAACCCUCUAAAUUCAACGUAAAGUGAAGUUAGAGGAGAAUUAUUUUUCAUUUUUGGGAAGAACGAAAUAGAUAAGUUUUCUUCUUGAGUAAUCCAUUUUCUGCCCCCAAACAAAUUGACCAUAAUUUUUUCAUUUCUUCAUUCAACAUACCUUGGCUUAUCCAUUCCAAUCCAAUCCUUCAUACCAAUCAAGGCCUUUUGGGAGAAUAUGAUGCUUUGACUACUUGUGGGUUUGCACGCUGUGAAUAUGGCUGAUUCUUCUUAUGAUUCUGUUGUUGUUACUUCUCGUCGAGAAAAAUAUAACGCCUUUUUUAGUUUCAAUUGAGACCCACAUAGAUUACAAAUUUGAGAGAGGAGAUAAAAUUGGACUUGCCCUUCUCGAAGCAAUAGAGAAAUUGUUGAAGCACAAAAUCAGUGGGACUUUGGUACAAUAGAAAGUGUUAAGUUUGUGACCUUCGCUAGAUUGCUCCAGUCAAUAGUGUGGAUAAGUAUGUAAAUGGAUAGAGACAGGAAAGCAAACAUAAGAUGUACGUGGUUCACCCAGAUUGGCUACGUCCACGGAGUAGAGGAGUUCUCAUUAAUUGUGAAGGGUUUAUACAAGUACAUAGGUUCAAGCUCUUCUUUAGUGAGUACUAGUGAAUGAUUUAGUACAAAUGACAUUCGGGAUUAUUGUGGGAGAAUGAUCUCCUUUUAUAGAAAAGAGUUUCUAGCUUUGUUCUGGUCUUGACAUGUGUCAUGUUGUGAUUGGCCUUUGAUGUUAACACAUGUCGUCCUGUGAUUGGCCUCUUGGUGUUGACACGUGUCGCCAUGUGAUUGGUCUCUGGGUGUCGACACGUGUUGCGCUGUGAUUGGCCUCUUGGUUAAAAGGAAACUCUUCUAGGUCCUUGACGGUAUAACGUUGACUGGUGCUUGGUAGUUUCAGGAUUGGUCAAGUAUGGUACAAACAGUGCUCCCCUAAGUUCCCGAGUGAGGGAUGCUCCUCGGUUGGGGACUUGCAAGAUCCAAGUCGUUGAGUAAUCAUGAAACUUCUAAGUACUGAAGUGUGGUAUCGUUUUCACUUGUCUUAUCUAUCUCAUAAGUAAAUGUGGCAUCUUCUGUGGAAGUACUUUUCCUCCAUCCAAAGGUGAUAUCUUUAACCGAUGGAGAUGCACAAGGUAAUGUAUCAAUUUCACUUAAAGGUUACUUGUAGUUUCGGGCUUGGUCAAGCGCGAUACAAACCCUAUAGUAGGAGGCCCCCAAGUCUCUAAGCGAGGAGAUCUGCCGAAAGAGGUGACAGACAAAGUAAGUAAUCAGAGUUCCAAGCAGUCAGUCUUAGAUUGAAAGUUUGAUCUUGUGUUCUGGUUGAUUGUUCUCAUUCUCCUUGUUCUGUAGACAUCAACAAGGACAAAGAAAAGAACAUGGAGACGAGAUGAUAUGAGAUACUUUUUCUUUUGAAGAAGUAACUUUCCACAGGCUUAUUCUUGAACUGGGCUGGAGGGUUUUCUAGUUUCCUCCACAGUAUAAUGCUCACUCAAGGAUUUGAGGGUCAAAACAAGUCCAUUAAAUCAAUAGUGCGUUCGACCUUGAUGAUAUGGGAUACUUUUGUUGUUGACAAAGUAAUAAAUGAAUCGGCACGUGUUCUGUUGCGUAUGUCUCCACAUGCUUCCUUGUAUCCUUCUCACUUGCCCCAUCUGUUCCUCAGGCAGAUGCGAUAUCUUUUCUGGAAGCAUAAGAUGUUGAAGAUGAGUACUCGAGAGCAAUGCCAGGUAAGUAAUCAGGCAAUGAGUUUCAGGUAGUCAAUUCCUGACUGGAAGCUUGAUUCCAAGUGAUGACUGAUUACUCUCUUUCUUCUUGUCUUGCAGGUAAAAACAAGGGCAAAGGAAAAGACAGGGGAAAAGCAUGAUAUAGGAUACUCUUGCUUUUAACCCUGAUGAUAUGAUAUACUCUUGCUCUGGUGUGGCUUGCUUGCAAAGGUAUUAUCGGGGGGAAAUAAGCUGGGUAUUUCGAGAAACUCUGUUGAGAGUGCUAUCUCGGAUGUGAAGAAAAGUUGAGCAUUUUUUUUUAUUUGUCGGUCUACCUCGCUGUGGAGGAUGAAGGUCGACAUAUAUAGGAAUUGUCCCAAAAGCGAGUAGUAACGCUAUUCCUUUACCAUUCUCGAUCAUAACAAUGUAGUAGAAAUUGCAAGAUUCACAUGUUUUAACUUUGUCAGAGCACUUUGAAAAAGUAGUUUGUGGUAUCUGGAAAGCUGAUGUUGCAUGUGAAGAUUGCAGACAAGCUUUAUCCAAGGAAAUAUGGCUCUCGAAGUUCGGAGAGCGACGCCUCUUCGAUUUUCGAACAAGCAAUCUUAUCGGGGAUCUGGCUCUCGAGAUUCGAAGAACGGUGCCUUUUCGAUUUUUGAGAAAGCAAUCCUGUUGGGAGUCUGGCUUUUGAGAUUCGGAGAGCGGUGCCUCUUUGAUUUUUGAGAAAGCAAUCAUGUUGAGAGUCUGGCUUUCAUGAUUUAAAGAGCAGUGUCUCUUCGAUUGUUUAGAAAGCAAUCCUGUUGGGAGUCUGGCUCUCAAGAUUCGGAGAGCGGUGCCUCUUUGAUUUUUGAGCAAGUAAUGCUGUUGGGAGUCUGACUCUCGAAAUUCGAAGAGCGGUGCCUCUUCGAUUUUUAAGCAAGUAAUCCUGUUAGGAGUCUUUCUCUCGAGAUUCGGAGAGCGGUGCCUCUUCGAUUUUUAAGCAAACAAUCUUGUUGGGAGUGUUUUCUCAAAUAUGAGUAAGGUUGGGCAUUUUUGCCAGUUUGCCUUGCCACAGAGCAUGGAGGUUGACACACAUAGAGACUUUCCAGUUAUCAAGCAGUGGUGCUGUUGCUUUACCCUUGUGGGUAAUAGUAGGGUAGCUGGACCUUCAAAAUUUAUGUGUCUAAACUUUGUCAGAGAUCUUUGGCAAAGUUAUAUGUGAUCAAAACCCUUCUUUUGUGUAAUUCACAUGUCACCAUUUUAUUGAAUUUGUGGGUCUCACAUGCAAACUAACAUAAAUAGUUGACGGAAUCUAAACGGAAUGACCAAAUUGAUCUGCGGUGGUGAAUGUCAAGGACAACAUUGAUUGAUUUUGAAAGUGAAGGACCAAAAUGAUGAGUUUGAUCAAUCUCAAGGACCAUUGGUGAUAAAAAUCCUUCUUUAUUUCAUGUCACAGCCCGUCCCGGAAUUUCAUACUUGGGGAUGUGAAAUGACGGAAUUACCAUUAACGGUUGCUAAGGUAUGUGUGACUUGUUUAUUUGAAUAUUUCAUACUCUCCUAAAUUCUUGGAAAAUUUUAAGUGGAUUAAAAGUUUAUUACAAUUUGUGUGGUUAGGGAAUUAAAGUAUGAUUUGUUUUGUGUGGACCACACACACACAAACCUGCUCUCUCUCUCUCUCUCCCGUGGACUUCCUCUCGGUUUCUUCUUCCCGUGCACUGUGCACGUACGGACAAAGGUGGAACUUGUCCAUUUCUUCACGGAUCGAGACUAAAAAGGUAAGUUUUAGAAUGCUUGUAAGAUGGUGAGUUUAUUGGUACCAUUUUUGGAACUUAGAACCUUUGGAAACUUGUGAAAUCUGAACCCCAGUUUUGAGUACUGUUCAUGUGGACGUAAAUAUGGUUGUUUCAGGGAAGUUGAAGCUCUUAGGAAGCUUAGGGAGGUUCUUAGGAAGCUCGGAAAAGAAGAAUUGAAGGAAUUGGACGUAAGGAUCCCUAAUUUUUCAAAUUUCCGAAUUGGUCACUAUUCACGAACUUUUAAACCCUUAAGUUUUCAUGAAUUUUAGGACCAUAGAAAGCUCGAGGAGGUCUUCACGAGCUUCGGGGUGCUUAGAUGGUAGAAAUUGGACGUUGGAGGACUGAGAACGAAGCUUUGCAGAUUUGGCCGGAUUAUCGAUCUUUCUCAGGUAAGAUUUAAUGGAUUUUAGACCUUGAAACUUGUAUAACGUGAUUCUACAUGCUUAGGGCUUCAUUUUGGUAUAAAUUGCGUGAAAAAUGGUUGAGAAUCAACGGAGAAUAAGAGGUUUGAAAAUUUCCCAGUUUUUCGGCGCCGGCGACGGUCGCCGGAGCUAGAGGUUGAAGACGACGAAUAUUCCGUCAAUUUUGACGGAAUAUUCUGACGCCGUUAGUUAAAGUUAAUGGUUUCUGUUAGGAUUAGACGGAAUAUUCCUGACGGUGUUAACUGACGCCAUCAGUGUGCAGCGCACGUGGCCGCGCGUGGGGGCACGUCUGGCCGUGCGUGUGGCGGCGCGUGAGGGCGCGUGGGGAACCCAAAAAUAAUUCUAAAAAUAUGGGGAUGUUCCUGAGGUUGUGUGGAUCACAGUGAUAUAUUCAUAUACCCAAUUUGGGCAAUAUAUGAGAAGUUAUUAGAUAAAGUUAGUUAUGUGCUUAAAUAACAUCAUUUCGGUUACUUCUCAUAUAGGCAAAGCUUAUACGGAUGAUGAGCACAAUUAAGGGAGGCUCAGGGGCUACGACCCUUCGACAUAUAUGUGAGUGGGCAGUUUUGUUUUUCGUAUAUAUCUAUAUAAAUGAGAUUUUUCCCAGAAAGUCAAUUUAAUUGAAAUGCAAUAUGAAAUGCCAUGCAAAAUAUAUGCCUAUUUAUUUACGCAUUAGUAAUUGCAUACAUGCAUGAUUGGUGUUGCGGACGCACAGGUAAGUGCCAGGUAAGUUCAUAAAUUUAAUUAUGUAAUUGUUGAGUUGAUAUGAUGGAAAGCUCAUAAACCUGCACUAGGAUGAUUGUGAUUUGAUAGAGAUGAUUCAGGCCUGUAUAUAUAGAGUCACCCCCGCACCAUAUGCUCACAAUUGGAUCCAAUUUAGGUGCCCAGUCGUACAGACCAUUAGAGGUGGUUCUGAUUCGUAGGUGACUAGCGAUUUAUCGCAUAGCUAUCAGGGGAGGAUAAUGUGAGCAUAACUAUAUUCACCCAGUCGUACAGACCUUUCCGGGGGUUUCGACUCGUGUGCAGUGUAGUGCCGUACAGGUCACUUGCGAUGACUCCGGCUAGAUUUAUUGAUAAGAUUGAUUAUGAGCUAUAGUUUCAGCCGUACAUGCCACUUUAGAUGGAUCCGGUUGACAUUAUUUUUCAUGAGCUACUUAUAUGUUUUGUUGAGAUAUAUUUUGGCAUGGCAUAUAAUUCACUACUUAUGAAUAUGGUUUUAAGACAAAUAUACGUAUUACUUAUUUCUGGGAAAGUAUACGAGUUUUACAGCGAGGGGUUAGCAUUUUGACAAUGAGAUGAUUUUUUUUUAAAGCUUUGUUUUACUGACCCACUCAAUCUUGUUUUGUGCCCCUCCAGGUUCAAGAUAGCAGAGUUUUGGUGUCCACGAGGAGUCCAACGGUGUUCUGACAAAAUUUUUAAAAGUAGGACUCACCCUCGGGGGUUACAUCUUAGCAAUUGUAUCUUAAAAGUUUCCGAACUGUGUAAAUGGUUACGUCACUCUCAUGUGACGGCCAGCAUGCCCUCCUUCGGGACGGGGUGUGUCAUUUCACCUUUCUUUCUUUAAGUCCAUAAAUUAUACCCCUUCCUUCCGUUUAAAUGCACAUCGUUUCUGCACCGAAAAUGCUUCAACAAUUUCGUCUUUUUAUUUUUUAUGUUUUUGUGUUCAAUUUCUGAUGAUUUUUCUUGAAGUAUGUAUAUCUAAUAUUAGGGUAAACUAUCAGUUAACUCUUUGAACUAUUAUUCAAGUUGAAAUUGAUUCUUGAACUAUAUUUUUUUUGGUAAAUUAACCUCCUGAACUAUUAGGCCAUCUUCAAUCAAGGGCUGGUUAGAUGGCUCAUUUUAGCCCUCUGGCCAUCUAAGAUAUUAAUAUUUUAAUGAACAGUACAUAAUCAUAUUUGCCUCCGUCUCUAACCGAGGGCCAAAGGGCCAUAGGGCUCGUUUUAGCCCUGUCACAAAAAAUCGUCUCCAACCGAGGGCCAAAGGGCCAAACAAAAUUUAUUAUUUAAAAACCACCACUUAAAUUCAAAUCCAACGACUAAGUGACGUCAAAUAUGAAACAAUUUUUGUGAAAUAGAAGUUAUAGGAAAAAAUAGAAUUUAAAAAAGUAGGAAACAAAUUUUGUAAAAUAGAAGUUAUAGGAAAAAAAUAGAAUUUAAAAAAAAAUAUGAAACAAAUUUUGUAAAAUAGGAGUUAUAGGAAGUUAUAGAAGAAAAAAAUAGAAGUUAUAGAAAAAAUUUUGUAAAUAAAAAAAUUAAAUAAAACUGUAAAAAAAAUUCAAAAAUAACAGCUAGCUGUUGUCAGCUAGCCGUUGGAUUCAAAUUUUUCUUUAAGCAAUCAUGUCGGUUAUAUUUAUAUUAAAUAUACUCUGGUCAGUUAUAACUGACAGGAUUGCUAUGAAUUUCUGGCCAGCCCUUUAGCCCUUUGGCCCUUUCAGGUUCCGUGGGGCCCACGAGCCAUCUGGCCUAAUGCUCAGUUGGAGACAGUUUUCUGGCUAUUUUCGACACUCUGGCCCUCUUGACUCUUCGGUUGGAGAUGGCCUUAGAAAUCAGUCAAUUGACCCCUUGUUGGUAGAUUUCAUCCACUAUUUCGUCAAAUCCAAAGGAAAAUUUGUCUUUCCUUGAUCAAUUAUUACUUGUCAACUAUAACCACUAAUGAAAUAAUGACAUGUGAAAACAAAAAAAAUGUGUAAUGACAAGAUGGGGGAGGGCUACAUUUGACUAGCAUGAUGCCCUUUGGCCAAAUUAUAGUCUGGUGGGCUUCGUAGAACUAGAGUCUGGUCAUCGAUUAAAUAUGAGUUUUUGGCAAAUAAUGUCUUUUUUUACUUUUAGACCUUUAGCCUUUUCCAUUAGAGAUGACUUACUAUUGGAUUUAGUAGGUCUGGCUCCUUCCGAUUGGGCCUUUUUUUUUACUGAAGCCAAUUGAUUGGCUGUUGCUACUUAAUACUAUGAUUUAGUGGUAUUCAUCUUUACUUGUAAGUGAGAGGUUUUAUGUUCGUUUCUCGCAAAAAAACGAAUUUUGAACCACAUUAUUGCUAAUCUAUUGUGAGGUUUAGUCCAUUUUCCUCAGCUCUUAGUAUAAAUAAUAUCGUUUGUCAAAAAAAAAAAAAUUAAUUGGCUGUUUUAAUAGCUCAAUGUGAAAGCCACGUGAUGACUAUGUUAAAAGAGAGAUUUUUCAGUAUGACCAGUACACGAGGUGAUGCACAACGUGUCACUAAAUAAAUUGUGGGAUAUGUGCGCUAAAAAGUUAAUAACUUAAAAAAUAAAAUUUCUCACAAUUUCUAUUGAAACACAUGGUGUACUACUUGUAUUCCCGUCACAACUAAAAAUUUCUCGUUAAAAGGCAGCAAGCAGCCAAUAGUACGAGAAAUUUCUCAGCGUGACCGAAAUACGGGAUGAUACAAUACGUGUCAUUAUACAAAUAGUGAAAUAUGUGUGUUAAAAAGUUAUUAACUUUAAAAAUAAAUUUUAUUACCAUUUAUAUAAAAAUAUGUAAUGUAUCACUCGUGUUCCGGUCACAAUGAAAAAAAAUUCUAAUAGUACAAGGCAUUGGAUGCUUUUCUUUUGGUUUCCAUCAGCAAAGAGAAAAUGUAAGCCUUUCUGGUUUCUGAAAAAUAGAGGAAGACAGCCCGAGUACUUUAUUGGUAGUAGGGGUGUUGGUGACAACACGGUUUAGUGUGGGUCAUAGUGUUAGAUUGUGAAUUUUUUUUUUGACAAAGAAAUGUUAAUAUGAUCGUUUAUGGUGGUCUAUAGUAAGGUAUACUGUUAUAACCAUGAUAUUUUGAUAUUUGUAUUUUUAAAUAAAAAUUUAAUUUUUUAUAUGAAACAAAAACGUUAAAAUAAUGAUGUAAUUAAUUUAUUACGUGUUAUCAGGUUAUAAAGUUAAAAUACAAUGUGAAGUGAGGAAUCAUUUGAGCCACGCAGCUCUAAGGUUUCGUGUGAAUAACACACCCGAGAAUAUAUAUUCAUGUUAGAAGAUCAACGGAUAAAAAAAGAUAUUUUGAUAUGAGUCCAAAGUAACUAAAAAUUAAACCUAUUUCAAAAGUUAAAAGUUACUAAAAAUUGGAUUUAUUUUAAAAGUAAGCUUAUAAAAUUGAACCUAUUUCAAAAUUUUCCUUUUUAAAAAAAAAAAUUAUGUUCCGUUAAUUCGUUUGUUACCAAUGUAAAAAAGUAAAGAACUAAUGCAGCCAAUAGUACAAGGCAGUGGAUGGUUUUCUUUUGGUUCCCAUCAGCACAGAGAAAAAGAAAGGCAGCCUAUGCCCUUCGGUUCCUAGAAAACAGAGAAAGAUGGACACUUGGACAGCCGCAGUUUUAUCUGUUGGUAGGAGUGGUGUGACAACACGGUUCAGUGUGGGUUAUAGUGUUAGAUGAUGAAUUAUUUUGUUGACAAAGAAAAGUUGUAUAUGAUUGUUUGGAUGAGUUAGGGCUGGUUUGGUAUUGUUGUGCUCUGAAAAAAAGUAGUUUUUGCUAUGAUGUGGGAAUAAGCGGCUGUGAAAUAAAGCAGCAGAGUGUUUGGUAAACUUUUAUGUAAAACAGCUGUGACUGUGUGAAAUGACCAAAAAAGGUAUAAUACUAUAUAUGCUAUUAAUUUAAUUUUCUUAACAAAUAAAGAAUAAUUACUAAAUAUACUUUAUUUUUAAAAGAAAAAUAUUUAUAAAUUUUAUCUUAAAUAUUAAUUAGUAUGACAAACUACUUCAAUUGAAAUAUUUUAGACUGCAUAGCUAGGAUUCAUUAGUACAUUAUUGUUAAUGUACUUGAAAGUAGUCUAAUUAAAUGCAUUCAUCAAACUUGCCUCUAUAAUUGAUUAGAAUACCUGGUUCAAGGAGAUAUGUGACGAAGUAUGUGUCACAAAACACUAAAUUCAAUGAACGAAAUUGGUAAAAACAUUACGAACCGUUUAUGUAUUUGUUAUAAUAGAUUGACUAAACGACCUUAGUUUUAAUUUAUUUUUUUGCAGAUAUGAUCUUUACCGUGUGAUUCAUAGUAUGAACAAUUCUAAUCAUAAACACAAAACUAUGUAAUUAAAACACUAAGAAUUUUGAAUAAAAAUUCAUACUCAUCUUUGAGUGAUUUUAUACCUUUUCCUUCCCUUUUCUAGGGUUUGAAUGCACAUGCGCCGAAAGUGGUUAGCAAAUUCGUUUUUUCAUUUUUUUGUUUUUUUCGUCGUCCUUUUCUUUCGUUUGAAUGCACAUGGUUUUUGCCCCUUUUCUUACGUUUGAUUGCACUGGCGGUAUAUUAUUACUCUUUUCUUCCCUUUUCUUACGUUUGAUUGCACAUGAUUUUACAAUGUGAUCGAUACACGAGAUGUUACAUCACUCAUAUUAAAAUACAUGAUGUAUCACUUGUGUUCCGUUAUAACUAAAAAUUUCUACUUUUAUAGACGUUAGCCAUUGGUGAUAAAAUACAAAACAAAGAAUAGAAAGCUUCUGUCUCCUCUCUAUCCCUCUCUCUCUCUCUCUCUCUCUCUCUCAGAAAAUCAGAAUCAAAGGGGGUUGCUUUUUGCUUGUUCAAAGUCUUCUCUGCCCUUUCCGUCAACACCAAAUUGGUAAUUUCGCAUAAACGAUUGCCCUUUUAUUUUUCUCUUGGUCCAAAUUCAAUCGAAUUAUUCUUAUAUUUUUCUCAGAAAAUAAGAAUCAAAGGUGCUUGCUUUUUAAUUUUUGUCCUCCGUUGCGUGUUUGUGACUUUGUGCACAUGCUCAGUAAGAAGUAGUACAAUUUCAAUUUUUCUGUACUAAAAUCUGAUCUAGUCUCAGGUUCAACUAUAGAUCAGAUUCGCUCUCUGCUCUGUAAUCAAAUACUCGUUGGCUCCAUUUUGGCUUCGUUCUCUUCUCUCUAAGAGAGAGAUGGAGUUGAUUGAGUUCAUUCAAGUUUUCACAUCAUCGUCAUCGCCAUCGGGACUCUGUUGUGCAUGUUGGGUAGAUCAUUGACAUUUUCUACGUCGACUUCUUCUUCUUCUGGUGCUGCUGAUGCUGUUGUUGAGGAUAACAAUGAUGAUGAUGAUGUUGCUAUCCCCCCUCUUCGAGAAAAGUAUGAUGUGUUUCUUAGUUUCAGAGGUGAGGACACUCGCCCUACUUUUACCAGCCAUCUUCGUGCUGCUUUGGAAAGGAAGAAAUUCGAAACCUACAUAGACGAAAAGCUGAAGCCAGGAGACGAAAUUGGACCCACCCUACUAAAAGCAAUCAAGAAAUCAAGGCUUUCGGUGAUAAUUUUCUCCAAAAACUAUGCGUCUUCCACAUGGUGUUUGAGUGAACUUGUGCAUAUACUCAAAUGCAGAAAGAAAAAAGGCCAGAUGGUUGUACCCAUUUUUUACGACAUCAAUCCAUCAGAUGUGCGAAAACAAGAGGGGAGUUAUGCAGAUGCAUUUGCUCAACUUGAAAAACGUUUCAAGGACGGUAUGGGCAAGGUGCGCAAGUGGAGGAAAGCUUUGAGGACUGCAGCCAAUAUUUCUGGGUUCGAUAAUUCAAACAAAAAAAGGUAAGUAACUUUGUAACUUGUAUCAAUUUCUACUUGUGACUAUUUCUUUUCAAUUUUUUUUCUUUAAAUUUUUUUAUAGGAACCAUAUUCAUUAUAUAGACUUCAACUACCUGAUUUAGGUAUUUAAAAGUAGGAAUGUAUAAAAGCUAGAGUGAAAUUUUGUGUUUGUUAAGUCUGCCGUUGAAAAUCCAAAAUGGAAAAGCAUAUCAGUUGAAUUGCAUACUAUCUGCCGUCGAAAAUCCAGAAAUCAUUGGCCUUCAGAGUCGAAACAUACAACCUCCACCUCUGCCUGACUAGACCUGAAAUUCCAACCCCGAAUUCCUCGCGCAGCCCUGAAAUUCCGACCCCCGAAUUCCGCCACUCUAAAACAAAUCUUAUAGACUAAUGAAGGCAUUACUUACUAUAUAUUGCUUCUCAUUUGUAAUCAUAUUUUGCAGGACGGAGGCCGAUUUAAUUGAGAAACUUGUGGAAGAUAUUUCAACGAAAUUGAAACGUGAAACCUCAUAUGACUUAAAUGGCCUGGUUGGAAUUCAAAGCCGCAUCGAGCAAGUUGAAUCGUUAUUAAGCAAUAAUGAUUCGCAAGGUGUUUGCACUGUAGGCAUUUGGGGUAUGGGUGGCAUUGGAAAGACCACCCUUGCUCAGGCUGUGUUCAAGAGACUCUCUUCUAAGUUCGAAGCUUGUUGUUUUCUUAGCAAUGUUAGGGAGAAAGCAGAGCAAACAGAUGGAGUCAAUCAACUGAAAAAAACACUUCUUGAAGAGAUCUUAAACGAACGGUCUAUAGAUUCGACUUCUGUUCGAGAAAGGCUCAGCCGUACAAAGGUUCUCAUUGUUUUUGAUGAUGUUAGUGACUGGAGGCAAAUAAAAGAUGUAGCUGGAGACAAUCUUCGCUACAGCGAUGGAAGUAGAAUCAUUGUAACAAGUAGAGAAUGGAGCGUACUCAUGAAAGCUGUUAAAGAGAGAAAAUAUAUAUAUCAGGUUGAGAAAUUUAAAACUGAUGAUGCUCUUCGGCUCUUUCAAUCUCAUGCCUUCAAGGAUAACUCUCCUAGAGCAGAAUAUAGAGAGUUGUCCGCAAGGGUGGUAAAAUAUGCUGGAGGCAUUCCACUGGCUCUUGAAGUUUUGGGUUCCUUAUUGUUUCCAUGUGUGAGCAAAGACGAGUGGGAAGAUGUAUUGAGCACACUGAUAAAUUAUCCCAAUGAAGAAAUUCAAAAUACGUUCAGAGUAAGCUAUAAUAGAUUAGGAAGAAAUGCGCAGGACGUAUUUCUUGAUAUAGCAUGCUUUUAUAAAGGGGAGCGUAUUGAGGAUGUACAAAAGAUGGUAGACUUUGGCCAAAUGCAUGGUGGUUCAUGUGCGGCAGAUGGAAUUAGAGUUCUCCGUGAUAGGUCUCUCAUAUCGAUUGAUUCGGCAUGGAAAACCAUAGAGAUGCAUGAUUUGGUACAAGAAAUGGGUUGGGCAAUUGUUUGCGAACAAUGUAUUGAAGAGCCCGGCAAACGUAGUAGGCUGUUCAGAGCUGAAGAUGUCUAUCAUGUAUUGAAAAAUAACACGGUAAGAUCCGAAAGUGCAUUCACUUUUUCUUUUAAACAAUAAAGAAAAGAAAGAGAUGAAUAAAAUACCGUGUACUUCCUAUGAGAAGGCAGCUAGAGAAAACUCAUUUACAAGAAAAAUAAGUCAUAUUCCUACAAAUGUAGUUUAGAUUAAAUUUUGUUGUGUGUUAGUGUGUUCACAUUUGUACUUUGUUGUUGGUUGUCAGGGAACUGAAAAGGUUCAAGCCAUAUCCUUUAACAGGUCCAUCUUUGGGCCUGGGCACAACGUGGAUCGUGCAGACUUUAAAAAUAUGUAUAAUCUGAGAUUGCUCCGUCUUGAUAGUUAUUAUACACUUCACAUGUCUAUAGAUUUCUACAAAUUUGAGCUUACUCUAUCUCUUCCCAAUUCUCUUUGUUAUCUUUCCUGGAAGGGAUGUCCUUUGAAAUCUUUGCCCCCAGAAUUUUCUCUUGAAAAUCUUGUUGAGCUUCAUAUGCCCUACAACAGAGUCACGCAACUUUGGGAUGGAGGCCAGGUAUAUGUGCUUGUUAUAGUUUUUUUUUGUCUAAGAUGUAGUGUAGAAACUUAUUCAGACUAAGUUGUUAAUUCUUACCUUUUCUCUUUAAUUUGUUACAGAAUCCUAUCAACUUAAAAGUGCUCAAUCUUCAUUCCUCCUUGUGUCUGACUGCACUUCCACACCUCUCGAGGAGUCCAAAUAUCGAGCACAUGGAUCUUUCUGGAUGUAAAAGUUUGGUUGAAAUUCCUCAGUAUUUUAAAAAUCUUAACAAACUUACUUAUCUUGAUCUUUCAAUGUGCGAGCGUCUCGAAUAUCUUCCAGAGAUGCCAGGCAAUAUUGAAUUCUUAAGAUUACAAGGCAGUGGCAUAAAGGAGUUGCCGUCAUCAGUUUGGUCUCAUGAAAAAAUUUCUUCCUUGGAUAUUACAUUUUGUGAAGAACUUAAGGAACUUCCAAGCAACACUUGCAAGCUGAAAGUCUCUGGUGCUUUUAGUCUAUAUGGCUGCUGCUCUCUUGAAAAGGUUUGGGAGCUUCCCAGGGGUAUUGGUGAAUUAGAUUGGUCUCGCACAGCAAUAAAAGUAUUGCCCACAUCAUCAAUGGAGCGUCUCUCUUGUCUCACCAGACUUAAACUGCAUUGUUGCAUUUAUCUUGCAAGUCUCCCACGGAGCAUUUGUAAGUUGAAAUCUCUUGAGGAACUUGAUCUCACUGGUUGCUAUGAACUAAAAGUUGUUCCAAGUAGCAUCUACAAAUUAACAAAUAUCAAAAUGCUCAGCUUUAGUUACUGUCGGAAACUUCGAAAUUUUACUCAGCCGACUGGCUCAGUUGGUUUUCUCUCUCUUGAAGUACUAGACCUCAAAUACAGCGGUAUAUUAGAAAUCCCUGAGGGCUUCAUUUGCUCAACCUCAUUACGGGUUCUUAAGCUGGAAGGAACCAAAAUUCGGAGCAUACCCUCAAGCAUUAAACAAGCUCCUCAGCCGACUGGCUCAGUUGGUUUUCUCUCUCUUGAAGUACUAAACCUCAAAUACAGCGGUAUAUUAGAAAUCCCCGAGGGCUUCAUUUGCUCAACCUUAUUACGGGCUCUUAAGCUGGAAGGAACCAAAAUUCGGAGCAUACCCUCAAGCAUGAAACAAGCUUCUCAGCUGUCUUGCCUGUGCUUAAUCGGCUGCACGAGGCUUCAAUCUUUACCAGAGCUCCCAAUGCUCAGUUGUCUUCAAGCAAAUGGCUGCAAGUCACUGAAGACAGUGUCGAGUUCAAGGACUGCAAUUACACAAUGUUGGAAUAGAUGUGAAUUACUUCAAGAGCUACUUGACUUUUCGGGUUGCCCAAGGUUGGGUGAUGAUGCAAGGAGCAGCAUAAUGGUUGAUGCACAGCUUAGAAUCAUGCGAGUGGCAACUGCGGCUUCAAAGUUAAAAGAAGAGGAAGAUUACGUACGUCUCUCUCUCUCUCUCUCUCUCUCUCUCUCUCUCUCUGUUAAGUAACAUGAUGUCAAUCAAUGUUGUAGGGAAAGUUUAAAGAAGAGGAAUAUUACGUAUGUCUCUGUGUGUGUGCGUGCGUGUGUUAAGUAACAUGAUGUCAAUUAAUGUUGCAGGAUGAGUCUUCUGAGCCCUUUGUUAUCAUUGUGUGUCCGGGAUCUGAACUUCCAAAUUGGUUCGUACAUCAAAAUGAGGGGGCUUCAAUAAAUGUCACACUUCCUGCAAAUUGGUUUCGUGAAGGCUUCUUGGGUUUCGCUCUAUCUGUUGUUACAGCCAAAGCAUUAUUGUUCUGUGAAUACAUGUUCACUUUCAAAACUGAAGAGGGGGAAAGUCUUGAAAUCAAUUGUGUGCGCGAUGUUCUGGAAACCGAACCUUCAGAGAAUGUGUGGGUAUGGUAUACAGAACUUGAAUAUGAAGAGGGAGCAAACUGGUCCUCUGCUUUUUUCGACCGUGUCACUAAGGUCUCUGUUCACUUCCAACCGAAAACAUUAUUCGAUCAUGAAGUGAAAAAGUGUGGGAUAUGCCUGUUGUAUGCCGAAGAUGCUGAGAAAUUAAAAUUUGAUGUCAUGUCGCUACAAGAACAAUAUGAGCCUGCAGCAAGUAGGAGUGGUGAUCCUGAAGCCAGUGGAAGUGAUGAAUCUGAGGAAUUAAGUGGAAGCGAUGAAUCUGAGGAAGCAAGUGGAAGCGAUGACUAUGAGGGAGAAAGUGGAAGCGACGAGGAAGCAAGCGAUGAGUCUGAGGAAGCAAGUGGAAGCGAUGACUAUGAGGGAGAAAGUGGAAGCGACGAGGAAGCAAGUGAUGAGUCUGAGGAAGCAAGUGGAAGAGAUAAGUAGGAGCAAGCAAGUGGACAUGACGAGUCUUUUGCUGGUUCAAGCCUCUCCUAAACUUCAAUCAAAGAAAUAGUUAAAGAUAGAAAAUCGAGUUCAUCCAGUAUUCAACCACAAUUCCACAAUACAAUAGAAGGUACGUAGUUGAAAUUGACAAUUAAAAUUAUAUGUAAGUACUAGCAAUUGGGCUCACACGAUGUCGCGGGUUUUAAAACGUGUGAAAUAUAUUAAAAAUUGUCUACAUCUAUCUCAAAAUCUAUUUACAUCCUAAUGUUCAAUAAGAAACAAAAUAUAGGUAUGUGAUAUACUGAAUAGUAAUGCCCGCAUGUUGCUGCGGGAUUAGAAUUUGACUAUCCAUAUUGGCAUCUUAAUAUAAAUCUUAGUAUAAAACAAAGAUCAAUCUCAUGCACUGAAAACUAAUGUGAUUAGUUGCCAUAGAUGCAAACACAAUAAUGCUGAAACCCCUUAUAAAGUUACAUAUGCAUCAAACAUUUUUAAUCUAAAAGUCUAGAAAUCACAAGAAAAACAAAUGUUGAGCCUACAGUAAUCUCAGACAACAAUCUCUAACAAAAAUUUGACCAUAAAAUGUAAACCCAUCUCUGAAUCAAUAUCAAUCUUCUUCCUCAACAAAAAGUUCACUAUUUCUUGCAAAAACACACAUACCCAUCUUGUCAUUUGCAUCUGAAACCCCAAGUUUCUACCAUAUCACAAUACAAUGGCAGCAAGCCCAAUUUUCUACUGUAAAAGUUUGUGUGACAGAAGAUCAAUGUAUUUUGUGUUGACAAUGCUAAGUAUAUUUUCAUAUAUGAAAUAUUUUAUUGAUACAGUUUAUACGGAGAAAGAUGAUAUGAAUGGAAAGAGAUUAGAAUCUUCCCAAUAUUUUAGCUGAGAGGUUGGGGUAAAGGAAUAUGGUCAAUCAGAAAUUGUUUGUAGCCUUCUUCUUUGCAUCAGUGGCUUUGCUAAACUAUAAUUUUUUUAAAAAUAAGACAAACCAACCAUUACUGUUAUGCUCCUUGCUGCAGUCAAGUCUCAUGAUUAUAAAUAAAACCAGACGAGCAUAUAAACCCAAAAAGAACAGUGUAAAAAUAUACUGUUUAAGAGUUGACUGCAUCUUUGAAUACUGAAAGUAAGAAUAUAGAGGAAUCAGUACAGAAAAUUUAAAAUAUACCAAGUAUUGUUGUGUGCUCAUCCGAGAGGGAAUUUUGUGAUCACUCAAUUUCAAGUCUGGCCUCUCUUUCCUAAUGAGAGAUUCUACCGCAGCCUGAUAGACAUAUUCAAACAUUUAAUAAUCUACAGAAAUUAACUAAACUCAACCACAUUGAAUAUCAAAACCACCUACUUACCAUCUUAUCCAACUCUUAUUUCGUAAAUUUUUCUGGUAAAGAAGCAUAGUUUAUCCUGAGCUCUGCAAUAAAAUAAUUCAAUUCUUCUUUGCUUUUCAAUAAGAUCCCUACAUUCAAACAAACAUAAUUACUCUACUAAAUAACUUCAAUGUAAAAUGCAAAGAUAUAACAUAAAAGGACAGUGAAUAAUUCAAAAAUCAAACUGUUAAAGCAACAGACUGAUACUGUGAUACACUUAACUUGCCAAUUUAUAUACUAUAUAACAAUACUAAAUCAAGUAAUCUAUGAAGAUUAGGAAUGGAUUGCAAAAGCAGAAAACUUAUUUGACAUGUAUUAAAAGGAUACACAAAUUCUUAGCCAAUCAGCAUGAAAAAGGUAUAGAAAACUAAUUUGAUUUGUUAACUUUGGAAAACUGGAGAGAUAAAAAAGGAAUUCUUAGUUUUUAGUAUGACAACCAAGUGAUUUCGUUGUUUACGGGAUUCAUGUGUGUCGUUAGGAUUGCCAAAAUUAGUGAUUUUAGAGUUUGGCAACAAAUUACAGAAUUGGACUCAAGUUUAUUAACAUGUGAUCUAAACUUGUGAUCCAACUAAACUAAUUUGGAUACACUUAGCAAAGAAAUAUGCAUACCAUAUGACAAUAUUGAAUCAAGUUAUUUGCAAAGAUUUAAAAUGCAUUGUAAAAAGAAAAAAUUUUAUUUUAUAUGUAUUAAAAAAUGAUAAACAAAUUUUUUAUUGAUCAGUAUAAAAAAGGUGUUAAGAACUAAGCUAAUCUAUUAAGUUUGGAAAAAUUGGACAGAUAAAAGAGAGUUUUUAAUCCUUACUAUAACUAAAAUAACUAUGUUAUUUCAUUAUCAAAUAGGAUCCAUACGUGUGAUGUGGGUUAAGAAAAUCACUGAUUACAGAAUCUGCAAGAAAUCAUCAAAUUGGAUUCGAACUGACCAAUUUUUUAUUCAAAUAAGCUAAGAAAAGGAGUUGGAAUCAAACUAACCUCCGUUUUCUAUAUGCAGCAAACUGCAUCUUGUUUUUCGUUAACAACAUACCAUUCACUCUGUAGUCUGUACACACCAAAAAACAGUAAACACCUCAUUCAGUACUAACAGCCAGUUCAAUCAAUUAAUUAUUUAGACAAUUUUCAACGAUUCCGAAGCUUAGACAAAAAUUGCACGAGGAAAUUGAGAUUAUAUGCAAUUGUAUGUCAAAUAACCUGAAAAUACCAUAUAUCCAAUAUUAAGUGCAUACACCUAAAAACUAAUCUUUAUAUAUACUUUAAAAUAAUACAGAUCAAUGUAAUCUAAAACAUUGGAAACAUUAUCAUACAAUUAAAGAAUCACAAUGCAGAAAAUUUUCAUUCCAAUAUUUUCAGAUAACUUUUCACCCGACAACAUUGUAGUUCAAUCUCCAUCUUUAAGGGUCAUCAAAAAUUAAAGUAGUCAGUACAGCACACUCACAACAGAUAUGCUCUCAGAAAAACCAAAGAGAGAACCGCACUGGGCUGCUCAACUAUCCAAUUUAUACCAGAUCCAACAUUUUACAUCCGUUCAGUCCCCAACCACAAGGUUGAUUCCAAUUCAACCCUCUUAUUCAUUCUCUCCGUUUACAUCUCCAACGCACAAUCAUACAUGUCAAGACAAAAGAUAAGAUUCAUAAAUUUGGGUCUAUAGCUCUUGGAUCCAAAUCUCAUUGAACCAACCCCAUUCUCCUAAACUAAACAUAAAAUUGUUUCAUGACCAAUGUCUUCAACUUAUUUUUGGAUAAAUGUCAAGGUACCCAAGAACUACCAGUGAAACAACCGCAAAGACUCAAAGUUCCACAGUAAUAUAUUAUCUGCAACUAAUAAAAAAUUAACCAACUCGAAAUCAAAUAUAAACCCAAAUGAAUCCGAACCCACCAAGCAAAACAGAAAAAAACCCUAAAUAGACAAACAAUCAAACAUAACCAAAUGCGUAGCUUCAAAAAUUUCAUUUUAAAGCCAAUUAUGAAGCACAAAAUGUUAGCCCAAAAUGGAAAAAGAGGUAAAAACGAAGCAAAAGCCAAAGAGAGAGAUGGAUACCUUUCUGUCUCCUCCUCUCUGUGCAAGCGCUCUUUCUCUCUCCCUCUUUCUCUUUCUGAAUCCUUCCCUCUGUGCAAGCCCAUACUCACCAACAGCGUGUAUCAAAGGAAAUCUCAACUUCUCACUGCAAGGAUUUGCUCGAAAACGAAGUAAUAAGAUAGGUUCAGAGCUAGCACUAGCUAAAAAGGCUACUCCAAAAGCAAUUAUCUAAAAACCUGUCACUGAUACAAAAAAUAAGAAGUGAUUAGCAGUGAUUCAGGGGCACUCUUAUAAAUUGUAAUUGCAAGGCAAGAUCAGAAUUGAUUUGCAAAGACUCAUAGGUACUCUUAUAAUUACCAUCUUUAACUUCAUUUUGUGUAAUAUGUAUUACCACAUACAAUAUUGUUGUAUAAACAGCCCAAUACGAAUUUUGAUUUCAGUGGACUCAAAUAGCGCACACAAUAACUAAACCGCAAAAAGAAUCAAAACACCAAGCAUAAAGAAAAGACACACCACACGUACAAUAGCUCAAAGAUUUAUAGUGAGUCUGUAAACAAUGAGAAAAUUGUUAUGAACCCAAUUUGUAAUUGAGGUUUAUGCUUAAGGUAAAGAGUCAAAUUAGUUGUAAUUGAGGGUUUUUACUGGUUAUUAGGGGAAUUUGAUAGAAAUGCCAGCUGGCAGUCACACUUCAUGUAUAAGAGCACCUGCUCUUUGGUUUGAAACAGAACAUAAUUUUACAGAACAAAUCAAUACAAAAAUAUUGGAGCUCUACUCCUCCUAUCUUCCUCCUUCCUUCUUUUCUAUGUGCAAUAGUUAAGGUUUGAGUUAGGGUUUGAGAUUUGGGUUCUAACAAUGGUAUCACCCAUAUCGAUUCCUGGAUUCCCUUCUGUGCGCACCCGCCGAUCCGCUGCUACUUGCGACUCUGCCUUGGAGUCCCGUCUUGAUGCCGUGGAGGCUUCCUUGGCGGCUCUCAUCGCCUCUUUACCUUCCCUCAUCGCCACUGAGUACGCCAAGGCCUUCGACAAUGUCUUCGAUGACUCUUUUGAAAAAUUUCGUCGGGGAAUGCUUUCUCGAGGUGCCGCAGUAGGCAUCUCUGCCCUUCUUGCCAUUGAUCAUCAUGUUUCUCCUGCGAUUGAGCCUAUCCAGCUACCUCGGAGCCCAAUUUGUGCUGAAGAAGCCUAAUCGCAGCUUAUUCCGUUGACAAUCCAAGCUCCACUGCUGCUCUCAUCUUCACCGUUGUUGCGAGCACUGGCAACUUCGGCCGUCAAGCCACACUCGAAACACCCCGCUGCAGCUACAGUUUCAUUUACGGAAUCGAAGACGGGGAUUCAUACUUCGAUGAUGACCUCUGCUCCGCCACUACUCCAUGAGCACCCGUUCUCUGAUACUACGAAAACUGGACCUGAGGUAGUUCUUAAUUUGAGUAUCAUUUUAGCAACUCCGGAGGCUACAUUCCCUUCUCUUUUGACUGAUUACUACGGUGCAUACCUGAAAGAUAAAUUUGGAUGGGUUAAUUGGUAUCUUGUGGGUAAAUUUGUGAAGAAAAAUUUAUAUGCAUUGGAUAUGUUUGAUGAAAUGUCUAAGAGACAGAAUGACAAUAUGUUCAUUCAGCCACUGGUUCACAGUAUUGAAGUUCUCCAUCUCGACUAUCUUGCCAUCCAGCUCCAUUAUUUUGACUUAAAUUGCUACCUUGGUUUUGAAUAUGGAAGUACAAUUGCUUUAGGUAGAGUUUUUGCUUGUUCAUCUAGUUUUAGUCAGAAGCCUAUGUUUGGAGCAUUUGGGUCCAAUCUUGCUCAAACAAGUCCUUUUGAAAGUCCAACUCAAACAUCACAAGCAGCAUUUGGGGGCAGUAUAAUUGGUUCAUCCACGCCAAUUGGUGACAUGUGUUACUGUAAUGGCAUUUGGGAUAAGGGUGGAGGCUUUAAAUUCAACAAAAUGCAAUUGAAGAUGGCGGUGGCUCGAAUAAAGCUGCUGAGGAACAAGGGGCAGGUGGUAGUGAAGCAAAUGAGGCGUGCCAUUGCCUUGCUCCUACAAUCUGGUAAAAACGCUACUGCUCGAAUUCGGGUUGAACAUGUGAUUAGAGAACAUAACACUUUGGCUGCCAAUGAGUUCAUUGAGCUCUUCUGUGAAUUAGUAAUAUCUAGACUUUCUAUCAUCGCAGAGCAAAAGGAGUGUCAGCCUGGUCUCAAAGAAGGAAUUGCUAGUUUAAUCUUGGCCUCUUCUAGGUGUUCUGAGAUUUUGAAACUGAUCUCACUAAGGCAUAUUUUUUAGGAAAAGUAUGGUAAAGAUUUUGUAUCUGCGGCUAUUGAUGUACGUCCCUGCUGUGGUGCGAAUCACAUGUUGUGGUGUGAAGGAGGACAUAUGCAGUUUGUAGACCCAACUUCAAACUCUGCCAGUUAUGCAAUGGCUGCUGCACAAGUUGCUGCAUAUUUGGCCAACACGGACUACAAUCAAGACAAUAAUAUUGUAUCUCUCAAGAAAAUAAAAGAAGCUUCCCUGUUGAGUUUGAUAGUUUCCUUACGAUCGAUAUGUGAGGGCAGAUUUCAAUCUUUUGACCAGUUUCUGUCUCGUGAAUAUUGUAUAUCUCUUGCUGACAAUAUAGAAAGUAAAGUCAAGGUGAGGGAGGAAGGUUAUUCUCAACUCUUUUCUGAAGUGCAUAAAUUUGCUGAUGUGAUUUCCGAAUUCAACAAUAUGGUUUCUGCAAUUCCAGCGAUGGUUACACAGUCUAAUGAGCUUAAGCUUAAGUUCGAUGAAGGGUCCACAAUGAGCAAGCUUUGGAUUGUGAAUGUGGGUGGCAAUGAGAGUCCAGCAAAAACUGAAGUUCUAGGGAAAAGCCUUAAGGAAGCUCAAAACGUCAAUAAAUCUCUUUCAGCUCUUGGGGAUGUGAUCUCAGCUUUGUCAAGAAUUAAGGCUUUGAACCGGGUGGGACAUGUGGAUGAAGACAAUGCCAAGGCCAUAUCCUUGUUUGAGAAUGUAGUGGACCUUAGUGAUGCUAUUGAAGAUGAAGUCAAGUGGGUAGAGAAUCUGAUUAGAGGAAUAGUUGCUGGAAAUAUAUUUGAUCUUGGUUAUGCACAGCUUGCAGAAGUUCUCUCAAAGAAGGGUAUGUCCUUUUUAGUUACUUGUCAAAAUCUUAUCCCUCAACCUUGGGUUAUCGAUGACUUAGACGUGACAAUGGUUGUGUGUGUAAGAUCUGCGUGCAGGCAUUCGGGUGCAUUAGACCAUGGAAUAAUGGUGUACUCUGCCUGCUCUAUAAAUUCACUUGGAAAUGAAGAUGUGGUUGCUGAGAUUUUACGGAGAGGUGGUGGGGCUCUUCACGGUAUCAAAUUACAAGGAAUAUCAACGUCCAUUGAAGAUAAGAGCAAGAAAAAUAACCCUCUUGUCUUCUUAGAUAUAUCAAUUGAUAGGGACCCUGUGGAACAAAGCAAGAAGAACCCUCAUGUCUUCUUAGAUAUAUCAAUUGAUAGGGACCCUGUGGAACAACUUGUUAUUGAGUUUUUUGUUGAUGUUGUUCAUCAGACAACAAGGAAUUUCAGGGCUCGCUGUACAGGUGAUAAGGGAUCAACAUGUCAUCGAGCAAUAAAUGGUGUUGAGAACAACAUCAAAUGUGUGGUCAGAAUUUAUCCAAUGCUUGAAACGGCAAACAUUGUUGAUGUGCAGGACUUGAGUUUUAUUAUGGAACUUGGGAAUAAAAGUGAUAUGGUGCUGAAUAUUUUGCAGCCUAGCUAUAAUGUUGUGAGAAAUGAUGCUAUGGACCAAGAAGGUAAAGGAACAAAUGGAGUUGAGCCUCAUGACUUAUGACCCAUUAUAUUUGAGUUACCUCUCCUUGAUCCUGAGGAAGUCAACAAUGGUGUGCUUGAGAUGUCUGAACUAAAUGCUAUGGCUGAGAAGGUAAUUGCAGUGCGGAAUAAACAAGUAGCUAUUGAUGGUGAGGUUGUUGCUAUGACUGUUGAUGGAGUGAAUGAGGAACCUACUUUGAAACUUGCUGAUAUUGGGAUUGCAAUGGACAUUUCUGGAACUGGAGGAGAGUGCUGCUGCGUUUAAACAAGUUUCCACAGUUUCUUUUUUAAGCCUUGAGGACAAGGCUAAUUUUCAAGGGGGAAAUAUUGUUAUGAACCCAAUUUGUAAUUGAGGUUUAUGCUUAAAGUAAAGAGUCAAAUUAGUUGUAAUUGAGGGUUUUUACUGGUUAUUAGGGGAAUUUGAUAGAAAUGCCAGCUGGCAAUCACACUUCAUGUAUAAGAGCACCUGCUCUUUGGUUUGAAACAGAACAGAAUUUUACAAAACAAAUCAAUACAAAAAUAUUGGAGCUCUGCUCCUUCUAUCUUCCUCCUUCCUUCUCUUCUAUGUGCAAUAGUUAAGGUUUGAGAUUUGGGUUCUAACAAAAAUUUACCAGAAAUUUCAAAUCUUUUGGGGGUUCAAAGUAAUUAUCAGAGAGACGAAACCAAAAAUCAAAAUUAGGCCGAUUUUUUCAAAACCACAACAGCUCCGAUCUGAGAAAUACAGUAAAAUUUCUGGAAAAAAAAAAAAAGGAGUGAGGAAACCCUAAAACCCCAAGAACCCUAAUUUAUAAACCCCCAAACAAACCGAAAAAAAGGAAAUUCGAGGAAUUCAACAUACCUUAAUCGGAGCGAGGACGCUUUUCGACGGCUGAAUUCAUCGAUGACAGAGGUGGUUGUCGACCGUCGCUGUACCUCCAGUACGCGUCCGCCGUGUAUGAGGGUUGUCGACCGUCACUACUUGGUUUGUGGGCUUCACGUCGAGAGAUGGGGAGCGGAGACAGAGGAAGAGCAGAGGAAGAACGCAGACCAAGGAAAGAAAGAGGAAGGAGAGUGCAGAUCACGCGAUGGCACCGAUUAGAUGUUUUUUUUUUUUUGUAAUUAAAGUAAAAUCAAAGGGCAAACUUGUGACUGUAAUUAAGCUACAACAAUUCCCCUCCAACUUCAUGAUAGACUAGAAAAAUUGUCCACGCUCUGCUACGGGUUUUCAAACUAUAAUUGACAACAACCCUGGAUAAUAUUCAUAGAAAAGUACACUCAAACAAUUGCAUUCUCAAAUGUAGCAAUCUAGAUAACGCACAUUUUACUCGAGCAAUUCCCACAAAACCACAAAUUAACACAUUCAACUCCAAGCAAUUGAAAAACCAAGAGAUAGAUGAAUCAACAUGGUAAAAAUUUCAAAGACUAAUUCUAAAGUUUUCUCUAAUAAAUAAAUGUUGGCUGAAUGAUUGAUUGCUAUUGAGAAAAGAAAGCACCUUGACAGAGUGGAAGCAAUCUUAUCGUGUGUGUUAAGCUUUUAUGAUUAUUGGAAGCAAUCAUGAGCUCUAUGUGUUAUAUAAUUUUGUUUGGUCUUUGAUGAAAGGUGUUUAAUUAUUUUGUAGGUACAACUUUGCAGCGCUACCACAUUUAUGACCUUACUAUAUGAUCUACUUUCUUGGGGCUCAUUUGAUGUCUAGGACUCGGUAGACUCAAACAGCGUUGAAUAAAAAAUGGAUGUACACUUGCAUACUUUGUCACUAGCUAGUGUUGUUAGUUUACAUGCUCUUUUGUGUGUGCUGUGUGGAUUUGCAGGUUAUGAGUUAUAUAUAGAUACAUCAUAGCUAUAAUCUAUGCCAAGAACAUUUGCAUAUUGCGACUUGUCGGUUUUCUUAGGUAAUGGAUACGACUGCUUCUUUGCUUUUGCUAUUCCCGCUGAGGAAAAGUACAAUAUGUGUUUCUUAGCUAUAACUAGCAGGAAUGCCCGCGCUUUGCCGCGGGAUUUGAAACCGUCUCUACCAUCAACCAAAAUAAUUCUAUAAUUUAAACCAUCCAAACUUGUUUAACAUAGUUUUUUGUCUAUCAUUAUAUAUUUCCUCUCACAAUUUUUAUGGAAUAAAAUUCUAAACAUCAAAAAAUUUAAACAAAAUUUUGCAACUAAUCUUUGCAUUUAAGCACGUUCAAAACCAGUGGCUCUUUCAAAUUUUUUCUAAACAAAGAAAAGGAAAAGUGUUCAUCACUGAUAUUGUGCAUCCAAUAUUCCAAUGUACUGGUUUCUUGUCCACCUUCUCCUCCUAACCCUUUUAUCAAUAACCCAUCUCAUUAUGUCCCUCAGAGACUCGAAACCCAAUUCCAACGGUCCAUUUAACACCUCCUAAUAUCAAUUCCUAAAAAAAUAAAUACAAAUGCAAAAUCAGCAGCGCUUUCAAAUAUUUUAAAGGGAACGUAGGAAAAUAUUAUCAAGAAAGAUGCGAACGAAGUAUAUUCAUCACUGAUAUUGAAGAGAAAACGAAGUGUAUUAGUAUAUUCAUCUUUCCCCAUUCCUUGUAAAGUUGAGGAAUUUUUUCUUAACAUCUGAACGGAAAGUAAAAUAACACUAACACACUCAAUUACAGCACACAUAAGCUCGUGAACAAAUUAUCAUUUCCAAACUGCCAUGAGAGUUUACUAAUCAUAAAUCUAUGUAGAAGUUGAAAUUCAAUCCAAAAUAAACAUUAGGCACAUCAUCAAAAACCAGCAGCACAACUACCCUAUUGAAAAAUGCCUAUUUCACAAAACAUUUAAUGAAUAUUUUAAUUCAGAAAUUUCUGCAAACCACAAUUGAACACACCGAUCUCUAUAUAAUUCAGGAACCAAUCAAAGCAGCUGAAUACACAUGGUAAAAUAAAUGUUUCAGUUUGAUUUUGUAUUCUAUAAACUUUACAUUAACGAAAUACAUUUAGGGAUUAGUACUACAAUGACAUUGCUCCAACAUCAAUUACAAAUCUUUUGAGAACAAAUAAACAUAGUGAGAGCUUGUACCCGAAGUGAGGCAUAUGAUCACACCCUCCUCAAGUGCCCAAGAGUAACUGAAUGGUGGGGCAGCCCCUACAGAAUGUUUUUUAAUCGAUUCGGUAGUUAACACUAGCCAAAUGCACAAUACAUAUCCUAGAAACUAUUGUCAGUUAACUUCUAAAGAAGUUAGAGCAAAAAUUACCUCCAAUCUUUGUUUCUCUUGUACUUUGGUAUUGUGGGGUUGACUUGUAAACGGUAAUAGAACUCAUGUAAGCCAAAUAAUAAAAAGCCUUUUUUUAGUUAACUAAAAAGCACUUGUAAACGGAGUGAGAUAUCUGGUAACCAAAAAAUGAAUCUUGGAAAGCAGACAUAAACAAACUUCAAUCACAAUUACUUUAAUACAUUUGGAUAUCUAGGAAAAUUAGAUUUAUUCAAUUUCGAUAUAAAGAAAAUUAAUUAAUGCAGGUACAACAUUUGUGCCUCAAUGACAUGAGAAGUACUCAAAACAAACAUUGUUUUCUUUUUGUCUUUAGGCAAUCUCUGCAAGUCGCAAUGAGUUCUCUAACUCAUAUACAUUGAUAAUCAUAUUAACUAAUUAACAACCCCUCCUGUUAAUUUCACACUUAUGCUCCAAACAGAUUUUGUAACUAAUAUCCCAAAAAGAGGGGAAAAAGGGAAUAAAAAAACCUUUGUAUGGUAUACUGCAGUGUAAUCUGUGUAAGCAAAGUUAAGCCCGGAAAGGCUAGCAACCUCCUUGUAUACUUGGAAACCUCUUGCAGAUUUUAUGGCUCUAGAAGAAAAUAGAUCAUGCAACAUUAAUAUCAUUAAGACUAAAGUAUUUUUUCGAAGUGAAUACACAUGAAAAGUAUCAAAAAGAGAGAAAGGAGAAAAAAUUAAAUAAAUAAGAACCGCACACCUGUCCUAUAAUUUGGCCAGACGGGCAUUUUGCUAAGUCGGUCGUACCCAGUGCACAAGGCUCCCGCUUUACGCAGGGUCUGGGAGAGGUGAAUGUCGGCUAGCCUUACCCCCAUUUAUGGAGAGGCUGCUCCCAAAAGUAACACAGACCUACCGAGGCAAAUUCUCAAUAGCCCAACCAUCAGCCUAUCAGAUGAAGAAAUAUUCAUAAGGGAAAAAGUAAGCUUAAAUAGGAUUUCAUAUAUAUGAACUCACUCUUUAAUUACUUGUCCUAUUACCAAAUAGCUAUUGGAAAUGGUUUGAGUUAUAAAACCUGACUCUAAACAGGUCUGAUUCUUAUCAAAUAGCUCUUGAAAAUUUGAUAUGCAAAAACUGAAACAAAGAAGUAGAUCCCAAUCUCAUCCCACAACGAACAAUGAACCAAAGUUACAUGAACAAAAACAAUGUCAACAUUUCAAGCUGUGCAAAACUAAACCCAUUCAGGAAAGCACAAAGUCAUACAUCCAAUCCUGUCUCAUUCAAAAUUCCAAUACUCGAUUCUAAAGAAUAAAGGAAGCAAUAGCACUCAAAAUCAAUAAUUGUAAAGAAUACCGAGGGCAAUAGCAUUCAAAAUCAAUAGUUCGCGAGUCUCCAACCAGCAUAGCAAAAUGCAAAGAGAGCAAGUCUCCAACUCUCCAACCAACGUAACAAAAUGUCAAAAAUCAAAAUGCCUUAUGGCAUUAGUACAACAUAAAGUUCAAAAUAUUAGCAAUAAAUUUAAAAAUGCCUUAUCUAAUAUCAUUGAGGGCAUAAGUUGGAAGAUAAGACAAAAAGCAUAAAGGGGUUGAUGCAGGCAGUAUAAAAAGCAUAAGAAAGGAAAGAUACCCAAAAUCCAUCACAAAUCAUAGUGAAAAUUUGUGUUAUAGCAACCUUAAAUUCAAAAAAAUUCUCUAGUUUUCCAUGUUUUCUCAUCAAACAAACAACAAAUUCAUAUAAAAUCAGAAAAGUAAAAUUACCAGCAGCAGCGUGCUCCGGGGCUCGUAUGACGGCAUUCCUCCACCAGCAACGGCGUCGAGAUUGUUUUCUGAGGCAAGGAUUACAGAGGAAAUCCGUAAAAUUCAUGGACAUCUGCAAGAAAACAAAACCACCGAAAGUCAGAGAUUUCCAAAACCGAAAAGAAAUGAGAGAGAGAGAGAGAGAUUGGAGUACCAUAAGUGUAUAAACAUAUUGGGAAAAAAUUGCAAAGCAAUUACUACAAUCUAAAUAAAAAUUCCACUGUUUAUUACACAGUGCUUUGGAAUUGUGUAAGUAGAGAAAGAAUUGGAGUUCUUACAGAGUGUUGGCGAACUGAAUAUCAGCUUCGAGCACCUUGAGAGAUUCAUUGAAGGACUUCGUUUAACAUUUAUCAAGUGUCAGUAAAUUUUUUAACGUACAUGGAAAAAUCCAGAAAAUUAGAGAUGAACAAAAAUAAGUGAAUCAGACGACUGUAAUUUUGAAAUAUCAUCUAUUUGCUAAUACGACCUUUUUCCAUCAAAACGACAUAAACCCCAAAGAAAAAAUGGAAAUUGGGAACGACCCAUAAUCUGAAAAUUUACAAAAAUUAACAGAAACGGAUGAAAUAUGAGAGACAGAAUUGGAGUUCUUACAAAGUGUUGAUGAACUUUCAGAGAAAGAAUUCGAUUUUCCUAAUCGUUUUUACUCUUUUCUCAUCCCUCCCAUCAAAAAUCCAAAACACUCAUUCACUCCACCCACCUCAAAACCUCUCUCUUUGAAUAUAGCAAAAAUAUACGACCCUUUCUCUCUCUGUAAUCUGAAGAAAAAUCUGAUCAAAAUUUAUAAAGUUGGUUUUUGGUUUUGUAAAAGUGUGGACAGUUAGAAGGGAAUUUGUAGAGAGAAGAAGGGUAACCUUUUCAGUAGAUGGGAAGCAAAGCCAUAUAUGUAACUCGGUUCGUUCAGAACCAACGAUCAUCGACACUAAACUUUGACUUACACAAAAACCGAUUCAAAAAACCAAAACAGAUACCCAAAAUUAUAACCAAACAAUCAAAACCCACAAUAAAAAAAAUCAUAUAACAAUGCUUUCACAGAAAAAUCUCUAAAAAACCCCACAAACCCCAAAAAAAAAAUCAUGCAAAAAUCUAACCACAGGGUAAGUCUAAAAAUGUCAAUUUUCAUGCUGCGAAAUUGUGAUACAUUACAAUCUAAAAUCACACAUACACAUAUCAUACAUACACAUACAUCAGAGGGGAGGAAGCAGAUAAUUUCAACAAACGCGACGGAAUUCCUUACCUGGGAAAUGUUUGGCCCGAUGAUGUGUACCACCCAGACUUUGCACAUCCAGAAAGUGAAAAAUAUUGCGCCAAUGAGAUGCAAAUAUUUCAAGAAACCUACCAAGGAAAUCAGACCAUGCAUGUGUUAGGUUUAUCAUUUGUCUGUUAAAAUGCACAGCAAAGACCAAAAUCAAAUAGAUCGGUGUGUUUUACCUCUGGACUUUCCAGUUUCCAGACCGAUUUGCAGUGGUGGACUGCAAACGAAGUUGCAGGCCUCCUUGAUGAUUUUCUUUUGCUUAACGGGAGAAAAUGAGGCUCUGGGUUUGUUGGGGAGAUGAUCGAAGCCUAUAAUUUUGAAAACAAAGAUAGACGAAGCUCUCGAGUUACAGAAAUGGAGGGCAGGUUUGUGUGGUUUUGGAAAGCAAGAGUCGAUGCUAUUACAGAUAUGGGCUCAGUUUUCGGGUUCUGGCUGCCAGAAAGGGGAAAAUGAAGGUCGGGUGUGUUUCUGUCUCUCUCCCCCAUCCCUCUCAAUCUCUCAAUCACUGACACCAACCCUUGAUUUGAGGAGAAAAAAUCAACCCUAACCCCACUUUUUGGCAGCCACACUCCUCUCUCCCUUCCCCUCCCUGCCAUCCCACGACUCUCUCCUUGAAAACCCUCCACACCACAGCCACACACACAGUGACAGAAAUGUAAAUAAUGCAAAAUCGAGGGCCCAUUUUAGAAUUAUACUGGUAAAACCGUAAAUAUAUCGAAAUAUGUUCAGAGACAAAAUUACCCUCCUACCUUUUGAUAAUUACCCUCCAACCAGCCCCAUUUGGCUGUGGCAUUGUGGUAAAUAGCGUGAAAUCGAGUAGCAAAGGUUUGACUGUAGGUAAGCUACAGUCAAAUCCCCCCUCAAUUUUAGAAUAGAUAAUAUUCGUGAUGCUUUGCACCGGAAGAAAAUUGAACCCACAUAGAUGACACAUUUGAGACAAGCGAUGCAAUAGCACAUGCCCUUCUGGAUGCCAUCAGGGUGCACUCUGAAAUUUGAGGACACCUUGGAGCAGGGAAAACAUGCUCUCAGACCAACUGACGAAUCACAAUUUAGUAACAGGGAAAUCGAGCGAAAUACCCUGAGUUAGAAUUAGCAAUCUAGGAAAACCUCAAAGUUUAUUGAUUGAAUACUAAGAAAGAUUACAAAAUUCAACUCUACAAGUUGGCUUAAAUAGAAAAAAUUUCUAAUUCGUGUUGGAGCAAUAUUAGAAAAUAUGAAAAAUAACAAUAUAAUUCCAAUGAUAAUAAUCAUAAAGAAAUUCACAACAUCAAUUAUAUAUGAGAUUAAUAUAAACUACUAGAGUGAAAGUUAGAAUAACUGACAAACUUGGAGAUUGAGGCUUGCAUAAAUGCAAUGUCAUAAAGAUAGAAUUUCGCCCCUACUCUUGUGCUUGUAGUUCAAUAGGCGUCAAUCUCCUAGGAUUCAACAAUCUAUAAUCCGAAGUCAAAGCACUUCAAUCUUCGGACUCUGGCGAACUUUAUAUAUUCCGUACUCUCAAGACACGACUCGGAAUUUGACACACGAAUCAUUUGAGAAACAAAGUUUCUCAAGAGAGUAACAAUUAACUCUAUUUUUCUAUAUAUAAUACCAAUGGGUUCAUGGGUUUAUAUAGAAUUCAACUUCUAUUUAUUAAAGAGAUGUAACUUUUCAUCUAUAAGUAUACAUCACUUAUCAAGGGAAUACACCUAAACAACAUAACCUUUCUAAGAAAUUGGUUAACACUAUUUUUCAUUCAAUUAUUAAAAUUAUAUAUUACAAUAUUUCAUAUUAUAAUAUAUAAUUUCCAACAAUCCCCCACAUGAAUGAAAAAUUAGGAAGAAUUUGAGAGUACAGGCGGACAAGAGAUGCAUCGGGAGAGGUGUCUUUUGGACUUGAACCUACCCUAGUGAAUACUUAUCGGAUUUACUUGGUGACGCAGUGAAUAUAAAAUCUUGAAUUGUUCACCGUAGCAGUAAACCGAGAUAAUAAGCAACACACAUCACUAAUCCUAAUAUAUUCUGGUUCAUACAGUUGUGUUCAUUUUGGUCCUGAACAAAUCCCAGAUUCAUGAGAGCUUUAGAGAAUUUAGCCAUCUCAUUCUCAUAGAAGCGACCCAUUUAUACUCUCACAUAGGUGACCACUGAUUAAGAAUAGUCUGCUCUAUUCCUCUUAUUUAUAAGAUAUCACUGUCAUUAAAUAUAAAUAUACACCCUAAAACUUCUGCAGACAACACACUUCUUCCAUCAUAGGAAUGAGGUAUAUAGUGUGUUAACUUCCUUGAAUCAUGCCCAACCAGUUUGCCUAUUGAACUUAGACCAUGGGAUCUCCAAUCAACUAAGUUAGGUUUUUGCCCGGCUGAUUCAUUAGUUAUGUUGGCUUUAGCCUCAUUCCCCUCGAUGAUCAACUUACUCUCUAGUCAAAUCUUUAAUAUUUGGUACCAUUUAGGUUGACUAUCUUUAAUGGUGUGCACAAUCCAUCUUAUGAAAUUAUAUUUCAUACGAGAGUAGUUGUUUGACAUUAUUUGAAAUGUCAAGUCCUCAAAAUUAUAUUAGGACUUAAUUACUAAGUAAUUUGCUAACACUAAGCACUUGGGUAAACUCCCCCACAUUUAAGUUAUUUGUAAGAAGAUCUCUAAUCUUGUCAUACCUUAAACAAGUACUCAUUACAAGACAUGACAUCUUAAAUGUCGUUCAAUUAGCAAAUUACUUUUAACCAACCCCCACAAUUCUUUCAUAAUUGUAGUUUCUUUUAAUGCUAUCAUUAAAUCGAUCACAUUUUCCACUUUAAGUAAUGAACAACUAAGAUAGACUUUAUCUAUCUUUUUAGGCAUUCACGCUUCACUAAGCUGUUACAGGAAAAGCUUUUAAAGGCUUUCACACUUUAUCAUCUGAGUUUUUAAAUUAUCGUGGGACUAGAAUCCCCGCCAAAGAAUGUUGAUCUUAAAUUUCAUUUGACUCUUCCUCGCUAUGACUAGAAACAAGAGAAAGCAAAACUCUUAUCAUUGCAAGGUAUUCCCAAACUUCCAAUGUCUAAUUCUUCUCAAGGGAAUUGGCUUUGGUUUCAUACAUGACUAACAUGAAAAUAUCCAAGCCCACGCUUGCUUAUUAUAAAGCCAUAUUGGGUCUAAUGCAUUUUGCAAAAUGCUCCCACAUUUUUAGUGUCUUGUCAUUUCCUUCAAAAAGACCUUCACACUUUUAAUCCAGUCAUCGUCUUUUCAAGAUGAUAAUAACUCAUCUAAAAUGAGUUCAAAGAUUUAAUUUGAAUACAGUAUCUUCUUUUGUUAUCACAAAAGCUUUCUUACCAUGAGUAACCAUUGAUAAAACACACUCAUUGGAGUAAAUGGGAGUAAAUGUUUAUGAGAAUUGAUAUGGCUAAAUUCUCUAAAGCUCUUACGAAAUCCGGGAUCUGUUCAGGGCCAAAAUGAACACAACCGUAUGAAUUGACGUGUGGCAGCCAUGAUAUGUGUUUAGCAUAUUGUCUCGGUUUACUACUGCGGUGAACAGUUCAAGAUCUUCCACAUCCACUGCGUCACCAAGUAAGCCCGAUAUGUUUUCACUAGGGUAAGUUCAAGUCCAAAAGACACUUCACCCGAUGCAUAUCAUGUCUAUUCUCUCUCAGUUUUAGGCAGCCUAAUCAUCCAUUUGCAUUUACAUUUGCAUUCAAAUGUGGGGUAAUUGUUGGAGUUUGAAUGAAAUUUCAACUCAAAUGUGGGGUAUUGUUGGAAAUUUGAGUCGUUUGAGUAAAAAUUUCUUUGUUCCACAUUGGCCAUUCCCAAAAGAUUUUAUCACUUUAUAAGGUUUUGUCCUUUAUAGAAAGUGAUUGGAGUAAUAGGCCUGAAGACUAAAAUUGGGCUCACCUUUGGGGUUGGGCUUUGGGGUGUACUAAUUAAUUGGUAAUUAAUAUAUAUAAUUAAUUAUAAUUAAUAUAUAUUUAAUUGUCAAAAGAUGGGCCUUGGGCCUUGGGGCUCUAAUAAUUAAAUUAAUUAAUUAUUUUCGGAAUUAAUUAAUUAUUUUUAAUUUCGAAUUUAAAUUAAUUAAUUAGUUAUUUUUACCAACAAACUCAUCUUUUCAGAUGAAGUCUGAAGUGUGAAAACGCAGAAGCAAAAAACACCCUUUUCAGCAGAUGUCUCCCAACAGAUGCAUCCCUUCCUCAUACCUGUUGCGAACAGGUAUAAUCACAUUAUAUAAUCAUCCAUCUGCAUGACAUUUAGAACACAGAAAAAUCAUAAAUCUUAUCCUGCAAUCAUAAACAUCCUUACUGAGAGAACCACAUUAAUAUUCGCCAGAAGUCAAUUUUCCGGUGCUGGAAUUUCUAACUUAGAUCGUUGAAUCCUGGUGAAGCAGACAUCUGUAGAACUACAAGCACUGAGUAGGGGCGAAAAUUAUGUUUCAAGGACAUUGUGGUACGCAAGCCUCGAUCUUCAAGUUGUUUGUUUUUAUAAUUCGUAUUCUAGUUUAUACUCUGUUAUUUCCUAUUGCAUUUAUUAUUUAUUAGCAUAUAUAAAUUAUCACAGAUUGUUGACAUAUAACCAACAAUAUCUUUAGGACAUUGCAUUUAUGCAAGCCUCAAUCUCCAAGUUUGUCAGUUAUUCUAACUUUCACUCUAGUAGUUUAUAUUAAUCUCAUAUAUAAUUGAUGUUGUGAAUUUCUUUAUGAUUAUUAUCAUUGGAAUUAUAUUGUUUUUUUUCAUAUUUUCUAAUAUUGCUCCAACAAUCUAAUCCGUACUCUCAGGACACGACUCGGAAUUUGACACACGAAUCAUUUGAGAAACAAAGUUGGGGAAACCCUAUUUCUCAAGAGAGUAACAAUUAACUCUAUUUUUCUAUAUAUAAUACCAAUGGGUUCAUGGGUUUAUAUAGAAUUCAACUUCUAUUUAUUAAAGAGAUGUAACUUUUCAUCUAUAAGUAUACAUCACUUAUCAAGGGAAUACACCUAAACAACAUAACCUUUCUAAGAAAUUGGUUAACACUAUUUUUCAUUCAAUUAUUAAAAUUAUAUAUUACAAUAUUUCAUAUUAUAAUAUAUAAUUUCCAACAAUUCGUAAUCUCAAAAUAUUCCUAAUAACUAGUUUUGUUGGAAGUUUUGUGUGAAAACCUCUUUGUAGCGGGUUAUGAAGUGAUUGCAAAAUGUUCUUUUGUCUUUGGAUUGCUGCUGCUGGUUGCAUUCCUUUGUUGCGUCUUGUGUUUGUUAUGUUCACAUAUUCACCAAUCUGGUGGCUAUUAAAUUGGGAAAGUUUGCCUUUAUUUUUUUAAUAAAGGAUAUUAUCUGUAUUAAGAGAGAGGGGGUAGGUUUAGAAUCAAAUCCGUGGGAGAUUUCAUCUUGAUAUCUUUAAUUCAAUGGAUUAGAAACUCAAAAUUGGGUUUUUUUAUUUCAUACGGGAUUUUCGCUGCACCGACUGGAAAACAUGGAAUCAGUGAUUUUUUAUUUGUAUUUCCUUUUUUAAUGAAAGAAUUUGGGGGUUUGAUUUUGGAAAUUUGAAGGUUUUGAUUGGUGUAAACCCAUGGGACUAUGCGGAGAGUCUGCUUGAAGCUUCCAUUAACCAGUGAUUGUGAAUUUUUAUUUUGUUGGAUUGUGAAUUUUGUUUUGGUUGGAUUGUGAAUUUUUAUUUUGUUGGAUUGUGAAUUUCGUUUUGGUUGGAAAACACAUGUAGAGUUCUUGGUUUACAACGGCCGUUAAAAGGCUUCCUCGCUCGAUUAUGUGACUUAGUCAAAAUCCAUCAUCCCUUAGUGUAAAAUAUAUCGUUUUACUCCAAAAAAGAAAAAAAAUCUCAAGCUAAAAUUUUAAUCCAAAACUAUUAAAUAAAAAAAAAUUGAGUUAAAACGUAGCGAUUAUAACCGAAUGAUAUAGGUGGAAAACAAAACUUUGUACGUAAAGAGAAAGGGGGGCCUAUUGUGUUUGCCGCUACCACUUGUCUCCGUGAUGAGAUCUUCUGCACCCAAAAACCCCUGUGACAUCUCUGUACCUUUGUUAAUUGGCUUUAUUUUUUAUUAUUUUAAUUAUUAUCAAAUUAACAUUAAUUAUGUUUGGUUCAAUUAACAAAGACACAGAGAGGCCACAUGGAUUUUUAGGUGCGAAGAUUUGGACUCCUUGUCUCCUCUCUCUCUCUCUCUCUCUCUCUCUCUCUCUCUCUCUCUCUCUCUCUCUCUCUCUCUCUCUCUCUCGUGUUGCUUAAUUGAAUAAAUACUUGUAUUUCUUCAGCUAUUAAAUAAUAUGAUCUCCACAACGUUACAGAAAAAUUAUAAUCAGUCUUUGCUUACCAUUGUUGGUCCGGGAUAUGAAAUUCCAUAUUGGUUCAACAAUCCCAAUGAGGGAUCUGUAAGAAUAACUUUACAAGGAUAAAGAUUCAAUCAAUUGAAUCACAAUUCUCAAAACCAUAAUAAGAAAACUGUAAAUCAAUAAACAUGAAACUAACCUGCAGAGUUUGCUCCAGACGAUGAUGCCAUUGCAGCAAUAUGAACUCGAAACCUUCUACCCUUUAACAAGACUCGAUAGCUCUCUCAAUCAAUAGGACUUGAGAUCUCAAUGAACCGUAUCCUUGUAAGGGCAAUGGCUCAAGUCUUAUAUAUUACUCCUUUAACCAUUCCCUAUCAGAAUAGGUUUAGGAUUCAGACUUAUUCACUAACACCGAAACAUCAGUCCCAAAUCAAUUCUGGUACGGAGUUCCAAUCACACAAGGUUUAUGCAGAAUCUCAAUGUACAGAAUCUCAAUGUACUUUUCCUGCAUAAAUACCAAUAGAUAAUAGCUUGCAGAUUUGGACUUUUCUAUAUCAAUCUUAAACACCAUAAUUAGUUCCAUAUUCAUACUCAUAAUCUUACAUUCUCCCACUUGAGUAUGAAACCUGAGAACCAAUCUUUCAAGAUUUAAAGAAGUGAUCACUAAGUCCAAUUCAAGAAAAGCUUAUCAUCAUAUAUUGACAUAGACAUACAUUUCAACGUAUGGAACUCUAGAACCUAAUCUGCACAUUGCAGAAUCGAUUCAAAAGUUACUUCAUACCUGAUCUGUAUCUCAUAUCCAUAGUAAUAUCAAAAGAAUUCCUCCCACUGUUGUCAGCCAAAAACUUGUUUCAACAAAAUCAAGUUUUCAGUCAACAGUAACAUUCAAAACAUUAUUCCAAAUAGUUUCAAAAGAAUGCAUCAACAAAAUCACCAGACGAUUUUCUAGCAAACCAAAACUAUUAUUAAUAAAACUUGUUUUCUGGAACAAUUCAUCACAAAUUGGAAAAAUUGAACACUAAACGAAAACCAAAAACUAAAUAAACACAUUUGGCUUAUCUUAACUAAAACAAUCAUGACUAACUUUUAAGAUCAACUUCCUUACUUGAAAAUCGCAGCCUCAGCAAUCAGAAAGCAGCAACAAUAGUCUUCAAGUUUCAAAACAACUCACUCCCACUUAUCAAAAGACUCUAAGACACCCAUCUGUUCAACAUGCCCUUUGAACACAAUAUUAGGCAGUGCUUUUGUGAGAGGAUCGGCAAUCAUUGCAGUUGUAGAUAGAUACUGAAUUUCUAUCUCUCCCUUCUUCACCUUUUCCCUAACCUUGAGGAACUUUACAUCCAUCAACCUCGAGGCUGACGUCCUCUUGUUAUUUUUUGAGAAGAAUACAGCAGCAUUAUUAUCACAAUACAUCUUCACUGGUCUCUUUACUGAGUCAACAAUCUUCAUGUCGGCUAUGAAGUUUCUAAGCCAAACGGCCUGCUUCAUACCUUCAAAACAAGCCACAAACUCAGCUUCCAUUGUUGAUGUUGAUAUGAUGGUUUGCUUAGCACUCUUCCAUGAAACAGCCCCUCCAUUUAGUUUGAAAAUGUAUCCACCCGUCGACUUUCUUUCAUCCAUAUCUCCAGCAAGGUCUGAAUCGGUGUAGCCAACUAAUUCCAAUGAAUCAUCUCUGCCAUAAACUAACAUGAAAUCCUUAGUUCUCUGCAAGUAUCUCAAUACCUUCUUCGCUGCCACCCAAUGAGCUUCUCCAGGAUUUGAUUGAAACCUUCCCAAAAGGCCAACAAUGAACGCCAAGUCCGGCCUAGUGCAAAUGUUAGCAUACAUAAGGCUGCCAACUAGUGAAGCAUAAGGUUUCAUCUUCAUCAAUUCAAUUUCAUGCUCAUUCUUUGGACACUGGUCUCGGGAGAACUUAUCUCCCUUGUUCACUGGAACAUCAGCUUUAUUGCAAUGUUCCAUGUUAAAUCUGUUGAGUACUCUUUCAAUAUAGCCUUUCUGAGACAAUCCAAGACAUCUUCUUUGCCUAUCUCGAACUAUCUCAAUGCCGAGAACAUAAUAGGCUUCUCCAAGAUCUUUCAUUUCAAAGUUUGUGUUCAACAUGUGCUUUGUUUCAUUCAAUAGUUGUCUGUCCGAGCUUGCAAGUAAGAUGUCAUCAACGUAGAGAACGAGGAAAAUAAAUCUUGACCCUCUUAUUUUGAGAUAGAUGCAAUCAUCCAUCUUAUUUUCUAUGAAACCAUGUGAAGUCACAACUUGAUCAAAUUUUAAGAACCAUUGCCUUGAUGCCUGUUUUAGUCCAUAGAUUGAUUUCUGUAACUUACACACCAUAUCUUCCUUCCCCCUUUCAACAAAUCCAGGAGGUUGAACCAUGAAAAUGUCUUCAUACAGAUCUCCAUUUAAGAAUGCAGUCUUGACAUCCAUUUGGUGCAGUUCUAAAUCAAAAUGUGUUGUUAAAGCCAUGAUCACUCUCAUUGAAUCCUUGGAAGACACAGGAGAAAAAGUGUCAUUGUAGUCAACCCCUUCCCUUUGUGUGAAACCCUUUGCAACAAGCCUUGCUUUAUAUCUUUCGAUCCUUCCCUCUGCAUCCUUUUUGGUUUUGAAGACCCACUUGCAGCCGAUUGCUUUGAUGUUAGGUGGUGAUUGCACUAGAGACCAAACUGAGUUCUUGGACAUUGAAUCGAGUUCUUCCUUCAUUGCCGCCUGCCAUAGAACCUUUUGAGGACUCUGCAUGGCUUGGUGAUAUGUCAUAGGAUCAUCAAUGUCUCCAAAAUCAAACUCUGUCUCUUGAAGAUACACAUAGUCUGAAGAAAUAACUGGCUUUCUAAUUCUGUUGGACUUCCUCAGAUUUUGUUGAUCAAGUGAGUUGGCAGGAGCAUUAGAAUUGGUUGCCUGAAUAUCAGUGACCGGACUUUGAUUAAAAACAACAUUGUUUUGAUCUUCAUCACACACAGUUUCUGUUGGUAUCUCAGUCUCACCCAUUACUUCAUCAAUGUGAGUAUUAAUACUCAAUCUCGGGAAAACUGGUAUGUGGUUAUAGUCUAACCGUGAGGAAUCAUCAUCCUUUUGCCUUGCUUCUUCAAAUUCAAAGUUUUCUGGAGCCAAAUUCGAAACAUCUUCAUCUUCUAGGAAGAUAGCAUUAUGAGUUUCUUGUAUUCUUGUGUGGGAUUGAGUACAGAAAAACUUGAACCCUUUUGACUUCUCAGAAUAACCAAUGAAGAAGCAAGUUGUGGUCCUUGAGUCUAAUUUCUUUUCACUUGGAUUGUAGAACUUUGCUUCUGCCUUACAUCCCCAGACAUGAAAAUAAUCGAAACUUGGUUGUCUUCCAUUCCACAGCUCAAAUGGUGUCUUAGGCACUGCUUUGGACGGCACUCUAUUAAGUAUAUAAUUUGCUGUCUUCAAUGCCUCUCCCCAAAGAAAACCAGGAAGUUUGGACCUGGAAAUCAUGCUUCUCACCAUCCCCAUGAGUGUUCUAUUUCUCCUCUCUGCCACUCCAUUUUGUUGGGGUGUGCCAGGAGUGGUGUAUUGAGCUAUAAUGCCUUGGCUUUCAAGAAAACAUGCAAAAGGACCCUUUUUCUGUCCUGCUUCUGUGUACCUGCCAAAAUAUUCCCCUCCUCUAUCUGAUCUAACAAUUUUAAUCACACGGUCUAACUGUUUUUCAACUUCACUUUUGAAGGUUUUGAAGCAUUCAAGGACUGAGGACUUUUCACUAAUAAGGAAAACAUAACUGUAUCUAGAGUAGUCAUCUAUGAAAUUCACAAAAUAAGAGUUCCCACAUAUGGUUUUGAUAGGAAAAGGUCCACAAACAUCUGUAUGUAUGAUUUCUAAUAGGCCAUGACUUCUUUUAGCAUCUAGUUUCCUAACAUUUGUCAUCUUCCCUUUCAUACAAUCAACACACUCAAUUGCACUCUUGAAAUCAAUAGCCGGAAUCAAGUUCAUUUUGGACAACUGAAAAACCCUUUCUUUUGAAAUGUGUCCUAAUCUUUUGUGCCAAAGCAUGAAAGUUUGAUCAAAACCAUGCAUUCUUUUAGUUGCAGUAUUUAGGACAUGUAAAUGGUCAGUUUCUACAGUGCAAUCUAUUUUCCAAAGUUGAUCAUGCAAAAAGGCUUUUCCUUGUAGAGAACCUUUUCUAAAAAACUUGACACAUUCAUUAUCUCCCAUGAAAACAUAGCCUUGUUUUACUAUCCUGGAUGCUGAAAGUAAAUUUCUUCUCAUUGCAGGCACAAAUAGGACAUCAUUCAAUUGCAUUAUCAUGCCAGUAGAUAGUUUAAGUUUAACAAUACCAAUGGCUUCGACAGACACUUUGGUUCCCUCACCAACAAAAACAUUGUAACAGUUUGUUUUCUUUUGUUUUUCAAAACCAUGUAAUGAAUUAGUGAUGUGCACAGAUGACCCAGUAUCAAACCACCAAGAAUUAGCAGGAAUAUCAAUGAAAUUCGACUCCUCACACACAUAGACAUCAGCUUUUCCUUUAGCCCUUAACCAAUCCUUGAAAAUUUCACAGUCCCUCCUAUAAUGACCUUUAGAUUUACAGUGAUGACACCUAAUCUUUUCAAUGUUUUUAGUCUUGACCUUAAAAUUUUUAGAUUUAGAGGAGUUGGAAUUUUUAGCAGAUAUAACAGACUUAUCAUGUUGCUGAGGUUUAGAAGUAUUACCAGGAUUGGUGUCCCUCUUUCCCCUUGCAAUUUGCACAUAAUUGACAGCUUCAGUCUCUUUGCUCUUUUCUUGCUUUUGACGGUUUUCUUCUUGGACACACUGAGCAAUCAACUCAUCCACUGUCCAGGUCUUGUCUUGAGUGUUAUAAGACACCUUUAGUUGACUGAAUUUCUGCGGUAAUGCUUGUAGAAUCAUGAACACCAAUGUUGACAUCCAUUGAAUUAAGUUUCUCGGCUGCAUCGGUCAUCUUCAUAAUGUGGUCUCGGAUUGAACCUCCACCCUCAAAUUUGUAAGAAGUCAAAAGGAACAUGUACUGUGCGAUUUCAGCCUUUUCAGAUUCUUUAAAUUUGUUCUCCACAGCAGUUAGAUAAUCCUUUGCUAGUUCACACUUCUUGAUUCCUCCUCGCACCGUGUCUGUCAUGCCACUUUCAAGAAUGGAUAGAGCCACUUUAUUAGCCCUGGUCCAUCUCUCAAACUCAGCCUUUUCAGUCUUUGUGCUUUUGUCGGUCAAAGCCGCAGGCUUUGGCAUGUCAAGUGCAAUAUCAAACUCAUUUAGUGUCAAAAGCAACUCAAUUUCUCUUCUCCACUUCUUGUAAUUGCUCCCACCAGUGAGUAUUGGUACUGCACCUAAACUGAUUGACUUUAAUGAAACUGCAGAGAACACAAACGAAAUCAAAACUUUGAAUCGAGAGUGAUUCUUGAUUUCGGUCUUUCUCACCACAAAAUGAGUGCAUUGAAUCAACUUAAUCAUAUAUAUAGCCUUUCAUGUUGAAGACAUAUAUAGAAUAAACAAUUCAAGCUCACUAAAGUCAAUCGCAUAACAUCUGCAGAGCUUCUUUAAGUUUGAUGCUGCAGAGUUUGGUUAAUACAAAAUACAAUAUGCAAUGAUAAAACACACACUAAUCCGUGAAAAUUCAAAGCUUUUGUGUUGAUUAUAUCAGCGGAAGCAUUAUAACAGCUACAAAAUAUAUUAAUCUCGAAAAGAGGAAUUGAACCAGCAGAUAAACUUAGUUAUUCAAUUAUCUUAAUAUGGCCAUCAAUGUCGAGUAAGGUCAGUUUUACAUAGAAAGAAAACAUACCUCUUCAAGAGCAAUGCCUUACAGUGGCUUAUUUUUAGCAUUAGACUUUGAAUCGCAACCAGAAUCCAGAAAAUUAAGAUCACCAGGAGAACUUUUCAAAUAACAAGCAACAAACUCAAAAAUAAAAAUAAAAACCCAAAACAUAACGGUUAGAUUUUUAAAAGAACCUUUUCGAGAGUUAUAACGGCUCUUUAACGAAACGGCACCGUUUAUGGACAAUUUUUUUUUUUUUUUUUUUUUUUUUUUUUAAAGGUUUCGAUCCCAGUUUCUUAUAUUUUCCAGCAAACUGAAAGAUUUUAUGAAUCGAAUUCAAUGAUUAGAACCUAGGGCUCUAAUACCACAUGUAAGAAUAACUUUACAAGGAUAAAGAUUCAAUCAAUUGAAUCACAAUUCUCAAAACCAUAAUAAGAAAACUGUAAAUCAAUAAACAUGAAACUAACCUGCAGAGUUUGCUCCAGACGAUGAUGCCAUUGCAGCAAUAUGAACUCGAAACCUUCUACCCUUUAACAAGACUUGAUAGCUCUCUCAAUCAAUAGGACUUGAGAUCUCAAUGAACCGUAUCCUUGUAAGGGCAGUGGCUCAAGUCUUAUAUAUUACUCCUUUAACCAUUCCCUAUCAGAAUAGGUUUAGGAUUCAGACUUAUUCACUAACACCGAAACAUCAGUCCCAAAUCAAUUCUGGUACGGAGUUCCAAUCACACAAGGUUUAUGCAGAAUCUCAAUGUACAGAAUCUCAAUGUACUUUUCCUGCAUAAAUACCAAUAGAUAAUAGCUUGCAGAUUUGGACUUUUCUAUAUCAAUCUUAAACACCAUAAUUAGUUCCAUAUUCAUACUCAUAAUCUUACAGGAUCUUCCAUGAAUAUCAAGCUUCCUCCAUAUCGGUUUCGUUAAGGUUUCUUGGGUUUCGCUCUCUCUGUUGUCGCUGCACUCAACGAUUUACUGGUUCAAUGGGCUGGUGCAGUUUGGAUGCAAGUACAAUUUCAAAAUGAACAAUGGUGAAGGCCCUGAAUUCAAUUUUCCUUUCCAAGUUCCAUGUUUGGUUCGAAAAGUUUAUUCCUGCAGAUUAGAUUCAGAUCACGUAUUCGUGUUGUAUGAAGUUUUUGAACUUGAUGAGAGAAAAAAAAAAUGCUCUGCUGGUUUUACAAACUUGUCACAGAGGCCUCUCCAUUCACUUCUACCGGCUGGAUAUGUUCAGCAGACUUCGUUGGAGUCCGUCGGUGAAAUUAGAAUUGAUGCCAUGUCGGAGGAACCCCAAGUAGAAGGAGAUAAAGGAUGAUAUGAAACUGAGGAAAAUGGAAGCGAUGAGCCUGAAGCCCGUGGAAGUGACGAGUCUGAAGCCAAUAAAUAGCUGUUAAUACAGGGCAAGAUGAAGAACUACAACAAAUGUGGUAGCCGGCAUUGCAAGUCUUGUGGCGGAGGAUGAUUUUGGUUUUGUUGCUUUGAACGUCUCUGGUGUUGCGGUGUAAAUGUAGAGCUACCAUAACUUGGAUUAUUCUUUUUCACUGUUUUUUUGUACUAUGAACCGGUGCCACAUACACUUUUUGGACUAGUCACGGUGAACGAGAGAUGUUUAACAAAGUUGGUUGGUUUCAUACAGAUUUCUUGGUUUCGCUCUAUCUUUUGUUGCGUGCAUUCAACGAUUACUAUAAUGGUACGAGGGUCUGGAUUUUGAAUCGCGUUUUUGCGAGUUUGCGUGGUAUAAUGGCUUUGAACUUGUAGACGGAGCAAAAUGCUCCACUGCUUUUUACAAUGUUCAGGCAAAAUAGUGUGGAAACAAUAACUACUUCAUUGGCCUUCCUCAAAUAGUUGUCUUUAUCGCAUGAAAACUUCUUCUCAAAUUGGAAAGGUUAAAUUGAAAGACUCAUUGAUUAUUGUUAAAAUUGGAAAAACACAACGGAUAAUCGGACUUGCUGAUUAGGAUUGUGUGUGUAAUUGCGAGUUGUAGAGCCAAUUUAAAAAGACAAAUACAUUGUCAUUCCUUCAUCUUGCCUUCCUCAAAUACAUUGAAGGGUUUUCUUUCCAAAUUCCAACAACACAACCAGACAAGAGACUCAAAAUUUGGAGUGAAGGAGAGAGAUUUGACGAAUUCCAUGCAUACAACAGAUGACGAUGCAUCAGAAACUGAAGAAAGUUAUAAGAGAAAGUAAAACCUGAAUUCCGCGCAUACAAUAACCACACCCUAAACCCUAAAGCCUCGUAUCUCCAUCAUAUAUACGUUCCUGCCUUACGGAAAGAAUCGUCAAUGAAGAAAAUACGAUGUUGUCCUUGGCAUGAACCACUGUACAAGGUUCAAAAUCUGAAUAGUCCUGUAUAGCCUGCCAUCACUUACUGUAAUUUCAAGCCAAAGCUGAUGAACUGCUGAAGCCUGUAUGUACAAUGUGGUUUUCUGUUACGGCCACUUCAAUUGUAUAAAUCACUCUCAUCCAUGUAAGUAACCUAUCAAAACGGGCGGCAGAAAGACCCAAAGAAUUUGGUGAAGAGCUUGUUAAGACAAAACUGCCAACUUGCCAAAAAAUGGAAAUCCUGUCGUCAAACUUCAGUCUGAAAAGAAUUCUUCGAGUUCUGGUUGGUCUGACUUAAGUAGAAGACUUUGAUCUGAAACUCUUACACUAGGCAGCACUUUCCCUAGAGACCUAUUUGUAAUUUCAGCAUAAUCCGCCUCAGAACAAUCUUGCUCAUCCUCAGUUACUUGCUCAUCUGUCGCAUAACCACUGUCCUUGUUCGUAUAAUCGUCCUUGUCUAUUUUAAGGAUAUCAGGACUUUCAUUUUGAGGAAUUGGAACUUCCUUAGCCUUUGUGUUAGAUGCGCUACAAAUGCAGGCUGCUGGGUUUUCGUGGAACUCACCCCUGCCGGGCUUUAUCUCAUUUGGCUCUCCCAUGAAUCCAAUUUGACUUGUUCGAAGCCUCGAUGCAAAUUCUUCCCAUGUCAUGUUAUUACGAUUUAUGAACAACGGAGACAGUUUCUUAGCAUUUGGACGGAUUGUUGAUUUGUGACCAAAGUAUCUCCUGCGUGAGUAGACUAACUUGUUACAGCUAAAACAUGAAUCACAUCAGAACCUUUUACCAGAGGAAAAAUAAAUGUAUUGUUAACUCGAGUUUUAAUACCUUCGACCAGCUAACAUUUUAGCCAUAUUGCCAUUGUUGGUGAUGAAAACAUCACUUUCAUCGCAAACAGUGAAGUCCAAUGCAGCCAUUCGAGAGGAGAAGGAUGAAAAUGGUGCCAACUCCUUCUUACUUAAUAAAGUCUCUUUUGUGUGGAAGUUUGGGAAAAGUGCUUUUAGUGGUGCCAAUGUCUCUUCACCUCCAUAUACUUCACCGGAUGCCACAUACAAGUGAAUAUCACUUCCGAAACCCAACGCUCUAAGCAUGAGACCAACUUCCUCUGGAGUUAGCGGGCAUCUACCAUGUCUUUGUAAACGUGAGUCUUCAAAAAUAAGUAUGUAAAUAUAUUGUAAAUAUUAGGAAUCCUUUUUUAGGAAGGAUUAUUUGUUGUGUCCUUUUUUAUUUUUAGUUUCCUUAUAGAACAAGGAUUGUAUUUGUAUAUAUUUCAAGGAAGUAAUACAAGGAAUUAUCCCGUAAAAAAUUCUAUUUGGCAUCAAGAGCCAGUGUUGCCGAAACCCUAGUUUUUCCGUUGUGCUUGGUUGGCUGUUUUUCUGCAAGUCUUCUGCAGAAAACAGUGUUGCUGUGUGUGUGUGUACUCUUGCUGGUGUGUGCAGCAGUGUGGGUGGUGCUGUGUGUGGUUGACUGAUCUCUGCACAGUGCCGUGUGUGUGUGGUAUUGCUGCUUGCGCAGCAGUGUGGUGACUCAUCGUCAGUUUUGCUGUUUCUGCCGUGUGUGUGUUUUUUUUUCUGCACAGUGUCGUGUUGUGUGGUAAAGCCGAAUGGCAUCAGAAGGAGGCAGUGGCGUGUUGAAGUUGAAGGGCAGUAACUCAACCAAUAAUCCAGUAUUGAAUCCUGUCGGCAUUCAGAGUGAUGCAUCUGCUGUACCAAACACCGUGAAAUUAAAUGGAUCAAAUUAUCCUUUUUGGUCCAAGGUUUUGGAGAUACACAUCGCUGGACGCGGUAGGAAGGGCUUUGUGAUUGGGAGUACCAAGGAGCCUGCUGAGGAUAGUGUUGAAUAUAUGACAUGGGAGACAAGGAAUGCAAUAGUAAAAGGGUGGUUAAUCAAUUCCAUGGAACCUGCUAUCAUGGGAUUUUUUAUUCACCUGCGUACUGCGAAAGAAGUUUGGGAAGAGGUGGCUCGGACCUAUUAUGAUGGUUCAGAUAUUUCUCAAAUUUAUGAACUGAAGGUUAAAUCCUUCAGACUCCGUCAAGAGGGCCGACCAUUUGGUGAGUAUUAUGCUAACCUCAAGUUCGUUUGGCAGGAGUUAGAUCAAAGGAGACCAUUCAAGAUGGAGUGUGCUGUGGAUCUCAAGACCCUUCGAGAAGAGAUUCAAAUUGAUCGUGUGUAUGCUUUUUUGGCGGGUUUGGAUGAUAUCUUUGAUAAGGUACGGAGUGACAUUCUACGUACUCAACCCUUACCAUUUGUUGAGGAAGUGUUUUCUGUUGUUCGGCGUGAAGCACAACGACAUGCUACUAUGAUGGGUGGAAGUAACAACCAAGGUGGGCCGCCGUCCAUGGCUAUGAUUUCUCGGCCAGCUGUUGUCCCUCGUCCUAAUAAUUCUUCUAAUCACUCUUUAAAUUCUCGUCCCUUCAACCGAGAAAAUAAAGAUGAUUUGAAGUGUACUUUCUGUGGACAAACCCGUCAUACUGAGGAUACGUGUUUUGCUAAGCAUGGGGUGCCUGAUUGGUUUCCAGAAUUGAAGAAGAAAUUGCGUGCAAAUGAGCGUGGAAGUGCAGGGAACAAUGGAGGAUGUGCCUCCCUAGCUAUAACCCCACCAUCAGCAAAGGAGGCCGACACUCCUGGUAAUGACCCGAGUCAAUCCUUGCUUACUCGUUCUACCCAUAGUGACUCGUCCUCCACCGCAGGUACUGUAGGGCAUGGUCUUUUGGCCACUGAUCCUAAGCAUCAUACAGGUUGGAUUCUGGACUCUGGUGCAACGGAUCAUAUGACAUAUGAUAAGAAUAUGUUUCAAUGUAUGACAACAUCUCACAGGGAAUAUAUAGCCACCGCCAAUGGUACCCGUGCUCCUGUUAUUGGUGCUAGCACCGUGUAUCUCACGGCUUCUCUCCUUUUACACCGAUGUUUACUUGUUCCAUCUUUAUCACAUCAUUUACUGUUUAUACCACAGGUUACUGAACAAUUGGAUUGUGUUGUUCUAAUGUACCCGUCCUUUUGUCUACUUCAGGAUAUUCAAACCAAGUAGAUAAUUGGGCGUGGCACUAAGAGAGAGGGGUUGUACUAUGUGGAUGAUGUCGUUCCUGGCAGAGCUCAUGCAGUACGAGUGUUCCGUGAUAGUAAUCUACAAGAAGUAUGGUUAUUGCAUCGUCGAUUAGGGCAUGCAUCAUUUAGAUAUUUAAGGCAUAUGGUGCCUAGUUUAUUUAUUGGAAUAAAUGAAUCAGACUUACAUUGUGAAGUAUGUAUUCUUGCUAAAAAGCCAUCGUGCUUCGUUUCCUCCUAGUAUGAAUAAAAUACCUUUUCCGUUUGAUCUUGUGCAUUCCGAUGUUUGGGGGCCUUCUCCAGUUACUACUUCUUCGGGAAUCUGAUUGUUUGUUACAUUUGUUGAUGAUUGCACUCAUAUGACAUGGCUUUAUGUGUUGAAAAAUAAGAGUGAUGUUAGUGACAUAUUUCGGUCACUUGCUCAGUUGGUUCAAACACAAUAUUCUUCUGUUAUCAAGGUUCUCCGUUCUGAUAAUGGCGGAGAAUACAUCAAUUCUGAGUUGUCGGGUUUUCUACGUGAUCAAGGGAUCCUCCAUGAAACCACGUGUCUGCAUACUCCGCAACAAAAUAGGGUUGUAGAGCGUAAGAAUCGCCACAUUUUGGAAACAGCCCGUGCCUUGCUCUUUGGGGCCUCCGUUCCUCCCCGUUUUUGGCCUGAAGCAGUUACCUAUGCCGUGUAUGUUAUUAAUCGUAUGCCUUCUCGGGUGGUUAGUUUUCAAACGCCUUUUCAAGUCCUUACACAACAUGCUCCCAUGGUGUCACGUAAUACUCUCACCCCUCGAGUCUUUGGUUGUGUGGCUUAUGUUCAUAUUCAGAAAAUACAUCGUAGUAAAUUGGAAACGUGUGCAUUACGGUGUGUCUUUCUGGGUUUUUCUUCUCACAAAAAGGGGUAUCAGUGUUACCAUCCUGAAACCCGGCAUAUGUAUGUAACCAUGGAUGUGACCUUCUCUGAAACAGAAUAUUUCUACACUUCGGUACCUUCUACUUCAGAUCACCAGGGGGAGAAUAAUGUUGUUGGUAAUCUGAGUUGGUUGGAUAUAGGGGGAGAUGUGAUUAUUGAACAGCGUGUAGGACCGGGAAUUGUUGGUGCCGAAUGUACAGAGAGUACCGAGUGUGUUGACAACUCAGAUGAUAGUGGUGAUUUGACCGAACGGAUAAGAGAGCCUCCGCUAGAGGCUCGGCUAGCUAGUGCCGAGGAAUGUCCUAGUGCUCAACAGUCUAUUGCCGAAGCCACUACACUUGUUCUUGCUGAGUCCAAUAUGCUCUCUCUCUCUAGUUCCAACGGGACGCCCAAUACGUCUUCUCUGAAUAUUCCUGAGGUAAGUAUUGUAAAUGAUUGUGUAACUGAUCCAAGUAAUAAUGUGAGUACUUAUAAAUUGCCACCGAGACAAAAUUGAGGUGUGCCUCCUGAUAGGUUUUCUCCUGAAGGGAAGGUGAAGUAUCCGAUGGCCAAUUAUGUAUCAUGUAACAAGCUUGCACCAAAACGUCAGACCUUGGUGAGCAAUAUGGAGUCUAUUCAAGUACCAACUCGAGUGGAGGAAGCUCUAAAGAUCCAAAGUGGGCGAAAGCAAUGGAUGAGGAGAUGUUGGCAUUACAGAAAAAUAAUACUUUGGAGGUGAUGAUGCUACCCGCAGGAAAGAAUACCGUGGGAUGCCGAUGGGUAUUUAUAGUUAAAUAUAAGGUUGAUGGAACGGUCGACAGAUACAAAGCAAGGUUGGUGGCUAAGGGUAUACUCAAACAUAUGGGGUGGAUUAUCAAGAGACUUUCUCCCCGGUUGCCAAGAUGAAUACGGUACGUGUUCUUAUCUCUUUAGCUGCAAAUAUGGACUGGCCAUUAAAACAGUUUGAUGUGAAGAAUGCGUUUCUCCAUGGGAAUUUGGAGGAAGAAGUAUAUAUGGAUUUUCCUCCUGGAUAUAGCAAUGGUGGGAAUACUAGAGUAUGUCGUUUGCGUAAGUCACUUUAUGGGCUUAAGCAAUCGCCUCGUGCAUGGUUUGAUAGAUUUACUCAAGUGAUGAGAAAUAAUGGAUAUCGUCAGAGUCAUUCUGAUCAUACGUUAUUUGUAAAACGUAAACAAAAUAAAGUAACAGCCUUGAUUAUCUAUGUAGAUGACAUGAUUAUAACAGGAGAUGAUGUUGAUGAGAUGUCCAAGUUGCAAGGAAACCUUGCAGCCGAAUUUGAAAUGAAGGAUUUAGGAGAUUUGAAAUAUUUUCUGGGAGUUGAAGUUGCUCGCUCACCUAAAGGUAUCUUCUUGUCUCAACGUAAGUAUGUGCUGGAUUUAUUAAAAGAGACUGGUAUGUUGGGAUGUAAACCAGUAGAGACUCUUAUUGUUGAGAAGCAUCAUUUGGAUUUGAAUCCAAGUCAGAGAUCGGUUGACAAGGGUAGAUAUCAGAGGCUUGUAGGGAGACUUAUUUAUUUGGCUCAUACUCGUCCUGAUAUUGCUUAUGCUGUAAGUGUUGUGAGUCAGUUCAUGCAUUCACCAAAUGUGGAUCACAUGGCUGCUGUUAUGCGUAUCUUGGCAUACUUGAAGUCGACACCUGGAAAAAGGAGUAUUGUAUGGGAAACACGGGCAUUUGAGAAUUGAAGGGUUUACUGUUGCAGAUUGGGCAGGUGAUGUGACUGAUAGACGGUCUACUUCUGGGUAUUUUACUUUUGUUGGAGGAAAUUUGGUGACAUGGCGAAGCAAGAAACAGAAGGUGGUAUCACAAUCUUCAGCUAAGGCCGAAUAUAGAGGAAUGGCUCAAGGAAUUUGUGAAAUCCUUUGGCUACGAAAACUUCUUUUAGGACUUGGGUUUAAACCAGAGGAGACUAUGAAGUUGUAUUGUGACAACAAGUCCGCAAGAGAUAUCGCUGAUAAUCCAGUGCAGCAUGAUAGAACGAAGCAUGUGGAGGUGGAUCGACAUUUAUUAAAGAGAAGCUUGAAAAGAAUAUUGUAUCAAUACCGUUUGUAAAGUCAGAGGAGCAACUUGCAGAUGUUCUUACUCAUGCAGUGUGUGGACGAAAGUUUGGUGACUCACUUGUCAAGUUGGGCAUGUGUGAUAUCUAUGCACCAACUUGAGGGGGAGUGUAAACGUGAGUCUUAAAAAAUAAGUAUAUAAAUAUAUUGUAAAUAUUAGGAAUCCUUUUUUAGGAAGGAUUAUUUGUUGUGUCUUUUUUUAUUUUUAGUUUCCUUAUAGAACAAGGAUUGUAUUUAUAUAUAUUUCAAGAAAGUAAUACAAGAAAUUAUCCCGUAAACAAUUCUAUUGUCUUCGUACCUUGUCAGGGUUGCUUGCCUGCACGCAAUGUAGCCCCAUAAAAUAAUGUAAUUGUGAUGCAGAGACAAAUUAUAUAACACAGGUAAUUACUGAACGGCAUUAAUCAAGUCAUUACUCAUUAGUGAAGCCUUACAUGUAAAGUUUUCCACCUUUUCCGAAGUUUGCCAAGUUCUUUCCUUUCCUUUUCUCCCCCACCAUAAUCGCAUCCAGAAAACGCCAGCAUAUCAGGCUCAAACCUAUAACAUGACCAACCAAUAUCACAAACUUUUUCUACGUACUCCAAUUUCUCGGAAAACACUAACAACCAUCAAAAUAACCUAAACAGAGGUUUUUGUACAUUACAACCCACCCAAGCAUAUUAUUCUGAGAAAACAGAAAGUUCGACAUUUUUUCAGGAAGGAACAUACAUUAAUACUCAUUGUAUCAAUUGCAGUAAACUAAGACAAAAAACAAUUAACAUCUGCACAAGCAAUUCUGUCGAAGGCAUAACUUACUCAUAGUAUACUGGGCAAAAUUACUCAAUAAGUUAAAAAUAAAUUGCAGUUUACCUCAGAUGUAGGGCAAUGAAAUGCUUGCUUUUCAUUCUCAUUCUCUCAACCAACUUUUUACGCAUUUCACUAAUUGUGUCGGUAAAUUUCAAGGCUUGAUAAUUGGCUCUACAUCUCAGCUUUUGUAAAUCUGAAUCCAACCUAUUUGAAAGUCUGUAAUCAAAUUUUGUGAGCUGAACAGCCUGCACAUUAGAAAGCAUCACCUGCAACUGUCAAUUCUAUGUAACCUGAAAAGCCACUCAUUCAAGCGCCAACAAUUUUUUUUUUUCAGAGGUCAAAUGCACAACCACUGUAAAUAUCAUACACCUUACACAAUCCCGAAAGCAUAUGAUAAUUCUUGGAAAGAAAAUGUGCUACAUUCUUCAGCAAGACACUUACAUGCUUUUUAUCAAGAACGGGCACCAAGCGGUUCUGGUAACAUUUUUCAUUACACUUCCUUGGGACUCGCGUGGUAUGCACACUCAUUGGUUUCCCUCCCUUUGUUGGAAGCUCCUUAAUGAUUUUAACAUCUUUUGAGAGAGAUGAUAUAAACCAGUCUACAUCAAAGAUUUCAUCGAAGUUGCUGCAACAAAUACCCCAAUUUGCAUUAUAAAUACGCUGACUAUACCCCUUACAUUGACAGUAGUUCUUCAACUGUAAUAUGAAACUGACCUGGAAUCCUUCCAAUACGAUUUCUGGUCCAGCUUGGGAACAACAAGAGUAGCGUUCAAGAUAUAAGCUGCAACGACAGCAUCUGUUAUCUGCAACACAACCAGUAAAGGAAGCAUCAGGCACUGAACCAACAGCGAAAAUAUGCACAGUUACAACGUACAAGUCCAAUCAAUUAGACCUAAACAAGAACUACUUAUAACCAGAUGCCUAAACGAAACAAAACCCCCAAUUACGCAGAUAAAGAAACUCACCCCUGUUCUUUGUUGGUUCAAGCCUCCACUAGUAGCAAUCAACAAGUAGUGAUUCGAAUGAGUUUUCGAAUCAGAAGCUGGAACAUUUAAAGCAUUGCUUUGGUAAGAUAAAUUAAACCAGCGCUCCAACAAUCAAAAUACAAAUUUCACCAUAAAUCCAUCACACAGCAUAGAAUCGAUUUGAUUACAACGCCAUCAAAUGAACAAAACAAAACUUCAAUCAAAACCAUCAAAUUAAUAUUGAAUUUUGUUGAUGCACAAAACCGGAGGUCUUGGAACAACGUAAACCCGGCCGUGAAUCUGCAUGAAAUGUAAAUAACACAAGGAGUAUCGUGGUUCACCCCAAGGUUUGGGCUACAUCCACACUGAUUGUAUUUAUCUGAGAGUAUUUGUGAGGGAAAGAGUGUGAGAGCUUUGCUCUAAAUAGGAGAGGCUUAGGGUUUGUGAGGGUGAGGAUGCCCUUUUAUAGAAUAAGGGCUCAUCCCCUAAUUACAUAUUUGCUCAUUCCUUUAUUAGAUAAUUACAUGUAAAUCCCUCGAGUAUUUAUACGAGGUCUAAAUACGAGGCCCUAAAUAUGGUAUAAACAGUAGUCCCCCAAGUCUUCAGUCAAGAGAGUCUUUUGGCUGGAGACUUGAAAUUCAGUCCAUGUGUGGGCCGAAGUAACUAGAUGUUAUCUUGAACUGAUGCUCAAUAUGAGUCAGUGCUUAAUCUGAAAUGACGCUCAACUAGAAGUAGCACACACUGCGAGGUUGUUCGGCUCGUGGCCUAUGUUGCCUUGGUUGGCUCGGCUUGCGGCGUUUGAAGAUGAGGGAGUCCCUUUUAUAGAAUAAGGGCUCACUCCUCAAUACAUGAAUGAUGGGCUAGAGUUUAUGCUCUCUAAUGAUGGUGAGGGAGUCACUUUUAUAGAAUAAGGGCUCGUUCCUCAAUACAUAAAUGAUGGGCUAGAGUUGAUGCUCGCGGCGAGGCGGUUGCUCAGUAGGCGGCAAUGCUCUCUAAUGGUGAUGAGGGAGUCCCUUUUAUAAAAUAAGGGCUCGCUCCUCAAUACGUAAGUGAUGGGUUAGGAGUGAUGCUCGCGGCGAUGCGGUUGCUCAGCUGGCGGCGUUGCUCUCUAAUGAUGGUGAGGGAGUCCCUUUUAUAAAAUAAGGGAUCGCUCUUCAGUACAUGAAUAAUGGGUGCUCUCGAAUGAAAAGUGAGGGAGUCCCUUUUAUAGAAUAAGGGAUCGCUCCUUAAUACAUAAAUAAUGGGCUAAGUCCCCCAAGUAUUUUUCAUGAGGCCCGGUUGAGGCCUAAUAUAUGGUACAUAAUGUAGUCCCCCAAGUCUUCGAUCAGUAGAGUCUGUUGGCUGGAGACUUUUAAAUUGAAUCUAUGUAUGGGCCGAAGUGGCGGUUGUUCGGAGGCGGUAUUUGUAUACCCUGCACUGAAGCUUUGUAGGUGAAACUUUGCAAGUAAAGCUUUAAGGCUAGAGUGAUGCUUUUGAAGUUGAUUAACAUGAGUGAUGCUCAUGAAUGUUUAUGUUGAUUGACAUGAGUGAUGCUCAUGGGUGUUGUCAUAAGUGAUGCUCAUGAAUGUUAACAUGAGUGAUGCUCAUGAAUGUUGACAUGAAUGAUGGUCAUGAAUGUUUAUGUAUGAUUGUCAUGAGUGAUGCUCAUGAAUGUUUAUGUAUAAAUGACAUGAGUAAUGCUCAUGUAUAAUUUGGAGUACUAUGCAUACUUUUGAUCACCUGGUUGGUGGCAUAAAGGGGAGUACAUGUUGUACAUUUCAUCACCUGGUUAGUGGCAUGAAUGGCUAGUUGCCAAAUUAAAGUACGGGUUGUACAUCUCAUCACCUGGUUGGUGGCAUGAAUGACUAGUUGCCAAAUGAUAUUAGAGUACGAGUUGCACAUUUCAUUACCUGGUUGGUGGUAAUAGCGGCAGGUUGCUGAAUAAUUUUGGAAUACUAGGCGUACUUUUGGUCACCUGGUUGGUGGUAAUAGUGGCGGGUUGCCGAAUAAUUGUGGAGUACUGGGCGUACUUUUGGUUACCUGGUUGAUGGUAAUAGCGGCGGGUUGCCGAAUAAUUGGGGAGUACUGGGCGGACUUUUGAUGACCUGGUUGGUGCUAUUUUGGGCUUAUGGGCCUUUGCUCUCCAUAACAUGCCAACCCAUUUAUUUUGGGCUUUGCCCUUUUUUUUUUUUUUUUUUACCCUCUGAUGGGGUUUAUACAUAUUACCCUCUGAUGGGGUUUAUACAGAUAAUUCCGAAAGAUAAGGAAAAUAAAUUACAUCAUUCUGGUACGGUAUUUAUUCCUUGCUUUUGCUUGUGAUUUUCUACUGCACUCUCUCUGUCUCUUCACCUAGCAGACAGAAGGAAUAAUAAUAGGAAAAUCUUUUACUUUUCUUCUUUUCUCUUUUCUUUUUUUUUUCUUUUCACUUUUGCUUUGCUCUUUUUCUUUUUCUCUGCCGCAUGGUUUUUUGCUUUCUCCGUUUGCUGCACUUCUCUAUCUCUUCACCUGGCAGAUAAAAAGAAUCAUAAUAAUAGGCUUAUCUUUUGCUUUUUCUUGAUCUCUUUCCCCUGCCUCUUUCUGUAAUUUUGAGUGGGUCUCUCAAAUCUAAUGGCGAUCUGUUUUGCUCCUCUAUCCAUCUCAUUCGCAGGUAGUGGAUGCCAGCUGAAAGCGCGUGAGGUUUUGUGGUGUUUUCCAAGGCCCAAACCCAAAGGAAACAUUUUCACCUGCGAACCAAUCGCAAUUUCGUCGUUCGUGCUGAGUACAGUGACGACAUUAGAGGCGGCGGCGGCGGUGCUGAUUUGGUCACUGGUUCCCGUCACUGACAGCAACUUUAGGCCCAAACACAUGACUGAUUACGGUUUCCAGGUUGUGGGUAUCCUUGAUUGGGAUUGUUCCACUGAUUUGGGCUUCUGGGUGGCUGAAAAUUAGGGCUCGGAGGAGGAGGAUUCACCUGGUUAUAGGAAUGAUGCUCUCCAUCUGAAGAGGUGAGGAAUGCCAAACGAAGUAGACCCUCUCUUCCAAGCCGUCGACGAGACCCUCGAGCACUGCGGCGAGACGGAGUGGGACCUCUGGUGCUCUCACCUCUAGGUUGAAUUUGCGGCGGAUGGCAGUGAAUAUGGCAAGCAGUGAUUUGCUAACGUCCCAGGAGCAGAUCCAAGUCUCUCCGCAUUGCUUCCAUAUAACACACAAGGAGCCACACUUCCCAAAAAAACUUCAAGAUCGCUGCUACAGGAUUCAUCACUACGGCCAAGACAAGCAAGGAUGCUGGAGUUUGUGUGACAGUUUCCUGAUCCUGACAGACUCUGUCUGUUUGCGAGUCGACUCGGACUCGGCUCGGAAAAGAAGAACUCAGUCUCAGCCGUCUCGAACGAGAUCAUGUUCUCCGAUUCCUUGCUAUCACCGUCCACGUUAGCAGCCGCCUCAGACUGGUGACUCAGCGAUGACUCCUGACUUAUCGAUCGGUUGAAUUUGUCGGCAAAGCAGCCAGUCCAACUAGUGAACAGUGUACCCAUCUGCCCCGUUUUCAUAUGCGAUUUGAGAGAGAGAGAUAGGCUGUGACUAUUUUUCUGUGUGGGUUAGUGAUAGGAGAGAGAAAGAAUGAAUGUGACUAUGUUUCCAUCGAUUUUGCAGUGACUAUGCAUGUUCGGUUCUUGGGUUUCUGCAGAUUUUGCAGAUCUACGGCGGAAGUGAAAAAAUGAAAGAGAACCGACACAACUUUUCUUAUCGAUUCCCACAGAAGGCGUCAAAUGUUGAUGCACAAAAUCGGAGGUCUUGGAACAACAUAAACCCGGCUGUGAAUCUGCAUGAAAUGUAAAUAACACAAGGAGUAUUGUGGUUCACCCCAAGGUUUGGGCUACGUCCACACUGAUUGUAUUUAUCUGAGAGUAUUUGUGAGAGAGAGAGUGUGAGAGCUUUGCCCUAGAUAUGAGAGGCUUAGGGUUUAUGAGGGUGAUGAUGCCCUUUUAUAGAAUAAGGGCUCCUCCCCUAAUUACAUAUUUGCCCAUUCAUUUAUUACAUAAUUACAUUUAAAUCCCUUGAGUAUUUAUACGAUAUCUAAAUACGAGGUCCUAAAUAUGGUAUAAACAAAUUUCAUUCUGAAUAUCCGAUCACCCGAAUCUAACAAGAAACUAGAAAAACCUUAUUCGUUAGAGAGAGAGAAACAAAAUGGGCAUAAAUGAGAUUAGAAAAUAUCUAAUAUAUAUUACUUGCAAAGUUAUCGGCAACAUUGCUGCAGCCAAAGAAAAGCUCUGAUUUCCUUGUACUCCAUAAAUGUAGACCUGAACUUCCCCCACUCUCCUAAAAACACUAAUGAAUUGUUCUCGAGACGGAAAAAAACCCUAAUCAUCUUGUUCUUGAUCCAUAUAUACACUAAUGAAUUGUCUCCCAGUGGCACUCAAAUUCAAACCCACUUUUGUCAUCUCCAAAAACUUUACAGAGUUUGAAGAUUGUUUUGGAGCAACUAGAGAUAAUGGAGCUAUAUACUUCCAUGCAGCACUGUUUCAAUCAUUGUAUGAUCAUCUAUGAACUGGGAUUUUCGAGAUAAUGACUGAAAGGAUAAUCUUUUGGGAUGUGAUAUUCACACACCUGAUUUUACUUUUCACACAUCUUUCUAAUUUUCGACCGUCAGAUCGGAUGAACUAAAGAAAAUCAACAGAUAAAUAUUAACGAAUGAUGUGUAAAUAUCACACAUUGGGGAAUUGAACGCACGACGUUGGAUACUAGUGUAAAUGUUCAUAACAACUUAAACUACAAGCACAUUGGAAUUGGAGCUAUACUUCCAUGCAACGUUAUUUCAAUCAUUACAACACCACCACUUUUUUGUUCGUAAUGAGGGAGAGAUAGAAUGGAGUUCUUCACGAAGUUCGAGACAAAGGAAUAAAAAAGAGUUUCCAUCAGAUUAUUUCAAAAUAGGAUUUUGAGAUAAUGACUCAAAGGAUAAUCUUUUUUAUACGAACCAUAUUGAAGAAUGGAAGAAUCAAACACACGACUUCAAUGCAAGAGUGAUAAUUUCAACUCCAGCCACAUUGGAAAGGGAUAUUCAAAAUGUUGUAAUAUAGUCACUUUGUACUACGAUCUAAUGAUAUUUCUCUUCAUUUGUAAGUGAGAGAUUUUAUGUUCAAUUCUCACAAAAGUUGAAUUUGAACCACAUUAUUGUUAUUUCAUUGUGAAGAUAAGCCCACCUCAUCUACCUUAAUAUAGAUAAUAUCAUUUGUUAAAAAAAAAUACAAUAGUAUAAUAUCAUUGUCUUUCUUUAUCUUGAGUGCUUGAAGUUCGAAUAUUGUUUUCUUUUUUUCAUAAAUUAUCAUUUAUAAAAUUUCAAUUCAGAAUCUCUCAAAAGAAAGUAAAAACUCAAUGUCACCGGAGAUAUGUUCAUUCGUUGUCCUUGAAAUUUGAACGUUGUGAGUACAUGGGUAGAGGCAACUAGGUGUUUUUUUUUUUUGGGGGGGGGGGGGGGGGGGUUGUCCUUGAAAUUUGAACGUUGUAAGUACAUGGGUAAAGGCAACUAGGUGUUUUUUUUGGUGUUUUUGGGGGGGGGGGGGAUCAAAGUCAUGAUUACAAUGAAAACGCUCAUGUUUUCUUGAUUGCGGUUUCCUAUAAAAAGGUGAACUUGAUAAAGGGGUAAAGGGAAGCAGAUUGAAGAUGGAGUGCGAUUGAUGGGACAUGGUGCUGAACAGAUCCAAUGGCAAAUUCAUCUGGAGCAAACAAGCAGGUGGAAAAAAAAUUCAAAGGCAACAAGAAAUGAACCCAAAGUAGACCAAUAAACACUCAAAAGUUUUACUAUAUUUUUAGCUUUAAUUAACCCCAAAUUUGAAAUCAAAUUAUGGAAACAACACAGGAAGCAAAACCGAAUUCAUCAUCUCUCUACCAAAAGAUGCAGAAACAGGUGUACCAAGCAGCAAUUUAACUAAUGAAAACAAGCAUAUUUAAUAAAACCCGAUUCAUAACUUUUGACUAUUGGCCAAUUUCCCCCCUCAACUUUAAUUUUGGCCAAUUUCCCCCCUCAACUCUCAUAAUUAGUCAAUUUCCCACCUCAACUUUAAUUUGGCCAAUUUCCCCCCUCAACUCUCGUAAUUAGUCAAUUUGCACCCUACUGUUAAUUUUUUAAUUUGAUCAUAAUUAAACAAGUGUGUGUAAGAAGCUAAAUAAGAUGUAUGUUAAUCACUUUCCUAUGUCUUUAUCCUAUUACAAAUAGAUUAAACUUUAGAAUUUUACAAUUUAUCAUAGAUAGUAUUAUUAGUCAUAAUAAAUCAGUAUGGAGUAAUUUUAUUUGAUUUUUUACUAUACAAAAUUGAUAACGAAAAGGAUUGAUGUGUACAUUUUUGUAUGUGAAUACAAUUUUCUUUAUAAAAGUGAAAGCUAAGUUCAAGUAAAUUGCGGAGACUCGAGCUUUAGUGCAAAAAUGGCUAGUCAAUUCAUAAUUUUCGACUCCUUAUUAAGAAUAACCCAUUUUAUUGAAAUAGGUCUGAUCCAUGAGUUUAUGAUUAUUAUUUCUUCUUCUACAUGCUUUAAACCCGAUUCAUAACUUUUUCUUAUAAUCAACCCAUAUCACAUACUAAUUGUAUUAUGUUUUUGUACAUUUUACCCUAUAUUAUGCAGGUGAGUUUAUGUUAAUUUUAGUACUUUGUUGGAAGUUAUUAGAAAGGUUGAAAGAAAAAAAAAAGAAUAGAUGGAAAAUUAAAAAAAAAAAUUAACAUUAGGGUGCAAAUUGACUAAUUCUGAGAGUUGAGUGGGGAAAUUGGCCAAAUUAAAGUUGAGGGGGGAAAUUGACUAAUUAUGAUAGUUGAGGGGGGAAAUUAGCCAAAAUUAAAGUUGAUGGGGGAAAUUGACCAAUGAUCACAAGUUCAGGGGGGGAAUUGAUGAAUACCUCUUCACAAAAUUAUCUAUUCUAAAAUUGAGGAAUGAAUGGACUGUGGCUUAGCUACAGUCAAUUGUUUGCCAUUCGAUUUCAUGCUAUUUACCACAAUGCCACAACCAAAUGAGCUGGUUGGGAGGGAAAUUAUCAAAAGGUAUGAGGGUACUUUUGUCUAUGAACAUAUUUCGAAAUAUUUACGGUUUUACCAGUCUAUUAUAAAAUGGGCCUCGAUUUUGCAUUAUUUACAUUUCAGCCAUGGAGGGAUUUCGGGGAGAGAGGCGUGAGAUGGCAGAAGAGGGAGGGGAAGGGAGAAAUAGGAGUGAGGCUGCCAAACAAUGGGGUUAGGCUGGAUUUCUCCUCCUCAAAUCAAGGGUUGGUGUCGAUGAUAGAAAGAUUGAGAGGGAUGGGAGAGACCCAUUUGGCCUUCAUUUUCCCCUUUCUCUCUCUCGGUCUCUCCUCCACCAUACUCAAUCCUUUGCUUCUCAUCCGUGUGCCUCUAGAUUCGAUCUUCUUUUUCUGUUCCUCUCUUGGCACGCGUCCAUCAUUGUUGCCGUUUCUAUUUCAGUUCUCUGCUUUCCAUUUCUUCUCUCUCUCCCUCUUCUCAGUGUUUUGCAAGCUUUUCUCCCUGUCUCUUUGUCGCCAUGGUCUCCAUUGCUCUCAAACUUUCGUUUCUAUCCUGUCAAAUCUUGGCUCACUGGAAAAAUCCGAAGCAGUUUAAGCUUCUUUAGCUUUUUGAUUUGGAUUGAAGAUGAUUUUAAGCCAAAAAGGUUAAUGUUUUCUGGUAAGUUCUUUGAAGCCUACAUCUCGAAGGUUUUUUUUUCUUUUUUUUUUUCCAAAUCUAUGGGUUGUGUUUUCUUCAAUUUUAAAAUAUUAAAAAUUGAAUCUUUUUUUUUUUGGGUAAUAUUUUUAGUUAGAUUAUGCUAUGGGUUCUGAUGAGGCUUUGAAUUGGGUUUGAGAGUUUUGAUUUAAUGAGAGAGAUCAGGAGUAUACACGGAGACAGGGAGGUAGGUCAUUUGAAGAAAUGGAGAUUAGGGUGAGAGAAAAACGGAGAGAAGGGGUAGCAGAUUAAAUUUUGAUUUUAUAAUUUUGGGUGUUUUGUGUUUAAAUUUUGCGUUUGUAAUUUUAGGAUUUUGUGUGUGCGCUUAGAUAUGAUUUAGUUUUCAAUUUCAAGAAACUGUGGUGUUGCAAUUUUGGGGCUUUCGUGUGCAACCUUGGAACCACUUUGUGCUCAAGGUAUAUAAAAGGUAUGAAACCCCUGGCGUUUGCUGAUGAGUGUUUUUUUUUUUUUUUACUUUCUUAGUAUGGCCUUUAAAUUUUUUUGGUAGUUUCUAUAGAUAUAGCCUACAAAUGUUGACCCGAAGGUUGGACAUAAUCAUUACUUCCUAUUACAAUUUAUUAACGUUAAUUCACUUAACUAAAGUUGAUUGGAAUCGGAUGAUGAUCGAGAUAUUUGCAUAGGUGAGAGAAUCUCGCUGACAGUUUUCGAUAUUCAGAUGGGAUUUGUGUAUGAAUUUUGUUUUUGUAAUUUUGUGUUUUGUUUAUAUCGUUAGAUUCGUUGUCUGGGCGUAUGAUUUGCUUCUGUUUUUCGUUUUAGGAGACGUUACUCUUCAUUGUUUGGGGCUUUUGUGUGAAGCUUUUGAAGCCCUUUGUGCUCAAGGUAAAUAAUUUUGGUUUUUUCCUUUUGAGGCUUUUGUGGAACAAUUUUUUUUUUUUUUUUUUUUUUUUUUUUUUGUAACAUUGUGAAAGUUGAUUGUUUGAGAAACUAAGUAAUUGUGUAUUUGUUUGUAGUUAUGGUAUGAGACGUUAUAUAAAUUGAACAGGGUGAGGUACGGUAUUUAGGUAUCACAACAAUUGAUUGUGAAAAACUACUAACAAACUACAUUUGAAACAUUCUUUCAUUUAUGUUAUAUGUGGUGGUUCCAAGCUUGAGUUCUUUUUCCUUGCAGCCUUCUGUUAACCAAUAUGGGUCUAUUCAUUAUGGUAAUGCUACAAAUGGAUAAAUCACAUCAGAGCGUCUGCUACCCUCUUUGCUUUAGAUUGGUUUAUUUAUGGAUUGUCAGAUUCUUCUUUAAAUUCAUGUAUAUUUUUUUAUAUCAAAAUUCAUGUGUGUGAUAUGAAUGGUUUUGUAAAUUUCUUUUAGGCUAUGAUGAGACUAGCAACAAUUGGGAUGACUACUUGAGAUAUGUAAAUCCUGAGGGAGUAUAAAUGAUUUCUGUAAGUUCCUCUUCUGACUUCACAAUUGUGAACUGGGUAGUCAUUACAAGCUUCCAAUGAUAGUUGUCUAACGUUUUGAAGGCAGCUCUCUAAAAUUUAAAUUAUCUUUCUAAGUUUUCUUUUCUUCUAAUUACAUAAAAUUGAUAUUUUUUAUAUAGUUAUUUAUUUGUCAUAUGUUCUGGUAUAUCGAUUUCUUUUUUUUUCUCAAAAUUUUUGCUUCGUUUUAUAUAAUGCAUAGAAAGGAGGAACGCCCGAACUGGAGAAAUGUGCAGUUAAGGCUGUUUAAGAUCGUUAUGACGUUGUGCACCGUGACAUCCUUUCUAUGGACCUGAGGUCAGUCAAACGUGUUAUAUGUGUAUAGGUAGAGUUUCAAUUGCUUGAUUCUCCUCUGCUUAUAUCACUUUAUUGGGUUUGGUUUAGGAGUAUCAUUAGAUGGUUAAGCAUUUGACCACUUUAAUGUUUACUUGAUUGAAAGAUAUGCUAUAUGAAAGUUUGUAUUUUUUCAAUCUUUCAUCGAUACAGAUAAUGUAGGAGUGGAAGGGAUUGGGAGACAAAUGAGUGUGCAACUAAGCAGGAGGAACAUGAAGGAAGCAGUAAAAUUCAAUUGCGUCCUAAAUGAACUCUUAAAGAAUAGAUUGUAGGGUGAAAGUUUAGAUCUCAGAAGUUUGGAUGAAUUGAAUCCUCCAGUUUUUUAUAUAGUUCAGUAAUAUUUUAGAUAAAUGAAUUAAAAAUAUGGUGUGUAUAAAAUCUACGUAAAAUGCUUAUACCACAUGUAGUCAAUUGGUUAACACAUAUACAGUACAUAUAAUCCAUUUGACAUUUCCGCAACAAUGGAAUGUCAAUAUAUAAUCCUAAAAUAAAAUAUAAGGAAGCUUAGCAUAAAUAUAUGAUUAAUACUAUCUGUAAAUACAACAACAACAACAAAGCCUUUUCCCACUAAGUGGGGUCGGCUAUAUGAAUCCUAGAACGCCAUUGCGCCCGGUUUUGUGUCAUGUCCUCCGUUAGAUCCAAGUACUCAAGUCUUUUCUUAGGGUCUCUUCCAAAGUUUUCCUAGGUCUUCCUCUACCCCUUCAGCCCUGAACCUCUGUCCCGUAGUCACAUUUUCGAACCGGAGCGUCAGUAGGCCUUCUUUGCACAUGUCCAAACCACCGGAACCGAUUUUCUCUCAUAUUUCCUUCAAUUUUGGCUACUCCUACUUUACCUCGGAUAUCCUCAUUCCCAAUCUUAUCCUUUCUCGUGUGCCCAUACAUCCCACGAAGCAUCCUCAUCUCCGCUACACCCAUUUUGUGUACGUGUUGAUGCUUCACCGCCCAACAUUCUGUGCCAUACAACAUCGCUGGCCUUAUUGCCGUCCUAUAAAAUAAAAUUUUCCCUUGAGCUUCAGUGGCCUACGACGGUCACACAACACGCCGGAUGCACUCUUACACUUCAUCCAUCCAGCUUGUAUUCUAUGGUUGAGAUCUCCAUCUAAUUCUCCGUUCUCUUGCAAGAUAGAUCCUAGGUAGCGAAAACGGUCACUUUUUGUGAUCUUCGCUAGAUUGCUCCGGUCAUUAGUGUGGAUAAGUAUAUAAAUGGAUAGAGAUAGGAAAGCAAACACAAGAUGUACGUGGUUCACCCAGAUUGGCUACGUCCACGGAAUAGAGGAGUUCUCAUUAAUUGUGAAGGGUUUACACAAGUACAUAGGUUCAAGCUCUCCUUUAGUGAGUACAAGUGAAUGAUUUAGUACAAAUGACAUUAGGAAAUAUUGUGGGAGAAUGAUCUCGUAACCACGAAACUUCUAAGUACCGGAGUGUGGUAUCGUCUUGACUUUGCCUUAUCUGUCUCAUAGGUAGAUGUGGCAUCUUCUCUGGAAGUACUCUUCCUCCAUCCAGGGGUGGUAUCUGUAACUGGUGGAGAUGCACAAGGUAAUGUAUCAAUUUCACUUGAAGCUUACUUGUAGUUUCAGGCUUGGUCAAGCGCGAUACAAACCAUGUAGUAGGAGUCCCCCAAGUCGCCGAGCUAGGGGAUCUGCUGAAAGAGGUGACAGACAAGGUAAGCAAUCAGAGCUCCGGCUGAUUGUUCACAUUCUCCCUAUCUUGCAGGCAGCAUGAAGGAUAAAGAGAAGAAAAAUGAGAAGAGAUGAUAUGGGAUACUUUUGCUUUUGAAGAAGUAACUUUCCACAGGCUUAUUCUUGAACUGGGCUGGAGGGUUUUCUGGUUUCCUCCAGAGUAUAAGGCCGACUGAAGAAUUUGAGGGUCAAAACAAGUCCAUCAAAUCUAGAGUACGUUCGACCCUGCUGAUAUGGGAUACUUUUGCUUUUGACAGAGUAGUGGAUGUAUCGGCACGUGUGCUGUUACGCUUGUCUCCACAUGCUUCCUUGUAUCCUUCUCACUUGCCCUAUCUGUUCCUCAGGCAGAUGCGGUAUCUUCCCUGGAAGCAUAAGAUGUUGAAGAUGAGUACUCGAGAGCAAUGCCAGGUAAGUAAUCAGGUAAGGGGUUCCAGGCAGUCAGUUCCUGGCUGGAAGCUUGAUUCCAAGUGCUGACUGAUUGCUCUCUUUCUCCUUGUCUUGCAGGUAAGAACAAGGCCAAAGGAAAAGACAGGGAAAAAGCAUGAUAUGGGAUACUCUUGCUUUUAACCCUGACCUGAUGAUAUGAGAUAUUCUUGCUCUAGUAUAGCUUGUUUACAGAGGUAUUAUCGGGGGGAAAGAAAGCUGAAUAUUUCGAAAGGCUUCGUUGGGAGUGCCCUCUCAGAUAAGAGGAAGGGUUGAGCAUUUUUGCAGGUCUGCCUGUCCGUUGGGGAUGGAGGUCGACAUAUAUAGGAGUCUCCCUAACAUCAAGUAAUAAUGCUAUUCCUUUACCCUGCUUGGUCAUAGCACGGUAGUGGGAGCUGCCAGCUUCACAUGUUUUAACUCUGUCAGAGCACUUUGAAAAAGUGGUCUGUGGUAUCUGGAAAGCUGAUGUUGCGUGUGAAGAUUACAGACAAGCUUUAUCCAAGGAGAUCCAGCUCUUGAAGUUGGGAAAGUGGUGCCUCUUCGGUUUUCGAACAAGCAAUCCUGUCGGGGAUCUGGCUCUCGAGAUUCGGAGAACGAUGCCUCUUCGAUUUUUGAGAAAGCAAUCCUGCUGGGGGUCUGGCUCUCGAGAUUCGGAGAGCGGUGUCUCUUCGAUUUUUGAGAAAGUAAUCAUGUUGGGAGUCUGGCUCUCGAGAUUCGGAGGGCGGUGCCUCUUCGAUUUUGGAGCAAGCAAUCUUGUUGGGAGUGUUUUCUCGAAUGUGAGUAAAAGGUUGGGCAUGUUUGCUAGUCUACCUUGCCACGAAGCACAGAGGUUGACACACAGGGACUUUCCAAUUAUCCAGCAGUGGUACUGUUCCUUUACCCUCUCUUCGAUUUUUUGAGAAAGUAAUCAUGUUGGGAGUCUGGCUCUCGAGAUUCGGAGGGCGGUGCCUCUUCGAUUUUGGAGCAAGCAAUCUUGUUGGGAGUGUUUUUCUCGAAUGUGAGUAAAGGUUGGGCAUGUUUGCUAGUCUACCUUGCCACGAAGCACAGAGGUUGACACACCGGGACUUUCCAAUUAUCCAGCAGUGGUACUGUUCCUUUACCCUUGUGGGUAAUAAUAUGGUAGCUAGACCUUCAAAAUUUAUGUGUCUAAACUUUGUUAGUGUUGUUUCUUUGCUAUUCUUUUACCCUUCUUGGUCAGAGCGAUGUAGUGGGAGCUGCAAGCUUCACGUGUCUCAACUUUGUCAGAGAACUUUGGCAAAGUUAUCUGUGGUACCCAUGAGCUACUGUUGCGUGUGGGAAGUGGGUGAUUGAACAGUACGAUUCAUGUGCUUUCUACUUCGCCAGAAAUCUUCGACAGAAUGCCCAUAAUUUCCGCAAAGCUGAGUGUGCGUGUGACAGGUGCUGACAAGGCUGGAAAAGUAGGUGCCUCUUCGAUUUCUGAGAUCGGCCCUCGUGGUCUCUGAGCAGCCCAGCUUUUGAGAAAGCAAGCCUCUUCGAUUUCUGAGAUCGGCCUUCGUGGUCUUUGAGCAGCCCAGCUUUUGAGAAAGCAAACGCCUCUUCGAUUUCUGAGAUCGACCCUCGUGGUCUCUGAGCAGCCCAGCUUUUGAGAAAGCAAACGCCUCUUCGAUUUCUGAGCAGGCGCCUCUUCGAUUUCUGAAGCUUCGUCGAGUGCAGAUUUUUAUAGGGGCUGACAUUAAGUUCCAAAGCACACUUGAAUAUCCACCAGUAGAAGCUCCAUUCUUGCACUUCUAAGAUCUUGAUUUGUCCGACCUCUUCUCUCUUCAACACCUUUGAAAAUGUCUGGCCCCUCCGACCGUCGUUUUGACUUGAACCUUGUUGAAGAGGCAGCCCCGCCUUCUCCAGACAACAUAUGGCGCCCAUCCUUCGUCUCCCCUACUGGUCCUCUUACCGUUGGGGAUUCCGUGAUGAAGAAUGAUAUGACCGCUGCGGUAGUGGCCAGGAACCUUCUCACUCCCAAAGAUAACAGACUACUUUCCAAACGGUCUGAUGAGUUGGCUGUUAAGGAUUCUCUGGCUCUCAGUGUUCAGUGUGCAGGUUCUGUGUCUAAUAUGGCCCAACGCCUAUUUGCUCGAACCCGCCAAGUUGAAUCAUUGGCGGCUGAAGUGAUGAGUCUCAAACAGGAGAUUAGAGGGCUCAAGCAUGAGAAUAAACAGUUGCACCGGCUCGCACAUGACUAUGCUACAAACAUGAAGAGGAAGCUUGACCAGAUGAAGGAAUCUGAUGGUCAGGUUUUACUUGAUCAUCAGAGAUUUGUGGGUUUGUUCCAAAGGCAUUUAUUGCCUUCGUCUUCUGGGGCUGUACCGCGUAAUGAAGCUCCAAAUGAUCAACCUCUGAUGCCUCCUCCUUCUAGGGUUCUGUCCAGUACUGAGGCUCCGAAUGAUCCCCCUCCGGUGCCUUCUCUUUCUGGGGCUCUACCGACUGCUGAGACUUCUCCUAAGCAACCUUUGUGAAGGCUCCCUCUUGUUUGUUUAUUUUGACUCAAGUAUAUGUACAUAUUUGUAACUUAUCGGGGAUAUCAAUAAAUAAGCUUUCCUUCAUUUCAACGUAUUGUGUUAAAUACACCAAAGCCUUCUUCGCUAAGUUCUUUGAAUUUUCUUUUGUUGAAGCUUGUAUGUUGAAGCUUUGUGAGUGGAGCACAUGUAGGUUGAGGUAGUGUUCCCUUAAUUUCCCGAGUGAGGAAAACUUCUCGGUUGGAGACUUGGAAAAUCCAAGUCACUGAGUGGGAUCGGCUAUAUGAAUCUUAGAACGCCAUUGUGUUCUGCCAUGUGUCAUGUCCUCCGUUAGAUCCAAGUACUCUAAGUCUUUUCUUAGGGUCUCUUCCAAAGUUUUCCUAGGUCUUCCUCUACCCCUUCGGCCCUGAACCUCUGUCCCAUAGUCGCAUCUUCUAAUCGGAGCGUCAGUAGGCCUUCUUUGCACAUGUCCAAACCACCGUAACCGAUUUUCUCUCAUCUUUCCUUCAAUUUCGGCUACUCCUACUUUACCCCGGAUAUCCUCAUUCCUAAUCUUAUCCUUUCUCGUGUGCCCACACAUCCAACGAAGCAUCCUCAUCUCCGCUACACCCAUUUUUGUGUACGUGUUGAUGCUUCACCGCCCAACAUUCUGUGCCAUACAGCAUCGCCGGCCUUAUUGCCGUCCUAUAAAAUUUUCCCUUGAGCUUCAGUGGCAUACGGCGGUCACACAACACGCCGGAUGCACUCUUCCACUUCAUCCAUCCAGCUUGUAUUCUAUGGUUGAGAUCUCCAUCUAAUUCUCCGUUCUUUUGCAAGAUAGAUCCUAGGUAACGAAAACGGUCGCUCUUUGGUAUUUCUUGAUCUCCGAUCCUCACCCCUAACUCGUUUUGGCCUCCAUUUGCACUGAACUUGCACUCCAUAUAUUCUGUCUUUGAUCGGCUUAGGCGAAGACCUUUAGAUUCCAACACUUCUCUCCAAAGGUUAAGCUUUGCAUUUACCCCUUCCUGAGUUUCAUCUAUCAACACUAUAUCGUCUGCGAAAAGCAUACACCAAGGAAUAUCAUCUUGAAUAUGUCCUGUUAACUCAUCCAUUACCAACGCAAAAAGGUAAGGACUUAAGGAUGAGCCUUGAUGUAAUCCUACAGUUAUGGGAAAGCUUUCGGUUUGUCCUUCAUGAGUUCUUACGGCAGUCUUUGCUCCUUCAUACAUAUCCUGUAUAGCUUGGAUAUAUGCUACUCGUACUCCUUUCUUCUCUAAAAUCCUCCAAAGAAUGUCUCUUGGGACCCUAUCAUACGCUUUUUCCAAAUCUAUAAAGACCAUGUGUAAAUCCUUUUUCCCAUCUCUAUAUCUUUCCAUCAAUCUUCGUAAGAGAUAGAUUGCCUCCAUGGUUGAGCGCCCUGGCAUGAACCCGAAUUGGUUGUCCGAAACCCGUGUCUCUUGCCUCAAUCUAUGCUCAAUGACUCUCUCCCAGAGCUUCAUUGUAUGACUCAUUAGCUUAAUACCCCUAUAGUUCAUGCAAUUUUGUACAUCGCCCUUAUUCUUGUAGAUAGGCACCAAAGUGCUCGUUCGCCACUCAUUUGGCAUCUUCUUCGUUUUCAAAAUCCUAUUGAAAAGGUCAGUGAGCCAUGUUAUACCUGUCUCUCCCAAAACUUUCCACACUUCGAUUGGUAUAUCGUCUGGGCCUACUGCUUUUCUAUGCUUCAUCUUCUUCAAAGCUACAACCACUUCUUCCUUCCGGAUUCUACGAUAAAAAAGAGUAGUUUCUACACUCUUCUGAGUUACUCAACUCCCCUAAAGAAGCACUCCUUUCAUGUCCUUCAUUGAAAAGAUUAUGAAAAUAACCUUUCCAUCUGUCUUUAACCGCGUUCUCUGUAGCAAGAACCUUUCCAUCCUCAUCCUUGAUGCACCUCACUUGGUUUAGGUCCCUUGUCUUCUUUUCCCUUGCUCUAGCUAGUUUAUAGAUAUCCAACUCUCCUUCUUUGGUAUCUAGUCGCUUAUACAUAUCGUCAUAAGCCGCUAACUUAGCUUUCUCUCACAGCUUUCUUCGCCUCUUGCUUCGCUUUUCUAUACCUUUCACCAUUUUCAUCGGUCCAUAUCCUUGUAUAAGGCUUUACAACAUUCCUUCUUAGCCUUCACCUUUGUUUGUACCUCCUCAUUCCACCACCAAGAUUCCUUUUGGUGUGGGGCAAAGCCCUUGGACUCUCCUAAUACCUCUUUUGCUACUUUUCGGAUACAACUAGCCAUGGAAUCCCACAUUUGGUUAGCUUCCCCCUCUCUAUCCCACACACACUGGGUGAUUACUUUCUCUUUGAAAAUGGCUUGUUUUUCUUCUUUUAGAUUCCACUAUCUAGUCCUUGGGCACUUCCAAGUCUUGUUCUUUUUUCUCACUCUUUUGAUAUGUACAUCCAUCACCAACAAGCGAUGUUGAUUAGCCACGCUCUCUCCUGGUAUAACUUUGCAAUCCUUACAAGUUAUACGAUCCCCUUUCCUCAUUAGGAGAAAAUCUAUUUGUGUUUUUGACGACCCACUCUUGUAGGUGAUCACAUGUUCUUCUCUCUUCUUAAAGAAGGUGUUGGCUAAGAAGAGAUCAUAUGCCAUUGCAAAAUCCAAGAUAGCUUCCCCAUCCUCGUUUCUCUCCCCAAAACCAUGGCCACCAUGAAAACCUCCAUAGUUGCCUGUCUCCCUGCCCACGUGUCCAUUUAAAUUUCCUCCUAUAAAUAACUUCUCCGUCUGAGCAAUUCCUUGCACCAAGUCUCCAAGGUCUUCCCAAAAUUUCUCCUUCGAACUCGUAUCCAACCCUACUUGAGGUGCGUACGCACUAAUCACAUUGAUAAGUUCUUGUCCUAUUACAAUCUUGAUUGCCAUGAUUCUAUCUCAUACCCUCUUAACAUCUACAACAUCUUGUGUCAAGGUCUUGUCCACGAUGAUGCCAACACCGUUUCUCGUUCUAUUUGUGCCCGAAUACCAUAGUUUAAACCCUGAGUUUUCUAGAUCCUUUGCCUUACGCCCAACCCACUUAGUUUCUUGUAGGCACAUAAUAUUUAUCCUUCUCCUCACCAUAACUUCUACUACUUCCAUAGAUUUUCCCGUCAAGGUUCCUAUAUUCCACGUUCCUAAACGCAUUUUGCUCUCUUGAACUCUACCCUUCUGUCCUAGCUUCUUCACCAUUCCCCGUCUAAUAGGAUCAAAGUACUUCUUUUGUGUGUCCCGGGUAAAGUUGAUAGGAGCAUAUGCUCCCAAACAACUUUGAGUGGAGUCGUUCGAAAAGAAGUUUCUAUAGCCCCCUUGCUCAUUUAACACUGCAUCCGGGUGCCGAUGGAGAUACAGCGACCCUUGCUCACUUAUCACUAUGCUCGGGCCACACAGCGCGCCACUUACGGGUGACGCCCUAGCUUUAGCGCGAUUUCGUUCUGGAUUCAUUUUCAUAAGGAUUCGACGUAAUCAUGGAGUGCCGGCUGUCGACUACCUGACGCCCUCCCCUUCCUCCUUUAUCCGGGCUUGGGACCGGCAAUGUAAGAUAAACUUACACGGCGGAGUUUAAUACUAUCUGUAAAUGAUAAUCCAAAUUUGUAUGUGUUUUGCUUUCAUUAUAUGUUUAUAUAAUGUUUUGUUAAAUUAGAGUCGAUUAUUGGAUUUCAUGUAUUUUAAUUCAAACGGUAACAUUGUGUGUUCAAAAGGAUCCCCUCUAAUUUUCAGAGAUUAAUAUUAUUUAGUAUUUAGUAUGCUCAUCGACUCCAUUGGGCAAUAAGCAAAACAAAUUAUGAAAAGCAAACUAACCAAACAGGCAAAAAAUAAAAAUCAAAUUCUAAAAUGUUCUCAAAUUUGAUUUUAAAGCCAACAUCUCCCCCAUAUGCAGCUAACCCUUUUAGGAAAAACAAUAAAGAAGGCCAUUGGGACUCAAAAGCUAUUUUCAGUUUAGCAUGAUUAUCACUUAUAUAAACAUAUAAGGAAAGAAAAUCUCAAAGAGUCAGGUUUUUGCCCCAAUGUUAACAAUAUUUGUUUCAUUUGUAGUUUUUUGGAGUCUUUAUAAGCAUUUUUUAGUUUUGAUAUAAAAAAUAAUAAUAUUUUUUUACUCUCUCCUCUCUCUCUCUCUUUCGUGUUUUUGUGGACUUUGGGUUUUAUUUCUUUUUUGGGUUUGAGUGUUUUGAAUUUUUCUUUUGAUAAAGUAUUGGUUUUGCAGUAAAAGCAGCAAUCCUCUGCUUCCAGCUUCACUUCCACGUUCUCACUAUUCAUACCCACCCUGCCCAUUUCUUUCUAAAUUUCUCUUUGCACCCACUGGAAAAAAACAGAGUUUUGUUUUUGUUUCCUCAAAAUAUAGAUUAGACAGCAAUAUUUUGAAUGUUUUGCUUAUCCAUGUUCUUUGCAGGAUGCUCAAAGGAUGAUAAACAAGAAAAGAAAAUCACAGAUUGCAAAUUAGAUGGACAAAAAAGGCAAUAGAAAUUCAUAGGUCCCACAUCCGUGACAUAAAAGGUAUGAAAUUGUUAAUUGAUAAUUGAACAUAAAUGUAGAACUGAUUGCUACAAAUAAGUAUGGUUACUUUUGUAUCACAUUCUUAAUUAAGAUGGUUAUGCAGUCAUUUUUGUAAUUGUGUAUCUAUCAGCUCUGUACUGACUUACAAGUUACACACACCUCAAAAUUUUCAUUUUCUUUCAAACAAUCUUGAUCCGCAAUAUCUGCAGGAUUGCAAUGAAAUAAUUGUGAGCAGCAUGUAUAAUGGGAAGGAUUUACAAAGGUUUCAACUAUUGAACUUGCUUAUGCUCUUAUUUGAGUAAAAAAAGAUUUAGUAGGACAAACUCGAAUUGGCUUAAUUCCAUUUAUCAUUGAUAAUUUGAUUCUGUUAUUCAUAGACCAUUCUUCCGAAUCUCUGAGUUCGAAUGUGACCAAUUUUUGCAUUUUUAUGUUUAAUUUUAGGAAGAAAUGAAAAUGAGUUUUGCCUUUUUUUUAGUGUUUCGUUAGUACUAGCUUGCUGCAUAUGCUAUUCUCUGGGUGUAAAUAUAAUUAUCUAAGCAAGCUCAUUUAUUUUUGAACUCUUUAACUGAUUUGUGGCUGCAACAAGAUUUUUUUUUCGGAUUUUUCCCAGUCUUUUUAACAGUAUUAGGUUUCUGUCCUGCAUGUCACCAGGCUUAUUCUUUUUCAAUUCACAUUAAUCACGAAUUUAUAGUUGAUUGGAUUUCAUUUUGACUGCUGUAAACGGGUUUUCGUCAGCAUGUCUGACAUGAUAAAAUCAUGUCUUUUGGAUUAAUUCAAACAAUGUAAACAUUUCAUUUGUAUUCUUGAUCUUUGUUAGUAUUAUAAUUACAUAUCUAAUGAAAAAGGAUUUGUUUUAAUGAAUAAUGUGUCAUUACCCAAAAUGAGUUACCUUUGCUCAGAGUUUGCUGUUUAGCAUGUUAUGUUCCUUGGUAACAUGCAUCUGAAACUCUUUGUGCAGAAGAAGAUAUCUCAUUACAACCACCUCAAUCCAACAAAUUUUUUAUCACUCUUAAAACAUUAUCUGAACUCUCAGCUCAAAUAAGUCCUCAGUUUCCGUAUACUUUUUAAUUCUUAAUAUCUACGUGGUUUUCAUAGUUUUUAACCAUUAAAUCACGGAACUUUAUAUUUACAAUUAUAUUCUUUCUAAUUGUUUGUAUAGAUAUCUUUUUUGCUCCCUGCAAGAUGAUGUCAUGGCAUGGUUUAGUGGUGUUGAAUAUAAUUGGAGAAACUGAUUCUUUAAUCUACUCAUGAUGUAGAUUUCAAAGUUGAAACCCACUUACUUUCAAUCUUUUCGAACAAAUUCACUUUGUAAAGUAACAAAACAACGAUAUUCCUAAAGGAAAUAAAAUUGUUUGCUUUGCUGAGGUACUUCUGUUUAGAUUAAUCAAUGCUAUAGUGCAUUUUGAAACCUAAGUUAUGGAUCUAUUAGUUUCAAUUUAAACACAUCUAGAAACUUAGGGAUAUAUUUAUUAGCUCACAUUUAUAUACUGCUGGAAAGUUAAAGAUACGCUGAUGAUACUGGAUUUAACUUUGGUAGUUUUUCAAACAUAAUUACCCAUACAAUUUCUAAUCCCGCAGCAACGCUCAGGCAUCACUUUCUAGUACAAACCAGAACAAACACAUAUCAAGCUCAAAAAACUGACUUAAUCCAAUUGAGUUGACCCAAGUCUCCCUAUUCAUACAAAAAUCCAUCUAAAAGUUCAAAGCUCUGGGACAAUUUCAAAAUACUCACCUGAGCUAAAAGUUCAAAGCUCUAUGGAUUAUCUUUCAGAGGUGGAUUGUUUGCCCUUUCAUUUUAUACUCUCCCCAUCCCCUUUUGUUUGUAUGGUCACGGUUAAGCCACGUCAAUAUUUUAUAUUCCUAUUCAUUUUUGUUUUAUUAUUUCUAUAAAAAAUUAAUAUAAAAUGUUGACGUGGCUUAAUCUUGACCACACAUCACAUGAGAGCAUGGGAAGAGUAUGAAAAUGGGAGGGUGGACAAUCCACCUCCUUAUCUUUCAUCCUAUAUUUUUGACACAAUAUUUUAUAAUGUUGAUAUGAAAAUUAACGUUAAAUUGUGAGGUGAUAGAAAAUCAUUAGAGAGUAUCAUUUUAUUAAGUAUCCUUAGCAUUUAUCUUGUAAGAGCCUAAUGAGUAAUUUUUCUUUGUCAUCACCACUUUGACAUGUGCCCUUAUUGAUCCACUCAUUUUAUAACACAUCUAUCUAUUUGUUAGUUAUAGUGUUUGUCUUUUACGAUACAAGAUUAACGUCCUUGUGAUAAUGACACUCUUAGUCAUAAAUUCUAGUAAAUCACAAUUGUGCUUAAAUUCACCAAAUAUGAAAAAAAAAAUACUCAUGUAAAUUUGUUUAACUCAUAACUCAAUAACAUAACAUACUGUCGAAUGAUCGUCACACCGAAAAAUCUCUUUAUACAGACCGAAACCUUUUAUAGUUUUAUUAAAAUAAAAAAAAAAAGAAAAAAGAAAAAAAAGAAGAGUUGUUGAACACAAAAGGACAGAAAAGACCGAAGCUUUUCGUAGUGAUAACUGUUUAUAGACCAAUAAAAACACACUUUUAACAGUAAAAAUAUUAAAAAAACUUUCCCAUUUCGUGGAAAAGGAAACCAAGAAAAAGCCAGUCAAGCACUCUCUCUUUUCCUCUCUUUUCUUCUCCAAUCCCAUCCAAACGUUUUUUUCUGCAAAAAUCCAUCUCCAUUCACACACCUUUUUACAAUUUUCCCAGAAAAAAUUAUUGGGCAAGUAUUUUUAUAUAAAUCGUAUGUUGCACUUGUUUUUUUGUUGACCGGGAAAGUCUGUCUUUGUGGAAAAAAAAUCCAUCUCCAUUCACACACCUUUUUACAAUUUUCCCAGAAAAAAAUUAUUGGGCAAGUAUUUUUAUAUAAAUCGUAUGUUGCACUUGUUUUUUUGUUGACCGGGAAAGUCUGUCUUUGUGGAAAAAGAAGGAAGCUUUGCUGUGGAUUCAAGAACCCUUCUCCGGGAUCUUUGAUUCAUCUGUGUUUUCUGCAAGGGAAUUAUCUCAGGUGAGUAUUUUGAAAUUUUCCCAGAGCUUUGAACUUUUAGCUGGAUUUUUGUAUGUUUAAGGGAGACUUGGGUCAACUUAUUUGGAUCAAGUCAGUUUUUUGAGCUUGAUAUGUGUUUGUUCUAGUUUGUAUUUUGUGAAUAUUGAAUAUGCUUGUUUUCAUUAGUUAAAUUGCUGUUUGGUACACCUAUUCCUGCAUCUUUUGGUAGAGAGAUGUGUUGGAAUUUAUUAGGUUUAUUUAGGAAAUUAAUUAGAGAUUUGAUUUGAUUUUGUAGUAGGGUAUUUUUGGCAUAUACGCAUUAGGGUUUCUUUGGUUUAUUGCUCUAUAAAUAGAGCUUGUAAUUUAGUUAGAGAAUAAGUAAUUCACAAUGUAGCAUCUAGGGUUUUUGUAGCCAUUUCGGCAUUCUCGUUCGUUUAAUAAUAUUCUUAUUAUUUUGUUAGUCUUGUUUGUUGCGCACUCUGAUAUUCAACUUGGUAUCAGAGCGGGUUCGAUCCUUAUGGUUCAAUCCGUUCUUGUUGGUAUCAAUUUGUUUUGUCGCUUUUUGUUUUUUGGUUUAGUUUGGGUCUCAUUUAGGCUUUCGCUUCCGCUUUGGUCUGUGUCCUUUGUCUUGGUCACUCUGUUUUUGUUCGUUUUUGUCUUUGAAUUUCUGUUUAUGUUCUUUGUCUUUGGAUUUCGGUAUUGACCGUCAAAUUGUGUUAGUCUUGUCCGUAGAUUUUUUGCGUUUUCUGGUUUGGUUUUCAGUUUGUCCUUGGUAGUCUUCAAGAAAGGGAAAAAAAAUUCUGUUUUUUGAAAAAAGGUAUUUGGUGAAUCCAUCGCACUAGGAUUUCUGCAUUCCCCAGCCCCACCCUGCAUCUGGAUCCGUCCACAACCGUACCCUCGCGAAAAAAAAAAAAAAAAAAAAAAAAAAGGAAGGAGGUUGGUGAUGUUGGGUCGCACGUUGGUUCGCACAGAAGGUAAAAAAAAAAGGAAGGAAUCGCACAGAAGGAAAAAAAGGAAGAAAGAAGGAAGAAAAAAAAUAUUUGGUUGGAUUUUUUGUUUGUUUGUUAGGCAUUGGCAUCGACAUUUGUACUGGUACUGGCAUUGGAAUCUUGCACUGGCAUGGAAGUCUUGCACUGGCAUUGGAAUCUUGCACUUGCACCGAUGGAAUUUCGUAUUGAAAUUGGCAUCGGAAUUUGGAGGCUUGCAUCCACAUCUGCUUGUUGGCAAACUCAUGUCGUGUACCGCCAUGAGUUUGACGGGGGGUGUUGGAAUUUAUUAGGUUUAUUUAGGAAAUUAAUUAGAGAUUUGAUUUGAUUUUGUAGUAGGGUAUUUUUGGCAUAUACGCAUUAGGGUUUCUUUGGUUUAUUGCUCUAUAAAUAGAGCUUGUAAUUUAGUUAGAGAAUAAGUAAUUCACAAUGUAGCCUCUAGGGUUUUUGUAGCCGUUUCGGCAUUCUCGUUCGUUUAAUAAUAUUCUUAUUAUUUUGUUAGUCUUGUUUGUUGCGCACUCUGAUAUUCAACUAGAUGAUGAAUUGGGUUUUGCUUCCUGUGUUGUUUCCGUAAUUUGUUUUCAAAUUUGGGGUUAAUUAAAGCUAAAAUAUUGUAAAACUUUUGAGUGUUUAUUGGUCUAAUUUGGGUUCAUUUCUUGUUGCUUUUGAAUUUUGUUUCAGGGCUUGGUGUUUACUAAAGCUGGGGUUUUGUGGAAUUUGGUAUUCUUGAGCUCUGGUAAUAAAAAAUAGCGAAUUUAGGCGAUUUUGAUGGCUUUUUCGAUGUAUAUGUAUCAGAACUAAUUUUCCUUAGCUAGGGCUACGAUGUAUCCAUGACUAUGAAUGCUUAAAUUGUGGUUACAAAGUCAAGGAUGAUGUAGAUAACAGUAGACACUCAUUGUUUUAAAGAAAGUUUGUCUAUUAUGGUUACAAAGUCAAGGAUGAUGUAGAUAAUGUUUUCUCUUUGUUCCUAUUUUUUAAUUACAUCUUAAGGUUCAGCUACAUUCAGAUUAUAAUUUAAGGUGUAUAUUGUGUUGGAUCAAAAAUGGUGUGUGUUUUAUGAAUGAAAUUUCUGUAUAAGAAUGCCCAGGUAUUUACAUGUAUAUGUGUGUAUACUUAGGAAAAUAGUCAUUUAGGUAGCUGAGUGAAGUCCUUAUGAUGAUUACGAUUUGGGAUUUAUAUUUAGUUAUAUUAAAAAAAGUUAUUUGGUUAAAAGAAGGGGAAAAAAUAAAGAGGAAGAUAAAUUAUGUGCCUGGAUAGAGAUUUCUUAGUUUAAAGUGUGUGCGCUUUGUAAUUUUUUUUAAUCUUUCUUAGAAACAGAGCUUAAAAGUAAAGAGGAAGAAAAAUUAUGUGCCUAGAUAGUGAUUUCUCAUUUUAAAGUGACUGCGCUUUGUAAUUUUUUUUUUUUAAUGUUUCUUAGAAAUAGAGCUUUCUCAGUUUGGAAUUUACAAAUUUCUAUAAUCAUUUUGAUAAAUGUUUAUAUAUAUAUAUGUUGCCAUUGUUUUGAAUGAAAAAAAAUAUUGUUAUAGUGUUAUUGUUUUGUACAUCUUAUCUAUGACUACGUUUUCUAUUGUAGAUUAGUGCCACAACAAUUUAUAUAAGCUACGAAGUGCCUUUGCUGAAAUUGGAAAGAAAAAAAAAGGGUGAGCUGACAAAUAAUGUCAAAUUUACAAUUUACAAUUUUUUUUAAUUAUAUUGAUAAUUGUUUAUACAUAUAUAUAAAUGUGUAUUGGUAUUUGUAUCAUACUUUAAAAAUUUUUGGUAUAUCAAAUGUCAUUCCGUGUUAAAUUUGUAUUUCCGUUUAUGUCUUUUGUAGUGCGGUUCAGCUUUUUUUCUUUUCUUUUAUAGGUUAAAACAUUUUUGGUGGUGGUUAACAAUUUUGUUACUUCAUAGUUUAAUAAAUUUAUUGUUCAAUAAUAUUUAUGUUGGUUUUUCACAGGGUUUGAGAACGUGGCAUUAAUUAACAUCAAGUUAGUUUUGUUGCGUUGCAAGAUUCUCUACACAAAAAGUAAGUGAUUUAAACUUCAAAAAUUGAGUUCAAAUUUAUACCAUCUGGUUUAAUUUUAUUUUUUACAAUUAGAAGAAAGUUUCAUAUUCUGUUUAGGUUUUAUAAUACUCAAAUUGAAAUUUUUAAUUUUAGUAGUUUGUUUGCAUUUAAUGUUAUAUGUGUUGUUUUAAUAUGUGUGUUACAUCUUCGUUAAUUUUUUCCUUUUUCCCAAUUUGUUUGCAGCUGUUUGUUUUUCAAUUGGUCAUAACAAUUGGUUUGCAAUAUGUCCAAAAGACAUAUAAAUUUAAAGCUUAUGGAUUAUGAUGUCGGAUUUCAGAGUUGAUCCUUUCAUGAAAAUUAUAAAACUUGUCAUUAUGAGUGAAUGAAUAUUUUUAUUUUUUUUUUGCAUUUUUGUUUUUGCGCCGAAGGUGCUUCAGCGAUUUCUUCUUUUUAUUUUUUGUUUUUUUUUUCUCUGAUCUCUGAUGAUUUUCCUGGAUAGUUGUUUGUACGUAUAUUUUAUUAAAAGAUGCCUUUGCAAGAGUGCUUCGGACAAAACUUUCUUUUAAUUAAGCAUAUUUAAAAGAAAAAUUUUAAGUAGUAGCAUUAUCAAAUAUUUUUUGGUUGACUAAUCCUUCUCUUCAGAUUUAAAUUUUGUCCUCUCUGGAGUGUUUGUAACUUUGUGCACAUUGUUCGUGGCAGGAAUUCCCGUCGGGGAUGUUUCCUGGCCGACGAGCACACAGCUCCCCUGGAGGUUCGGCGCCAGUUGAGGGUUGCUGUCGGACUUCUGCUUUCCUGUCGGGCUUUGUCGGGCAAGUCUCGUCGGGCAAGACUCUUCGGGCAAGGAUGAAAGAGAAGGACAGCGUUAACUUUGAGAGGUGCCUUUGUGGGGCCUUAGGUGUAGGCCUUGAGGCUCACAAUCAAGGUUAACAUUUUAGUGCUCAGGCGUGCCACUGCCAUCUUCAGCAUGGCAGAUGUCGAAUGGAUGUCACGUUUUAGUUGUGAAUAUGCAUAUGCCCGAGAAACCGUGUUAGAUAUAACAGGUGCCUUUGUGGGGCCUUAGGUGUAGGUCUUGAGGCUUUCUGUCAAACUAAACCAGUACUUGAGCAUAUUAUAUUUGGUCUUUAUGGUUGUCGGAGUCUUAUAACUAUUAUAUUUCUGAUUAUUCGAGUCUGAGAGGUAGAGCGAACCCAAAUAGGUGCCUUUGUGGGGCCUUAGGUAUAGGCUUUGAGGCUUCCCAUUAGAGUCCGUUCUUAUACUCAAACCACCUAGACCGCAGAAUAGAAUGAAUCCAAAUAAGUGCCUUUGUGGGGCCUUAGGUAUAGGCCUUGAGGCUUCCUAUCAUAAUCCAUUCCAUACUUAAGCGUUCUAUGAUAAUCAUGAUAUAAUAGAAAUAAAACCAAGAGGUAGGUCGAUUACUUGCGCCCCAAGUAACUUCGGACUUCUCGUUUAUCAAGGAUUGUCGUGGAUGGGUUAAGUCCACAUAGAGUUCUUUUUUAUGCCUUGAGGCCAAGGACUUUUAAACUAAUCAGAUUUACAUGCCUGAGGGCUUAGGACUUGGAUCUGAUUUAAACACUGAAGAUAUAUUCAAAUCGGAUCCAAGUACUGAGAAAGCUUUGUCAUCGUGAUUUUGCUAGAAACAACUUGCAUAUAAUUAGAAAUAUACAACAUAUUGCUAGACUUUACAGAAAGAGAAGACAGACAGAGCAAAGCAGGUCGGGCAAAAUUAAACCUUAUCAAUUAAGGCUGAUCGUCUUGCAGGUCCCUAUCUUUGUAGUUCUGUCAAAGGUCUGAAAGCUUAGAGGGGGAGAGGGGAGAGGAGAAUACAAAAGGUGAAUCGAUACUACAACAAGUUCGAACAAGGUAGCAGAGCUAUUACAGAGGUUGGGAGAAAAGAUUAUCCCGCGAGGGAUGAAGGCUUGGGCUGAUUACAGCUUCGUUUUGAAACGCAAAUCUGGCUUUUUGAGCAGAGUUUGUGCUUUUGUUUGUUUGAUUGAGUGUUUUUGUUUGUUUGAUUGAGUGUCCUCUCUUCCUCCUUUUAUAGACGACUCGGUUUGGCUCCUGUAGCGACAGCUUUGCCCGAAUGCGGUCUGAGGGUGAUGACUUAUCAGCUUUAUUACAUGUAAUGCCACCAUAAAGUACUUUAUGGGCUGUGCAGUCUGAUCAGUCUACACCACUUGGUCCUUGGGUAGGUAGGCAAGUGGCCCUUAUGAAUUGUAUCAAGUCAGAAAAGGCCCUUUCCUGCUUUCCCAAGUUUCGGUCGGGCCUUGAUCUUCUAUUCCUCCAGGCCUCCUGGGCCGACUCCAUCCUUGGGCCAAAAAAUCAAGUUUUAAUCCAAACACACAUGCUCAGUAAGAACUAGGAAACUUCCUCGCAUCAGCAGGAGGAGGAGGUGGGGCCCGUGCGGGUUCAUUCUUACACUUUACCUUUCUUUCUUUCACUUUUCUUCUGUUUGAAUGCACACAAUUGCUACGCCGAAUGUGCUGAGAAAUUUCGUCUUUUUAUUUUUUAUGGUUUUUUUUUUUUUUUGUCUAAUCUUUAAUAAUUUCCCCGAUCGUCCAUAUUUUAUUGAAAGAUGCCUUACAGAGUACUGUGGACAAAAUUUUCUUUUAACAGUUGCAUUAUCAACAAAAAUUUAGGUGACUAAUCCUUGUCUCUCUAAAUUUUAAAUUUUUGUCCUCCCUGGCAUUUGUAACUUAGUGCACGUAAUAAAGUACAAUUUUUUUUAUUUCUUUGUACUAAACUCUGAUCUAGUUUCAGGUGCAACUAUAGUUCAGAUUCUCCAUCUUCUAUCUGCAAUCAUAUACUUCCUUCGAUCGCUUCAUUCUCUUAUCUUUCUAAGAGAUAGAGAGAUGGAGGUGAUUGGGACUUUUCAAACAUAAUUACCUAAAUAAUUUUUAUAGAAAACUUCAUUUUAAUCCUUGGCAAAGAUAACUUUUAGAUUAAAACCAUGAGUAAGAUCAAAAUUUAAUUUUAGUCUCUUAAUACAUUAAUAACCGCAUUUAUUAAUUAUAUUUUGAUUUUUUAACUAUUUCUCUUUUUCUUCCUAAUUUUUAAUGUAUUAAUUUUAUUUCAUUAUAAUUUUCAUUUUCAUUUCAUUUAUCGUAAUAUAUUUUGUUAGCACAUAUUACUAAAUUUAACAUUUGAAUAUAAUUGUGGACCCAAGGCUUUGAAAAACAAUAUACAGUUUAGAUUUGUUUGUAGAGUCGAAGUUGUCCAGUAGCAACAGCAAAAUUCCUCGCAUCAGCAGGAGGAGGUGGGAUAUUCAUUCUUAAUUUCACCUUUAUUUGUUAAAGCCCUCAACUAGGAUAUAUUGUAACCU